CAGAUAAGGCUACACUGAGCACAGGAUGCCAUGAAACAUAAUCCAGGAACCAAAUUAAUAAAAAAGGAAGCCAAACCAUUAUUUAACAAUCUGUUUUGUAUUUGGGAAAGUCUGAUAAAAUCUACUUAGGGAUAAUUAGAGAACCUCAACUAUUAAUCACACCUCAUAAAUGAACUAACAUUAACCAUCUACCAUCCCCACGUCACACAAACAUUCUCUAUACUUCUGAACCUAAUCCAUCUUCAAUUGGGGUUUUUUUUUUUUUUUUUGGGUGGCGGGGGGGGGGAGCUAUCAAUUUUCUAAGCUUGCUUAGCUUCUGUGUGGGAUUGAAAUGCUGAUUUCAAAUCACUAACAGUAAAAUUGGAAGCUCAUGAAAAAACAGUUUUAUCUCAAAAUUACAUCUCGAUAUAAAUUCUCUUUUCAUUUCCUUCAACUUUCUAAUUAAGCUUAAAAAAUGUACCUUCAACCACAAAGGGGUUUAAAAUUUAAAAUAUAAAAAAUAAAUUCAGAUAACAAUAAUUAAUUUAAUUAAAAAUAUAAAUAGAGUUACAGAGAAAGAGAAAUUAGAGAAAGACCUAAUGUUGAGUCCUUUGGCGCAUGUCUCUUCAUAGGUCCGAACCAUUUCUUCGGGCGUGGGUUACGGCCGAGAUUGGAUAAUGAUGGAGGAGGAGAAGAUUAGCGAUGACGACGCCGAUGAAAUGGAAGGGUUUACCAGAGGAGUGGAUGCGAAGAGUGCAGGGACGGCCGCAGAGAGAGAGCAGCGGAGUGCGGCGACGGACGGUAGUGACCAGCGGAGGCGGAAGAUGGCGGUAUGGGCCAUUGCUUGCGCGUCGGUGAGUGUCUCGAGUGAGAGAGUGAAACCUCUACUUAAAUAAGUUCUACUUGAAAAACCGUACCAAACGGAGCUUAAAGUUAAUAGUCUCGUAUCUCCCGCAUUUGAUAUCUUAUUGGCAUCAGCGUGUUACCUAAGAUUGGGAUUCAUUAAAAUCCUCAAUGUAAUCGGUGGAACGAAUGGAUUUCUUCUGUUCACCUAUCCACCAAAAUUUCUGUAAUUAAAUUCAAAAGUCAAGAUCUAUGCUUAUUAUCUAUUCAACAGCUAAUAUUCUAAUUUAUAUUUACUUAAAUAUGAAGAGCUAUGCUUGUAAUUAACUUCAAAUGUGAUCGAAGCAGCCUUACAUCUGUAUAUUACUUAUUCCCAACCUUUUUUUUGACUUCAUAUACUUUCUUUUCAUGUUAUUUACUCUUUUUUUUCCCCUCUCUGACAAUUGAGGUAGGGGGUCAAACUUGAAAGUAUCUUAAAAUCAGACAUUUUUUUUUAAUAAUAACCUAGUUGUUUGCAUUAGAAAUGAUAUUUUUUGUGGUGCUGAUAAAGAGGUUAAUUAUGAUUCAACAAUUUAAAAUAUGAAAACAUGUGGAAGACGGCCGCAAUUAAAUUGAUUGUAUGAAAAUAUUUCAAUGAAAGUUUAAAAAUUUAGUACUUGUUAUCUUAUCGAGAGUUUUUUAAAUUAUAUUACUACUUGAACUUGACUGCUUUUGUAUUGAAUUCCUAGCGUUGACAUUGCUUCUACUCAAAAGCCAUUUAAGUUUGUGUAAGCUACCUGUAGUUUGAACAACAAUUUACUCAUGAAUUCUUGUUCAUAAUAGCAAUUUGAUUGAAAGUGCGGCUGCACUAAUUUUCUAGAUGAAUUUUUUCCUACAUGCUUGUUCUCGUAUGACCCAAAAUCCUGCUACAUCAGUUGUAUUAGAAAUUAAUCAACUGGGUUACAAUUAUGCAUCCCCACCAAUAUUUAAGCAAUUUAAUUACAGAAACAUUUCUUGAGGAAAGAAACUCAUAUCGGCACUAGGCUUUCAAUGAGGCUCAUUUUUAUGAAUCUGGAUAGCAUUAGAUAUCUCUCCGAAUAAUGGUGGGAGUAGAUCGCAGAUCUGGCUAUACUACAAAGUGUAUGUACGUUGACUCUCAAUAAAUACAAAUGAUUCUCUGAUAUUUUUUUUUUUGAUAUUAAUCACGAGAUAUCCUGAGGAGGGCCCCAACUGUGGGAGGCACCUUUAAGCCCGUACCACAACUCAGACUAGAAGUCCCCGCUCGAACCGGGAGGCACAGGUUCUCCCAACAAAGGCGACUUCCCUGCGACUCGAACUGAGGAGCAAACUCAGUCAAUGAUUCUCUGAUAUGAUUCAAAACAUCAGUGCAUGCAUCAUUUUAACUAGAGAGAAUAUUCUAAGAAUGAAAUUGAACGUGCAAUCAGCAACUAAAAUGAAGCCAGAAAUGUACACGCAUGAGGAAUUUUUCCUAGAAGAUUGAUAUUUCUUUAACUAGCAAACCAUACAAGUCCAAAGCUAACCAAACCAUACCUGCAAGUCCGGGGCUUAAAUGGAGUACUUGUAAGCAUAAAACAUUAAUCAAAACACAGUAUAGACACACACACACACCCCUCCCUACAUACAUACCAGCAAAUUCGAAAUAGAAAAAGGAGUGCAACUCACAAAACAGUCGGAGGUGGAAUUCCAGCAUAUCUCCUUCUCUCCGUAGCACUCAGAGGUAUAGUUGAAAGAUUAAACACCAUGGAAUAAUUUGAAAGGAAAAUGCCAAGAAACUGUGUAAGUGGCUAAAUUCCACAAAUAUUACAUUAUUGCUCAUUUUUAUCUCAAAAAAAUGGUACGCGUUCAUUUAGAGAAGAGUCCAAGCCCAGUAACAGGAAUAUUUUAAUUACUACCAUGACAUAAUUGAUGGUGCUUAAAUCAAUUGUUUCUUUUUUAAUUUAAAGAUUUUUUCAUUAAAAAAUAUUUUAAUAUCAAAAUGCCUUCAAUGGCAUUACUGCCGCAAGCCCAGCAACAGGAUUAAUUAAAAAGUUCAGAAUUUUUGGGCAUGGAAACUGGAAAGAGUAUUAAACAUCAGAAAGCUAAGGUUUGUUCUGUUAAAGAAUUGAUAUUGACAUAGUUUUUUUUUUGAGGAAAAAAAAAACAUAUUUGUUGACAAGUAAGGAAAUGUUUUUGUAUUUUACAAUCUGUUAUUACAUAUUUUAUCAUAUUAAAGUAAUUUUAAUAACAAAUAGAAACAUAAUAUUACAAUAAAUAAAUUAAAGUUUAAAUUAUUUUGAAUAUUAUAAAAAAUAAUGUUAAUAUUAUUAAUAGGAAGACAUUUUGUUAAUUUUAAAAUCUUUUUAAUCCAAAGGUUUAUUUAAAAUCUCUAUAAUAAAUACAAAUAUAAGAUUAAAAUAAAAAUCAUAAUUUGAAAAUUUUAAUAUUAUUUUAAAUGUUAAAUAUACUUUAAUGUUAUUAGCCUACUACGUAGAUUUUAUUAUUUAUAUUAUAUUCGUAUUGAUUAAAAUUUUUUAAAAUCAAUUUUUUAGUUAGUACAUUCAAGAGGUAUCAUAGUUAAAGAAAAGAUUUUGGUGCAACUGUUUUAAAAUUUCAGGGACUAAAUGAUAAUUUUUUUAAAUUUUAAGGAAGUUGGUAUUAUUUUUCCGACAAUUUAUUUUAUUUUGAGGGAAAUCCGAUGAGAAAUAUCAUCAGAGAACAUUAAUUUAACAUUCUUUACCUUUAUGAAAAAAGUGAAAAUCAAGAACUAUUCAAUUUUGUAUUUUUUGUUUGUAAUUCAAAAAAUGCAUCCACCAAAUCAAGAACUAUUCAAUCUUGAUUUUCCCAUUUUAUUCAUUUUCGAUGCAUCCCCCACUAUUUUUACAAAUCUCCAUCCCACAUCUACACUAUCAAACAAGUUGAUGGAAAUUGAACCCAGUAAGUUAUGUUCAUUACUGGUCAUUGUCUUUCUAUGAGCCACUUAUUUUGAGCAUUAGCGAUCUUAUAAGGAAUCAUGCCUUUUCAGGAUCGUUUUCUUUCAUUUCCUUCUUGUAGUAGUUAAUUAAAUAAAGAACGAACAGCUGAACUUGGUCUAUUUCGAGGAAGAACAAGGUUUCCAAUACUAGAGGAACUUUGAAAAAAAUUAAUUGGAAGCCUUUAUUCAUCUUUGAAGAAAAUUACCACACUUUAAAUCCUGGAUAAAAAAAAUUUUAUUCAUCUUCGGACUAUGAAUUUAUAAAAAAACAUUGUUAGGACUAAGAAAAAAAUAUUAUUUUAGAUAAGUUAUUUGUUUAUUAUUGAAUGAAAAAUUUAUCAUGAUAAAUAAAUAUUUAUUAUUUUAAAGAGAGAUUUUUUUUUUGGUUUUAAGAAGAGUUUUUUUUUGGUACAUGCACACACUAAUAAAGAAACACAAAAAGUGCUUCCUCAAGUCAAUAGUAUUUGCUUUAAUGGCUAAGGUGCAUAAUAAUGUAGCUUAGUUAGGAAAUUUGUAAUUACAUUAUGGCUCCGUUUGGUAUAACUUUUUAAUUAGAAGUAUUGUUCUUUUUAUUAACAUGUGUUUGUUUUACUUAAUAAUAAAAGUUUAGUUUACAAUUACACCGGUGUCAAAUCAGCAGAGCAUCGGCAAGAGUUUUCGAUUGUUGCAAUUUGCAAUGCACGCGGUGAGAGAAAAUGAGAAUCUUGUUUAAUUGUGAAUAAUGACAAACCUAAUCCUUUCAUUAGGAGUAAAUUAAUAAUCGUUUGUUAUAAUUGAAUAUGUAUAAAGAAAGGAAAAUUAUAUUCAUAGAUUUGACUUAUUUUUUGUUUAACGUAACUAAUCAUUCAACCAUCUUCAUUUGCCUCUGGCCAAUGCCCUUGUAGAUUAGUUGAAGCGUUGAUUUCUUAAUUCAGAUAAUUACAACGUCCUUUUCGCUAAUUAAGUAUGAUUAUGUACAUUUUCAUAUAGCAAGUGGCAUUGUAGAUCUAAACUAAGUUGCUAUUUCAAUCCGUUAAUUAAGUGAUUCUCCUCAUUGUCAUCAGUGUUAUACCCUCUGGGAAAAUAGCUCAAUUGUUUCCCUGCAUUGAUUUUCAUUGGUAAGUGAUUUCUUAUGAAAUUCUUUUGAGCUUUCCUUAUUAAAAAAGCUUGAGCUUUUAUCACCUAAUACGGAUAUCAAUUAACUUGUGAACGAUUUUGUAAUGAAACUAGGAGUUAAAUAAGAUUUUUACAUGAUGAUCAACUUGUUAAUUUUGUAUAUUUCAUAUUUAACAGGAUUUGGGCACGGAACGUUUGGAUUCUAAUAUUUAUAUAUUUAGUUUUAAUCAGUUUGACUUUCGUAAUCUUUCUCGCCUCAUCAUUAAGGGAUUAAGAAUUAGAGAAACAUUAGAAACAGGAAGAAAAUAACUUCAGAAAUAAGUAAGAGGGAAAAAAAUUUAUGAUAUUUGGUGUUGAAAUGAACUAAAAACUCGUCAGUACAACGUGUCGUUUGCAGGUUGUGAAGAUGAGUGCCAUGUCGUUUCAUUUAAGCAAUAUACCAGAACUGACAAAUUGCCAAUGUCGUUCAAGACCAUUAUAACUCACGUGCCUUACGCAUGCCUCUCUUAAGCUUAAACGGCAAAGCUAGCAGUCGUUUAAGGAAGGCUUAUUAAUAGCGCGUGAGAAGCUCGUGCCAGGUUGGUUAAAAGGCCGUUAGAUUUAGAGGGAAAUCUGGAUCUGUUACACCUGCAUCAACUGAUAUAUAAACGAGCUGGUUCUGGUGUUAGCAUGUAUGACCAAGGAGAGAGAGAUAAGGCAUCGAUACUGAGAGAAAAGCUUGACUAAGUGGUCUCUGUAUUAUGUGUGAUUUCUCUGUAACCUUGAAAGCUUAAUAAAACUGCUCUCUGUGUUGGUUUUCUCCAGUGGAUGUAGGCACCCUUCAACAGGUGCUGAACCACUUAAGCUCUGUGUGUUCUUUGCCUUUAGGUUGUGAUCUUUGAUCUGUGCAUUGUUCUUUGUUAAGUGUAAGAUUGGUUCUUGAAUCUUUGAGUCAGAGUUGGGUCUUGGGGUGAGAUUAAUCUAGUAUCUAAAGGGUUAAUCUCUCAACAUUUGGAAUGUAUCAUAAUUUUUUGUUGAGUAAAUAUGUAUGAAUAGUUUUUGGGAGUUUUAGCCAGGAGUCAUUUAUUGAAGAUGUCUAGCAAUUAAAGAUCUCUGUCUCAGUAGUUUUCCCAAUCAAAAUCAAGAAGCAAAAAAAACUUGCCAUUUUUCUACUUGAUAAUUAAUUGAAAUUUAAGAAAAUACAAUGGCAUUUCAAUUAGAAUUGGUAAUUGUUUAUCUUUUUUUCAUUGAUCAAAUUCUAAUCUUUAUGCAAUAGUUAUGAAUGAAAGAAAUAUUAUGAGAGGAGAUAGGUCAAUUGAAGCCGUACCCGCAAAUAAAAAAUAGAAAAGGAGUGCAACUAUUCAACUUUGUAGACAAUAUUGCAACCAUCCAAAGGUGAAGAUCUACGCUUAUUAUCUAUUUAACAGCUAUAUAUAUAUAUAUUUAUAUUUUUAAAUAUCAAGAGCUAUGCUUGUAAAUAAGUUCAAAAGUGAUGAGAACAGCCUUAUAUUUAUUUAUUUAAAUAUUACCCAGAAUACUGCUAUAACAAUUGUAUUUAAAUAAUAAUUGUAUUUAAAUAAAUAACUAUAUAUCUAAAUAUAUAUUUAUUUAUUUAAAUAUCAAGAGCUAUGCUUGUAAAUAAGUUCAAAUGUGAUGAGAACAGACUUAUAUUUAUUUAUUUAUUUAAAUAUGACCCAGGCUAAUUUCUCUGAAUUUUGACAGAGUAGAUUUCUAAGCUAAUGCUUGGCAGAUCUCUGGGCGAUACUACAAAGUGCAUGUACAUUGAGUCUUAAUAAAUAUAAACGAUUCUCUGAUAUGAUUCAAAACAUCACUACAUGCAUAAAUUAAUAAGAAAUGUAUAGUUGUACAUAAUUUUAUGCAUGAGGCAGUUUUUAUAGUUGUACCCUCUCUAAUGAAAUUGAAGGUGCAGCCAGCAACUAAAAUGAAGCAGAAAUGUACACGCAUGAGGCAGUUUUUCUAGAAGAUUGAUAUUUCUUUAACUAGAAAACCAUACAAGUCCACAGCUAGCCAAACCGUACCUGCAUGUGUCUAGGGCUUAAAUGGAGCACUUCUAAGCAUAAAACAGUAACUAAAACACAUACACAAACAUACAUACCAAAAAAUUCAAAAAAUAGAGAAAGGAAUACAACUAUUCAUGUUUGUAGACAAUAUUGCAACCAUGGCAUCAGUUAUAGCAAAUAUUGAAUUACAAUAUUUCCCUUGCCGAUUUUGUCUACACAAGUAAAGGGAAAUAAGAAUCAUAGAUGAAAAUCAACUUUUACAGUUCUAAUUAUUAGAUAGAUACAUAAUGAUCUAUCUUUGUUACUUUGUUUCUCUGCUGCAAUGUGCGAUCCCACUCUGUUUUGAUACUCAAAUUGAGUCUAUGUUGAGACAUAAUUUUGACAUUGGAAGCAAUCCCAAUUAGUUUGGCUUUUGUAUGACCCUUUAAGGUUUUACAAUAGAUGCAAAUCUACUGAGAAAAUGGUAAAAAAAGGUGUAUAUAAAAUGAGGCAAGUAACAGAAGUAUGAGUUAUCAGAUUAGAUUAAAAGUCACCCAAUUCAAUCUAUCAGAUUCCGUAAGGAUAUAACUGGAUGUCAUACCGCCAGUCCAUAUCCUCGAAAGUCUCUAGUCUUUGUCUCAACUCUGUCUGAGGCCAAUGUAAAUCCAAUUUGCACAAGCUCUUUAUGCACCAUAGCUCUUCUGGAAGCUUUCUCAAGUAAGCACAUGGGUUGACAAUUAAGCUUUCAAGUUUUGGCAUUGCUCUGCCCCCAUCGUCCACUCGUCUAGCCAAUACAUCGACUUCAGGUGCAAAAUCUUAAGUUCCGGAAAGCCAGCAGAGCCAACGCAGGCUAGCUUUCUUCCUAAAUACGAGUUCUGCUUCAGUUUCAGCACUUGAAGGCGUGGAAGCUUUUCCAGCAUUGGCAUGGGAUCCUCCAUUCGCUCAGUAUUUGAUAAGCUCAGUUGCAUCAUUCUUGGAGGAAAUUAGUAUUCAGACAGGACCAUCCGUGAGAGCUUGCUCUCAUUCACCAACUUCAAGCAUUCAACUUUGUGGAGUUUGCAUACGCUUUUGGAAACCCCAGAGUGAUAGCAACUCAAAUCUCCAGACACUCUAAGAGUUUGAAGAUUAGAUAGUCUGCACAAUAUAUCUGGCGUGCAACUACUAGGGUGUGAGGCUGAUAUGAAAAUAAGAUUUUUCAGAGAGCUGGAAUAAUUUUUUGGAGGUGCAGGCAGAGAGAUGGAACCAAAGUUCAGAUGCAUGAGUUUUUGCAUCUUCCAAAUAUCCUCUGGUGUUUGAUCUACGUAGCUAGAUGGCAUGUCUAGUGUUUGAAGGUUUGAAAGGGUGCAUAGCGGUGAAGGAAGACAUUUGAGCGAAGGGAUAUUCAAUUUCAAAUACUUCAAAUGGAAUAAAUUUUCUAAUCUGGGUGGAUAUUGGUCCAGGACUGCAGAACCCAUGUUCAAUACCCGAAGGUGUUUGAACAUUUUACAAAAAUUCUCGCAAUCUAUCGGAUUAAGAUGAUCGCUUUCUGAACUGUGAUUCAGAAAAAGAUUGGAGAUACAUGUCCGAAUGUUUCAAAGAAAAGAAUUCAAUCGGAUCAUCGAAAAUGAUGUACCGUUUGGCAUUUGCCAAUGAUUCAUCUUCGAAGUCAGGCGUCCGGACAAAUCCCAUCAUUGCUGCCGUCCCAAGUAACGCAGCAUAUGCAAAAGUUGGAACAUAACACGCCUUAAUUGUGCCUCCAUCUCUUCUCUUAUUUACUUGAAUGAAGCCAUGAUCGAUUAGUUCGUUCAAGUAAUGCUCGGCAGUUUCCUCACUGUUGUAUGGUAUGAAACCUUCAGCUACCCACAGCUGAUAUAAUUGCCUGGUAGAUAUCUCAAUGCCUGGAUGAAAGCUGAGGUUGUCCCUCGAUCAGUAAAUCAAACAAUUCCUCUGCCGCUUUCAAAUUCACUCUUAUCAAGCUGAAAUUGUCCCUCAAUCAAUAAGUGAGUGAAUUCGUUCCUUCGCUCUUUGAAAUCAAAACCAUUGUCUCUAGGCGGAAUUUGUUGCAACUGAUUUCUAAUAUCAAUGAUUUUACUGUGGAUUCCGACAAGAAGAGCAAUGAGUGAGAAAACAACUUGUUUGGUAACCAAAAAAGUAUUGAGAGAAAAUGUAAUGAUUCUGAGAAAUUGCUUUUAUUUCAAUUAAUCGAAUCCAGAGUAAAUGUACAGAGUUUCUUUAUAUACUAACGUAUCUACAUAGCUGAUAUUAGCUAAACUAAUUCAACCAGCUAAUCAUGCUUAACAACUUAUUAUAACUAACUAAAACUAAUAUUCACGUGUACAAGAAAUGAUGUAACCACCAGGUGCUAGCUGGCAUGCCAAGUCAUCAACUUGUAACCGUGAGCUGCAACUGUUACAAUCCUCUGCUUUGCUGACUAUCUGGCUCACAUGAGCUUCCUUAACAUCCCCUCUCAAGCUCAAGGGUCUGUUAACUACAUUGAGCUUGGAACGAAAAUAGCUAAAUUUUGGAAAAGAUAGAGGCUUAGUAAGAACAUCUGCCACUUGUUCUUCAGUAGGAAUAUAUCUAAUCUCUAACUCUUUGUUCAGAACCUUAUCUCUAAUGUAAUGAACAUCCAGCUCUAUAUGUUUGGUCUUGGAGUGGAAUAUUGGAUUUUUAGCUAGAUCACCUGCACUCUGAUUGUCACACCAGAGAAUAGGAGUUGGCAACUUGAUAAUUUUUAGCUCAGAAAACAAAGAUUGCAGCCAUGUAAGUUCAGAACUUGCUGCUGAUAAGGCUCGAUAUUCACUUUCUGUGCUAGACUUUGCCACAAUAGCUUGCUUUUUCGAAGACCAGGAAAUGAGAUUAUUACCAAGGAAAAUGUAGUAAGCUCCAAUGGAUUUCCUGUCAUCAGUGUCACAUGCCCAAUCAGCAUCUGAGUAUCCUGUCAACCCUAUUGUUUCCAAGGUUCCCUCUUGCUGAAUAUAGAGGCCAUAUGUAAUAGUUGCUUGAAGGUAUCUCAACACCUUUUUGCAGGCUAACCAAUGUUGGAGAGUUGGACCACUUAGAUACUGGCUAAGUUUAUGCACUGAGUAAGCAAUGUCUGGUCUAGUUAGAACCAAGUAUUGAAGCCCUCCAACUAUACUUCUGUAAAGAGUUGGAUUUUCAAAUUCUACACCCAAUGAGCCUUUAGCUAUUUUUUCUAAUUUGUAACCAGUGCUGAAAGGAGUUUCAGUUUCUUUACAGUUCUGCAUUGAGGCCUUGGUCAACAAAUCCUUGAUGUAUUUAGUUUGGGAGAGGUGCAUGCCAUGAUCUGUGUAGCUGACUUCUAUACCAAGGAAAUAUGAUACCAGGCCCAAGUCUUUUAAGGCAAAAGCUUUACUCAGCUUUGUGAUGAAUGCCUCCAGCAAGACUGAAUCUGGACCUGUAACUAAUAUAUCAUCUACAUAGAUCAAGACAAGGAUUAUGCCUUUAGUGUCAUGCUUGAUAAACAAUGAAGUGUCAGCCUUAGAAUUUGUGAAAUUCCAAUCUGUAAGACAGCCCUUAAGCUUAUCAUACCAGGCCCUUGGUGCCUGUUUUAAACCAUAAAGAGCUUUGUUUAGCUUACAGAUGUAUCCUCCCUCUGAAACAAAACCCUCUGGUUGUUGCAUGUACACAUCUUCAGUAAGAUCCCCAUUGAGAAAUGCAUUGUUGAUAUCUAUUUGUCUAACAUUCCAGCCUUGCAUAACUGCCAAACUCAAUAUAACUCUGACAGUUGAAGACUUGACUACAGGACUAUAAGUUUAUGAAUAGUCAACCCCAGCUGUCUGAUGGAAUCCUUUAGCAACAAGCCGAGCUUUAUGCUUAGAUACUGAGCCAUCUAAAUUAUACUUUGUUCUGAAGACCCAUUUGCAGCCAACCAGUUUAUGAGUAGGAUCCAUUGAAACUAGAUUCCAGGUUUUGUUUCUGAUAAGUGCAUCAUAUUCCAGUUGCAUUUUAUCUUUCCAUUUAGGAUCAGCUAAAGCUUCACCAACAUUAGAAGGUUCUAAACUGUUGUGUGCUGUCAAAAAUGCCUUAGGUUUGAAUAUACCAGCUUUAGCUCUGGUAGUCAUGGGAUGGACAGAGAUAGUAGGAUUGGAAAGUGAUAAAGAUGGUCUGGAAGGUGAUGUGUGUAAAGAAGCUUGAAAUGGUAUAGGAAGUUCUGGAGAAUUUUGAUGGAUGAUAGGUGAAGAUAUAGUGUUUGAAGUUGCUACUGGAGAUGUUGUGGGAAUGACAGGGGAGGUUAUGGUAUUAGUGGAUAAAAUAGAAUGAGUAGAAGAGGAAGGUAACAAGAUAUUGUGAUGAGAACUAGAAUUGUUAGAAUCAGUAUCUGCAGCAACAGCUUCAAAAGGUUUUAGAUUGCUAUUAGGAACUGAAACAUUAUAAAUAAAAACUUAUUAAAACCUAAUUUAUUUGGGAACCACAUAUUAAAACCUAAUUUAUUUGGGAACCACAUAUUAUUGGUCAGUAGUAUUUCUCAACUUAGCAAGUUAUUUCUAAUUUGUCCCUCUCUAUUAUUGGUUCUCUUAAAGCCAAUAGUGUCGCAUUUGAUAUCUUGCCAUUACCGUUGGCAUUAGCAUGUUACCUGAAAUUGGGAUUCAUUGAAAUCCUCAAUGUAAUCGGUGGAACGAAUGGAUUUCUUCUAUUCAUAAUUUGAUGAUUUUAAUUGAACUAGGAGAUAAAGUAAAAGAUAAAUGGUUGGUUUACUCCAAUUUCUGAAGUGCUUGUAUCUUUUUGGUUGAAUUCGUGCAGUUAAAUAAUCUCUACCAACAUAUGUAUGUAUGUAUGAAAUUGGAGUAACCAGACCUUUUCAAGAGUUAAAUAAUCUCUACCAACAUUGUAGAUUGCCCGAUAAAGUUAACUGUGUUACCCAGCUCCAUGCAUAUACAUUAAAUGCAUGUUUGGGUAGUUUUAUAAAAUGAUAACAGCACGUCAAAACUUGAUGAGUUAUAUUGUCAUAUUCGACAUUUUUAAAUUGAAAAAUUAGCAAGCAAUCUUCAGUGAACAUUACAAUUUUGUUCGCUCUACACCCCAUCAAUAUUUAAGCAAUCUACAGAUCAUUACUUGAGGAAAGAAACUCUUUGCGCCACUAGGCUUUUAACGAGGCUCAUUUCUAUGAAUCGGGAUAGCAUUAGAUAUCUCUCCGAAUACUGGUGGGAGUAGAUUGCAGAUCUCUGGGCUAUACUGCAAAGUGUAUGUACGUUGAUUGUCUGAUAUGAUUCAAAACAUCAGUCCAUGCAUCAUUUUAAUGAGAAAGAAUAUUCUGAGAUUAUUUAUGCAUCACCAUUUGUAGUUGUACUGACUAAUGAAAUUAAAGGUGCAAUCAGCAACUAAAAUGAAGCCAGAAAGACACGCAUGAGGCAGUUUUCCUAGAAGAUUUGAUAUUUCUUUGACUAGCAAACCAUACGAGUCCAAAGCUAGCCAAACCAUCCCUGCAAGUCCAGGGCUUAAAUGGAGUACAUCUAAGCAUAAAACAUUAAUCAAAACACAAUACGCACACACAGACCCCUACAUACAUACCAGCAAAUUCAAAAUAGAAAAAGGAGUGCAACUAUUCAAGUUUGUAGACAAUAUUGCAGCCAUGGCAUAUCAAAGCAAAUCCUUGAAAUGUGCUAAACAGAACAAUGCCCUGUCUCAUGAAUCGACGCUCAAUUACAAUUGAAAUUGAAAGUCCGGCUGGUGUUGUUUCCCUCUCCAGUUUUGCCUACAUAAGUAAAGGGAAAUAAGAAUCAUAAAUGAAAAUAUGCUUUGACAGUUCUUAUUAGAUAUAUAUAAAGGGAUCUUUCUUUGUUUCUCUGCUGCGAUGUGUGGUUAUCCCACUGUUUUUCCACUCAAGCUGAGUCUACGUUGAGACAUAAUUUUGACAUCAGAAGAUACCUCAAUUAGUUUGGCACUUUUACGAUAAACAUAAAUCUACUAAGAAAGUGCGGAAAAAAAGAAAAUGCAUAUAAAAGUAUGAUUUAUCAGAUAAGAUUAAAACUCACCCAAUUAAAUCCGUCAGAUUCCAUAAGGAUAUAACUGGAUGUCAUACCGCCGCUCCAUAUCCUCGAAAGUCCGUAGUCUUUGUCUCAGCUCUGUCUGAGGCCAAUGUAAAUCCAAUUUGCGCAAGCUCUUUAUGCACCACAGCUCUUCUGGAAGCUUUCUCAGGUAAGCACAUGGGUUGACAAUUAAGCUUUCAAGUUUUGGCAUUGCUCCUCUCCCCAUCGUCCACUCAUCUAGCCAAUACAUUGAUUUCAGGUGCAAAACCUUAAGCUUCGGAAAGCCACCAGAGCCGACACAGGCCAGCUUUCUUCCUAAAUACGAGUUCUGCUUCAGUUUCAGCACUUGAAGGUGCGGAAGCUUUUCUAGCGUUGGCAUGGGAUCCUCCAUUAGCUCAGUAUUUGAUAAGCUCAGUUGGGUCAGACUUGGAGGAAAUUGGUAUUCAGACAGGACCAUCCGUGAGAGCUUGCUUUCAUUCACCAGCUUCAAGCAUUCAAGUUUCUGCAGUUCGCAUAGGCUUUUGGAAGCCCCAAAAUGAUAGCAAGUCAAAUCUCCAGAUAUCCUUAGAGUUUGAAUAUUUGGUACUCUGCCCAAUAUAUCUGGAAUGCAACUACUAGGGUGCAAGGCUGAUAUGAAAAUGAGAUUUUUCAGGGAGCUGCAAUAAUUAUUUGGAGGUGCAGGCAGAGUGAUGGAACCGAAGUUUAGAUGCCUGAGUUUUUGCAUCAUCCAAAUAUCCUCUGAUGACUGAUCUAUGUAGCUAGAUGGCAUUUCUAGUGCUUGAAGGUUUAAAAGGGUGCAUAGCAGCGAAGGAAGGCAUUUGAGCGAAGGGAUAUUCAAUUUCAAGUACUUCAAAAAAUAUAAAUUUUCUAAUCCGGGUGGAAAUUGGUCGAGAACUGCGGAACCCAAGUUCAGUACCCGAAGGUGUUUGAACUUUUUACAAAAGUUCUCGCAAUCUAUCAGAGCGAGAUGAUCGCUUCGUGAACUGUGAAGCAGAAAAGAAUGGAUAUACUUGUCAGAAUAUUCUGGAGGAAAGAACUUAAUCAGACGAUCCAAAAUGAGAUACCGUUUGACAUUUGCCAGUGGUUCCUCUUUCAUGUCAGAUAUCCGGACAAAUUCCGUCUUGUCCGCCACCAAAUACAGUGAAAUAAAUUCAAAACUUGGAACAUAACACGCUUUGAUUGUGCCGUUGGCUCUUCUCUUACUCACUUGAAUGAAGUCGCGGUGGAUUAGUUCUUUUAACCCUCAGCUAUCCACAACUGACAUAAUUGCGUGGUAGAUAUCUCAAUGCCGGGGCGGAAGACACACAAAUAGAUGCAGCAGACUUUCAAGUAAAAAGGUAACUCCCCCACAGAACAAGUUCGACUGAAAACUGUCAAAUUUAUUUUUUCAUUCAUAUAAUUUUCUGAUGGCGCACUUCCAUAGUGUAGGACGAAAAAUUGCCAGGCCUCAUGCUCUAAUCUGAUCAAUGGUCCUUCAAUGAGCACUGAAUCAAGCCGAAUCUUCUCUCCGUUUUCCAUUUCCAACGACGUAAGGAGUUCUGGAUCAGUGAAAUAUCAAUACUCUGCUUCCAUUCCGAUUAUCAGGAAGAACUUCUUCAAGAUCAUCCCAUAUCUCAAUGUUAUCGCAGACAUCAUCAAGCACAAUAAAGUACUUCUUGUUUGUUAGGUAAUCUUGAAGAAUAGAUUUCUUCAAUUGAUAAUCUUCACCGAUAAUUACACUAACCCGAGAUGGAGGCAUCACGGACUUGAUUAUGUCAUCCAAUAUCUUGCCAAAAUCGUAGAGUGAAGAAACCCUGACCCAAGCAAAACCGUCAAAAUAGAACUUGACGUGAUUAUUAUUGUAAGUAUCUGCAGCAAAAGCAGUCUUAUCGAUGCCACGGCUGUCGAGAAUUGCAACCACUGCAAGCCGAGGAUGUCCUUCUAUCAAUAAAUCAAACAACUCCUCUCUGCCCCUUGCAAAUUCAUUGAUAUCAAGCCGAGGUUGUCCCUCACUCAAUAGGCGAAUGGUUUUGUUACAUUGUUCAGUGAUAUCAAAAUCAUUGUCGCCGGGUGGAAGUUGUUGCAUCCGAUUUCUAAUAUCAAUGAUUUCACUGUUGAGUCCAUCAAGAAGAGUCGUAUUAGUACUGCUGUCACUUUCGUUUUCACUGUUUUGCUGCUGCAUGAUUUUGAUGAAGAAUGUGUCAAUGGCUUCCUCAGAUUCACGGACAAAGUCAUUGAUGUCGUUCAGAAUUUCCAGAAUGUCUGCCCUUUUAACAUCUUCUUCAUCGCUUUUUUCUAAGUCCAACAGUUGCAAAGAAGGUAAAGAUAUUUCGGUGUCAUCGAAUUCUUCUCUAAUGAGUUGAAACAAAUCCGAGCCAUGUCAGAGUCAUAGUUUCCCAGCAGUGGUAACAAUAAUUUUGGACUCCGUAAGAAGGUUUUGAAAAAGUGGGGUUAAAUUUGUUGAAUCAGGCAGCGUUAACGGGUCUUCUUCACCUGCUAACACCCUUUUCAACCUCUCACAAAAUAGUCGGAGGUGGACGUCCAGCAUAUCUCAUUCUCUCCGUAGCACCCAGACGUAUUGUUAUUUGCUCCAACAAAUGUUAAAAGGAUUGGUUCUAUCUCAAAGUGGUUUGUGGUGUAAAAUUAAACACUAUGGGAGAAUUUGAAAGGAAGAUGCCAAGAAACCGUGUAAGUGGCUAAUUUCCACAAAUAUGACAUUAUUGCUCAUUUUUAACUCAAAAAAAUGAUAUGCGUUCAUUUAGAGAAAAGUCCAAGACGCUUGCCUUUUAAAAAGAACAGGUAUCCCUAUGCAACCUUUAUCUUAUUUAAUUACUACCAUAUGGUACUUAAAUCUAUUGUUUCUUUUUUAAUUUAAAGAAUUUUUCAUUAAAAAACUAUUUUAAUAUCAAAAUGCCUUCAAUGGCAUAGCUGCCGCAAGCCCAGUAUGAAUUAACAGGAUGAAUUAAAAAUUUUAGAAUUUUUGGGCAUGGAAAGAGUAAUAUUAAACAUUAGAAAGCUAAGCUUGUUCUGUUAAAGAAUUGAUAUUGACAUAAUUUUAUUUUGGUUUUCGGGGAAAAAAAUUAUUCGUUGACAAGCAAGAAACAUUUUUAAUUUUUAAAAUUUAUUAUGCAUAUUUUAUCAUAGUAAAGUAAUUUUAAUAAUAAAUAGAAACAUAAUAUUACAGUAAAUAAAUUAAAGUUUAAAUUAUUUUGAAUGUUAUAAAAAAUAAUUUUAAUAUUAUUAAUAGAAGACAUUUUCUUAAUUUUAAAAUCUUUUUAACCCAAAGGUUUAUUUAAAAUCUUUCUAAUAAAUACAAAUAUAAAAUUAAAAUAAAUAUCAAAAUUUGAAAUUUUUAAUAUUAAAAUUACUUUAAUGUUGUUAGUGACUGUUCGGUACAGCUUAUUUAAUGGCUAUAAGUGCUUAUUUAAUGUCAUAAUGUCAUGGGAUGAGUGUUUUGCACAGCAAAUCCAUGCGGUACUUAGACAACUUUGCCGAAUGUUGCUAAGUAAGCCUUGAGCUUCUCGAACUAGCUAAGCCUAGAGGUUUUCGAAGAGCUAGAGAGAAGAGAGCAAUGAAGCCGAAUGAAGAGAAUUGUAUUACUAACAAGAGAGAUUACAAGAGAGCUUACAAGUGUUUGAGUUGCUUGUACUAAGCUUGUUGCUCAAAUGUCUAAUGCCAUCCCAUAUUUAUAGGGGAGGCUUGCCAAGCUCUAGAGAUUCUAGAGAAUUCUACCAUUUAUAUGUGCCGGAAUUCUAUGGAGUAUUCUAGAGUAUUUACAAGCUCAAAUGCCUUUUAAAAAGAAUAUGUAUACAAUGGCAAUCCAUACUUUAUAAAAUUGAUGGUGAUUACAAAGAAAAAUUGUUUAAAAUAGAUUUAAUGCACAAAUAUGAUGACUUUUGGCAAAAAUUAGUUUCGGAAAUGUUGGGAUGAAAACCAUAUUAAUUGAGAAUUAAAAUUACUUAAUAAAAUUACUUAACUACCAUCUAAUAGAUGAAAACCAUAUCAAUUGAGACUUAAAUUAAGAUUUAAAUGUUGAAAUAUCUAGCAUUACUCACAAUAACCAAUUCAAAUUAUGACUAUCAUGUAGAAGCAAAUGUUUAUGCUUGGGUUUUUUACUUCUUGAAUUUGAUUGGAAAAUUUUCUGAGAUAGAGAAGUGUUUUGGAUAAGCUUUACGGGAUUGAAACCACAAAUUGGUAGAGGAAAUUAAUUUUGGACAAAUUUUUCUUAUAUUGUAGGACCUUCUAGUUGGAGUAGUGAUGCCUUUGUCUUCAUUUUUGGUUCCUUUUGUGUCGGCAGCCCCUUACUAUUCUCUUGACCCUGAGUUUGAGAUAGAAAUUUAUCAACCUCCAACCCCACAUCCACAAACAAGUUGAUUGAAACAAUUACUCUUUUAAUUAAGAGGACCCAAAUGAUUUAGGUUUCAGUUCUUAUCAUUUGUCUAUUAUUUCUUUGAAACAUUUAUUUUGAGCGUUACUGAUCUUAAUUAUCUGUAUUUCUCCAAUUAUUGAAGAAUUUCAAGUGGCCACUUUUUCUCCUUUUUAUAUAUGUUUAUUUUUUGGAGUGAUCAAACGGGUGCAAAAUCAAGUAUUCGCUGGUCUGUAGUUUAGCCAACGAUGGCUGAUCCACACAGUUGAUUAUAUGAUACUAUUAGCUCUCAAAAUCUUUCUUAUUUGAGAACAUAAAUUGCCCAUUGAAGUUAAACUAUGUUACCCAGCUCCAUGCACAUACAUUAAAUGUUUAGGUAGUUUUACAAAAUGAUAACAGCAUGCCAAAACUUGAUGUUGUCAUAUUCGACAUUUCAAAUUGAAAUAUAUGCAAGCAAUCUUCAGUGAACAUUACGUGUUUAUUGAAUAAUUUAAAUGGCCAGUAAAUCAACAGUCCGUGAGUUUUAAAUCUAUUAUGACUUAAUGUAUCUUUCUGUAUUUGUACACGUGUUAUAUUAUCAUAGUUUAAAAUUUUAAUAUUAUUUUAAAUGUUAAAAAUACUUUAAUGCUAUUAGUCUACUACACAGGUUAUAUUAUUUAUAUUAUAUUUGUAUUAAUUAAAACUUUUAAUGUCAAUUUUCUAAUUACUAUAUUGAAAAGGUAUUAUGGUUAAGAAAAAGUUUUGGCAUUUCUUCUUGAAAAUUUGAGGGUUUUCCAAAUUCUAAGGGUAUAGGUUUGAAAAUUUAACGAUCUUUAACUUAAUGAAACAAAAGAGGGAAAUCAAGAACUAUUCAAUUUUGUAUUUUUUGUUUGUAAUUCAAAAAAUACAUCCACCAAACAAGUUUUACGCAUUAAUGCUGUCAUAAAACGAAAAACAGUUUGCCAAAAAAUGGUACCAAACAUGUCCUUAAUGUCUCACAUGAUUUCUUAGUAAGUCCAUAUUAGAUAUAUUUAUACAUUUUAGGUAUUUUAGUUAUAAAAGAAGUUGGACCUCCCCCUGUUUAUAAAAAAUAACUUUAUUUCGAGAUUACCACUAAACUCUUACAUAGAAUUAGUGUAAUGUUAAGAGAGAGUAACACAGUUUUCCAUUACCAUCUUUGAAAAUAGAGAGAUAUGGAUGCGUGCAUUUAAGAGUUACCGUGAAAAUCAUACAAUUCAAUUUCCUGACAUAUAUAUUCAUGGACCAGCACCGAUAUUCUCACACCAAUGAGCACCACAGUUAGCACAAAACGGUUCGUUUUGUGCUAACUAUAAAAGAUUUAACUGUAGCUUGAAAACGCAGACUCAUCUUGCUCAAACGCAGACCACACACGCGCUCGAGUUUCUAAAACGCAAACGCAAACGCAAACUACACACACACUCAUCUUACUGGACCACAACACUCUCUCUCACCGUGGGUCUCUCCACAUUUGGCUUGGCUGUCAGUUGUUUCUCUCCCAACCCCGUGGAUUGCAUUCUCACGGCACUUCUGGAAUUUGAGACUUAGCUGCAGCUUCACUCUCUCGGCUGUCGGAAUUGAUUUGUGGAGGUAAUUUAUGCAAACGCAAACCACACACACACUCAUCUCAGUUGACCACAACACUCUCGCUCGCCGUGGGUCUCUCCACAUUUGGCUUGGCUGUCAGUUGUUUCUCUCUCCACCCCGUGGAUUGCAUUCUCACGACACUACUGGAAUUUGACACCUAGCUGCAGCUUCACUCUCUCGUUAUGAAUUUAUGUUAAUUUUGCUGUCUUCAGAACUGCCUGUUGUGGUCGAGUACAAGAUUGCGGAGAUGGGUUAUGUUAGAUUCUACUUGACACCAAGAUAGAAGAAGAUGAGGAUGAGACCAAGCCUCUAGCUUAAGUGUCAUUUGGUACAUAUGCUAUGGCAUUUUGUUGAAUCGAGUUACUCCUACAUUUUAAGUUUGCUUUUAGAAUAUUUCUCGUAAAUUUUCAUGUUGAAAAACCAAUCAUUUGUAGUUAAGUAGAUUGAUAAGAAUUCGUUUCUUGUGCUUGGUUUUUUAUCCUACUGUUGCACAUGGCCAGACAGCUGGUUGCACAUCAGAUUCAAGAGCUGUAAAUUUUGAGGCUGAGGAAUCUCAGCUGGGAUUUCAUGUGAUAACAUAUUAUCAGAUAGAUCCAGCAACUGCAAUGAAGUAAUGUUGCCAAUUUCCGCAGGAAGCUUGCCUUGAAAGUUGUUCUGAUACAAAAACAUUAUCUCCAAUAGCUCAAGCCUCCCAAGUUCAGCUGGAAUCUCCCCACCAAGAUUACCAACGGCCAAAUCAAGAUACUUCAGGUUGGUAAGAUUCCCAAAUUCCACUGGGAUUUCACCUUCAAAUUCAUUGUAUCCAAGAAUCAUAGUCUCCAUGGAUGAAAGUUGCCCAAGCUCUCGCGGUAUCUUGCCAGUGAGAUUAUUCCCAGAUAGAUUGAUAAGAAUUCGUUUCUUGUGCUUGGUUUUUUAUCCUACUGUUGUACAUGUAAUUGAUUCAUUUGUAAUCUUUGUUGCUUUCAAAGGUAGGCUUCAAUUGAGUUGAAACUUUAAAAAAUUUAUAAAAAAUGAACCGCAAAUAAAAGAUAGCAUCAUAUUGGGUGACAAAAUGUUCUCGAGGAUGAUCCUGAUUAAUGCUGUGUAUUUCGCAAUGUAAUUACUUGCUGAUCAAUUUAAUUGAAUUGAUUAACACAUUGGUUUGAGUUUUGAUACUGCUGCUCUGUUUUUGGGUUAUUUGAAGAUCGCAUUUUUGCAGGAACUGGUAAAUUGGACACGUUAACAAAAACUUCUCACGUAUUACUGAAAUAAUAACUGUUAUAUUUCAGCCCUUAUGCACAGAACACAAUGGUUGCAAGCAAAUCAACUCAUAACUUACACAAUGGUUGCAAGCAAAUCAAUUCAUAACUUGUAAAUAAAUAAACCCCAAAAAAUUGGGCAUUAAUUUCCAUUUUCCAGCAUAUAACAAUUUCUAGCAGCAAGUUUUAACAGCAGAUAACUUCCGACAACAACUCAUCCCAAAAUCAGCAACUCAUAACUCACAACACAAUAGCAUUUUGCUAAUUUCCAAUAGCAAGAUGCGUGAGAGAGACCCACGACGAGAGAAAGCCGAAGGAGAGAGCAGCGAGAUGCGCGAGAGGCCAGAUGAGAGAGACCCACGGUGAGAGAGAGAGCCACAGCCGAAGAGUGACCCACGCUCAAGAGAGAGAGCCACAGCCGAAUAGAGACCCACUCUUGAGAGAGAGAGAGAAAACCAAAGGAGAGAGCAAUCCCACGAUCCGUUUUGUGAGGCGAGUGUGUGAGGAGAGUGUGUUAGUUUUGAAGCUACAGUAUUUUCUUUUAGAGUUAGCACAAAACGAUGGUGCUAACUGCUAAGCGUGGUGCGUUUCUCAUUUUCCAUUCAUGGCCGUAUGCCAAAAGAAUAAAUAGACAGAAAGUAAAUUUACAGUCCUCACUUCCUCACAAUUGUUAACGUGAAGAUGCAUUACAACCGUGAACUGUCACUACUUUAGCCUUUUUUUUUUUUUCAAUUAUGGUGUGAUGGAGACAUUAAGGAUGAGCAUAAAAGUUAAAGAUGACUCAUUUUCUUUUUAAAGUGCUCUGCUGAAAGCCAAACUUCCUUUGGCUAAUUAAUUUAGAAGUAAAGCAGAGAAUAAAGUCUUAGAUGCCUUCUGAAAUUAGAAAUACAUUUUAUAUGCUUUAAUUAUGAUUAUUUGGUAGACUAAAGACCUAAAAGAUAUGUCAAAAGUAUAAAACAGAGCGAUUAAAGAAAAAAAGAAAAAAAAAAAACAGAGUAUUUGUGACGUAGAAUAACAAUUGGUAAAUAAAUCCUAAAUAUUUGAGUUGUUUAAAGCAAAUAUAACAGAGACGGUAAGAGAGAUGCAGAAACAGAAAACUAUUAGCCCUCUAUAUUCAUUUUCGAUGCUUUUCAAUCGAGAUUCUUUUAAUUCUUCUGGUGUCUGCAGCCCCGGCUCCUCUUAUAGAUCUCCAUCCCACAUCUGCACUACGAACAAGUUGAUUAAAGUUAAAUAAUGUUGGAGAUGUGGGGUGAGCCGUCAAUUUGGUAAAAAAUAUUAUGUAUAAUAUUGUUAAUAAUAUAAAAUAUAUAAUAAUAAUUACAAAGAAUCAUAAAUUAGAAAAAUUAAUUAUUUUACAAUCUAUUUCUUAAGUAAGAUAGAUCUCGUAAUAAGUUAAGUUAUAAUGUAAAAAAUAUUUUCAAUUUAUAAUCAUUUAAGAAGUCAUUUAACAAUAAAAUUUUUCUUUUUUUGAUCAAUUGGUCAUGCUACAGAGUAUCAUCUAUAUUCGUAGUGAUAUUAUUAUUACUCCGUAUUCUCAAAAAACCCGAUUUAACAUUUAGAAAAAGUUCCUACCUUUUAAAAAGAACAUGUAUGCAACAGCUACCCAUACUUUAUCUUACCACGACAAAACUAAUAGGGACUAAAUCAAAUUUCUCGAAUAAAGCAAAAUUUCUUAAAAUUAAUUUAAUAUACAAAUAUGAUGACUUUUUGCAAAAAUUAGUUUUGGAAAAUUAGUGACAGAAAAUAGUAACGAUUAUUAUUUAGAUGUGUAAAUAGCCUAAACAUGAUCCCUAGUACCAAUAUCCACGUGCAUCUUAACAUCUUUCGUCAUAUUCUUUCAUUCAUGGCCACUGGUUCAAGAUUUGAAUUUGAUCAUUAAAUCAUGUUCAAUAAUAUUAGAGAUUCCAACAAUUGAGCACCAACUUAAAUCCCAAUGCUAUGUGUCAUUAACAAAUGUUGUGUCAUUUAUAAUUAUUGAAUGAAUAAUUCGUUAAUUUAUUGAUAAACAAAAAUUUAUUAAUUUAAAGAGAGAUUUUUUUUUUUGGUUUUAAGAAGAGUUUUGCUGGUACAUGUACAUACUUAUAAAGAAAUAAACUUGUAAUUAUACUAUAUCUUUCUUUCUUUGUUUAUUUUGGUGGGAUAUUGUGAUAAAUCAUUGGAUUAAAAUGCAUUUAAAAAUAAAACUUGUUAAAAUCUAAUUUAUUUGGAAAACGCAUAUUAUUUGUCAGUCGUACUUCUCAACUUAGCAAGUUAUUUCUAACUUGUCAGUCUCUAUUGGUUCUCUAAAAGCUAAUAGUCUCGAAUCUCCCGGAUUUGAUAUCUUGCCAUUACUGUUGGCAUUAACAUGUUACCUGAGAAAUGAUAUUUUUUGUGGUGUUGAUAAAGAGGUUAAAUAUGAUUCAACAAUUUAAAAUAUGAAAACAUAUGGAAGACGGCCGCAAUUAAAUUGAUUGUAUGAAAAUAUUUCAAUGAAAUUUUAAAAAUUUGGUACUUGUUAUCUUAUCGAGAGUUUUUUUAAAUUAUAUUACUACUUGAACUUAACUGCUUUUGUAUUGAAUUCCUAGCGUUGCCAUUGCUUCUACUCAAAAGCCAUUUAAGUUUGUGUAAGCUACGUAUAGUUUGAACAACAAUUUACUCAUGAAUUGUUGUUCACAAUAGCAAGUCGGGGGUUUAAAUGGAGUACUUCUAAGCAUAAAACAUUGAUUAAAACAGAAUACACACAUACAUACCAGCAAAUUCAAAAUAGCAAAAGGAGUGCAAAAGUUCAAAUUUGUAGACAACAUUGCAACCAUGGCAUGUUUAUAGCAAAUCCUCGAAAUCUGCUAAAUAAAACAAUGCCCUGUCUCAUGAAUCAAUGCUGAAUUAAAAUUGAAACUGAAAGUCUGGCUGGCGUUGUUUCCCUCUCCAAUUUUGCCUACAUAAGUGAAAAUAAGAAUAAUAAAUGAAAAUCUGCUUUUACGGUUCUUAUUAGAUAGAUAAAAGGGGGAUCUUUCUUUGUUUCUCUGCUGCAAAGUGUGGCUAUCCCACUCUGUUUUGCCACCCAAGCUGAGUCUAUGUUGAGACAUAAUUUUGACAUCAGAAGCAAUCUCAAUUAGUUUGGCACUUUUAUGACCUCCUUGAAGGUUUUACGAUAAACAUAAAUCUACUGAGAAAGUGAGAAAAAAAAAGAAAAUGCAUAUAAAAAUAUGAGUUAUCAGAUAAGAUUAAACUUCACCCAAUUCAAUCCAUCAGAUUCCGUAAGGAUAUAACUGGAUUUCAUACCGCCACUCCAUAUCCUCGAAAGUCCGUAGUCCUUGUCUCAACUGUGUCUGGGGCCAGUGUAAGUCCAAUUUGCGCAAGCUCUUUAUGCACCACAGCUCUUCUGGAAGCUUUCUCAAGUAAGCACAUGGGUUGACAAUUAAGCUUUCAAGUUUGGGCAUUGCUCCAGCCCCCAUCGUCCACUCAUCUAGCCAAUACAUUGAUUUGAGGUGCAAAACCUUAAGUUCGGGAAAGCUACUCAAGCCAACACAAGCAAGCUUUCUUCCUAAAUACGAGUUCUGCUUCAGUUUCAGCACUCGAAGGCGUGGAAGAUUUUCCAGAAUUGGCAUGGGAUCCUCCAUUAACUCAGUAUUUGAUAAGCUCAGUUGGAUCAGACUUGGGGGAAAUUGGUAUUCAGACAGGACCAUCCGUGAGGGCUUGCUCUCAUUCACCAGCUUCAAGCAUUCAAGUUUGUGGAGUUCGCAAAGGCUUUUGGAAACCCCAGAUUGAUAGUAACUCAAAUCUCCAGAUAUCCGAAGAGUCUGAACACUAGGUAGUCUGCCCAAUAUAUCAGGAGUACAACUACUAGGGUUUAAAGCUGAUAUGAAAAUGAGAUUUUUCAGAGAGCUAGAAUAAUUUUUUGGAGGUGCGGGCAGAGUGAUAGAACCAAAGUUUAGAUGCAUGAGUUUUUGCAUCAUCCAAAUAUCCUCUGGUGACUGAUCUAUGUAGCUAGAUGGCAUUUCUAGUGUUUCAAGGUUUAAAAGGGUGCAUAGCAGUGAAGGAAGGCAUUUGAGCGAAGGGAUAUUCAAUUUCAAAUACUUCAAAAGAUAUAAAUUUUCUAAUCCGGGUGGAUAUUGGUCCAGGACUGCAGAACCCAAAUUCAAUACCCGAAGGUGUUUGAACUUUUUACAAAAAUUCUCGCAAUCUUUCGGAUUAAGAUGAUCGCUUGCCGAACUGUGAUUCAGAAAAGAUUGGAGAUACAUGUCAGAAUGUUCUAAAGAUAAAAACCCAGUCAGAUCUUCGGCAAUGACGCACCGUUUAACGUUUGCCACUGGCUCCUCUUCCCCGUCAUGCAUCAAGACAAAUUCCGUCUUCUUUGCCACAAAAUACAAUGAAGUAUAUACAAAACUUGGAACAUAACACGCUUUAAUUGUGCCUCCGGCGCUUCUCUUACUCACUUGAAUGAAGCCGCGACGGAUUAGUUCUUUCAUGUAAUGUUCGGCAGUUUCUUCACCGUUGUAUGGUAUGAAACCUUCAGCUACCCACAACUGAUAUAAUUGCUCCGUAGAUAUCUCAAUACUUGGAAGGAAGACACACAAAUAGAUGAAGCAGACUUUCAAGUGAAAAGGUAACUCCAUCACAGAAAAAAUUUGUCUCCAAACUGUCGGAAUCGCUUCGCCUUGAAGAUAAUUUUCUAAUGGCAUACUUCCAUAGUGUAGGAUGAAAAAUUGCCAGGCUUCAUGCUUUAAUCUGAUCAAUGGUCCUCCAAAGAGCACUGAAUCACGCCGAAUCUUCUCUCCGUUUUCCAUUUCUAACGACGCAAGGAGGUGUGGAUCACUGACCAACAUCAAUACUCUGCUUCCAUUCUGAUUAUCAGGAAGAACUUCUUCAAGAUCACUCCAUAUCUCACUGUCAUCGAAGACAUCAUCAAGCACAAUAAAGUACUUCCUGUUUGUUAGGUAAUCUCGAAGAAUAGAUUUCUUCAAUUGAUAAUCUUCCCCGAUAAUUACACUAACCCGAGAUGGAGGCAUCACAGACUUGAUUAUGUCAUCCAAUAUCUUGCCAAAAUCGUAGGUUAUAGAAACCCUGACCCAAGCAAGACAGUCAAAAUAGAACUUGACGUGAUCAUUAUUGUAAGUAUCUGCGGCAAAAACAGUCUUGUCGAAGCCACUGCUGUCGAGAAUUGCAACCACUGCAAGCCCAGAUGGUCCCUCAAUCAAUAGAUCAAACAACUCCUCUCUGCCCCUUUCAAAUUCACUGAUAUCAAGCCGAGGAUGUCCCGCACUCAAUAGGCGAAUGAUUUCGUUACUUUUUUCACUGAUAUCAAAACCAUUGUCGCCGGGUGGAAGUUGUUGCAUCCGAUUUCUAAUAUCAAUGAUUUCACUGUGGAGUCCAUCAAGAAGAGCCAUAUUAGUGCUGCUUUCACUUUCGUUUUCACUGUUUUGCUGCUGCAUGAUGUUGAUGAAGAAUGUGUCAAUGGCUUCCUGUGAGUCACGGACAAAGUUAUUGAUGUCCUCCAGAAUUUCAAAAAUAUCUGCUGUUUCAACGUUUUCUUCAUCGCUUUCUUCUAAGUCCAACAGUUGCAAAAAAGGCAAAGAUAUUUUGGAGUCAUCGAAAUCUUCUCUAAUGAGUUGAAACAAAUGCCGAGCCAUGUCAGCUUCAUAUUUUCCCAGCAGAGUAGUAGCAAUAAUUUCGGACUCCGUAAGAAGGUUUUGAAAAAGUGGAGUUAAAUUUGUUGAAUCUGGCAGCGGCAACGUGCCUUCUUCACCUGCUAACACCCUUCUCAACCUCUCACAAAAUAGUCGGAGGUGGACGUCCAGCAUAUCUCCUUCUCUCUGUAGCACCCAGAGGUAUUGUUUUUUGCUCCAAGAAAUAUUAAAAGGAUUGGUUCUAUCUAAAAGUGGUUACUGGUGUAAAAUUAAACGCCAUGGGAGAAUUUGAAAGGAAGAUGCCAAGGAACUGGCGAAGUGGCUAAAUUCCACAAAUACGGCAUUAUUGCUCAUUUUUAACUCAAAAAAUUGAUACGCGUUCAUUUUGCGAAAAGUCCAAGACGCUUGCCUUUUGAAAAGAAGAGGUAUCCAAUAGAUAUCCAACCUUUAUCUUAUUUUAAUUACUACCACGACAUGAUUGAUGGUGGUUAAAUCAAUUGUUUCUUUUUUAAUUUAAAGAAUUUUUCAUUAAAAAAUAUUUUAAUAUCAAAUUGCCUUCAAUAGCGUAACUGCCGCAAGCCCAGUAACAGGAUUAAUUAAUUUUUUUUGAAUUUUUGGGCAUGGAAAGAGUAGUAUUAGACUUCAGAAAGCUAAGGUUGUUAUGUUAAAGAAUUGAUAUUGACAUAAUUUUAUUUUGGCUUUCGGGGAAAAAAAUAUUUGCUGACAAGCAAGAAAAUAUUUUUGUAUUUUACAAUUUAUUAUACAUAUUUGAUCAUAUUAAAGUAAUUUUAAUAAUAAAUAGACACAUAAUAUUACAAUAAAUAAAGUAAAGUUUAAAUUAUUUUGAAUAUUAUAAAAAAAUAAUUUUAAUAUUAUUAAUAGGAAGACAUUUUGUUAAUUUUAAAAUCUUUUUAACCUAAAGGUUUAUUUAAAAUCUUUAGAAAUCUCCAUCCCACAUCUACCCUAUUAAACAAGUUGAUGGAAAUUGAACAAUUGCUUUUUAAAGUGGGACCCAUUGAGUUAUGUUCAUUACUGGUCAUUGUCUAUUCUUUCUAAGAGCCACUUGUUUUGAGCAUUAGCAAUCCUAUCUGGACUACUCCAAUUAUUGAUGUAACUCCAAUGGUUGCAUCGACAGUUGAAUAUAAGAGGAUGGUCCAUCGACAAUUUCUUUGUUUCUCCGUUGCAGCGUAUUAGUAUAAAUUUCUUUACCUAACAGUUCAUACAGUCUUCCUGUUAAUGAAUUCACUGAGGCAUUAUUGAUACAAUGUGCUUUUCGCUAAUUAAUUAUGAUUAUAUACGCUUUCAUAUAGCAAGUGGCAUUGUAGAUCUAAACUAAGUUGCUAUUUCAAUACGUUAAUUAAGUGAUUCUCCUCAUUGUCAUCAGCAUUAUACCCUCUAGGAAAAUAGCUCAAUUGUUUCUCUGCAUUGAUUUUCAUUGGUAAGUGAUUUCUUAUGAAAUUCUUUUGAGCUUUCCUUAUUAAAAAUGCUUGAGCUUUUAUCACCUAAUACGGAUAUCAAUUAACUUGUGAACGAUUUUGUAAUGAAACUAGGAGUUAAAUAAGAUUUUUACAUGAUGAUCAACUUGUUAAUUUUGUAUAUUUCAUAUUCAACAGGAUUUGGGCACGGAACGUUUGGAUUCUAAUAUUUAUAUAUUUAGUUUUAAUCAGUUUGACUUUCGUAAUCUUUCUCGCCUCAUCAUUAAGGGAUUAAGAAUUAGAGAAACAUUAGAAACAGGAAGAAAAUAACUUCAGAAAUAAGUAAGAGGGAAUCCAAUGAGAAAUAUGAUAAGAGAACGUCAAUUACUUGUCAUUUUCUAUUUUUUCUAUGAGAUAUUUAUUUUGAGCAUUAGUUAUAGCAAAUCCUUGAAAUCUACUAAACAAAACAAUGCCCUGUCUCAUGAAUCGAUGUUGAAUUACAGCUGAAAUUGAAAGUCUGGCACCAGUUAUAGCAAAUAUUGAAUUACAAUAUUUCCCUUGCCAAACCGUACCUGCAUGUGGCAACGUGCCUUCUUCACUUGCUAACACCCUUUUCAACCUCUCACAAAACAGUCGGAGGUGGAAUUCCAGCAUAUCUCCUUCUCUCCGCAGCACUCAGAGGUAUAGUUGAAAGAUUAAACACCAUGGAAGAAUUUGAAAGGAAAAUGCCAAGAAACUGUGUAAGUGGCUAAAUUCCACAAAUAUGACAUUAUUGCUCAUUUUUUAACUCAAAAAAAGGGUACGCGUUCAUUUAGAGAAAAGUCCAAGACGCGUGCUUUUUAAAAAGAACAGGUAUCCAACCUCUAUCUUAUUAAAUUACAACCAUGACAUAAUUGAUGGUGCUUAAAUCAAUUGUUUCUUUUUUAAUUUAAAGAAUUUUUCAUUAAAAAAAUAUUUUAAUAUCAAAUUGCCUUCAGUGGCGUAACUGCCUCAGGCCCAGUAACAGGACUAAUUAAAAAUUUUACAAUUUUUGGGCAUGGAAAUAGUAGUAUUAAACAUUAGAAAGGUAAGGUUGUUCUGUUAAAGAAUUGAUAUUGACAUAAUUUUAUUUUGGUUUUCGUGGAAAAAAAAUUUGUUGACAAGUAAGAAAAUAUUUUUAUUUUUAUAAAAUUUAUUAUGCAUAUUUAUCAUAUUAAAGUAAUUUUAAUAAUAAAUAGAAACAUAAUAUUACAAUAAAUAAAUCAAAGUUUAAAUUAUUUUGAAUAUUAUAAAAAAUAAUGUUAAUAUUAUUAAUAGGAAGACAUUUUGUUAAUUUUAAAAUCUUUUUAAUCCAAAGGUUUAUUUAAAAUCUCUAUAAUAAAUACAAAUAUAAGAUUAAAAUAAAAAUCAUAAUUUGAAAAUUUUAAUAUUAUUUUAAAUGUUAAAUAUACUUUAAUGUUAUUAGCCUACUACGUAAAUUUUAUUAUUUAUAUUAUAUUCGUAUUGAUUAAAAUUUUUUAAAGUCAAUUUUUUAGUUAGUACAUUCACGAGGUAUAAUAGUUAAAGAAAAAAUUUUGGUGCAACUGUUUUAAAAUUUCAGGGUAUAAAUGAUAAUUUUUUUAAAAAUUUUAAGUAGGUAUUAUUUUUCCGACAAUUUAUUUUAUUGAGGGAAACCCGAUGAGAAAUAUCAUCAGAGAACAUUAAUUUAACAUUCUUUACCUUUAUGAAAAAAGUGGAAACCAAGAACUAUUCAAUUUUUUUUUUUUUGUGUAAUUCAAAAAAUGCAUCCACCAAACAAGCUUAUCUUAAUUUUCCCACUUUAUUCAUUUUCGAUGCUUUUCAAAAGAGGUUCCUUUAAUCCAUCUAGCAUCUGCAGCCCCCACUAUUUUUACAAAUCUCCAUCCCACAUCUACACUAUCAAAAAAGUUGAUGGAAAUUGAACCCAUUAAUUAAGUUAUGUUCAUUACAGGUCAUUAUCUUUCUAUGAGCCACUUAUUUUGAGCAUUAGCGAUCUUAUAAGGAAUCAUGCCUUUUCCGGAUCGUUUUCUUUCAUUUCCUUAUUGACUUAUUGUAGUAGUUAAUUAAAUAAAGAACGAACAAGUGAACUUAAUUUGUCUAUUUCGAGGAAGAACAAGGUUUCCAAUACUAGAGGAACUUUGAAGAAAAUUAAUUGGAAGCCUUUAUUCAUCUUUGAAGAAAAUUACCACACUUUAAAUCCUGGAUUAAAAAAAAUUUAUUCAUCUUCGGACUAUGAAUUUAUAAAAUAAUAUUGCUAGGACUAAGAAAAAAAUAUUAUUUUAGAUACGUUAUUUAUUUAUUAUUGAAUGAAAAAUUUAUCAUGAUAAAUAAAAUUUCUUAAUUUAAAGAGAGAUUUUUUUUUUGGUUUUAAGAAGAGUUUUUUUGGUACAUGCACACACUAAUAAAGAAACACAAAAAGUGCUUCCUCAAGUCAAUAGUAUUUACUUUAAUCGCUAAGGUGCAUAAUAAUGUAGCUUAGUUAGGAAAUUUGUAAUUACAUUAUGGCUCCGUUUGGUAUAACUUUUUAAUUAGAACUUAUUUAAAGAGAAUUUAUAUUAGUAGAGUUUUUAUAAAUAGAGAUUUUUUUUAUAAAAAAAAUUAUAGUUAUUUAGUUAUCAAUGUCCAAAUUGAUGAAGUAUUGUUCUUUUUAUUAACAUGUGUUUGUUUUACUUAAUAAUAAAAGUUUAGUUUACAAUUACACCGGUGUCAAAUCAGCAGAGCAUCGGCAAGAGUUUUCGAUUGUUGCAAUUUGCAAUGCACGCGGUGAGAGAAAAUGAGAAUCUUGUUUAAUUGUCAAUAAUGACAAACCUAAUCCUUUCAUUAGGAGUAAAUUAAUAAUCGUUGGUUAUAAUUGAAUAUGUAUAAAGAAAGGAAAAUUAUAUUCAUAGAUUUGACUUAUUUUUUAUUUAACGUAACUAAUCAUUCAACCAUCUUCGUUUGCCUCUGGCCAAUGCCCUUGUAGAUUAGUUGAAGCGUUAAUUACAUAAUUCAGAUAAUUACAACGUCCUUUUCGCUAAUUAAUUAUGAUUAUGUACAUUUUCAUAUAGCAAGUGGCAUUGUAGAUCUAAACUACGUUGCUAUUUCAAUACGUUAAUUAAGUGAUUCUCGUCAUUGUCAUCAGCGUUAUAAACAGGAAUUAUGCAAACAGUACACAAUGCUGCAGCAAGGCGUGGUUGGCUAGAGUUUUGCAACCACCCUCGAGAUCAUGUGCUGCCAGUAGUAAAAGAAUUUUACGCCAAUUUGGUAAGCCUUGGUCAGCACAAUAUUUGGGGUAAGAAACUCACUUGUUCCAUUAGACUCUCGAGUUAUAAAUGUUUUUUAUAAUUUACCUGCUGAAAUUAAUUGUGAGUAUGCCAAGUUGCUUGACAAAUUGACCUCACAACAAUGGAACACAAUUUUCACGACACUUACAGUAGAGGGUGCAUCGUGGGCUAAUGAGGAGGGGCGUGUAAUUAACAGGAUAGAUUUAAAACUCAUUGCUAAGGUGUGGGUGAAAUUUCUGAAAUCUAGGCUUAUGCCAACCAUCCACACCAUUACUGUUUUACAGGAAAGGUUGGUGCUGUUACAUGCUAUUGUUAGAGGGCUUUCCAUAGAUGUGGGAAGUAUUAUCGAAAAAGAAAUUCGAGAUUGUACCAUGAAAAACCACAAGGUUGUUGCCUUGUUAUUUCCUUCACUCAUAACCAGCAUAUGUGUAGUAUCGGGUGUUCAUCUUGAUGCAAAGGAUAAAAUUUGUAAUUAUAUUAUGGCUCCAUUUGGUAUAACUUUUUAAUUCGAACUUAUUUAAGGAGAUUUUUAUUAGUAGAGCUUUUAUAAAUAGAGAUUUUACUAAAAAAAAAUUAUAGUUAUUUAGUUGUCAAUGUCCAAAUGGAUGAACUAUUGUUCUUUUUGUUAACAUGUGUUUGUUUUACUUAAUAAUAAAAGUUAAGUUCACAAUUACACCGGUGUCAAAUCAGCAGAGCAUUUUUGCAGGGGUAAAAUCUCAUUUAGUCCCUAUAUUUUAAGCUUAGUAUCCAUUUGGUCCCUAUAUUUUUAAAAAUACCUCAAAACAUCCCUACCGUUAAAGUAUUGAUACCCCUACCGUUAAAGUAUUGAUACCCCUACCGUUAUCUUUAAUUUAUUUUGGCUUACUUUUACAAUAUUACCCUUUUAUAAUAAUUUUUUUAGACAUGAAUAAAAAAUAAUAAUUAAAUUACCAAUUUAACCCAAAAAAAAUUAAAAAAAAAAUUAUAUUAAUUUUUUUUGCAAACACCAUUUGCACACUUGAUAGUUUGCAUACAAUUUUAGAUAAUUAAAUUUCAACACAAGACUGAGUUUUUCAUCAUUCAAACUUCUCAUGUCUAAACUUUAUUUAUUGAGGUGCUAAAAGAUAAAUAUAUUGGCAAUUGGGAAAUGAAGUCAAUGAUAAGUUUGAUACAACCGUUGAUUAAAUAUCAUUAAAAAAAAAAAAGUACCUACAACUAGAAGUUAAAAAAAAAUGUCACCAUAGCCCACGUAUAAAUCCAUUUUGUAGUGCGUCAAAACUUAUGAAUAUCCUCUUGAAGUACGUCGCUACACCUUAUGUUUCAUAUUGAAUUUUCACCAUUGCCCUUUUAUUCUUUAUAAGAAGAACGUUGGCAUAGUCAUGUAACUUUGCAUAAGAUUUUGUGUAGUCACUAUCAGCAAUUUUUAGAACCCUUUUUUUGGCCAUAUACAGCCUUUUCUUUGUAGUUGAACAAGAAAACCUCUUCCUCAAUUCAUCUGACAUGGAUUCACAACCGAUAUCAGGAUUAAAACUAAUAAAACCAUACAAUUUCUGAGCUAUCCAUCUACUAGUUACUUCAGGAUUCUUAAACAGCUCUUUGCACUUAUGUUCACCACCUUUUAAAGUUUUAAUCUGGAAUGUAACUUUGUCAACCAAUAAAGAUGCAUGGAUUCUCCAUGGACAUUCCUUUCCUUCUUUGUCCUUCCCAGCACACACGGCUGUAACUCUACAUUUGUCAUUCUUUUUCCUUUUCAAAACUCUUGACUCUUGAAUAGCAUAAUCCUUCAAUACAUUCUUAAACUCUUGAGCACAACUAAAAGUUUGCCCAACUUCCAAAACAAUAUCAUCAUCACCAUCGGGUUCUUGAACUUUUUUUUCUUAAAUCCCUUUUCAUCUUCAAUAUUAUAGCGUCAUCUUCUUCAUCACUUGUAAUAGAUACAUCUUCAUUAUCACUCUCACAAUCUGACAUGCCAUCAUCUCCAUCAAAUUCAUUAAUAUCAAACCCUAAAUCAACUUCAGGUUCACUAUCAGACUUAACAAUAUCACCAAUAUCUUCAUCAGACCAGUCAAUAGACUCAACACUGAUUGCAUCAUCACUUUCACCAUCUAAAAUACAAACAUUAACUGCAUUUGAGGCAAAAUGAUUAUCUUCAGGGCGAGUUUGAGCUAAAACGGGUGACAAGCUGGCCAAGGAUAACGCAUCCAUCUCCAAAUUAAUAGAAUUAAGACCCUUGGCUUGAAUUAAGUUAACCAAAUUCUGGAAGUCUUUAUCAUUAUUCAAUUCAAUCCCUUCAUUGGACCAUGGGACAAUGCCAGUAAGCUUAAAGCUCUCAUCAUAAUGCUUGUGCCUUCCAAAGACAUUAUUCAAGACAUCGUUGAUGAGGGAUACAAGAAUCAAGCAAUCAGGAUCAUAAGCAUCCUCCACAUCUUUGCCUAAAAAUCGAACUGAAAUGCUGAUUUGACUCAUUUUGAAUCUGCCAACAUAAAGAUGAACAAAAAAUAUCAGAAACUUAAAACUAUUACAUACGAAAUCAUAAAAUACAAAAUCGACAUUAUAGAACUUUAUAUGAUUAUGAUUUUUUUUUACAAAAAAAUACUCAAUCAAGUGAAGUUAAAAUAAUUUCUUUUCGAUUACAAAUCAAUUCCACUACCAAUAUUAAGCUACGAAACAACCAUGAAAGGGUUAAAAAAAAGAAAGAAAGAAAACAAAAACCGUUCAACUUUUAGUCUACUGCAAAACAAAAACCGUUCAACUUUUAGUCUACUUCAUAUGGAAUUUUAGUCUUGGGAAGAAAUACCCAUUCAAGUGGAAAAAAAAAUAAUUUCUUUUCAUUGAACACAUGGAAGAUUAAAAAAAUAAAUAAAUAAACAAGACCAAUGUGAGACGUACCAGAAUAGGCCAAUUUCCUUCGUUGUCGGUUUUGACAUCUACUGCAAGACUACGUUUCCAAUAGAAAAAAUUUUACAGCAAUAAAAUUGUUAUGAGUUUUAAAAAAGCAAGUCACUUAAGUUCUUAAAGCGAGGGUUUUAAAGAAUAUUAGGGUUAAAAUACGUUUUUGCGAUUAUGGAUCUAGGUUAUCGUAAUAAUUUUUUAAAAUUUUAAAUUUUACCAAGAAAAAUACAUUUUUACCCUCAUUAAUCUAGAAUUAACAGUAACGGAGGUGAUGCUAAGGGUGUUUUGAGGUAUUUUUAAAAAUACAAUGACUAAACAGACAUUAAUCUAACGCUUUUUCUCCCAUGUAAAUUCUUAAUGUCGUUUUUCCAUAGUAUAGGAUGUAAAAUUGCCAGGAUUCAUGCUUUAAUCUGAUCAAUGGUCCUCCAACGAGAACUGAGUCAGGAUGAAUCGUCUGUCCAUUUUCCAAUUCGAACGAGGAAAGGAAGGCUGGAUCAGUGACCGUUAUAAUUACUCUACUUCCAUUCUGAUUCUCAGGAAGUACUUCUUCAAGAUCAUCCAAUACGUCGUCACCCUCUUUGUAGUAAUCAUCAAGCACAAUAAAGUACUUCUUGUUUGUUAGGUAAUCUCGAAGAAUAGAUUUCUUCAAUUGAUAAUCUUCACCGAUAACUACACUAACCCGAGAUGGAGGCAUCACAGACUUGAUUAUGUCAUCCAAUAUCAUGCGAAAAUCGUAGGAUAUAGCAACCCUUGUUAGGAAAUUGAGCUUCCUCCCAAGAUCACUCCAAGCAAUUUAUCAAGCAACAAAUUAACAGAAAAAUUUAAUGGAGAAUACAUCAAUCACACAACACAAGAUUUACGUGGAAAACUCUAAAUCCGGAGAAAAACCACGGCCGUUGUCAAAAAGACAACCAGAGAAAAUAUUCACUAUAUGGAAAAUUAUUACAACCACACUCUCAAAAAUAAUUUUCUCUCACCCAAGCCCCAAAUACAUAAUCCUGAGAAAUAUCCCUUAACAAAGCAAACCCGUAAUACCCAUAUUACGGAGCCAAAUGCUCCUUCAAUAUAACUACAUGCUUAAGAACUUUUCUCUCUCUCAAUUUCUCACCAAAACUUGGAUUCCUUCUCUGGGAUUUGGAUUGCUUCUCUCAAUGGCCAACAGUUCAUGUCUAUUUUCUUUAGCAAAGCCGAAGCUCAUUGCUACUCAUUUCUCAUCAAAUGACAUUCCAAUUUAUAGCCAAACUAUCACACCAAAAAUCUAAUAAGUCGGCAACAACUUUCUUCCUUUUUUACAAAUUCAUCAUGCGGUUCAAAAUUGGCAUUUUGCUUGUCAAAGUCCAUCCACCCAUUUGAAUGCAAUCAAUGUGUUCCCAUUUCACUUUUCCUUUUUUUUUAAUCAAUUUCAACAAUCUCCACCUUGAUUAAAAAAAAAAUUCAUAACUACUGCUACAAAACACUGUCUUCACCAACAGUCAUAAUUCUUAACAUAGAGAAUUAUCAUACUCCACCAUAAAGAGUAUACCACUUAGAAACAACCAUUCUAAGAUUUUUCUCGGCACAUGUCAAAAUAUCUUGCUGAAAUUUAUGGUACAAUUCUCAUGCUUGGUUUCCCUAAGAAUUCUUCAGCCAUGACAUAACUUUUCCACUACACACCUUGCAUUUAUACCAAGCCAAUGCCCGCGUGCAAACUUGUGGACCCCGCUGAUCAUAGCAUGUUCUCUUUCAUGACAACUUGGAGAUUUACAUGCCAAAAGAACUAACCCAAUCUCCUAUCAAAAGGAAACUCACAAUCUACGAGAAUAUCAUUAUCUCCUUUACUGAUUCUGGAGUAAUUUGCCGAGCCCACUCCACCUUCUUGACAAUUUUCUUGAGGUGCCAAAAAUUGUCUCACACCUUCAAAUCUUUGUGCAUACCAGAUUGGAUACACCUUUGACUUGAAUUCUCCACAAGCCAAUAAAAUCAUUCUUCCAUUAAUUUUUUUUUUUAACAACAUCAAACUCCACCAAGUUUAAAAAACACCAGCUACUGACAUAUAUGCUUUACAUAAACAGUAUCGUAUACCCCAAGUACAAACCGUUGGCUCUGAUACCACUGUUAGGAAAUUGAGCUUCCUCCCAAGAUCACUCCAAGCAAUUUAUCAAGCAACAAAUUAACAGAAAAAUUUAAUGGAGAAUACAUCAAUCACACAACACAAGAUUUACGUGGAAAACUCUAAAUCCGGAGAAAAACCACGGCCGUUGUCAAAAAGACAACCAGAGAAAAAUAUUCACUAUAUGGAAAAUUAUUACAACCACACUCUCAAAAAUAAUUUUCUCUCACCCAAGCCCCAAAUACAUAAUCCUGAGAAAUAUCCCUUAACAAAGCAAACCCGUAAUACCCAUAUUACGGAGCCAAAUGCUCCUUCAAUAUAACUACAUGCUUAAGAACUUUUCUCUCUCUCAAUUUCUCACCAAAACUUGGAUUCCUUCUCUGGGAUUUGGAUUGCUUCUCUCAAUGGCCAACAUUUCAUGUCUAUUUUCUUUAGCAAAGCCGAAGCUCAUUGCUACUCAUUUCUCAUCAAAUGACAUUCCAAUUUAUAGCCAAACUAUCACACCAAAAAUCUAAUAAGUCGGCAACAACUUUCUUCCUUUUUGACAAAUUCAUCAUGCGGUUCAAAAUUGCCAUUUUGCUUGUCAAAGUCCAUCCACCCAUUUGAAUGCAAUCAAUGUGUUCCCAUUUCACUUUUCCUUUUUUUUUAAUCAAUUUCAACAACCCUGACCCAAGCAUGACAGUCAAAAUAGAACUUGACAUGAUUAUUGUUGUAAGUAUCAGCAGCAAAAGCAGUCUUAUCGAAGCUACUGCUGUCGAGAAUUGCAACCACUGAAAGCUGUGGUUGUCCCUCAAUCAAUAAAUCAAACAACUCCUCUCUGCCGUUUUCAAAUUCACUCUUAUCAAGCUGUGAUUGUCCCUCAAUCAAUAAGUAAGUGAAUUCGUUCCUUCGUUCUCUGAAAUCAAAACCAUUGCCUUCAGGUGGAAUUUGUUGCAACCGAUUUCUAAUAUCAAUGAUUUUACUGUGGAUUCCGACAAGAAGAGCAAUGCAAGUAGUGCUUUCACUUUCACUGCUUUGCUGCUGCGUGAUGUUGAUGAAGAAUGUGUCAAUAGCUUUCUCUGAUUCACGGACAAAGGAAUUGAUGUCUCUCAGAAGUUCCCAAAUGCCGAUAACGCGAAGGUAUUUCGUCUUCAUCGAAAUGUUCUCUAAUGAGUUGAAUCAAAACCCGAGCCAUUUCAGCUUCAUAGUUUCCCAGCAGAGUAGUGGCUAUAAUUUCGGACUCCGUAAGAAGGUUUUGAAAAAGUGGAGUUAAAUUUGUUGAAUCAGGCAAAGUUAACGUGCCUUCUUCACCUGCUAACACCAGUUUCAACCUCUCACAAAAUAGUGUGAGGUUAAUUUCCAUAUCUUUCCCUCUCUCAGUAGUACUCAGAGGUACGUAUUGUUAUUUGUUAGUGUUGAUGACGAAAGCUGAAUAACAAAACAACAGUGUACACAAUCAACAGAAGCCAAAGUAUGUUAAUUUGAGAUCAAAGGAUAUAAAUAAAGGAAAAGUUUUCGUCGAUUGAGAAUGGAUGGAUGCAAAGAAUGACUGAUAUUAAAUGAUUUCUAUAAAUGAGACAUGCAAAGAAUGAAAUUUAAAGGUAACCCCCUUUUUUUUUUUUUUAAAGUACUCUAUUGAAAGCCAAAGUUCCUUUGGCCAAUUAAUUUAGAAGUGAAGGAAAGAAUAAAGUUAGUCCUUGAUGUCUUUUGAAAUUAGAAAUACAUUUUGAAUGCUUUAAUAGAUGCAGAGCAAACUGGCUCGAUAUCUACCUAUUUUUAGUGCUAAAAUCAUUUAAUAGAAGUUGUAGCAUUAAAAAAAAAAAAAAAAAAAAACUGGCUUGAUAUCCAAUUUUGUUAUUGAAUAUGUCUCAUGUGAGAGUAAAAAAAAACUGGCUUGAUAUCCAAAAUUUAAAGGUAACUCCUUGAAUUUGAUUGAAAAAUUAUUGAGACGGACAAGGCUGGACCAUUGUUCGAGACUGAAACUACACAUCAGUCUUAGAAAAUUGUAAUUUUGUUGGCUUAUCAUGAUUUUGAUCGUCUCACAUUGAUUUUCCUAUGAUGUCUCUGUCGAGUGGCUAUGCUUACAUUUUUAGGUAUUUAAUUCUAAAAAUUAACUUAUUAAAUGGAGGGACCAAUUCUACCUAUAAAUCCAAGUGGCUUCCCUUUACUAACUCAUAUGAGAUACAACAAUAAUUUUCUUUGGACAAAACCACUGUUGGAGGGUUAUUUUCGUUCAACAUACAUGAGUUGUUCCACCACCAUAUUUUGAGGGUUUGUUUUGGAUAUGACUUGGGGGAGCUAAGGCUAAGAUUUCUAAGUAUCAACAUAAAAACCUUGCCGGAAGGACCAAUCCUACUUUAAAGUCUAAAUGACUAAUUCUUGAGGACACAACUCAACAGCCCAAUAUAAACUUUUGACGUCCCAUUUUAUUACUUUCCAGUGCUUUUACUUUUGCUGUCUAGAGCCCUACCAUGCUAUUAAGCAGAAAAUAUUUCAAGGCACUCUCGGUCCAGUAGAUAACUUUGGUAUUUAUCAUCUAUUUUCUUUCCAUUUUAUGCAUACCCCGAUCUUUACCUCUGAUUGGUUGUAGAUUCUUUUGUUGCUUUGGGGUUAGGGGGUGGUUUUCAUAACUAUUCAGUUGAUCAAUGCAGAAAAUCACCAUCAAGAAAUUAUAAAGGAUUGUUAGUUCUAUCUGACAAACAACAUUAAUAUGAAGGAUGAUGAUUGUUCUGUUCAAGAGUUUAUAAUGACAUAAUUCUACUUUGGUCUUUUAAAAAAAGUAAUUUAGAAACGAGGAGUAUGUGAGUGAUGAUUUUUACAAAAUAAAUUACAUGCGUAGUGAUGAUUUUGACACAUGAAAAUGAAAAAAGAAAUAUAACUUGUGAAUAAUAAUUGAAGUACCUGCUAUUGUUAUAUUGAGUAAUCAAGGACUUCAAUAUUCGGACGAUAUAAGCAACACAAUCAAAUAUUAGUUGGAAGGCAUAGCAAAAUUAGAAUGUAGAACAAACUGGGUAUUGAUAAAUGGAUGGUUUUGGAAGAAUUGAAAAUGAUGGCAUAAGUAAACCAAAGUUUAGAGAAAAGAGAAAGAGCAUUUGAACUUUACUUGUAAGAAAAGGCAAAUAUCUUGGUUCAAGAAAAGAUAAGAGAUAUCAAACUAGCAAUAGGAAAAAGGAGGAAGGUUAAGACAGCAUCUUAACAAAAGCUAAAGAAAAGAAAAACUUAGUUCAAGCAAAGAACAAUGUGCUAAUGUCGUGUAAUCUUGUUUAAUUUCUUUUUCUUCUCACAUUUUCCAGGGCUUAAAUAAUACAAUAUACAUUUUCAAGCAAAGAACAAUAUGCAAUUGCAGUACUUCUGAGCACACAACAACAAAUAAAUAAUACAAUAUACAUACCCACUAAAUUAAAAAAAAAAUAUUAUCCAAGUUUGUGGACUAUAGCCAUGGCGUCGUCGAAAUCUACUGACAGCUGAAACAAAGAAAGAAUGGAUGAAUGCUGGAUCACAGUUGAAAUUGAAGGUCUGGUAGGUGAUGUUUCCCUCUCUGAUUUUCCCUAAACAAAUACAAGAAAAUAAGAAUCACAAAUGAAAAUCUGCUAUUACACUGUUCUUACUUAUUAAAAUACAGAGGUUUCUUUGUUUCUCUGCAGCAAUGUCCAUGGCUAUUAGAAACAAGAACAAUUAGACCAGCAUUUGUAAGAAUCCUUUAAGGUAUUACUGCAGAUAUAAAUCGACUGAGGAAAUGGAAAAAUUGAAUACCAAAUUAGGCAAGUUAACUGAAGAUUGAGUUAAUCAUAGAAGAAUAAAACUCAUCCAAUUCAAUCCAUCAAAUUCCAUAAGGGUACAACUGGAUGUCAUACUGCUGCUCCAUAUCCUCAAGAGCCCGUAGAUUUUGCCUCAACUCUGGCUGAGGCCAAUGUAAGUCCAAUUUGCAAAAGCUCUUUAUGCACCAUAGCUCUUCAGGAAGCUUUCUCAAGUAAGCACAAGGGUUGACAAUUAUGCUUCCAAGUUUUGGCAUUGCUCCAGCCCCUAUCGUCCACUCCUCUAGCAAAUACAUUGAUUUCAGGUGCAAUACCUUGAGCUCCGGGAAACCACAAGAGCAAACACAAGCCAGUUUUCUUCCUGAAUAUGAGUUCUGGUUCAAUUUCAGCACUUGAAGGUGUGGAAGCUUGUCUAGUGUUAGCAUGGUAUCCUCCAAUAACUCAGUAUUUGAUAAGCUUAGAUGGAUCAGACUUGGAGAAGCUGGUAUUUAGACAGGGCCAUCCGAGAGAGCUACCACCUCUGGUUUCGUUCACCAGCUUCAAGCAUUCAAGUUUGUGUAGUUCGCAUAGGCUUUUGGAAACCCCAGAACGAUAAUAACUCAAAUCUCCAGAUACUAAGAGUUUGAAAAUGAGGUAGUCUGCCUGUUAAAGUAGCUCACUAUGUUGAACAAAUGAAGGAGAAAGCUAAGCUGGAGAAAAUACAGGGCAAGAGUAUUAGCUGUGCCAGCUCAACUGACAGCUCAGCAAAAUCAGUUAAAUUUUGUUACAAGCCCCCUGUGCAUUGUGCUGAAGAUUAGUUAGUUUAAUAAUGAUUAGUUUUAGAUUAGUUAAAAUGUAAUCAUGAUUAAGAUAUAUAUAUAUAUAUAUAUAGCUGCUGUACUGAUAUCAUGGAUUAAGUGUUGAGAAAUAAAAUUCAUUAAGCAUUUCCAGAACUCUUGAUUUUCUUUCUCAGUAGCCAAACAACUUCACUCUCAUUUUUUUUUUUCAACAAUGAGUUCUCAAACCACUCAGGUAUCAUUUUCAGACAUUCUUGGCCUUGUACUCACCAUCAAAAUGGGUUGGUUGAGAGAAAACAUAGGCAUAUUGUUGAAUUAGGUUUGACUCUGUUGGCUCAAGCUCAACUUCCUUUUAAAUUCUGGUGGGAUGCAUUCCAUACUGCUCUAUCAUCAAUAGAUUACCAUCUUCUGUUUUCAAACUUUCGACCCCAUAUGAGAAGAUAUUCAAGCACAAACCUGAUUAUGAUUUUCUCAAAUGUUUUGGUUGUAUUUGUUAUCCUUACUUGAGAGACUAUAACAAACAUAAGUUUGCCUAUCAUUCCAGUAACUGUAUAUUCAUUGGUUAUAGUCCUUCACAAAAGGGUUAUAAAUGCUUACAUUCUUCAGGUCAUGUCUAUGUGGCAUGACUUGUUAUCUUUGAUGAGUCAACCUUUCCUUAUGCUACUGAAUCUGUUUUUCAUAGUCACACAAAUUCUGAUUCUCAUUCUUCAAACUUAUUUACUCCACAGCAUGUCUAUUAUCUUUCUACUUUACCUGUCAUACCAGUAUUUCUAAGUAACAACACUGAUAAUCUAAACUCUACAAAACUAAAAUACCAGCUUUUUGGUGUUAGCAAUAGGAAACAACUUACCACAACCAUUAAUUAUCCAUAAUUUCAUUGUUUAUCCUCAGUUUUCUUCAUAAAUGUUACAGCAUUCUUCACGAGAAAGCGCAAGGGCAUUUCAAAAGUUCUGAAAUAAUACCUCAAUUCUAUUGCAAAAAUAAAUAAUCUCAAACAAGAACCAAUAAUCAUAUUUCGUUACUGUCAAACACAAUGCAUCUGAGCAAAACAUUGGAAGCCAACACCAGAAUACAUAUGAAUAAACAAUUAAAGAUAGAGAAAAAAGGCUUAAACCUUGGGGGAAAAAAGUGAAAAAAACAUGAAAGACAAAUUACACAUGUACAGUAAUCAUCGAACUUAUCAGUCACAGCUGCAUCCAUUACAUUGCUCCAACAACACAAUGGCAAACCACCAGUUUCAAAUUGAGGAUAGCUAUCGAGAAUGAGAAAGUGUCCAAAACGUCAUAAAUAGACAUGUUCCUAUUGUGCAUAAUUUACAUUAUAGGCAAAUAUUCUUAUACCAUCAAAGGCAACACAUGACACUAACAAUUGAUCCCCCCCCCCCCCCCCCCCAAACAACCAAAAAAAGGAAAAAGAAACAAUACAGAAAAGAUUGAAACAGAUAAGGCUACACUGAGCACAGGAUGCCAUGAAACAUAAUCCAGGAACCAAAUUAAUAAAAAAGGAGGCCAAACCAUUAUUUAACAAUCUGUUUUGUAUUUGGGAAAGUCUGAUAAAAUCUACUGAGGGAUAAUUAGAGAACCUCAACUAUUAAUCACACCUCAUAAAUGAACUAACAUUAACCAUCUACCAUCCCCACGUCACACAAACAUUCUCUAUACUUCUGAACCUAAUACUUCCAUCUUCAAUAGGGGGUUUUUUUUCUUUUUUUUGGGGGGGGGGGGAGUUAUCAAUUUUCUAAGCUUGCUUAGCUUCUGUGUAGGACUGAAAUGCUCAUUUCGAAUCACUAACAGUAAAAUUGGAAGCUCAUGAAAAAACAGUUUUAUCCCAAAAUUGCAUCUCGAUAUAAAUUCUCUUUUCAUUUCCUUCAACUUUCUAAUUAAGCUUAAAAAAUGUACCUUCAACCACAAAGGGGUUUAAAAUUUAAAAUAUAAAAAAUAAAUUCAGAUAAAAAUAAUUAAUUUAAUUAAAAAUAUAAAUAGAGUUACAGAGAAAGAGAAAAUAGAGAAAGACCUAAUGUUGAGUCCUUUGGCGCAUGUCUCUUCAUAGGUCCGAACCAUUUCUUCGGGCGUGGGUUACGGCCGAGAUUGGAUAAUGAUGGAGGAGGAGAAGAUUAGCGAUGACGACGCCGAUGAAAUGGAAGGGUUUACCAGAGGAGUGGAUGCGAAGAGUGCAGGGACGGCCGCAGAGAGAGAGCGGCGGAGAGCGGCGACGGACGGAUGGCGGUAUGGGCCAUUGCUUGCGCGUCGGUGAUUGUCUCGAGUGAGAGAGUGAAGGGUUUUGUUUAGGGUUUUGGGAAAUGAAAAAUGCAAAUGUUUGAUUUUGUUGCUAGAAACUUCUUCUGCUGCUGCCUUUUAUUGUCGCUAUAAUAAUAAUAAUUUGUUAAUCAAAUAUUUUCUUAAAAAAGAUAAAUUUCUACAACAAAAUUUAUAUUAAAUCAAAUUGUAAAAAUGUCUAAUAGGGUUAAUUUCUCCUUAAUAUUAUUAUUAGUAGAAGUAGAUUUUCAAAUUAGUCUUGAUAUAUAUCAGAGUUGUAUUAUAAAUGUAUAUGUAUCUGGAUUGCAAUUAUAUUUUAAAAAAAAUAAUUUUUUUAAUUAUUGCACAAUAAAUGUAGAAAGUGUCUAUAAAAUAAUAUUAUUGGAACUAUGAAAAGAUAUUAUUUUAGAGUAGUUAUUUAUUUAUUUUUGAAUAAAUAAUUUAUUAAUUUAUUGAUAAAUUAAAUAAAUAUUAAUUUAAACAGAGAAUUUUUUUUUUGUGGGUUUUUAAGAAGAGUUUUGUUGGUAUAUGUGCAAACUUAUAAAGAAAUACAAAAAAUGCUUCCUCAAGUCAAUAGUAUUUACUUUAAUUCAUAAUAAGAUAGUUUAAUCAAGAAACUUGUAAUUAUACUAUAUCUUUCUUUCUUUGUUCUGUUUGGUGGGAUAUUGUGAUAAAUCAUUGGAUUACAAUGCAUUUCUAAAUGAAAACUUGUUAAAACCUAAUUUAUUUGGGAACCACAUUUUAUUUGUCAGUCUUAUUUCUCAACUUAGCAAAUUAUUUCUAACUUAUCGGUCUCUAUUGGUUCUCUUAAGUACCUGUUUGGUAUAUCUUAUUUAAUGGCAAUAAGUACUUAUUUAAUCUCAUAAUUUUUUUCCCUCUCUGACAAUUGAGGUAGGGGGUCAAACUUGAAAGUAUCUUAAAAUCAGACAACAAUUUAACUAUUUUUUUUUUUUAGAUAACUGCUAAUAUGCUCUAUUAGACAAUGAUAAGUGAUUGCAUUUAUGCAUCCCCACCAAUAUUUAAGCAAUUUAAUUACAGAAACAUUUCUUGAGGAAAGAAACUCAUAUCACCACUAGGCUUUUAAUGAGGCUCAUUUUUAUGAAUCUGGAUAGCAUUAGAUAUCUCUCCGAAUAUUGGUGGGAGUAGAUCGCAGAUCUCUGGGCUAUACUACAAAGUGUAUGUACGUUGACUCUCAAUAAACACAAACGAUUCCCUGAUAUGAUUCAAAACAUCAGUGCAUGCAUCAUUUUAACGAGAGAGAAUAUUCCCAGAAAUGUACACGCAUGAGGAAUUUUUCCUAGAAGAUUGAUAUUUCUUUAACUAGCAAACCAUACAAGUCCGGGGCUUAAAUGGAGUACUUGUAAGCAUAAAACAUUAAUCAAAACACAGUAUAGACACACACACACACACACCCCUACAUACAUACCAGCAAAUUCGAAAUAGAAAAAGAAGUGCAGCUAUUCAAGUUUGUAGACAAUAUUUCAACCAUGGCAUAUUAAAGCAAAUCCUUGAAAUCAGCUAAACAAAACAAUGCCCUGUCUCAUGAAUCGAUGCUCAAUUAAAAUUGAAAUUGAAAGUCCGGCUGGUGUUGUUUCCCUCUCCAGUUUUGCCUACAUAAGUAAAGGGAAAUGAGAAUCAUAAAUGAAAAUCUGCUUUGACAGUUCUUAUUAGAUAGAUAUAAAUGGAUCUUUCUUUGUUUCUCUGCUGUAAUUUGUGGCUACCCCACUCUGUUUUGCCAGUCAAGCUGAGUCUACGUUAAGGCAUAAUUUUGACAUCAGAAGCAACCUCAAUUAGUUUGGCAUUUUCAUGACCUCCUUGAAGGUUUUACGAUAAACAUAAAUCCACUGAGAAAGUGGGAAAAAAAGAAAAUUCAUAUAAAAGUAUGAGUUAUCAGAUAAGAUUAAAACUCACCCAAUUCAAUCCAUCAGAUUCCGUAAGGAUAUAACUGGAUGUCAUACCGCCACUCCAUAUUCUUGAAAGUCCGUAGUGUUUGUCUCAACUCUGUCUGGGGCCAAUGUAAGUCCAAUUUGCGCAAGCUCUUUAUGCACCACAGCUCUUCUGGAAGCUUUCUCAAGUAAGCACAUGGGUUGACAAUUAAGCUUUCAAGUUUCGGCAUUGCUCCAGCCCCCAUCGUCCACUCAUCUAGCCAAUACAUUGAUUUCAGGUGCAAAACCUUAAGUUCGGGAAAGCUACUCAAGCCAACACAAGCAAGCUUUCUUCCUAAAUACGAGUUCUGCUUCAGUUUCAGCACUCGAAGGCGUGGAAGAUUUUCCAGAAUUGGCAUGGGAUCCUCCAUUAGCUCAGUAUUUGAUAAGCUCAGUUGGAUCAGACUUGGGGGAAAUUGGUAUUCAGACUGGACCAUCCGUGAGGGCUUGCUCUCAUUCACCAGCUUCAAGCAUUCAAGUUUGUGGAGUUCGCAAAGGCUUUUGGAAACCCCAGAUUGAUAGUAACUCAAAUCUCCAGAUAUCCGAAGAGUCUGAACACUUGGUAGUCUGCCCAAUAUAUCAGGAGUACAACUACUAGGGUUUAAAGCUGAUAUGAAAAUGAGUUUUUUCAGAGAGCUAGAAUAAUUUUUUGGAGGUGCGGGCAGAGUGAUAGAACCAAAGUUUAGAUGCAUGAGUUUUUGCAUCAUCCAAAUAUCCUCUGGUGACUGAUCUAUGUAGCUAGAUGGCAUUUCUAGUGUUUCAAGGUUUAAAAGGGUGCAUAGCAGUGAAGGAAGGCAUUUGAGCGAAGGGAUAUUCAAUUUCAAAUACUUCAAAAGAUAUAAAUUUUCUAAUGCGGGUGGAUAUUGGUCCAGGACUGCAGAACCCAUGUUCAAUACCCGAAGGUAUUUGAACCUUUUAAAAAAAUUCUCGCAAUCUUUCGGAUUAAGAUGAUUGCUUUCUGAACUGUGAUUCAGAAAUGAUUGGAGAUACAUGUCAGACUGUUGUAAAAAAAAGAACUCAAGCAGAUCUUCCAAAAUGAAGCACCGUUUAGCAUUUUCAAUUGAUUCCCCUAUCCAUGCAGGCAUUCGGACAAAUCUCGUCUUCUCUGCCACCAAACCCAAUGAAGUAAAUACAAAACUUGGAACAUAACACGCUUUAAUUGUGCCUCCGGCUCUUCUCGUACUCACUUUAAUGAAGCCGCGAUGGAUUAGUUCUUUCAAGUAAUGUUCGGCAGUUUCUUCACCGUUGUAUGGUAUGAAACCUUCAGCUACCCACAACUGAUAUAAUUGCCUCGUGGAUAUCUCGAUGCCUGGAGGGAAGACACACAAAUAGAUGCAGCAGACUUUCAAGUGAAAAGGUAACUCCAUCACAGAGAAAAUUUGUCUCCAUACUGUCGGAAUCGCUUCGCUUUGAAGAUAAUUUUCUAAUGGCAUACUUCCAUAGUGUAGGAUGAAAAAUUGCCAGGCCUCAUGCUUUAGUCUGAUCAAUGGUCCUCCAACGAGCACUGAACCAUGCCGAAUCUUCUCUCCAUUUUCCAUUUCCAACGACUCAAGGAGGUCUGGAUCAGCGGCCAAUAUUAAUACUCUGCUUCCAUUCUCAUUAUCAGGGAGAACUUCUUCGAGAUCAUCCCAUAUCUCACGGUCAUUGAAGACGUCAUCAAGCACAAUAAAGUACUUCUUGUUUGUUAGGUAAUCUCGAAGAAUAGAUUUCUUCAAUUGAUAAUCUUCACCGAUAAUUACACUAACCCGAGCUGGAGGCAUCACAGACUUGAUUAUGCCAUCCAAUAUCUUGCCAAAAUCAUAACGUAGAGAAACCCUGACCCAAGCAUGACAGUCAAAAUAGAACUUGACAUGAUUACUGUUAUAAGUAUGUGCAGCAAAAGCAGUCUUAUCGAAGCCACUGCUGUCGAGAAUUGCAACCACUGAAAGCCCAGAUGGUCCCUCAAUCAAUAGAUCAAAAAACUUCUCUCUGCCCCUUUCAAAUUCACUGAUAUCGAGCCGAGGUUGUCCCUCACUCAAUAGGCGAAUGAUUUCGUUACGUUUUUCACUGAUAUCAAAACCAUUGUCGCCGGGUGGAAGUUGUUGCGUCCGAUUUCUAAUAUCAAUGAUUUCACUGAUAUCAAAACCAUUAGUGCUGCUUUCACUUUCGUUUUCACUGUUUUGCUGCUGCAUAAUGUUGAUGAAGAAUGUGUCAAUGGCUUCCUCAGAUUCAUGGACAAAGUGAUUGAUGUCCUUAAGAAUUUCCAGAAUGUCUGAUCUUUUAACGUCUUCUUCAUCACUUUCUUCUAAGUCCAACAGUUGCAAUAAAGGCAAAGACAUAUUGGAUUCAGCGAAUUCUUGUCUGAAUAGUUGAGACAAAAUCCGAGCCAUGUCAGCUUCAUAGUUUCCCGACAGAGUAGUAGUAAUAAUUUCAGACUCCGUAAGAAGGUUUUGAAAAAGCGGGGCUAAAUUUGUUGAAUCAGUCAACGUUAACGUGCCUUCUUCACCUGCUAACACCCUUUUCAACCUCUCACAAAAUAGUCGGAGGUGGACGUCCAGCAUAUCUCCUUCUCUCUGUAGCACCCAGAGGUAUUGUUUUUUGCUCCAAGAAAUAUUAAAAGGAUUGGUUCUAUCUCAAAGUGGUUACUGGUGUAAAAUUAAACGCCAUGGGAGAAUUUGAAGGGAAGAUGCCAAGGAACUGGCGAUGUGGCUAAAUUACACAAAUACGGCAUUAUUGCUCAUUUUUAACUCAAAAAAUUGAUACCAAGACGCUUGCCUUUUGAAAAGAAGAGGUAUCCAACCUUUAUCUUAUUUAAUUACUACCAUGACAUGAUUGAUGGUGCUUAAAUCAAUUGUUUCUUUAUUAAUUUAAAGAAUUUUUCAUUAAAAAAAUUAUUUUAAUAUCAAAUACCCUUCAAUGGCAUAACUGCCGCAGGCCCAGAAACAGGAUUAAUUAAAAUUUUUUGAAUUUUUGGGCAAGGAAAGAUUUGAAAUUCUAGUUAUGCAACCCAAGAGGGAGUGAAUUAGAAUUCUAUAAAUUAUUUAAUUUAUAAAGAAAACCUUAAUGCAAAUAUAAACCAAAUUCAAAGCAAUAACAAAUAAGGUGAUCACAAUAUAAAAAGAUAAGGGAAGAGAGAUUCAAACACAUAGAUUUUUACUUGGUUCGGCCAACCUCGCCUACGUCCGCGCCUCCAAGCUUUCCGAGCUUAAAGAUUCCACUAAGCAAGCCUCCAAGGCUUCAAAUGCUUACACUUGACUUCCAAGGUGUCAAUAACCUUUACAACAAGAGAUUAUCCCAAUCUCUUUAACCCAAGUGUAUCCCAACACUUACAAUCACUCAAAACAAAAGAUUACAAAUUUGUUUUGACUCUCACAAUAUUUAAGAUUACACAAUGAUGCCCAAUAUGUCAAUAGAUGAAGCAAGAAUGUGUUCAAAGCUCUAUGAAGAUUGUAUUCUCGAGUAUAAGCUCAAUAGUCGUGUUGUGAUCAAUCUUGUUUGAAUUUGAAUGAGCUUAUUUAUAUUUGGAGCUGAAAAACUAGCCAUUACAAACUGUCGGCCCGAAAACGGUUCGCUGUUAACCAUUAACGGUUAACCGUUUAGGCUGGUCAAAAGUUACCGUUGGGCCAAAUUUCAAAUAAACGGUUUGCCGUUUAGGAUUACCCCUUCGCCGUUAAAUUCUAGAGACCUGCAAGAUGAAUAUCAGUUAUCCGUUUACAUUAAACGGUUAAAGAUUUGCAUGAAGUGACUUCUCUGGAUAUUAUCGGUUAACCGUUUGUAAUAAAUGGUUCGCCGUAUGUUUCCAGUAACCUGCAAAACAAUUUAGCCUUAUCCGAUUUUGUUAAACGGUGCCAGAAGAGUACAACCUUCAAUUCUGGAUUUUAUCGGUUAACCGUUUAAAUAAACGGUUCACCGUUAAAUUCCAGUAGCCUUCCCAGCUUUUUGUGUUUUCCAUUUUUCUUAAUCGGUUAGAGCUUAGGCAAUAUGUUGCUCUCUGGUUUUAAUCGGUUAACCGUUUGAAAGAAAACGAUUCACCGUUUAUUUCCAGAAUCACAUUUUAAACCAGAUUUUGCAGAAAGUCAUUUUCUAAUUUGAAAGUCCAUCUUUUAUGAAUAUGAUUGGAAUGAUUAUAAGGCUUUCAUUUAUUAAGGAAUAGCUCCAACAUUUUAAUCAAAAACCAUUUAAAGUUUGUUAUCAUCAAAAUCAAUAUUAUUAACAUAUUCAUGUUAACAAUAGUAGUAUUAAACAUCAGAAAGCUAAGGUUGUUCUGUUAAUGAAUUGAUAUUGACAUAAUUUUAUUUUGGUUUCCGGGGAAAAAAAAACAUUUGUUGACAAGCAAGAAAAUAUUUUUAAAUUUUACAAUUUAUUAUACAUAUUUUAUCAUAUUACAAUAAUUUUAAUAAUAAAUAGAAACAUAAUAUUACAAUAAAUAAGUUAAAGUUUAAAUUAUUUUAAAUAUUAUAAAAAAUAAUUUUAAUAUUAUUAAUAGGAAGACAUUUUGUUAAUUUUAAAACCUUUUUAACCCAAAGGUUUAUUUAAAAGCUUUAUAAUAAACAUAAAUAUAAGAUUAAAAUAAAUAUCAUAAUUUGAAAUUUUUAGUAUUAUUUUAAAUAUUAAAAAUACUUUAAUAUUAUUAGCCUACUACAUUGAUUUUAUUAUUUAUAUUAUAUUCAUAUUGAUUAAAACUUUUUAAAGUCAAUUUUUUAGUCAGUAUAUUCAAGAGGUAUCAUAGUUAAAGAAAAGAUUUUGGUGUUAUUUUUUGAAAAUUUUAAGGUUUAAAUGAUAAUUUUUUAAAAUUUUAAGGAUGUAGGUAUUAUUUUUCCGACAAUUUAUUUUAUUUUUGAGGAAUUCGAUGAGAAAUAUCAUGAGAGAAGGUUAAUUUUACAUUCUUUACCUUUAUGAAAAAAGUGGAAACCAAGAAGUAUUCAAUUUUGUAUUUUUUGUUUGUAAUUCAAAAAAUGCAUCCACCAAACAAUCUUAUCUUGAUUUUUUCACUUUAUUCAUUUUCGAUCCUUUAAUCCAUCUAGUAUCUGCAGCCCCCGCCAUUUUUACAAAUCUCCAUCCGACAUCUACCCUAUCAAACAAAGUUGAUGGAAAUUGAACAAUUGCUUUUUGAAGUGGACCCAAUAAGUGGACAUUUUAUUAAUAUUAAACAAAGUUGACGGAAAUUGAACAAUUGCUUUCUAUGAGCCACUUAUUUUUAACAUUAGCGAUCUUAUCUGGACUACUCCAAUUAUUGAUGUAACUCCAAUGGUUGCAUCAACAGUUGAAUGUAAGAUAGUGUUAGCUCUUCUUUGAGAAUAUAGAGUGAUCUUUCUUUGUUUCUCUGUUGCGACGUGCUACUAUAAAUUUCUUUACCUUGCAGUUUAUAUAGUCUUGCUGUUAAUGAAUUCGCGGAGGCAUUAUUGAUCCAAUCUCAGUGAAGUAAUUGUGGGUGGAAAAUGAAUAAAGGGUAAGAGAACGUAGCUCAAGUGCUGAAUUGGCUAUUAAAGAAGAGUGUCACUUGAUCACAAUCACAUUGAUGCACAACUCACUCGAGGCAAAUUUCAUCUAUAUAUGUACUGCAAAUUCAGCCAAACCAUACAUGCAGGAACAAAACUAAAAUGUAGUUCUAAUCAAAACUGUAAUUAAAGCUACAAAAGGCUUGCUCAAUCCAAAAACUUAAAAGGAAGAUUUUACUCAAGUUUGUCCCCAAAAGACAGCUGAAUUGAAAAAUAUUGACUAUUGAAUCAAUGCUCAAUUACAUUUGAAAUGGAAAGCUUGGCUGCAGUUACGAUGUUUUUCCCUCUGAUUUUCUUCCAAAACAAAUUCAUUUGUAAACAAUAACGGAAGUAGCAAUAAUUUAUUCAUCAAAGAAAAUAUCCAAGUUUUCAACUAACAAAUCCUUUUGUCUAAACUAAAAAAACUUAUAUUUUUAAAAUCUAUCUACAAAAUGUUGGAAAUAAAGAGUGAUCUAUCAACUCGGUAAAUAAACUCAUACAUAAUGUUUACAAUAAUGAUAAAUUACAUAAUAAUUAUUAUAAAGAAUCAUAAAUUAGAAAAAUAUUUUAAGAUCAAAUUGCCUUCAAUGCUGAAUUACAUUUGAAAUGGAAAGCAUGGCUGCAGUUACGAUGUUUCCCCCUCUGAUUUCCUCCAAAACAAAUUCAGUUGUAAACAAUAACGGAAAUAACAAUAAUUUAUUCAUUACUCAAAUUUUUUCAACUAACAAAUCCUCUUGUCUAAACUAAAAAAACUCAUAUCUCUAAAAUCUAUCUGCAAAAUGUUGGAAAUGAGGGGUGAUCUGUCAAUUCGGUAAAUAAACUCGUGCAUAAUGUUAACAAUAAUGAUAAAUUACAUAAUAAUUAUUAUAUAGAAUCAUAAAUAAGAAAUAUUAAUCAUUUCACAAUCUAUUACGUAAGUAAGAUAAAUUUCAUAAUAAGUUAAGUUAUAAUGUAAUAAAUAUUUUCAAUAUGCUAAGAUAGGAUUGGUCCUAUCUCAAAGUAGUUAGUGGUGUAAAACUGAUGGUUGUCGAAGCCAGCAAAAAUAAAUACCUACUCUAAAUAAAUUGUGUAUAGUGAUUGAGCAGGGUCGUGUCCACAGAGAUCGGUAAUUAUUUAAAUCAUUUUAAAAUGUAAAAUGCAAAAUGGGGGAAUUGUUGACAAUAAUAAAAAUCAAAUUAAAAUAACAAGAAUGUAAAUUAAAAUUGUAAUUCAAAUUGGGGAAAAAGUAGUAUUAGACUUCAGAAAGCUAAGGUUGUUAUGUUAAAGAAUUCAUAUUGACAUAAUUUUAUUUUGGCUUUCGGGGAAAAAAAUAUUUGUUGACAAGCAAGAAAAUAUUUUUGUAUUUUACAAUUUAUUAUACAUAUUUGAUCAUAUUAAAGUAAUUUUAAUAAUAAAUAGACACAUAAUAUUACAAUAAAUAAAGUAAAGUUUAAAUUAUUUUGAAUAUUAUAAAAAAUAAUUUUACAUUUGAAAUGGAAAGAGUGGUUUUAAACACCAGAAAGCAAAGAUUAUUCUGUUAGACAAUUGUUAUUGACAUAAAAAAUAAUUUGGUUUUCAAGGAAAAAAAACAUAUUUGUUGACAAGCAUGAAAUUUUUUUUUUGUAUUUUACAAUCUGUUAUUACAUAUUUUAUCAUAUUAAAGUAAUUUUAAUAAUAAAUGUAUAUGUAUCUAGAUUGUAACUAUAUUUUAAAAAAUAUAAUUUUUUUAAUUAUUGCACAGAAAAUGUAGAAAAAUGUCUAUGAAAUAAUAUUAUUAGGACUAAGAAAAAAUAUUAUUUUAGAUAAGUUAUAUAUUUAUUAUUGAAUGAAUAAUUUAUUAAUUUAUUGAUAAAUAAAUAUUUAUUAAUUUAAAGAGAGAUUUUUUUUGGUUUUAGUAAUAGUUUGUUUGUUACAUGUACACACUUAUAAAGAAACACAAAAAGUGCUUGCUCAAGUCAAUAGUAUUUGCUUUAAUCGCUACUGUUCAUAAUAAUGUAGCUAAGUUAGGAAAUUUGUAAUUAUACUAUGGUUCUGUUUUGUAACGCCCAAAUUUCUAUUAUUUUAUUUUAUUUUUAAUGGAAUUUAUAAAUGGCGUUACUGCCCUUAUAAAAAGGGUUAUUCAUGGGAUAAUUUUUAGGAAAUGGUUAUUUUUCCAAAUUCAAUAGGGUUUCUUAAGACUCCCUAUAAAUUAAUAUUUUUUUUCCCUUCGAUACUCGAAGUCCACGACGAUUCUUCUUCUUCUCUGCUGCUCAUUAUGCUCCUACCCAAACCCUAGGAUUCAAACUUUUGCUUAGGAGAGAAUCAAAGCGAUUGGUGUUGGAGGUGAUUGAGGCUCUUAGAGGCUUAGAGGUCUGUUAAUUCAAAUUCUUUUGUCGAGAUAAGUAAUUUCAUUCCUAAUAUACUGGAUAUGUAUAAGUAUUUUGAUGUUAUUAUAAGAGUUUUUAUACUUCUUAGAAGAUUAAUAGAUUUUCAUACCAAAAUCAGUUUAUGAAAAUGUUUUCAAAUCUGAAUUCUUUUGAUAAAAUAUUUUAUAAAUGCGUUUUAAUAUGUAAAUUAUUUUAUGACAUGACUGCCUUUUAUAAUUUUGUCUAUGAAAUAUUUUUGCAAGCCUAAAUUGUUGCUAUAGACUUUCAUGAAUCUAAUACGAAUGUUUUGUGCCUAUGUAUGAUUUUAAUUAUUUAUGACUGUACGGGGGCCACCUCUUGAGACUAUAUGGGGGCCACCUCUUGAGGGCCAAAGCGCCGCAAAGUGCCACAUAUAGUGCAAAGUGCCACGUAUAAGUCAUUAUGUUUUGGCUCAUUGUCCGUAGUUAUUCUGAUUCUAAUUCUGAUUGUAUUAUACGAUAUAUUUGUUCUGGACUAGUACUAGGUUUAUGUUCUAAGUGUGCACACGAUAUUCUGAUUCUGUUUCUGGUCAGGUCACCGAGACUAUAGGUGAUACUAUGUGACAUGAGCUAACUAUCUGCUUUCUGUAUACACUUUAUACGAUUUGCUUUCAUAAUUGAUUAUUCUUUUGAUACUCUGAAUUACCAUGAAUUUAUGUUAUAUAAUUGAAAUAUGUUGUUUUAUGAAGUUUAUGAGUUAUAAUAUAUGUUUUUGAAUAAAAGAAGGCUUGCAAUAUUUUUGAUAUCGAUAGGCCUAGUGUAUUAGGAAUGAUUUUACCUACCGAGUUGACAGCCCACCCCUCGUUAUUACUUUUUGCAGAUUAAGUUCCUUUUAAGAGGUAUGCGUAGCUUUGGAGUUAGAGAUUUCGUUUCCGUUUGCUAUUUGAAUAAGAAGAGGAAUAGACUCAUGUUUCUUUUUAGUUUAUUUCUGUUAUGAACUUGUAAUUUGGAGUUUGAGACUUUUGUUAUUGUUAUGUUUUGGAAGAGAUUAUUUAGUGUUAGACGUAUUAAUUUGUGGAUUUAUUUGAAUAAGAAUUUGAGGUAUUUGAGUUUGGAAUUUAUAAGUAAGGAUUACGAUUUGUAAGUAACCUCCUUCUUCAUGUGCUCCGCACGUGUUAGAUUUGGGGUGUCAUAUGUUUCGUAUAACUUUUGAAGUAGAGCUUAUUUAAAUAGAGUAUUCGUCAAUAAAGCUUCUAUAAAUAAAGAUUUUACUAAAAAAAAUUUAGUUGUUUGGUUGUCAAUGUCCAAAUUGACGAACUUUUGUUCCUUUGCUAACAUGUAUUUGUUUUAUUUAAUAAUAGAAGUUUGGUUUACAAUUACACCACCUUCAAAUCAGCUGAGCAUUUUUGCAACCGGUCACAUUAUACAUUAUACUAAUAGCAUCGGCAAGAGUUUUCGAUUGUUGCAACUUGCAAUGGACGCGAUGGGAGAAAAUGAGAAUCUUGUUUAAUUGCAAUAUUGACAAACCUAAUCCUUUCGUAGGGAGUAAUUUAAUAAUCGCUUGUUAUAAUUGAAUAUGUAUAAAGAAAGGAAAAUUCUAUUCAUAGAUUUCGACUUAUUUUUUGUUUAAAGUAAUUAAUCAUUCAACCAUCUUCAUUUGCCUCUGGCCAAUGCCCUUGUAGAUUAGUUGAACCGUUAAUUACUUAAUUCAGAUAAUUACAGUGUCCUUUUCGCUAAUUAAUUAUGAUUAUAUACGCUUUCAUAUAGCAAGUGGCUUUGUAGAUCUAAACCAAGUUGCUAUUUCAAAACGUUAAUUAAGUGAUUCUCCUCAUUGUCAUCAGCGUUAUACGCUCUAGGAAAAUAGCUCAAUUGUUUCCCUGCAUUGAUUUUCAUUGGUACGUGAUUUCUUAUGAAAUUCUUUUGAGCUUUCCUUAUUAAAAAUGCUUGAGCUUUUAUCACCCAAUACGGAUAUCAAUUAACUUGUGAACGAUUUUGUAAUGAAACUAGGAGUUAAAUAAGAUUUUUACAUGAUGAAUUUUUAUUUUUUUAAUUUUUUGAUGUAGUCAAUUUGCUAAUUUUAUGUAUUUCAUAUUCAACGGAAUUUGGGCACGGAAAGUUUGGAUUCUAAUAUUUAUAUGUUUAGCUUUAAUCAGUUUGACUUUCGUAAUCUUUUUCCCCUCAUCAUUAAGGGAUUCAGAAUUAGAGAAACGUUAGGAAGAGGAAGAAAAUAAUUUCGGAAAUAAGUAAGAGGGAAAAAAUUAUCAAAUUAGGAAUGAUUUUUUGUAGAGUAUGUUGCGUUUACUAAAAUGAAAUCGAAAUGAGCUGGAAUCAGAAUGGAUAAAAAUGCGAAUGUGCUGGAAUAAGAAUAAGUAAUGAGAAUCAGAAUAAGUUGUUUACUUGAACUGUAAGAAUCGAAAUCGAAAUGAGCUGGAUUGCAAUUACUUUGUCCUACAAUUAGAAUCAAAAUGAGUUAGAUUGUAACAAAUUACUAAAAGGUACUUAAUGAAUUAUUGUCAUAAUUAUUAUUUUAUAUUUUAAUUAUAGUGAUUAUUUAUUCUAAAUUAUUAUUAUUAAUUAUUUUCAAUAAUAUAUUAAUAUGUUAAUUAAUUUUAAAAAUUAUUAAUUAAUUUAUUAUAAUAAUAUACUAAUUAAUUAUAAUAAUUAUAUUAAUAAUUAUUAUAAAAAUAUAUUAAUUAUUAAUAAUGAAAUUACUUAUUUAAUUAUAAUAAUAUAUUAAUUAUUGUGAUUAUUUAUUCAAAAAUUAUAAUUAUUAAUAAUUAUUGUUAAUAAUGUAUCAAUAUAUUUUAUAUUAUGAAAUUGUGAUGUAUUGUAGACAAAUAAGGGAAUUUGGUACAAUAAAUUCUUAAUAUCUUAGUACAAAGUAUGGUACAAUGAUAUUUUAACUUAUUGUAGACAGAUUAAAUUUCGACACACUUAAUCCAUAAUAAAAUUAGUGGAAAAUAAUGAUAAUUUAUACAAUUAAUCUUUUGAGCAAUAAAAAAAUAAAAGAAAAAGAAGUUACUAAAUUAUGUUUACUGUUAAGAGUGAAUCCACAAUCCUAAAUAAUUUAUUUCCAUCGUUUCACUUAAAUUAAAUAGUGUGAAUUUAAAUUCUAAUUUUUUGAUAAAUUAAAAAGAAAUAAAAAAUUAAAAUUUUUCUCUAUGGAUCGACCUCGGAUUGAUCAAUUUAUUUCAUAACAACACACUUUUAUACUUGAGAGUUAUAAAUAACUUUGAAGUUGUGUUAAGUUUUUGACGCUCUUACGGGGGAAAAAUAUUUAUUUUAUUUUAUGUAUGGGUCAAACUUGAAAGUAUAUUUUAAGAUAGCUGCUAAUAUGCUCUAUUAGACAAUGAUAACGUAGUUGUUUGUGGUGUUCAUAAUGAGUUUAAUUAUGAUUCAACAAUUUAAAAUAUGAAAACAUAUGGAAGAUGGCCGUAAUUAAAUUGAUUGCAUGAAAAUAUUUCAAUGAAAUUUUAAAAAUUUGGUACUUAUUAUCUUAUCAAAAGUUUUUUAAAUUAUAUUACUACUUCAACUUAACUCCUCCUGGAUUGAUUGUAUUGAAUUUCCAGCACCGCCAUUGCUUCUACUUGAAAGCCAUUUAAGUUUGUGUAAGCUACCUAUAGUUUGAAUAACAAUUUACUCAUGAAUUGCUGUUCAUGAUAACAAUUUGAUUGAAAGUGCGGCUGCACUAAUUGUUCUCGUACGACCCCAGAAUGCUGUUAAAUCAGUUGUAUUGGAAAUUAAUCAACUGGUUACAACUCUACACCCCAUCAAUAUUUAAGCAGUCCACAGAACAUUAAUUGUGUUUUGAAAUUUUAAUGAGUCUCACGUGUUUUUCACGUGAUAUGCAGUAAAAACAAAAUUAAAAAAAUGAAAACAUUCAGCCCCAAAGCCAAAAUCCCCAACUCCUUCCAAAUUGGUUCCGCAGCCCCCAAAUCCCUUAAACCCAAAGCACUCUAAAACGACUCUCCUCAGCCAAAAAGAAAAAGGUCACCUCACCUCUCCUCUUCUUCUUCCAUGGCGAUCAACGGCGGCACAAGCACGGGCUGAUCUCCUUCGUCAGUAACGAUCAACGGCGGUACAAGCAUGGACAGAUCUUUUUUUUGGCAAUGAUGAACAGCGGCACAAGCAGAGUCGUCCUCAGGUACGGAUUUGAUGUUGGUUGUGUUGUCAAGUAGCGAUUCAUGUUUGGAAGAGAAUCCGCUCACAAGGACCUGGAGCACUUAAUCGAAGAUCUUAAGCGAGGAAUUCGCUUCCUCCUCAUUCCUAAUCGGUGCCUGAUUCAUCAGUAUGAUUAAGGAUGAAAAUUGAGAAAGAAGGACGCAUUAGGUUUGAGACAUUGGUUGAAAAACGCUACCCCGGUGGCCACGCUGGAAACAUAUGUUCCGUGGCUUCUUGCGUUGUCUGUGAGGAAUAUGUACUGCUGUAGAAGAUAAUUAUGAAUCAAUGGUAAUUGGCGUGUUGGUUUUGGUGCCGAUUUCCUCUUAUUUUCCAGAAAAGGCUUGUAAUUUGUUCACCUCAAGAUUCAAUUUUGUUAUUGAAAAUGGAUGGCUGUAAAGACCUAUUGGCCUUUCAUUAUAUUAAUGUUUUUGACAGUAAGUUUGUAAUAGUUAGUGCAGGGAACUUAUUGAUUCUUGAUUAUAUAUAACGGUGGCCCUUAUUACUUUAAAAAAAAAAAAAAAAUUGAUGAUGGGUUUCGUUUUGUAUAAGUGUUUGGAGUGUUGGAAAAUUAACAUUGUAUAUUUUAGAUAGUUGAGUUCCAUAGUAAUAAAAAGCUACGGAUUUGUUUUCUUUUUAUUGAAAUGAAAACAUUUUUCACUUGUAUAAUAGAAAAUAUACUAUAUCUUUAAUACUUUUGUCAAAUUUAUUAUUUAAAAUUUAUAUUUACUACAUAUUAUUAAUUUUUGUUUCAUAGUCAUAGCUUUUUUUCCACAGUAGCUGUAGCUUAAAAGAUACAGCACCUCAAUUCCAAACGCACUCUAAUUAAAAAUUUUAGAAUUUUUGGGCAUGGAAUUGAAAAGAGUAGUAUUAAACAUCAGAAAGCUAAGGUUGUUCUGUUAAAGAAUUGAUAUUCACAUGAUUUUAUUUUGGUUUUUGGGGAAAAAAAAAAUUGUUGACAAGCAAGAAAUUAUUUUUAUAUUUUACAAUUUAUUAUACAUAUUUUAUCGUAUUAAAGUAAUUUUAAUAAUAAAUAGAAGCAUAAUAUUAAAUAAAGUUUAAAUUAUUUUGAAUAUUAUAAAAAAUAAUUUUAAUAUUAUUAAUAGGAAGACAUUUUGUUAAUUUUAAAAUCUUUUUAACCCAAAGGUUUAUUUAAAAUGUUUAUUAUAAAUAAAGAUAUAAAAUUAAAUAUCAUAGUGUAAAAUUUUUAAUAUUAUUUUAAGUAUUAAAAAUAUUUUAAUGUUAUUAGUCUACUACAUAGAUCAUAUUACUUAUAUUAUAUUUGCAAUGAUUAAAAAAUUUUAAAAUCAAUUUUCUAGUUACUAUAUUCGCGAAAUAUUAUGGUUAAAGAAAAGACCUUGGUGUUACUUUUUACAAAUUUGAGUGCCUGCAUGAUAAUUUUUUCAAAAUUUAAGAAUGUAUGUGUCCUUUUCUCCAAUAAUUUAUUUCACUUUUGAGGGGAAUCCAAUGAGAAAUAUGAUAAGAGAAUGUCAAUUACUUGUCAUUUUCUAUUUUUUCUGUAAGCUAUUUAUUUUGAGCACUGGUGAUCUUGUCUUGACUACUCCAAUUAUUGAUGGAACUCCAAUGGCUGCAUCCACAGUUGAAUAUAUGAUAGUGUUAGCUCUUAUUUGAGAAUUCAGAGGGAUCUUUCUAUGUUUAUCAAUUGCAAUGUGCUAGUAUAAAUUUCUUUACCUUACAGUUUAUAUAGUCUUGCUGUUAAAGAACUCACUGAGGCAUUAUUGAUUCAAUUUCAGUGGAGCAAUCGCGCGUAGAGGAUAAAUAAAGGAUAACAGAACAGAGCUGAAGUGCUAAAUUGGCUAUUAAAGAAGGGUGUCACAUGAUCACAAUCACAUUGAUGCACAACUCUCUGGAGGCAAAUUUUGUCUGUAUGUUCUCUAAAUUCAGCCAAACCAUACAUGCAUGAACAAAAAUUAAACCGUAGUUCUCACCACAACAGUAAUUGAAGCUACAAAAGCCAGCAAAUCUGAACAAAAACUUAAAAGAAAGAUCUUAUUCAAAUUUGUCCCCAAAAGAGUGCUGAGAUGGAAAAUAUUGACUAAUGAAUGGGUCAAUGCUGGAUUACAUUUCAAAUGGAAAGCUUGGCAGCAGUUACAAUGUUUCUCCCUCAGCUUUUCCUCCAAAACAAAUUCAGUUGUAAACAAUAACCGAAGUAGAGAUAAUUCAUUCAUCAAAGAAAAUACCCAAGUUUUCAACUAACAAAUCCUUUUGUCUAAACUAAAAAACUCAUAUCUCUAAAAUUUAUUUGCAAAAUGUUGGAAAUGAGGAGUGAUCCGUUAUCUCCGUAAAUAAACUCAUGCAUAAUGUUAACAAUAAUGAUACAUUACAUAAUAAUUAUUAUAAAGAAAUAUAAAUUGGAAACGCUAAUCAUUCUACAAUCUAAUAAAUAAGUAAGAUAAAUCUCGUAAUAAGUUAAGUUAUAAUGUAUAAAUGUUUUUAAUAUAUAAUUAUUUAAGAAGUCAUUUAAUAAUAAAAUAUUUAUUCUAUUCAGUUGAUCAUAUAGCGUUAUCGAAACUCUUGACGAUAUUAUUAUUACACUUUUCUCAAAAAAACAUGAUUAACAUUUAGAGAAAAGUCAUGCCUUUUAGAUAGAAUAUGUACAUAAGCUAUCCAUAUUUUAUCUUACCAUGAAAAAAUUGAUGGUGAUUAAAUCUACUUUUAAAAUAGAUUUAAUGCACAAAUAUGAUGAUUUUUGGCAAAAAUUAGUUUCGGAAGAUACAAUGGUAGAAAAUAGUGAUGAUUAUUGUUUAAAUGUGUAAAUAGCCUAGGCAUAGCCCGUAAUACCAAUAUCCAUUUACCUUCAUUUAGAUUAUCACAUCUCAUGAUAUUUUUUCAUUCACGACCAUUGUUCGAGAUUUGAACUUGAUCAUAAAUUAAGCUGCAACGGAGUUACUUAUGUUUCUAAGCUUUUCAAUCGCGAUUCCUCCAUGCCUUUCUUGGAUACCAUUUUACUGACCUUGUAAUUGGUGUGUAUAAGGAGUCAUGCCCUUUCAGGAUCGUUUUCUUUUUUUUUUUUCCUGAUUGUAGUGUCAAAUAAAUAAAGAACGAACAAUUGAACUUAGUCUAUUUCGAGGAAAACCAAGGCCUGCAAUAUUAGAUGAACUUUGAACAAAAUUAAUCUACUAUUCUACAUCCCCACCAAAAUUUAAACAGUCGACAUUGUGGAAAGAAACACAUUUCGCCACUAGGCUUUUAGUGAGGCUAAUUUCUCUGAAUUUGGACAGAGUAGGUCCUCCAACGAGAACUGAAUCAGGACGAAUCGGCUCUCCAUUUUCUAAUUCGAACGAGCAAAGGAAGCCUGAAUCUGUGACCGUUAUCAAUACUCUGCUUCUAUUCUGAUUCUCAGGAAGUACUUCUUCAAGAUCAUCCAAUACAUCGUCACCCUCUUUGUACUAAUCAUCAAGCACAAUAAAGUACUUCUUGUUUGUUAGGUAAUCUCGAAGAAUAGAUUUCUUCAAUUGAUAAUCUUCACCGAUAAUUACACUAACCCGAGAUGGAGGCAUCACAGACUUGAUUAUGUCAUCCAAUACCAUGCGAAAAUCGUAGGAUAUAGAAACCCUGACCCAAGCAUGACAGUCAAAAUAGAACUUGACGUGAUUAUUGUUGUAAGUAUCAGCAGUAAAAGCAGUCUUAUCGAAGCUAUUGAUGUCUUUCAGAAGCUCCCAAAUGUCUGUUCUUUUAACAUUUUCUAAGUGCAAGAGCUGCCGAUAACGCGAAGGUAUUUCAUCUUCAUCGAAUUGUUCUCUAAUGAGUUGAAUUAAAACUCGAGCCAUGUCAGCUUCAUAGUUUCCCAGCAGAGUAGUGGCUAUAAUUUCGGACUCCGUAAGAAGGUUUUGAAAAAGUGGAGUUAAAUUUGUUGAAUCAGGCAAAGUUAACGUGCCUUCUUCACCUGCUAACACCAGUUUCAACCUCUCACAAAAUAGUGUGAGGUUAAUUUCCAUAUCUUUCCCUCUCUCAGUAGUACUCAGAGGUACGUAUUGUUAUUUGUUAGUGUUGAUGACGAAAGCUGAAUAAUCAAAACAACAGUGUACACAAUCAACAGAAGGCGAAGUAUGUUAAGUUGAGAUCAAAGGAUAUAAAUGAAGGAAAAGUUUAAGUACUCCGUUGAAAGCCAAAGUUGCUUUGGCCAAUUAAUUUAUAAGUGAAGGAAAGAAUAAAGUUAGUCCUCGAUGUCUUUUGAAAUUAGAAAUACAUUUUGAAUGCUUUAAUAGAUGCAGAGCAAGCUGGCUCGAUGUCUAACUAUUUUAAGAGCUAAAAUCAUUUAUUAGAAGUUGUGGCAUUGAAAAAAACUGGCUUGAUAUCCAAUUUUGUUAUUUAAUGUCUCACGUGAGAGUAAAUAACUGUUGUGUUACUGGCAGAUGAUUGAGACGGACAAGUUUGGAACAUUGUUCGAGACUGAAACUACACAUCAGUCUUAGAAAAUUGUAAUUUUGUUGAAAAAUUAUAGAUUGAAAAAUUAUUGAGACGGACAAGUUUGGACCAUUGUUCGAGACUGAAACUACACAUCAGUCUUAUAAAAUUGUAAUUUUGUUGACUUAUCAUGAUUUUGAUUGCCUCCCAUUGAUUUUCCUAUGAUGUCUCUGUAGAGUGGCUAUGCUUACAUUUUUAGGUAUUUAAUUCUAAAAAUUAACUUAUUAGAUGGAAGGAUCAAUUCUACCUGUAAAUCUAAGUGGCUUCCCUUUACUAACUCAUAUAAGACACAACAAUAAUUUUCUUCGAAAAAAACCACCAUCGGAGGGCUAUUUUCGUUCAACAUACAUGAGUUGUUCCGCCACCAUAUUUUGAGGGUUUGCUUCUAAUACAACUUGGGGAAGCUAGGGGUAAGAUUUCCAAGUAUCAACAUAAAAACCUUGCCGAUUGGAUAGAAGGACCAAUCUUACUUAUAAGUCUAAAUGACUAAUUUUUGAGGACACAACUCAACAGACCAAUAUAAACUUUUGGCGUCCCAUUUUAUUACUUUUCAGUGCUUUACUUUUGCUGUCUAUAGCCCUACUAUUCUAUUAAGCAGAAAAUAUUAUCUAUUUUCUUUCCAUUUUAUGUAUACCCCGAUCUUUACCUCUGAUUGGUUGUAGAUUCUUCUGUCGCUUUGGGGUUAGGGGAUGGUUUUCAUCAAGAAAUGAUAAAGGAUUGUUAGUUGUGUGACAAACAGCAUUAAUAUGAAGGAUGAUGAUUGUUCUUUUCAAGAGUUUAUAAUGACAUAAUUCUGCUUUGGUCUUUUAAAAAAAAGUAAUUUAGAAAUGAGGAGUAUGUGAGUGAUGAUUUUUACAAAUAAAUUGCAUGCGUAGUGAUGAUUUUGACACAUGAAAAUGUAAAAAGAAAUAUAACUUGUGAAUAAUAAUCGAAGUACCCUGCUAUUGUUAUAUUGAGUAAUCAAGGACUUCGAUAUUCGGACGAUACAAGCAACACAAUCAAAUAUUAGUUGGAAGGCAUAGCAAAAUUAGAAUGUAGAACAAACUGGGUAUUGAUAAAUGGAUGGUUUUGGAAGAAUUGAAAAUGAUGGCAAAAAAAAAACAAAGUUAAGAGAAAAGAGAAAGAGCAUUUGAACUUUACUUGUAAGUAAAGGCAAAUAUCUUGGUUCAAGAAAAGAUAAGAGAUAUCAAACUAGCAAUAGGAAAAAGGAGGAAGGUUAAGACAGCAUCUUAACAAAAGCUAAAGAAAAGAAAAACUUAGUUCAAGCAAAGAACAAUGUGCUAAUGUAGUGUAAUCUUGUUUAAUUUCUUUUUCUUCUCACAUUUUCCAGGGCUUAAAUAAUACAAUGUACAUUUUCAAGCAAAGAACAACAAAUAAAUAAUACAAUAUACAUACCCAGUAAAUUAAAAAAAAUAUAUUAUUCAAGUUUGUGGACAAUACUGUAGCCAUUGCGUCGUCGAAAUCUACUGACAGCUGAAACAAAGAAAGAAUGGAUGAACGCUGGAUCACAGUUGAAAUUGAAGGUCUGGUAGGUGAUGUUUCCCUCUCUGAUUUUACCUAAACAAAUACAAGAAAAUAAGAAUCACGAAUGAAAAUCUGUUAUUACACUGUUCUUACUUAUUAAAAUACAGAGGUUUCUUUGUUUCUCUGCAGCAAUGUCCAUGGCUAUUAGAAACAAGAACAAUUAGACCAGCAUUUGCAAGAAUCUUUUAAGGUAUUACUGCAGAUAUAAAUCGACUGAGGAAAUGGAAAAAUUGAAUACCAAAUUAGGCAAGUUAACUGAAGAUUCAGUUAUCAUAGAAGAAUAAAACUCAUCCAAUUCAAUCCAUCAAAUUUCAUUAAGCAUUUCCAGAACUCUUGAUUUUCUUUCUCAGUAGCCAAACAACUUCAAUCUCAUUUUUUUUUUUCAACAAUGAGUUCUCAAACCACUCUGGUAUCAUUUUAAGACAUUCUCGGCCUUGUACUCACCAUCAAAAUGGAUUGGUUGAGAGAAAACAUAGGCAUAUUGUUGAAUUAGGUUUGACUCUGUUGGCUCAAGCUCAACUUCCUUUUAAAUUCUGGUGGGAUGCAUUCCAUACUGCCCUAUAUCACAUCAAUAGAUUACCAUCUUCUGCUUUCAAACUUUCGACCCCAUGUGAGAAGAUAUCCAAGCACAAACCUGAUUAUGAUUUUCUCAAAUGUUUUGGUUGUAUUUGUUAUCCUUACUUGAGAGACUAUAACAAACAUAAGUUUGCCUAUCAUUCCAGUAAGUGUAUAUUCAUUGGUUAUAGUCCUUCACAAAAGGAUUAUAAAUGCUUACAUUCUUCAGGUCAAGUCUAUGUGGCAUGACAUGGUAUCUUUGAUGAGUCAACCUUUCCUUAUGCUACUGAAUCUGUUUUUCAUAGUCACACAAAUUCUGAUUCUCAUUCUUCAAAUUUAUUUACUCCACAGCAUGUCUAUUAUCUUUCUACUUUACCUGUCAUACCAGUAUUUCUAAAUAACAACACUGAUAAUCUAAACUCUACAAAACUAAAAUGCCAGCUGUUUGGUGUUAGCGAUAAGAAACAACUUACCACAACCAUUAAUUAUCCAUAAUUUCAUUGUUUAUCCUCAGUUUUCUUCAUAAAUGUUACAGCGUUCUUCACAACAAAGUGCAAGGGCAUCUCAAAAGUUCUGAAAUAAUACCUCAAUUCUAUUGCAAAAAUAAAUAAUCUCAAACAAGAACCAAUAAUCAUAUUUCGUUACUGUCAAACACAAUGCAUCUGAGCAAAACAUUGGAAGCCAACACCAGAAUACAUAUGAAUAAACAAUUAAAGAUAGAGAAAAAAGGCUUAAACCUUGGGGGAAAAAAGUGAAAAAACAUGAAAGACAAAUUACACAUGUGCAGUAACCAUCGAACUUAUCAGUGACAGCUGCAUCCAUUACAUUGCUCCAACAACACAAUGGCAAACCACCAGUUUCAAAUUGAGGAUAGCUAUUGAGAAUGAGAAAGUGUCCAAAACGCCAUAAAUAGACAUGUUCCUAUUAUGCAUAAUUUACAUUAUAGGCAAAUAUUCUUAUACCAUCAAAAGCAAAACAUGACACUAUAACAAUUGACUCCCCCCCCCCCCCCCCCCCCCCCGCACACAAAAAAAAAGGAAGAAACAAUACCGAAAAGAUUGAAACAGGUAAGGCUACACUGAGCACAGGAUGCCAUGAAACAUAAUCCAGGAACCAAAUUAAUAAAGAAGGAAGGCAAACCAUUAUUUAACAAUCUGUUUUGUAUUAGGGAAAGUCCGAUAAAAUCUACUUAGGGAUAAUUAGAGAACCUCAACUAUUAAUCACACCUCAUAAAUGAACUAACAUUAACCAUGUACCAUCCCCACAUCAGACAAACAUUCUCUAUACUUCUGAACCUAAUACUUCCAUCUUCAAUUGGGGUUUUUUUCUUUUGUGGGGGGGGGGAUAAGCUAUCGUUUUUCUAAGCUUGCUUACCUUCUGUGUGGGACUGAAAUACUGAUUUCGAAUCAUUAACAGUAAAAUUGGAAGCUCAUGAAAAAACAAUUUUAUCUUUUAACAAAAGUUAAAAUUACAUCUCCAUAUAAAUUCUCUUUUCAUUUCCUUCAAUUUUCUAAUUAAGCUUAAAAAAAUGUACCUUCAACCACAAAGGGGUUUAAAAUUUAAAAUAUAUAAAAAAAUAAAUUCAGAUAACAAUAAUUAAUUUAAUUAAAAAUAUAAAUAGAGAUUACAGAGAAAGAAAAAAUAGAGAAAGACCUGAUGUUGAGAGCAUCGACGGCCGGCAGUGACCGGCGGAAGAUGGCGAGAGAUGGCGGCGUGGGCCAUUGCUUGCGCAUCAGUGAGUGUCUCGAGUGAGAGAGUGAAGGUAGGGAUGGCAAUGGGGAGGGAGGGAGGGUCCAAUCUCUCUGUACCCAUCUCCCAAUUUGUCCCCGUCCCUCCCCGUCCCCAUUUGCUUAGAAUCUGUCCCCUACUCGAAUAAUAAUUCUCGAAUAAUAACAUAAAAUGCUCGAGGUUCUCGAUUUAUGAAUAAUUAAUAUAUUUUUUAUUUUAAAUUUUAAAUUAACUAUAUUAAAAUAAAAAAUUUAAAUAAAAAUAAAAUUUGAAAUAUAUUUUAUAUUAAUAUUGAUCCAUUAUAAAAAUUACAUACAAAAUAUAAAUUAUCAAAAUAAUUAUCUUUAUCAAUCUUCAUAAUCCUACAAUAAAAAGAAAAAAAAUUUACUUUUAUAUUGAUAAUAAAAUAAAUGUAGAUAAUUAAUUAAUAUUUUUAAUAAAAUAAAAUUAAAAUAAAAUAAAAUUUUUAGGCUAAUAUAAUCUACCCGACUUUUUUAAUGUGUUAAAUAAAAAUUUAAGACUUUAAUUAGUUAAUUAGGCCUAAAAGCUUAAUAAUAUAAAUAUUUUGAUAUUUAUUAUUUUUACUAAUAUUUAUAAUUUUAUAAUAUAUUCAAUUUUUAUUAUUUAUUUACUAGUAAUUUUAAAAAAUAAAAAUAAAAUUAAAAAAUAAAAUGGGGGAAAUGGGGAGGGGAUGGGGAUUCCACCUCAUCCCCGUCCCUUCCUUGUAGGGAUGGCAAAAGUUCGGGUCGGGUCGGGUCUGGGGCUGCCUGGAACUGACCCGGAUUUCACACAUAGCUGCCCGGACCCGGACCGUGCCCGGAUUUUUUCUAUGCGGGCCGGGUAUAUGGCUGGCACUAUCCGGGCACAGGUUUUUUUUGGGUUUUCUCUACCCACAUUUUCAAAACUGGCUAAAAAAAAAUUGAUAGAAAAGGCUAAAUAAGUAAACAAAAUUGCAAUUGGGCCUGGAAAUUCAUAACUUAUCCCUGAAUUAUAUAUAUAUAUAUAUAACUUCUAAUUCUUUGUUGAUACAAGUUUUUUCUAAUUCAUUAUAAAAUCACAUUAUAUAUAUUAUUUCCUCAUCAGAUAAUAAGUGACAAUUGCUCACCAGUUUAUUAACAUCUCUACGAAACCGUCUUUUAUGGCAUUAUUAUUAUUAUUGUUGUGGCUGAAACCAUGUAGUAUGUGAUUGAAGAAAUUGCAUUAAAUGUUGGAGUGGAGGUGAUGUAGGUGAGAAAGGAUUCCCUGGAGACUGUUAAACAAGACACAAGGCAUUUCCGGAAGAAAACAGAAGACAACUGGAUAAGACAAAACGGACAAAAGGGUAAGAGAGGUGGGUGGGAAAUUAAGAUAGGCAAUUUGUCCAGCAGAAACAUAAUAAUACCUCGUGGUCGUGGGUCGUGGCUGUGUUGGUGAAGUUGCAGCUGAACAAGAACAGUUGAUGCUGUCGCGUGGUGGCUGCCGUUGAGAAGAUGACCAAACGAUGAAGAGCUCUGUGACGGGAUGGUUGUGCUUUGCGAGGAGAAAUAGAGUUGACUGAGGAAGGUAAGAGGUUCGUGGAGGGAAAGGUGCGGACAACACUGCAUCAGUGCCGGUGGGUGGUGGAGAGACGGAGAGAGGUGCCGCCGAUUUGGAGAUUUCAGGGUGGGUGCUGACUGCUGCAGUGCUGCGUUGUUCUGCAAGUUGCAAUCGCGAUUUAGGGUUCAGUACCAGUUUUGGGGGCAAUUGGGCAAAGUAAAUUUUAUUUUCGCUUUUAUAUUUUCUUUUUUUUUACUUAAUAAAAAACCGGGCAUUGAAAAUCAAUGUCCGGAUCCGCUUUUUCCAUUCAUGUGGUCCGGGUAAAACCCGAACCGCACACGCCGGGUCUGGGCCGGAUCCGGUCCGGGUGGGUUUUUCUGCCACCUCUACUUCCUCGAAUAAGAAAUUUGGUAAAAAAAAUUUCCCGUCCCUUCCUCGAAUAAAAAAUCGGGUAUAAAAUUAUCUCUGUAUCCUCCCCGAAUGAGAAAAAUCCCCGAAGAUACCCAUACCUGUGGGGAUUUUUACCAUCCUUGAGUGAAGGGUUUUGUUUAGGGUUUUGGGAAAUGAAAAAUGUAAAUGUUUGAUUUUGUUGCUAGAAACUUCUUCUGCCGCUGCUUUUUAUUUUCGCUAUAAAAAUAAUAAUUUGUUAAUCAAAUAUUUUCUUAAAAAAGAUAAAUUUCUAGAACAAAAUUUAUAUUAAAUCAAAUUGUAAAAAUGUGGAAUAGGGCUAAUUUCUCCUUAAUAUUAUUAUUAGUAGAAGUAGAUUGUCGAACUAGUCUUGAUAUAUUUUAGAGUUGUAUUAUAGAUGUAUACGUAUCUAGAUUGUAAUUAUAUUUUAAAAAAUAUAAUUUUUUUUAAUUAUUGCACAAUAAAUGUAGAAAAUAUCUAUAAAAUAAUAUUAUUAGAACUAUGAUACAGCACCUCAAUUCCACAGUAGCUUAAUAUUAUUAGAACUAUGAUACAGCACCUCAAUUCCAAACGCACUCUAAUUAAAAAAUUUAGAAUUCUUGGGCAUGGAAAGAGUAGUAUUAAACAUCAGAAAGCUAAGGUUGUUCUGUAAAAGAACUGAUAUUGACAUUAUUUUAUUUUGGUUUUCGGGGAAAAAAAUAUUUGUUGACAAGCAAGAAAAUAUUUUUAUAUUUUACAAUUUAUUAUACAUAUUUUAUCAUAUUAAAGUAAUUUUAAUAAUAAAUAGAAACAUAAUAUUACAAUAAAUAAAUUAAAGUUUAAAUUAUUUUGAAUAUUAUAAAAAAUAAUUUUAAUAUUAUUAAUAGGAAGACUUUUGUUAAUUGUAAAAUCUUUUUAAUCCAAAGAUUUGUUUAAAAUUCUUAUAAUAAAUACAAAUAUAAAAUUAAAUAUCAAAAUUUAAAUUUUUUAAUAUUAUUUAAAUUUUAAAAAUACUUUAAUGUUAUUAGUCUUCUACAUAAAUUAUAUUAUUUAUAUUAUAUUUGUAUUGAUUAAAAUCUUUUAAAGUCGAUCUUCUAGUUAUUAUAUGCAAAAGGUAUUAUCAUGUUACAAUUUUUUGAAAUUUUAGGGAUGUAGGUUACGAUGAUUUAUUUCACUUUUGACAAAAUCCAAUGAGAAAUAUGAUAAGAGAAAGUCAAUUUAAUGUUCUCGACCUUUAUGAAAAAAAGUAAAAACUAAGAAUUAUUCAAUUUUAUAUUUUUUGCAUCCACCAAAUAAGUUUUGCACAUUUAUGUUAUCAUAAAACGAAAAAAAGGGUUUACCAAAAAAUGGUACCAAGCAUACCUUUAAUGUCCCACGUGAUUUCUUAUUAAGCCCAAUAUUAGAUAUAUUUAUACAUUUUACUGCAUUAAGUAUUUUAAUUAUAAAAGAAGUUGGUCCUUCCUCUAGUUACAAAAGAUAACUUUAUUUCAAGACUACCACUAAAUUCUUACGUAGAAUUAGUGCAAGGCCAAGAGAGAGUAACACAAUUUUACUUUUCCAUUACCAUUUUGAAAAUAGAAAGAUAUGGAUCCGUGUAUUUAAGAGUUAUUGUAAAAAUCAUACAAUUCAAUUUCCUGACGUGUAUUAUGUAUAUUUAGGCACAUUUGCCAAAAGCAUAAAUAGAUAGAAAGUAAAUUUACAAUCCACCCUUACUCACAAUUAUUGAAGUGAAGAUGCAUUACAACUGUCACUACUUUAACUUUAUUUAUUUAUUUGUUUUAAAUAAAAGUGUGAGAGAGACGGUGAACAUCAUGGACGAUAACAAAGGUUAAAGCCUAAAGGUGACCCAUUUUCUUUUUAAAGUGCUCUGCUGAAAGCCUAACUUCCUUUGGAUCCGCCGAAGUGGCCGAAGUGGUGGGCUGCUGCCCUCACAAGCAUUGUGAGGGCAGCGGUUCUAGCCCCCACAAAAGCAUUGUGGGGGUUAAAUGUUCUUUAUAUUUAAAAAUUUUUCUCCCUUGCGAAAUACAAGUGGAGUAUGGACAUCCCUCUCCUGUGAGGGGUUAUUUGUUUGGGCAUGUACUUCAUAGAAUUUAAUGUAAUAAUGUAAGUCCCAAUAAUGUAUAUCUGAUUGUAAAUAUCAGUAUAAUAUCUCUGCUACAAUAGCAAUUAUUGUAAAUAUUUGUGUAAUACAGUAAUCUGAUGAUUAAUCAGUAUUCAAAAAAAAAAAAACUUCAUUUGGAUCCGCCUAAGUUACUGCUUUGUAAAAUUUUAUAAAGCCCCUUAUACUCUAUAUUAUUUAUAAUUUGUUCAUAAAUAUUAUAAAACUUUCUGCAUUAUAUAAUUUUAUUGAGCCCCUUGUACUAUAUUUUAUUUCAUUGAAACCCUUAAAGUACCAAUUCGCCCUCUAUAAUUUUAAAUUACUAAAAUACCCUCCAUUUAAUUAAAAAUAUAAUGAUUAUUAAAUGAUUAUAAUUAUCUGGAGUACAAAUUCAGUAAUAAACAAUAACUAAAGUAUUAACAAUUUAUUCAUCAAAUAAAAUACUCGAGAUUUCAGCCGACAAAUCCUCUUGUCUAAACUAAAAAACUCAUAUCCCUAAAAUCUAUUUGUGAAAUGUUAGAGAUGAGUGGUGAUUUGUCAACUGGGUAAAUAAAUUUAUGCAUAAUGUUUCCGGUAUUGAUAAAUUACAUAAUAAUUAUUACAAAGAAAUCAUAAAUUGGAAACAUUAAUCAUUUUACAAUAUGUUACAUAAGUAAGAUAAAUCUCAUAGUAAGUUAAGUUAUAACGUAAUAAAUAUUUUCAACAUAUACUUAUUUAAGAAGUCAUUUAACAAUAAUAUUUUUUAUAUUUCAGUUGAUCAUGUCAUAUAGCGUUAUCUAAACUCUUGGCCAUAUUAUUAUUACUCAAUUUUCUCCCAAAAAAAAAAAAAAAAAAACAAAAACAAACAUGAUUAAUGAUUAGAGAAAAGUCAUGCCUUUUAGAAAGAAUACGUAUACAAGCUAUCCAUACUUUAUCUUACCAUGAUGGUGAUUAAAUAUAUUUUUAAAAUAGAUUUAAUGCACAAAUAUGAUGACUUUUGGCAAAAAUUAGUUUCGGAAGAUAUAGUGGUAGAAAAUAGUGAUGAUUAUUGUUUAAAUGUGUAAAUAGUCUAAGCAUAGCCCGUAAUACCAAUAUUCAUUUGCACCUUCAUUUGGAUUAUCAUAUUUUAUGAUGUUCUUUCAUUCAUAACCAUUGUUCAAAAUUUGGAUUUGAUCAUAAAACAAAACUAAAAAAUAUUAGAGAUACUAACAAUUGAGUCCCAUUUUAAGUCCCAAUACAAUGUGUUAUUUCUCAAUGUUGUGUCAUUCAUUAAUUAAGUGAUGAAUUUCAGAAUUAAUAAUUAGUUCAGACUUUAAUUAAGAUUUAAAUGUUAGAAUAUCUAGCAUCAUUCAAUCACAAUAAACAAAAUUCAAAUUGAAACGGCAAUAUUGUAUUUUCUUUAAUUAAUUUUGAUGCUGAAGCAAAUAUUUUGCUUGGGUUUUUCACUUCUUGAUUUUGAUUGGAAAAGUUUCUGAGACGAAGUAUUUUGGAUAAUUUUUUCGGGAUUGAAACCACAACUUGGUAGAGGAAAUUAGUUGGAGUAGUGAUGGCUUUGUCUUCAUUUUUGGUUCCUUUUGUGUCGGCAGCCCCUUACUAUUCUCUUGACCCUGAGUUUGAGAUAGAAAUUUAUCAACCUCCAACCCCACAUCCACAAACAAGUUGAUUGAAACAAUUGCUCUUUUAAUUAAGAGGACCCAAAUGAUUUAGGUUUCAGUUCUUAUCAUUUGUCUAUUAUUUAUUUGAAACAUUUAUUUUGAGCGUUACUGAUCUUAAUUAUCUGUAUUUCUCCAAUUAUUGAAGCAUUUCAAGUGGCCACUUUUUCUCCUUUUUAUAUAUGUUUAUUUUUUGGAGUGAUCAAACGGGGGCAAAAUCAAGUAUUCGCUGGUCUGUAGUUUAGCCAACGAUGGCUGAUCCACACAGUUGAUUAUAUGAUACUAUUAGCUCUCAAAAUCUUUCUUAUUUGAGAAUACAAGUUGCCCAAUAGAGUUGAACUAUGUUACCCAACUCCAUGCUCAUACAUUAAAUGUUUAGGUAGUUUUACAAAAUGAUAGCAGCAUGCCAAAACUUGUUGUUGUCAUUUUCGACAUUUCAAAUUGAAAAAUAUGCAAGCAAUCUUCAGUGAACAUUACGUUUUUAUUGAAUAAUUUAAAUGGCCAGUAAAUCAACAGUCCGUGAGUUUUAAAUCUAUUAUGACUUAAUGUAUCUUUCUGUAUUCGUACACAGGUUAUAUUAUCAUAGUUUAAAAUUUUAAUAUUAUUUUAAAUGUUAAAAAUACUUUAAUGCUAUUAGUCUACUACACAUGUUAUAUUAUUUAUAUUAUAUUUGUAUUAAUUAAAACUUUUAAUGUAAAUUUUCUAAUUACUAUAUUGAAAAGGUAUUAUGGUUAAGAAAAAGUUUUGGCAUUUCUUCUUGAAAAUUUGAGGGUCUGCAUGACAAUUUUUCCAAAUUCUAAGGGUAUAGGUUUGAAAAUUUAAUGUUCUUUAACUUAAUGAAACAAAAGGGGGAAACCAAGAACUAUUCAAUUUUGUAUUUUUUGUUUGUAAUUCAAAAAAUGCAUCCACCAAACCAGUUUUACGCAUUAAUGCUGUCAUAAAACAAAAAACAGUUUGCCAAAAAAUGGUACCAAACAUAUCCUUAAUGUCUCACAUGAUUUCUUAGUAAGCCCAUAUUAGAUAUAUUUAUACAUUUUAGGUAUUUUAGUUAUAAAAGAAGUUGGUCCUCCCCCUAUUUAUAAAAGAUAACUUUGUUUCGAUAUUACCACUAAACUCUUACAUAGAAUUAGUGUAAUGUUAAGAGAGAGUAAAACGGUUUUCCAUUACCAUCUUUGAAAAUAGAAAGAUAUGGAUGCGUGCAUUUAAGAGUCAUCGUGAAAAUCAUACAAUUCAAUUUCCUGACAAGAAGUUGGUCCUCCCCCCCUUUUUUUUUUUUUUUCAAUUACAGUGUGAUGGAGACAUUAAGGAUGAGCAUAAUAGUUAAAGAUGACUCAUUUCUCAUUUUCUUUUUAAAGUGCUCUGCUGAAAGCCAAACUUCCUUUGGCUAAUUAAUUUAGAAGUAAAGCAGAGAAUAAAGUCCUAGAUGCCUUCUGAAAUUAGAAAUACAUUUUAUAUGCUUUAAUUAUGAUUAUUUGGUAGACUAAAGACCUAAAAGAUAUGUCAAAAGUAUAAAACAGAGCGAUUAAAGAAAAAAGAAAAAAAAAACAGAGCAUUUGUGACGUAGAACAAUUGGUAAAUAAAUCCUAAAUAUUUGAGUUGUUAAAAGCAAAUAUAACAGAGACAGUAAGAGAGAUGCUGAAACAGAAAACUAUUAGCUUAUCUUGAUUUUCCCACUAUAUUCAUUUUCGAUGCUUUUCAAACGAGAUUCUUUUAAUUCUUCUGGUGUCUCUUAUAGAUCUCCAUCCCACAUCUGCACUACGAACAAGUUGAUUAAAAUUAAAUACUGUUGGAGAUGUGGGGUGAGCGGUCAACUUGGUAAAAAAACUAUGUGUAAUAUUGUUAAUAAUAUAAAAUAUAUAAUAAUAAUUACAAAGAAUCAUAAAUUAGAAAAAUUAUUUAUUUUACAAUCUAUUUCUUAAGUAAGAUAAAUCUCGUAAUAAGUUAAGUUAUAAUGUAAAAAAUAUUUUCAAUUUAUAAUCAUUUAAGGAGUCAUUUAACAAUAAAAUCUUUCUUUUUUUGAUCAAUUGGUCAUGGUACAGAGCAUCAUCUAUAUUCAUGGUGAUAUUAUUAUUACUCCGUAUUCUCAAAAAACACGAUUUAACAUUUAGAGAAAGUUCCUACCUUUUAAAAAGAACAUGUAUGCAACAACUACCCAUACUUUAUCUUACCACGACAAAACUAAUAGUGACUAAAUCAAUUUUCUCGAAUAAAGCAAAAUUUCUUAAAAUUAAUUUAAUAUACAAAUAUGAUGACUUUUUGCAAAAAUUAGUUUUGGAAAAUUAGUGACAGAAAAUAGUAAUGAUUAUUGUUUAGAUGUGUAAAUAGCCUAAACAUGAUCCCUAAUACCAAUAUCCACGUGCAUCUUAACACCUUUCGUCAUAUUCUUUCAUUCAUGGUCACUGGUUCAAGAUUUGAAUUUGAUCAUUAAAUAUGUUCAAUAAUAUUAGAGAUCCCAACAAUUGAGUACCAACUUAAAUCCCAAUGCUAUGUGUCAUUAACAAAUGUUGUGUCAUUUAUAAUUAUUGAAUGAAUAAUUCGUUAAUUUAUUGAUAAAUGAAAAUUUAUUAAUUUAAAGAGAGAUAUUUUUUUUUUUGGGUUUUAAGAAGAGUUUUGUUGGUACAUGUACAUACUUAUAAAGAAAUAAACUUGUAAUUAUACUAUAUCUUUCUUUCUUUAUUCAGUUUGGUGGGAUAUUGUGAUAAAUCAUUGGAUUAAAAUGCAUUUCUAAAUUAAAACUUGUUAAAAUCUAAUUUAUUUGGGAAGCGCAUAUUAUUUGUCAGUCGUACUUCUCAAGUCUCAACUUAGCAAGUUAUUUCUAACUUGUCAGUCUCUAUUGGUUCUCUAAAGCUAAUAGUCUCGAAUCUCCCGCAUUUGAUAUCUUGCCAUUAUUGUUGGCAUUAACAUGUUACCUGAGAUUGGGAUUCAUUAAAAUCCUCAAUGUAAUCGGUGGAACGAAUGGAUUUCUUCUGUUCACCAAUCCACCAAAAUUUCUGUAAUUAAAUUCAAGAGUCAAGAUCUAUGCUUAUAAUCUAUUCUAACAGCUAAUAUUCUAUUUUAUAUUUACUUAAAUAUGAAGAGCUAUGCUUGUCAUUAACUUCAAAUGUGAUCGAAGCAGCCUUACAUCUGUAUAUUACUUAUUCCCAACCUUUUUUUUUUGACUUCAUAUACUUUAUUUUCAUGUUAUUUACUCUUUUUUUCCCCUUUCUGACAAUUGAGGUAGGGGGUCAAACUUGAAAGUAUCUUAAAAUCAGACAAAUUUUUUUUUUUUUAAGAUAGCUGCUAAUAUGCUCUAUUAGACAAUGACAAGUAAUAACCUAGUUGUUUGCAUUAGAAAUGAUAUUUUUUGUGGUGCUGAUAAAGAGGUUGAUUAUGAUUCAACAAUUUAAAAUAUGAAAACAUGUGGAAGACGGCCGCAAUUAAAUUGAUUGUAUGAAAAUAUUUCAAUGAAAUUUUAAAAAUUUAGUACUUGUUAUCUUAUCGAGAGUUUUUUUAAAUUAUAUUACUACUUGAACUUGGCUGCUUUUGUAUUGAAUUCCCAGCGUUGCCAUUGCUUCUACUCAAAAGCCAUUUAAGUUUGUGUAAGCUACCUAUAGUUUGAACAACAAUUUACUCAUGAAUUGUUGUUCAUAAUAGCAAUUUGAUUGAAAGUGCGGCUGCACUAAUUUUCUAGAUGAAUUUUUUCCUACAUGCUUGUUCUCGUAUGACCCAAAAUCCUGCUACAUCAGUUGUAUUAGAAAUUAAUACUGGGUUACAAUUAUGCAUCCCCACCAAUAUUUCUUGAGGAAAGAAACUCAUAUCGCCCCUAGGCUUUUAAUGAGGCUCAUUUUUAUGAAUCUGGAUGGCAUUAGAUAUCUCUCCGAAUAUUGGUGGGAGUAUAUCGCAGAUCAAUGGGCUAUACUACAAAGUGUAUGUACGUUGACUCUCAAUAAAUACAAACGAUUCUCUGAUAUGAUUCAAAACAUCAGUGCACGCAUCAUUUUAACGAGAGAGAAUAUUCUAAGAACGAAAUUGAAGGUGCAAUCAGCAACUAAAAUGAAGCCAGAAAUGUACACGCAUGAGGAAGUUUUCCUAGAAGAUUGAUAUUUCUUUAACUAGCAAACAAUACAAGUCCAAAGCUAACCAAACCAUACCUGCAAGUCCGGGGCUUAAAUGGAGUACUUGUAAGCAUAAAACAUUAAUCAAAACACAGUAUAGACACACACACACACCCCUACAUACAUACCAGCAAAUUCGAAAUAGAAAAAGGAGUGCAACUAUUCAAGUUUGUUGACAAUAUUGCAACCAUGGCAUAUUAAAGCAAAUCCUUAAAAUCAGCUAAACGAAACAAUGCCCUGUCUCAUGAAUCGAUGCUCAACUAAAAAUUGAAAUUGAAAGUCCGGCUGGUGUUGUUAUUAGAUAGAUAUAACAAGAUCUUUCUUUGACAGUUCUUAUUAGAUAGAUAUAAAAAGAUCUGCUUUGACAGUUCUUAUUAGAUAGAUAUAAAAAGAUCUUUCUUUGUUUCUCUGCUGUAAUUUGUGGCUAUCCCACUCUGUUUUGCCAGUCAAGCUGAGUCUACGUUGAGACAUAAUUUUGACAUCAGAAGCGGCCUCAAUUAGUUUGGCAUUUUUAUAACCUCCUUGAAGGUUUUACGAUAAACAUAAAUCUACUGACAAAGUGGGCAAAAAGAAAAUGCAUGUAAAAGUAUGAGUUAUCAAAUAAGAUUAAAACUCACCCAAUUCAAUCCAUCAGAUUCCGUAAGGAUACAACUGGAUGUCAUACCGCCACUCCAUAUUCUCGAAAGUCCGUAGUCCUUGUCUCAACUGUGUCUGGGGCCAGUGUAAGUCCAUUUUUGCGCAAGCUCUUUAUGCACCACAGCUCUUCUGGAAGCUUUCUCAAGUAAGCACACGGGUUGACAAUUAAGCAUUCAAGUUUCGGCAUUGCUCCAGCCCCCAUCGUCCACUCAUCUAGCCAAUACAUUGACUUCAGGUGCAAAACCUUAAGUUCGGGAAAGCUACUCAAGCCAACACAAGCAAGCUUUCUUCCUAAAUACGAGUUCUGCUUCAGUUUCAGCACUCGAAGGCGUGGAAGAUUUUCCAGAAUUGGCAUGGGAUCCUCCAUUAGCUCAGUAUUUGAUAAGCUCAGUUGGAUCAGACUUGGGGGAAAUUGGUAUUCAGACAGGACCAUCCGUGAGGGCUUGCUCUCAUUCACCAGCUUCAAGCAUUCAAGUUUGUGGAGUUCGCAUAGGCUUUUGGAAACCCCUGAAUGAUAGCAACUCAAAUCUCCAGAUAUCCGAAGAGUUUGAACAUUAGGUAGUCUGCCCAAUAUAUCAGGAGUACAACUACUGGGGUUUAAAGUUGAUAUGAAAAUGAGAUUUUUCAGGGAGCUAGAAUAAUUUUUUGGAGGUGCGGGCAGAGUGAUAGAACCAAAGUUUAGAUGCAUGAGUUUUUGCAUCUUCCAAAUAUCCUCUGGUGACUGAUCUAUGUAGCUAGAUGGCAUUUCUAGUGUUUGAAGGUUUAAAAGGGUGCAUAGCAGUGAAGGAAGGCAUUUGAGCGAAGGGAUAUUCAAUUUCAAAUACUUCAAAAGGAAUAAAUUUUCUAAUCCGGGUGGAUAUUGGUCCAGGACUGCAGAACCCAAGUUCAGUACCCGAAGGUAUUUGAACCUUUUAAAAAAAUUCUCGCAAUCUUUCGGAUUAAGAUGAUAUCUUUUUGGACUGUGAUUGAGAAAAGAUUGGAGAUACAUGUCAGAAUGUUCUAAAGAAAGGAACUCAAUCAAAUCAUCGACAAUGAAGCACCGUUUAACAUUUGCGGGUGGUUCCUCUUCCACGUCAUGCAUCCAGACAAAUCCCGUCUUCUUUGCCACCACAAACAAUGAAGUGUAGUAUACAAUACUUGGAAAAUAACACGAUUUAAUUGUGCCUCCGGCCCUUCUUUUACUCACUUGAAUGAAGCCGCGAUGGAUUAGUUCUUUCAAGUAAUGUUCGGCAGUUUCUUCACUGUUGUAUGGUAUGAAACCUUCAGCUACCCACAAAUGAUAUAAUUGCCUCGUGGAUAUCUCAAUGCCUGGAGGGAAGACACACAAAUAGAUGCAGCAGAUUUUCAAGUGAAAAGGUAACUCCAACACAGAACAAAUUCCAAUGAAAAUUGUCGGAAUCGUUUCGCCUUGAACAUAAUUUUCUAAUGGCAUACUUCCAUAGUGUAGGAUGAAAAAUUGCCAGGCUUCAUGCUUUAAUCUGAUCAAUGGUCCUCCAAUGAGCACCGAAUCAAGCCGAAUCUUCUCUCCAUUUUCCAUUUCAAGCGACGCAAGGAGGUCUGGAUCAGUGACUGUUAUCAAUACUCUGCUUCCAUUCUGAUUAUCAGGAAGAACUUCUUCAAGAUCAUCCCAUAUGUCAAUGUUAUCGCAGACAUCAUCAAGCACAAUAAAGUACUUCUUGUUUGUUAGGUAAUCUCAAAGAAUAGAUUCCUUGAAUUGAUAAUCUUCACCGAUAAUUACACUAACCCGAGAUGGAGGCAUCACAGACUUGAUUAUGUCAUCCAAUAUCUUGCCCAAAUCGUAGAAUACAGAAACCCUGACCCAAGCAAGACAGUCAAAAUAGAACCUGACAUGAUUAUUGUUGUAAGUAUCUGCAGCAAAAGCAGUCCUAUCGAAGCCACUGCUGUCGAGAAUUGCAACCACUGCAAGCCCAGAUGGUCCCUCAAUCAAUAGAUCAAACAACUUCUCUCUGCCCCUUUCAAAUUCACUGAUAUCGAGCCGAGGUUGUCCCUCAUUCAAUAGGCGAAUGAUUUCGUUACUUUUUUCACUGAUAUCAAAACCAUUGUCGCCGGGCGGAAGUUGUUGCAUCCGAUUUCUAAUAUCAAUGAUUUCACUGUGGACAUGAAGAGCCAUAUUAGUGCUGCUUUCACUUUCGUUUUCACUGUUUUGCUGCUGCAUUAUGUUGAUGAAGAAUCUGUCAAUGGCUUCCUCAGAUUCAUGGACAAAGUCAUUGAUGUGCACCAGAAUUUCCAAAAUAUCUGGUCUUUUAACGUCUUCUUCAUCGCUUUCUUCUAAGUCCAACAGUUGCAAAAAAGGAAAAGAUAUUUCGAAGUCAUCGAAUUCUUCUAGAAUGAGUUGAAACAAAUGCCGAGCCAUGUCAGCUUCAUAGUUUCCCAGAAGAGUAGCAGCAAUAAUUUCGGACUCCGUAAGAAGGUUUUGAAAAAGUGGGGUUAAAUUUGUUGAAUCUGGCAGCGGCAACGUGCCUUCUUCACCUGCUAACACCCUUUUCAACCUCUCACAAAUCAGUCGGAGGUGGAAUUCCAGCAUUUCUCCUUCUCUCCGUAGCACUCAAUUAGAAUUAUCUUCGAAUUCUAAUUUAAUUGACUAAGUAGUUAUAGCUAUUCUAUUGAUUAGGUCUAGCUAUUAUAUUCUAAAUGAUUAAUUGAGAGGUAUAGUUGAAAGAUUAAACACCAUGGAAGAAUUUGAAAGGAAAAUGCCAAGAAACUGUGUAAGUGGCUAAAUUCCACAAAUAUGACAUUAUUGCUCAUUUUUUAACUCAAAAAAAGGGUACGCAUUCAUUUAGAGAAAAGUCCAAGACGCGUGCUUUUUAAAAAGAACAGGUAUCCAACCUCUAUCUUAUUAAAUUACAACCAUGACAUAAUUGAUGGUGCUUAAAUCAAUUGUUUCUUUUUUAAUUUAAAGAAUUUUUCAUUAAAAAAAUAUUUUAAUAUCAAAUUGCCUUCAGUGGCGUAACUGCCUCAGGCCCAGUAACAGGACUAAUUAAAAAUUUUACAAUUUUUGGGCAUGGAAAUAGUAGUAUUAAACAUUAGAAAGGUAAGGUUGUUCUGUUAAAGAAUUGAUAUUGACAUAAUUUUAUUUUGGUUUUCGUGGAAAAAAAAUUUGUUGACAAGUAAGAAAAUAUUUUUAUUUUUUAAAAUUUAUUAUGCAUAUUUUAUCAUAUUAAAGUAAUUUUAAUAAUAAAUAGAAACAUAAUAUUACAAUAAAUAAAUUAUAGUUUAAAUUAUUUUGAAUAUUAUAAAAAAUAAUGUUAAUAUUAUUAAUAGGAAGACAUUUUGUUAAUUUUAAAAUCUUUUUAAUCCAAAGGUUUAUUUAAAAUCUCUAUAAUAAAUACAAAUAUAAGAUUAAAAUAAAAAUCAUAAUUUCAAAAUUUUAAUAUUAUUUUAAAUGUUAAAUAUACUUUAAUGUUAUUAGCCUACUACGUAGAUUUUAUUAUUUAUAUUAUAUUCGUAUUGAUUAAAAUUUUUUAAAGUCAAUUUUUUAGUUAGUACAUUCAAGAGGUAUCAUAGUUAAAGAAAAGAUUUUGGUGCAACUGUUUUAAAAUUUCAGGGUAUAAAUGAUAAUUUUUUUUAAAAUUUUAAGGAAGUAGGUAUUAUUUUUCCGACAAUUUAUUUUAUUUUGAGGGAAAUCCGAUGAGAAAUAUCAUCAGAGAACAUUAAUUUAACAUUCUUUACCUUUAUGAAAAAAGUGGAAACCAAGAACUAUUCAAAUUUUUUUUUUUUGUGUAAUUCAAAAAAUGCAUCCACCAAACAAGCUUAUCAUAAUUUUCCCACUUUAUUCAUUUUCGAUGCUUUUCAAAAGAGGUUCCUUUAAUCCAUCUAGCAUCUGCAGCCCCCACUAUUUUACAAAUCUCCAUCCCACAUCUACACUAUCAAAAAAGUUGAUGGAAAUUGAACCCAUUAAGUUAUGUUCAUUACUGGUCAUUAUCUUUCUAUGAGCCACUUAUUUUGAGCAUUAGCGAUCUUCUAAGGAAUCAUGCCUUUUCAGGAUCGUUUUCUUUCAUUUCCUUAUUGUAGUAGUUAAUUAAAUAAAGAACGAACAAGUGAACUUUGUCUAUUUCGAGGAAGAACUAGGUUUCCAACACUAGAGGAACUUUGAAGAAAAUUAAUUGGAAGCCUUUAUUCAUCUUUGAAGAAAAUUACGUGCCAAUGUAACCAAGGCUUUUAUUCAUCUUCGGACUAUGAAUUUAUACAAAAACAUUAACAGAAAAUAACAAAGACACAGCUAAAUGAUAGCAACAAGUGUUGAUUUAGUGGACCACUUCUACAAGUAAAUAAAAACUAAAUAUUUAUUUAAGGAGGGCUUUUGUUAGUAGAGUUUUUAUAAAUAGAAAUUUAACAAAAAAAAAUUAUAGUUAUUUAGUUGUCAAUGUCCAAAUUGAUGAAUUAUUGUUCUUUUUGUUAACAUGUGUUUGUUUUACUUAAUAAUAAAAGUUUAGUUUACAAUUACACCGGUGUCAAAUCAGCAGAGCAUUUUUGCAGCCAGUCACAUUAUACAUUAUAUACUAAUAGCAUCGGCAAGAGUUUUCGAUUGUUGCAACUUGCAAUGCACGCGAUGCGAGAAAAUGAGAAUCUUGUUUAAUUGCAAUAAUGACAAACCUAAUCCUUUCAUUAGGAGUAAAUUAAUAAUCGUUUGUUAUUAUUGAAUAUGUAUAAAGAAAGGACAAUUCUAUUCAUAGAUUCGACUUAUUUUUUGUUUAAAGUAAUUAAUCAUUCAACCAUCUUCAUUUGCCUCUGGCCAAUGCCCUUGUAGAUUAGUUGAAGCGUUUAUUACUUAAUUCAGAUAAUUACAACGUCCUUUUCGCUAAUUAAUUAUGAUUAUGAACAUUUUCAUAUAGCAAGUGGCAUUGUAGAUCUAAACUACGUUGCUAUUUCAAUACGUUAAUUAAGUGAUUCUCCUCAUUGUCAUCAACGUUAUAAACAGGAAUUGUGCAAACAGUACACAAUGCUGCAGCAAGGCGUGGGUGGCUAGAGUUUUGCAACCACCCUUGAGAUCCUGUGCUGCCAGUAGUAAAAGAAUUUUACGCCAAUUUGGUAAGCCCUGGUCAGCACAACAUUUGGGUAAGAAACUCACUUGUUCCAUUAGACUCUCGAGUUAUAAAUGUUUUUUAUAAUUUACCUGCUGAAAUUAAUUGUGAGUAUGCCAAGUUGCUUGACAAAUUGACCCCGCAACAAUGGAACACAAUUUUCACGACACUUACGGUAGAGGGUGCAUCGUGGGCUAAUGAGGAGGGGCAUGUAAUUAACAAGAUAGAUUUAAAACCCAUUGCUAAGGUGUGGGUGAAAUUUCUAAAAUCCAGGCUUAUGCCAACCACCCACACCACUACUGUUUCACAGGAAAGGUUGGUGCUGUUAUAUGCUAUUGUUAGAGGGCUUCCCAUAGAUGUGGGAAGCAUUAUCGAAAAAGAAAUUCGAGAUUGUGCCAUGAAAAACCACAAGGCUGCUGCCUUGUUAUUUCUUUCACUCAUAACCAGCAUAUGUGUAGUAUCAGGUGUUCGUCUUGAUGCAAAGGAUGAAAUUUGUAAUUAUAUUAUGGCUCCAUUUGGUAUAACUUUUUAAUUCGAACUUAUUUAAGGAGAAUUUUUAUUAGUAGAGUUUUUAUAAAUAGAGAUUUUACUAAAAAACAAAAAUUAUAGUUAUUUAGUUGUCAAUGUCCAAAUUGAUGAACUAUUGUUCUUUUUGUUAACAUGUGUUUGCCAGUCACAUUAUACAUUUUUGCAACUUGCAAUGCAAGCGAUGAGAGAAAAUGAGAAUCUUGUUUAAUUGUCAAUAAUGACAAACCUAAUCGUUUCAUUAGGAGUAAUUUCAUAAUCGUUUGUUAUAAUUGAAUAUGUAUAAAGAAAGGAAAAUUCUAUUCGUAGAUUCGACUUAUUUUUUGUUUAAGGUAAUUAAUCAUUCAACCAUCUUCAUUUGCCCCUGGCCACUGCCCUUGUAGAUUAGUUGAAGCGUUAAUUGCUUAAUUCAGAUAAUUACAACGUCCUUUUCGCUAAUUAAUUAUGAUUAUAUACGUUUUCAUAUAGCAAGUGGCAUUGUAGAUCUAAAUUAUGUUGCUAUUUCAAUACGUUAAUUAAGUGAUUCUCCUCAUUGUCAUCAAGUGGAAAAUAGCUCAAUUGUUUCCCUGCAUCGAUUUUCAUUGGUAAGUGAUUUCUUAUGAUAUUCGUUUGAGCUUUCCUUAUUAAAAAAGCUUGAGCCUUGAUCACCUAAUACUGAUAUCAAUUAACUUGUGAACGAUUUUGUAAUGAAAUUAGGAGUUAAAUAUAUAAGAUUUUUACGUGAUGAAUUUUGAUUUUUUUAAUUUUUUGAUGUAGUCAAUUUGCUAAUUUUAUAUAUUUCAUAUUCAACGGAAUUUGGGCACGGAAAGUUUGGAUUCUAAUAUUUAUAUAUUUAGCUUUAAUCAGCUUGACUUUAGCAAUCUUUUUCCCUCAUCAUUAAGGGAUUCAGAAUUAGAGAAACGCUAGGAAGAGGAAGAAAAUAACUUUGGAAGUAAGUAAGAGGGAAAAAAUUAUGAAAUUUGGAAUUAUUUUUUGUAAAGUAUGUUGCGUUUACUAAACUGGAAUUAGAAUGAGCUGAAAUCAGAAUGAAUAGGAAUGCGAAUGUGCUGAAAUCGGAAUAGGUAAUGAGAAUAAGAAUAAGUUGUUUACUUGAACUGUAAAAAUCAAAAUCGGAAUGAGCUGAAUUGCAAUUACUUUGUCUUGGAAUCGGAAUCGGAAUCGGAAUGAGUUAGAUUAUAACAAAUUACUGAAAAGUACUUAAUGAAUUAUUGUCAUAAUUAUUAUUUUAUAUUUUAAUUAUAGUGAUUAUUUAUUCAAAAAUUAUUAUUAUUAAUUAUUUCCAAUAAUAUAUUAAUAUGUUAAUUAAUUUUAAAAAUUAUUAAUUAAUUUAUUAUAAUAAUAUACUAAUUAAUUAUAAUUAUUAUUAUAAAAAUAUAUUAAUAAUAAAAUUACUAAUUUAAUUGUAAUAAUAUAUGAAUUAAUUAUAAUAAUUAUUAUAAUAGUAUAUGAAUUAAUUAUAAUAAUUAUUAUAAUAGUAUAUUAAUUAAUAAUAAUAAUAAAAAUAUAUUAAUUAUGUGAUUAUUUAUUCAAAAAAUAUUAUUAUUAAUAAUUAUUGUUAAUAAUGUAUCAAUAUACUAAUUAAUUAUAAUAAUUAUUAUAAAAAUAUAUUAAUUAUUAAUAAUAAAAUUACUAAUUUAAUAAUAAUAAUAAAAAUAUAUUAAUUAUGUGAUUAUUUAUUCAAAAAUUAUAAUUAUUAAUAAUUAUUGUUAAUAAUGUAUCAAUAUAUUACUUAAUUAUAAUAUAUUAAUUAAUUAUAAUAAUAUAUUAAUUAAGUAUAAAUGAGGACAAAGUGGGUAUUUUUAAUUUCACGAAGGGGCAAAAUGGUCAAUUCUAGUAAUGGGAGACUCACUCCCACCCUCUCCUUUGGGAAUGAGUCUCCCAUUCCUCAUUCCCAAAUUGUGGUGGGCCCCAUGAUUUUGACUCCGAUUUCUAACUCAAUUUUGCGAAGUAAACGCUACCAAUGAUUCCGAUUUCGGAUUCUGAUUCACUUAUCUGAGAAGUAAAAGCAACAUAAAUGUGUAUGAAUAAUUGAUACCUAUGAAUAGUUUUGGGAGUUUUAGCUAGGAGUCAUCUAUUGAAGAUGUUUAGCAAUUGAAGAUCUCUGUCUCAGUAGUUUUCCCAAUCAAAAUCAAGAAGCAAAAAAACUUGCCAUUUUUCUACUUGAUAAUUAAUUGAAAUUUAAGAAAAUACAAUGGCAUUUCAAUUAGAAUUGGUAAUUGUUUAUCUUUUUUCAUUGAUCAAAUUCUAAUCGUGAUCCAAUAGUUAUGGAUGAAGGAAAUAUUAUGAGAGGCGAUAGGCCAAGUGAAGACGUACCAGCAAAUUCAAAAUAGUCGGGAGGUGGACGUCCAGCAUAUCUCCUUCUCUCUGUAGCACCCAGAUGCAUUGUUAUUUGCUCCAAGAAAUGUUAAAAGGAUUGGCCCUAUCUCAAUGUGGUUAGUGGCAAGGGCGGAGACAGCAUAUUAAUUGACUGUGGGCUUACUCAACUGCGAUAAAAAAAAUUUAAAAAAUAAUAAAUAAUAAAUUUAAAAGAUUUAUCAUACUUCAAUAUAUGUUUAUAAUUAUCCUUUACGAGUUUUCAUACAUUGAUAACGUUGUAUUACAACUUCAUUAUCAAUAUUAUUGUGGGCUGUUUAAAAAUUUGAUUAAUAUUAAUAUUUAUAGGCUUGAUUUUAUUUUGUAAAGCCCAUCUCUUUUUAUUUGUUUUAAAAACUUAGAGUGUGAGAAUUUAAGUAUAAUUAUGUAUUAGGAACUUGAAUAUAAAUUAGUGGGGGCUUAGGAAAAAUUUAUUAGAAAUUUUUGGCAAAUCAAAUUAGUUAGUAAAAGAUUUUUUUUUUUUUUUUCAGUGGGGACUUAAGUCCCCACUGGUCCCAAGCUAGAUCCGCCACUGGUUAGUGGUGAAAAAUUAAACACCAUGGAAGGAUUUGCAAGGAAUAUGCCAAGAAACUGGCUAAGUUCCACAAAUAUGGCAUUAUUGCUCUUUUUUUUUUAAAGAAAAAUUAUACACGUUAAUUUAGCAAAAAGUCUAAGACACGUGCCUUUUGAAAAGAAUAGCUAUUACCAUGACACAAUCGAUGCGGCUGAAACCAAAAUUUUCUUUUCUUAAUGUAAAGUUUUUUUUUUAAAUAGAUUUUAAUAUCAAAAUGCCCUUCGAUGUUAUUACUCUCACAAGCCCUGUAACAGGAGUAAUAAAAAAGUUUAGAAUUUUUGGGCAUGAAAAAAGUAGUAUUAAACAUCAGCAAGCAAAGGUUGUUCUGUUAAAGAAUUGAUAUUGACGUGAUUUUAUUUUGGUUAUCGAGAAAAAAAUAUAUUUGUUGACAAGUAAGAAAAUAUUAUUAUAUUUUACAAUCUAUUAUACAUAUUUUAUUAUAUUAAAUAAUACUAAAUAGAAACAUAAAAUUAGAAUAAAAUAAAUUAAAAUUAAAAUUAAAAUUAUUUUGAAUAUUAUGUAAAAAAUAAUGUUAAUAUCAUUGUUACUUGUAAAAUAUAUUUAGCCUAAAGAUUUAUUUAAAAUUUUAUAAUGAAUAAAAAUAUAAAAAUAAAUUAAAUAUCAUAGUUUAAAAUCUUAAUAUUAUUUUAAAUAUUAAAAAUACUUUAAUGUAUCUUAAUAUUAUUUUAAAUAUUAAAAAUACGUUAAUGUUAUUAUUCUACUACACAUGUUAUAUUAUUUAUAUUAUAUUUGUAUUAAUUAAAAAUUUUAAAGUCAACUUUCUAGUAACUAUAUUCAAAGGUAUUAUGGUUAAAUAAAGGUCUUAGUGUUUCUUUUUCAAAAUUUGAGGGUCUACAUGAUAAUUUUUCCAAACCCUAAGGUAUAGGAGUCCUUUUUGUCAAUAAUUUAUUUCACUUUUGAGAGAAUACGAUGAGAAAUAAGAUCAGAGAAAUGUCAAUUUAAUGUUCUCUAGCUUAAUGAAAAAAAAAUGGAAACCAAGAACUAUUCAAUUUUGUAUUUUUUGUUUGUAAUUCAAAAAAUCCAUCCGCCAAACAAGAUUCACGCAUUUAUGUUGUCAUAAAAUGAAAAAACAGUUUGUGAAAAAAUGGCACCAAACAUACCCUUAAUGUCCCACAUGAUUUCUUAUGAAGCCCAUAUUAGAUAUAUUUAUACAUUUUACUGCAUUUAGGACAUGUUUGAUAGCCUGCAUUAUAUAGGAUAAAAACAUAAUUUUGUAUUAAAUUAAUGCACACUCACGUUUGGCGCUAAAAGUAACUCCAGCCGCAUUGCAUUAAUGGGCUGCUACUGCGGCAAUUGCCGCACUAGCUUGCCUCUUUUUCUUUUUAAUUUUAUUUAUAAUAAUAAUAAUAAUAAUAAUAAUAAUAACAUAAUAUAACUUUUAUUUUAAUAUAAUAUUAAGUAUAAUUUUUAUUUUUACAUUAUAAUUAUUGAUAUAAAUUAAUAAAUUUAUUAUUUAUUAUUCAAUAAUAUUAUAUUAUUAUUUUUUUAUUUUUACAUUAUAAUUUAUUAGUAAAUUUAUAAUUUAAUAUAAUUAAUGAUAAUAGAAAAUAUCAUUACAUGUACUACAAAACUCUUACUUGGAUUAUUUAACACAAUUUAUUUUAUUCGUGAAUAUGUUAUAACAAUUGUAUCACUUUAUUGUUUUGUUAUUAUUUUGUGGUAUGUAUAAAUUUUUAUUCUAUUAUUCAAAGAUGACUUUUGAACUAAUCUUAUAGGUUUUAACUAUUUAUUUAUGUUGUUAUAUUAUUAGAGAUUAUUUGAUUAAAUUAUUUGCUUCGAUCUUUAUUUUACAGGUCAUAUAUUUAGAAAUUACUGAAAAAUAAAUGUUCUACUUCCAAAAAAUUUAAGGCUAUAAGCUCGAUCUUUAUGAAUAAUUGUGAUAUUUUUUAACAUUUACACUAAAAAAAUUGUUAAAUUUCUAAAAUUUAAGACUUCUAUAUUUAGUAUUUUUCCAAUUACUAAUAAGUAUUAUUUUCUAAAUAUAUAAUUUAAAUUAAUCACAAAAAAUUAAUACAGUACAGUGCAAUAUCAAAUAUAAUAUAAUUAAAAAUUAUACAGUACAAUGUAGCACCAAAUAUUGUACAAUAUUAUUAUAAAAUAGUACUGAUGCAAUACAAUAUAAUACAAUAUAGUGUGCCAAACGCACCCUUAGAGUGUGUUUGGAACAUGGGAUUAUAGGGUAUUAAAACACUGUUCACAUUAGCUUAAUACCAAUAUCAUGUUUGGAAAGAAAUUUUAAGGGAUUAAAGGGGGGUGAGCUAAUGCCAUAACUGCGCCAUUAGUGUCUUGGUUUUUUUUUAAAUAAUAAUAAAAAAUAUAAAUUCCUAAUUUUAUGUAAUAUUAUAUAAUAUUAAUUUUUAUUUUCUUUGAUCUUUACAUUAUAGUAAUUAAUAUAAGUUAAUAAAUUUAUAAUUUAUUAUUCAUAUUUUAAUUUUUAUUAUAUUAAAAAUAUAACUAAAUAAUUUAAUUUUAAUUAUAUAAUAAUUAAUGUAUAAAAUUGAUUAAUAUUUAAUAAGUUAAUACAACUAGUAAUAAGUGCUUAAAUAAUAUAUAAAAAUAAAAAUAUAACAUAAUAUUACAUUAUUUAAUUAUAUUACAAUAACUAAUAUAUAAAAAUUGAUUAUUAUUUAACAAUUUAAUAUAGCUAAUAAUAGAUACUUAAAUAAUAAUUUAAUAUAACUAAUAAUGAAUAUUGAUAUAUGAAUAUAUUUAAAUAAUAUUAAUACCAAUAUAUAUAAUAAUAUAAAAUAUUAUUACAUGUACUGUAGUAUUCUUACUUGGAUUAUUUAGCGCAAUUUAUUUUAUUAGUGAAUAUGUUACAACUAUUGUAUCACUUUAUUAUUUAAAUUAAUCAAAAAAAUUAAUACAGUACAAGAUAGCACUAAACAUUGUAUAACAUUAUUAAAAUACAGUGUUAAUGCAAUACAAUAUAAGACAAUACAUCUAUAUUAAAAUAAAAUAAAAUAAUUUAAUUUAAUAUAAUACAGUAUGUCAAACGCACCUCGUAUAUUUUAAUUUCAAAAGAAGUUGGUCCUUCCGUUAUUUAUAAAAGAUAACUUUAUUUUCAGAUUACCACUAAACUCUGAAGUAGAAUUGGUGUAAUGUUAAGAGAGAGUAACACAGUUUUCCAUUACCAUCUUUGAAAAUAGAAAGAUAUGGAUCAGUGUAUUUAAGAGUUAUCGUGAAAAUCAUACAGUUCAAUUCCCUGACACAUAUAUUUAUGAGCAUAUGCCAAAAGAAUAAAUAGAUAGAAAGUAAAUUUACAAUCCUCACUUCCUCACAAUUGUUAAAAUGAAGAUGCAUUACAACUGUGAACUGUCACUAUUUUAGCCUUUUUUAUUUUUUACUUUUAGUUAUAGUGCGAUGGAGACAGUGAACAUCAAGGAUGAGAAUAAAAGUUAAAGAUGACCCACCCACUUUCUUUUUAAAGUGCUCUGCUCAAAGACAAACUUCCUCUGGCUAAUUAAUUUAGAUGUGAAGAGAGAAUAAAGUCCUAGAUGCCUUCUGAAAUUAGAAAUACAUUUUAUAUGCUUUAAUUAUGAUUAUUUGGUAGACUAUAGACCUAAAAGACAUGUUAGAUUAUAAAACAGUGCGAUUAAAAAAAAAAGAGUAUUUGUGACGUCAAAUAACAAUUGGUAACUAAAAUCCAAAAUAUUUGAGUUGUUAAAAGCAAAUAAAAAAAAAGAAGGUAAGAGUGAUGCAGAAACACAAUAUUAGCUUAUCUUGAUUUUCCCACUUUAUUCAUUCUCGAUGCUUUUCAAAACAAAUUCUUCUAAUCUUUCUGGUGUCUGCAGCCCCUUGUCACGGGACGAGAGGUUUCGAGCCCGUGCGGUACUCUCGCAUCCCAUACUGCGAGAGUAAACCUAGUGGAAGUGGCACAAUAUCGACUGGUUUCACCCUGUCUUGGGCUCAUCAGGAGAACGGCUCCAGUUCCCAACCAGUGUGUGAAGAGCUUCGCCUAAACCCCUCUUCAACGUUAAGUCCUUGACUAGCGACAAGCUCCCCAAACUCAACCAGGUUGGCCUGCCUGAACUCCAAGAAAUCUAGGAUCAUUGUAUUCCCCACACGACGCCCCUGAAGCACGUCUCCUACAAUCAGCACAACCCUUAUCGAUACCAGCGUACAAACGCAUAUCUUCGGCGUCACAAUUGCAGUCCGUGACACCCUGCUCUUGUUAUAAAACUCCACCCCAAAUCUACACUACAAACAAGUUGAUUGAAAUUAAACAAUUGCUUUUUGAAGUGGACCCAUUGAGUCGUGGUCAUUACUCGUCAUUGUCUAUUUUUUCUAUGAGCCAUUUAUUUUGAGCAAUAGUGAGCUUCUCUGAACUACUCCAAUUAUUGAUGUAACUCCAGUGGCUGCAUCCAUAGUUGAAUAUAUGACAGUAUUAGCUCUUAUUUGAGAAUAUAGGGGGAUCUUUCUUUGUUUCUUUGUUGCAGUGUUCUAGUUUAUAGUCUUGCUGUUAAUGAAUUCACUGAGGCAUUAUUAAUUUAAUUUCAGUGAAGUAAUUAUGGAUGAAAAAUAAAUAAAGGAUAACAGAAUAGAGCUGAAGUGCUGAAUCGGCUAUUAAAGAAAGUGUCACGUGAUCACAAUCACACUGAUGCACAACUCUCUCUAUGUACUCCAAAUUCAGCCAAACCAUACAUGCCUCAACAAAAUUAAACCGUAGUUCUCAUCACUACAGUAAAUGAAGCCCACAAAGACAGCUGAAAUGGAAAAUAUUGACUAUUGAAUGGAUCAAUGCUGAAUUACACUUGAAAUGGGAAGCUUGGCUGCGGUUACGAUGUUUCCCCCUCUGAUUUUUCUCCAAAACAAAUUCCGUUGUAAAUAAUAUUCAAUGUAGCAACACUUUAUUCAGCAAAGAAAAUACCUAAUUUUUCAACUAACAAAUUCUCUUGUCUAAACUAAAAAAACUCACAUCUCUCCAAUCUAUCUACAAAAUAUUGGAGAUGAGAGGUGAUUUGUCAACUCGAUAAAUAAAUUCAUGCAUAAUGUUACCAAUAAUGAUAAAUUACUUAAUAAUUCUUAUAAAGAAUCAUAAAUAAGGAACAUUAACCAUUUUACAGUCUAUUACAUAAGUAAGAUUAAUCUUAUAAUAAGUUAACUUAUAACGUAAUAAAUAUUUCAAUUCAUAAUUAUUUAAGAAGUCACUUAACAAUAAAAUAUUUUUUUAUUUAAUUGAUCAUGUCAUAUAACGUUAUCUAAACUCCUGACGAUAUUAUUAUUACUCACUUUUCUCAAAAAAACAUGACUAACGUUUAGAGAAAAGUCAUGCCUUUUAGAUAGAUAGAAUAUGAUUACAAGCUAUCCAUACUUUAUCUUACCAUGACAAAAUUGAUGGUGAUUAAAUCUAUUUUUAAAAUAGAUUUAAUGCACAAACAUGAUGACUUUUGCCAAAAAUUAGUUUCAGAAGAUAACUAAAUUAAGUUGCAAAGGAGCUUACUUCAAUUUCUAAGCUUUUCAAUCAUGAUUCCUCCAUGCCUUCCUCUGAUACCAUUUUGUUACGUGCCAACGUAAUUGACCUUGUAAUUGGUUUGUAUAAGGAAUGAAGCCCUUUCAAGAUCGUUUCUUUUGUGUCCAUAUUGUAGUAGACUAGUAGUCAAGUAAAUAAAGAGUGAAUAACUGAAUUUGGUCUAUUUCGAAGAAGACUAUGGCCUCCACACUACAAGAAAAUAGGCGAUAGAUAACGGGAAAUAACCGUCAUAAAAGGUGGUGUAUGACAGACAGUUUAUUCGUCAUCUAUGUCACUGUCAUUAAUUUAUGACAGAAUAUUUUCCGUCAUGAAUUCUUGAUGUUAUUUUACAAUCAUAUAUCCAUCACACAAUAUUUUAAUGAGAAAAAAUAAUUAAAUAAAAUUUGAAUUUAUUAAAAUUUUUGCUCUAUUUUUUAAUUUUUUGGCGGAAAAUUAAAUUGUCAUUUGUAAAUUUCUUAUUCAAUUUUGGUGGAAAAUUUUUUUAUGACAGACUUUAUGAUGUGUAUUUCCCAUCAUAAAGUUAAUUUUUUUAAAUUAUAUUGUGAUUAUAGUUUAUUUCUGAAUUCCUGUUUACAAAUUUAAUUAAUUAAUAAAAAAUGAAUAUUGUCAAAAAAUAAAAAAAUAAUAGUAACUAAAAUCCAUUCAAUCCAACAAAUUAAUUUCAAAAUAAAUACAUCUAAUAUUCAAUGUCAUUACCACUAAUACAUAAUAAAACAUCCCAAAUUAAAAAAAAGAAUGUCAAAAUAUAAAACAAUAGUUAAAUUCCAAUUAAAUUCCAAGAAAUGUAAUUCAAAUUCCGGACACCGAGCCAAGCUCCCCAGCAAAACUUCCAAAGAUUAAUGGAAAUAUUCCAAUAGCAAGACUUCCAGAAGCAAUACCCUCUUCCAGUGGCAAUACAUUGACUAAUCUUUGAAGCCAUGACUCCUCAAGCCAAUGCCAAAAAUGUGUGCAAAAUUAAUGCUCUAUCCACAAAAAUUUCAGUCUAUAUUGGUAAGAAGAAACAUGAAGAAACAAUUACCUCAGCAUCAUCGUCAUUGGAAGCCAAAUCAGCUGUAAAGACCACAAAAUGUUUGGUUAGAACUAGUGGAAGUCUUACUCUAAAACUUUUAAUUUUUGAAUUUCGAAAGAUCUAGUAAUGACAAAGAUUCUCAUAUCCAGUGACCAAGUUUUGAAAAUUAGAAUACGGAAUAACGUCAACUAAAUUCACUAAUAUAGGGUGCAUUUGAGAUUGAGGUUGGACAGCUGUAGCUUAAAAGCUACAGUAGUAAAGUGUUUGGUAAACACUAGUUGCUGUAAUUUAAAAACUAUGUUGAUAUGAUUUUUCACUUGUAUAAUGGAGAAUCUAUUUUUUUAAAUAAUUAUGUCAAAAUUAUUAUUUAAAAUUUAUAUUUACUACAUAUUAUUAAUUUUUGUUUCAUAGUCACAGUUUUUUUUCCACAGCAGUUGUAAAGCUACAUCACCUCAAUCCCAAACGCACCCUAAGCUAGAGGAAUCCCUAGUUGAUAUAGCACACAUGCACACAUGAUAUGCAUGCAUCAGAAUACACAAUAAUAAAUUAUCUCAAAGUCAAUAAGAAGCCAAAACUAGAGAUAAACCUUUAGCCACUAUAAGGAAGACUGAUAUUUGCAGUGUGAUUACAAUAAACAAACAGAAACUUCACUACCCAUAAGUAAAGCAAAAUAAAUAAAGGAUAAUAACUAACCAAGAAAUGGAAAAGCUCACAUUCUCUGAACACGCACCCCAAAAAGAAAGAAAGAAAUAAAUGUUCCCAUUGGAUCUGAAGCACAAGCAAUCCACUGACAUCCUUCUAUAAUUAGGUAAUUUAAAGGGGUUAAGCUCACAUCUUUUACGGAAGCAACAAGAGAAUUAACAACAUUCCAGAGGAUUUAGGGAAAAACCACGAGGCAAGAAAAAAGAAAGAUCCUUCUUCAAUCUAGAUAUCUUGACACUGCUCACCAUCUACAGCAGUCUGGGGCUUAAAAAGCAUGAUCUCUCCCCCCCUCUGGCACCAUUUUCUCUCAUGUGAAUCUGUCAUUGCCCGUAGAAACAAACCAGAACUGCAUAAAUUCUCUUAUCUUCCAGCAGCUUCUUUUCUCCAGAAAUAGGCACAACUAUUUGACAUGGAAACAAUUUAUCUAACAUGGCCACCUUUAAAGACAAAGACAUACUAAGGACAUGGUUUUAGAUACGGAUACAAGAAACAAUCACAAAAUGUAAAAUCUAUACAUAUGAUAUUAAUUUCCAAUGGAUACAGCACUUCAUUCUUUGACUUAACUUCAUUAGAUUACUAGGUUUGAUUAGGUUAUACACACAUUUAUUCAUUUAUGGUUUUCAACCUAUAAUCUACAUGCACUUAGAAUGAGAGGUACCUAUAAAAACAAGUUACCAGAAAACAAUACAGCUAGAAAACAUUAAAACAUUAAUCUAAGCAGUUCUAUAGGUUUAACUAACUGCAGGAAAAAACCGUUGAUUUUGUCCGUCGGAUUAUUGAGAUCCUAAUUCUGGUAAAAAGAAAAUGAGAUAAUAGAAAAUCAAAAAUUAAAUAGACACAAAAUGAGAAAUCAAGAUCAUACGGCAACUAAUAUAUAGCAUGGGCUGCAGCUAACAAGCAAUAUAAGCCAUGAUAUUAUGCCAGAUACAAAAUUUUGAGAUCCAAGAGAGAUCAAGAAGCAUGAAUAUUGAAAGAAGUGAGUGCAGAAGGAUAAGAAAUCAGGUUGAUAUUCUUCAUACUUUGGGUCAACACGUAGUGAUGCAAUAAACUUGUAAUUAGCUUCAAGUGUAUAGGCUACCAUGUCAACAUUUCCGAAAACACACAAGAUUGUGCUGGAUUCAUAUAUAGUACAUAUAUAAAAAAACAAUCUGCUUCUAAACUUCAUGAGAACAUCGAAUAAUGAACUUACAAUUUGAUCCCUCAUCAUCUUCAUCGCACCAUUUGUUCCAAUCAACCUUAAUGUAAGGUGCUGGUUUCUCUUCUGACUUGAGUAGCCUUUUCCACCAACCUUUCUCUUCUUUUUGCACCGAGCAUAUUAUGUUCCUUAAGCCAACUUUAGUCUUACAUUUCUGCACCACCAGCAACAAAAUUCAAAGCAUUACAAAAGAGGUAUAUUUAGCCGCUCUUGACUCGAGUGAGAGAACAGGAUAAACAGCCUAGGUAUAUCCACAUCCAUGUUAUGAGAUUAAUUAUGCAACAACUAACUUUAAUAUAAAGUUUGUGCUCCAACAAAGACUAAAAUGUUUGUAAUUGUUAUGCUUCCGGAGCUAAAAUGUUUCGCAAACACUCACUUUUACUCUGCAGCUAAUAUCUAGCACCCAGCCACACAAAGUCCGUAGUCUUUGUCUCAACUUUGUCUGAGGCCAAUGUAAAUCCAAUUUGCACAAGCUCUCUAUGCACCACAGCUCUUCUGGAAGCUUUCUCAAGUACGCACAAGGGUUGACAAUUAAGCUUUCAAGUUUUGGUAUUGCUCCAGCCCCCAUCGUCCACUCAUCUAGCCAAUACAUUGAUUUCAGGCGCAAAACCUUAAGUUCCGGAAAGCCACCCGAGCAAGCACAGGCCAGCUUUCUUCCUAAAUACAAGCUCUGCUUCAGUUUCAGCACUUGAAGGCGUGGAAGCUUUUUGAUAAGGAAAGGGAGCCACGGAGGUCAACAAAGGUUCAUAAGCCUAACUACAGAUACGAGGGCUUUGUUUGAACAUUCGUAAGUCUCAUGCAGCCAUGCAUGCGGUCAUGCAUGUUGCAUGCAAUACCAUGCAAGACUUAUUUACGCAUGGAUUAAAGAGUAGUCUGUUUCUAGUUUUUUAUUUAAGAUUGCUCAGUUAUUUAAAUUGAUUUUAGCCGUGAAUUGUGGCUACAAAUCCUUAGUAGUGUUUGUAUUAACUACUAUAAAUAAGCUCCAGCAAUUAAUAAAAGGAUUAUGCAAAAAAUUAUCUCAAAGUACUAUUCUUGGUCGUUUUCACCGUAAGUAGAACAACGUAAACUUAGCUAUUGUUGAACGUUUUUGAUUGGGACCUAUCACUUUUCCAGCCUUGGCAUGGGAUCCUCCAUUAGCUCAGUAUUUGAUAAGCUCAGUUGGGUCAGACUUGGAGGAAAUUGGUAUUCAGACAGGACCGUCCGUGAGAGCUUGCUUUCAUUCACCAGCUUCAAGCAUUCAAGUUUCUCUAGUUCGCAUAGGCUUUUGGAAAUCCCAGAUUGAUAGUAACUCAAAUCUCCAGACACUCUAAGAGUUUGAAGAUUAGGUAGUCUGCCCAAUAUAGCUGGAGUGCAACUACUAGGGUGUAAGGCUGAUAUGAAAAUGAGAUUUUUCAGAGAGCUGGAAUAAUUUUUUGGAGGCGCAGGCAGAGUGAUGCAACCGAAGUUUAAAUGCACGAGUUUUCGCAUCAUCCAAAUAUCCUCUGGUGAAUGAUCUAUGUAGCUUGAUGGCAUUUCUAGUGUUUGAAGGUUUAAAAGAGUGCAUAGCAGUGAAGGAAGGCAUUUGAGCGAGGGGAUAUUCAAUUUCAAAUACUUCAAAUGGAAAAAGUUUCUAAUCCGGGCGGAUAUUGGUCGAGAAUUGCAGAACCCAAGUUCAAUACCCCAAGGUGUUUGAACGUUUGACGAAAAUUCUCGCAAUCUAUCAGAGCGAGAUGAUCGCUUUCUGAACUGUGAUUCAGAAAAGAUUGGAGAUAGAUGUCAGGAUGUUCUAAAGAUAAAAACUGAAUCAGAUGUUCCAAAAUGAAGCACCGUUUAACAUUUGCCAGUGGUUCCUUUUCCCUUUCAUGCAUGCAGACAAAUUCCGUCUGCGCUGCCACCAAAAACAAUGGAGUACAUAAAAAACUUGGAACAUAACACGCUUUAAUUGUGCCUCCGGCUCUUCUCUUACUCACUUGAAUGAAGCCGCAAUAGAUUAGUUCUUUCAAAUAAUGCUCGGCAGUUUCUUCACUGUUGUAUGGUAUGAAACCUUCAGCUACCCACAAAUGAUAUAAUUGCCUCGUAGAUAUUUCAAUACUUGGACGAAAGACACACAAAUAGAUGCAGCAGACUUUCAAGUGAAAAGGUAACUCCAUCAAAGAAUAACUGUGUCUCUAAAUUGUCGGAAUCGCUACGCCUUGAACAUAAUUUUCUAAUGGCAUACUUCCAUAGUGUAGGAUGAAAAAUUGCCAGGCUUUAUGCUUUAAUCUGAUCAAUGGUCCUCCACUGAGCACUGAAUCAAACCGAAUCAUCUCUCCGUUUUCCAUGUCCAACAGCGUAAGGGGGCAUGGAUCAGUGACCAAUAUCAAUACUCUGCUUCCAUUCUGAUUGUCAGGAAGAACUUGUUCAAGAUCAUCCAAUACAUCGUCACUCUCUUCACAGUAAUCAUCAAGCACAAUAAAGUACUUCUUGUUUGUUAGGAAAUCUCGAAGAAUAGAUUUCUUCAAUUGAUAAUGUUCACCGAUAAUUACACUAACCCGAGAUGGAGGCAUCACAGACUUGAUUAUGUCAUCCAAUAUCUUGCCAAAAUCGUAGAGUACAGAAAUCCUGACCCAAGCAAGGCAGUCAGAGAAUUGCAACCACUGCAAGCCGAGGAUGUCCUUCAAUCAAUAAAUCAAACAACUCCUCUCUACCACUUUCAAAUUCGUUGAUAUCAAGCCGAGGUUUUCCCUCAAUCAAUAAGUGAAUGAGUUUGUCCCUUUGUUCAGUGAUUACGAAACCAUUGUCGCCGGGUGGAAGUUGUUGCAUCCGAUUUCUAAUAUCAAUAAUUUUACUGUGGAGUCCAACAAGAAGAGCCAUAUUAGUACUGCUUUCACUUUCUUCUUCACUGUUUUGCUGCUGCAUGAUGUUGAUGAAGAAUGUGUCAAUGGCUUCCUCAGAUUCAUGGACAAAGUCAUUGAUGUCCUUCACAAUUUCCAGAAUGUCUGAUCUUUUAACGUCUUCAUCGCUUUCUUGUAAAAAAGCCAAAUAUAUUUCGGAUUCAUCGAAUUCUCCUCUAAUGAGUUGAAACAAAAGCCGAGCCAUGUCAGCUUCAUAGUUUCCCACCAGAGUAGUAGCAAUGAUUUCUGACUCCGUAAGAAGGUUCUGAAAAAGUGGAGUCAAAUUUGUUCAAUCAGGCAACGUUAACGCGCCUUCUUCACCUGCUAGCACCCUUUUCAACCUCUCACAAAAUAGUCGGAGGUUCACGUCCACCAUAUCUCCUUCCCUCCGUAGCACUCAGAGAAGAUUGGUCCUAUCUCAAAGUGGUUAGUGCUGUAAAAUUAAACACCAUGGAAGAAUUUGAAAGGAAUAUGCCAAGAAACUGGCCAAGUGGCUAAAUUCCACAAAUAUGACAUUAUUGCUCAUUUUCUCUCAGACACGUGAUACACGUUGAUUUAGAGGAAAGUUCAAGAAUUUUGCUUUAAAAAAAAAAAUUGAUGGUGCUUAAAUUAUUAUUUUUUUAAUUUAAAGAGUUUUGCUUUUAAAAAAAAAUUAAUAUCAAAAUGCCUUCAAUGUUAUUACUGCCACAAGCCCAGUAACAAAACUCAUUAAAAAUUUUAGAAUUUCUGGCCAUGGAAAGAGUAGUAUUAAACAUCAGAAAGCAAAGGUUGUUCCGUUAAAGAAUUGAUGUUGACAUAAUUUUAUUUUGGUUUUCGGGAAAAAAAAAAUAUUUGUUGGCAAGCAAAGAAAAUAAUUUUAUACUUUACAAUCUGCUAUACAUAUUUUAUCAUAUUAAAGUAAUUUUAAUAUCUAUCAAAAAAAUAAAUUUAAUAAUAAUUGGAACAUAAUAUUACAAUAAAUAAAUUAAAAUUAUUUUAAAUAUUAGGAAAAAAAUAUUAUUAAUAGGAAGAUAUUUUGUUAAUUGUAAAAUCCUUUUAUUCCAAAUAUUUUAUUUAAAUUUUUUAUAAUAAAUAAAAAUAUAAAAUUAAAAUAAAUAUCAUAAUUUAAAUUUUUUAUAUUAAAAAUAUUUUAAUGUUAUUAGUCUACUACAUAAAUUAUAUUAUUUAUAUUAUAUUCGUAUUGAUUAAAAUCUUUUAAAGUUAAUUUUAUAGUUACUAUAUCCACAGGGUAUUAUAUUAUAUUUAAGAGUAAUUUUUUCAAAUUUUAGGAUUGCAGAUGUCCUUCUUCCGAUAAUUUAUUUCACUUUUGAGAGAAUCCAAUGAGAAAUAUGAUAAGAGAUGGUCAGUUUAAUGUUCUCUGCCUUUAUGGAAAAAAAGUAAAAAGUAAAAACUAUUCAAUUUUGUACUUUUUGUGUCCACCAAAUAAAUUUUACACAUUUAUGUUGUCAUAAAACGAAAAAAAAGGGUUUGCCAAAAAAUGGUACCAAGCAUACCUUUAAUGUCCCACGUGAUUUCUUAUUAAGCCCAUAUUAUAUAUAUUUAUACAUUUUAUUGCAUUAAACAUUUUUAUUAUAAAAGAAGUUGGUCCUUCCCCUAGUGAUAAAAGAUAAAUAUGAUAAUGUUUGAGAUGGGUUUAGUCUUUUAUAUUUGCUGAGUCCAGUGGGUUAAAGAAUUAGAGUAAAGCAUCUGGGCAUUCUUUCAUGCAAAACUAAAAAUCCUGAAAAUAGUUGGCUUUAACUGAUUAAGACAAGCUUGGUCGAAUUGAGUUGAACUUCAUAUAUAAAAGCCAAAUAUAUUGCGGAUUCAUCGAAUUCUUCUCUAAUGAGUUGAAACAAAAGCCGAGCCAUGUCAGCUUCAUAGUUUCCCACCAGAGUAGUAGCAAUGAUUUCUGACUCCGUAAGAAGGUUUUGAAAAAGUGGAGUCAAAUUUGUUAAAUCAGGCAACGUUAACGCGCCUUCUUCACCUGCUAACACCCUUUUCAACCUCUCACAAAAUAGUCGGAGGUUCACGUCCAGCAUAUCUCCUUCUCUCCGAGAAACUGUGUAAGUGGCUAAAUUCCAGAAAUAUGACAUUAUUGCUAUUUUUUUAACUCAAAAAAAUGGUACGCGUUCAUUUAGAGAAAAGUUCAAGACGCGCGCCUUUUGAAAAAUGGUACCCGUUCAUGUAGAGAAAAGAACAGGUAUCCCAAUCGGUAUCCAACCUUUAUCUUCUUUAAUUACCACCACGACAUGAUUUUUUUUUUUUUUUUUUGAUGACAUGAGACUAUUGCUUAAAUUACAACUCAAAUUACAACUCAUAUUACAUGAGAGUAUAAUUGAUAUGUACAAUCAUAUAUACAUACUGAGAUCUAUUGACAUUAAUGCUGAUAUGACACUGCUCAGAUUUUUGUAACCCUCUCAAAUAUUCGAGGGACGUCAAACUCCUAUCCUGGGAGAAAGACUGCCUUCACUCGAGCUCUGUGGCUCCAAGGAAGGAAAUAUAAAUUAAACCUCUACAAUGCGACUGCGGAGGCUCGAACCCCUUCCCUCACAUAUGUGAGGGAGUGGCUCUAGCCACUUGGGCUAGCCCAAGUGGUUCCACGACAUGAUUGAUGGUGCUUAAAUCAAUUGUUUCUUUUUUAAUUUAAAGAAAUUUUCAUUAAAAAAAUAUUUUAAUAUCAAAUACCCUUCAAUGGCAUAACUGCCGCAAUCCCAGAAACAGGAUUAAAUAUUUUUUUUUUUUUGAAUUUUUGGGCAUGGAAAGAGCAGUAUUAAAAAUCAGAAAGCUAAGGUCGUUCUGUUAAAGAAUUGAUAUUGACAUAAUUUUUUUUUGGUUUUCGGGGGAAAAAAAAAAUUGUUGACAAGCAAGAAAAUAUUUUUAUAUUUUACAAUUUAUUAUACAUAUUUUUUUUUUUUGGAUCAAUAAUGGGCUCUAAAAGAGCUAAAGCACCAGUAAACGGGAGUGGGCAACCCCAGACACAUCGUUAUGAAGAAUACUCUGUAAAUUAGGAGGAGCAACAGUAAGUAACUGCAAUCCUAAAGGACAAGACAAAUUAAAUGAGGCCAGAAAAUCUGCUGCUAUGUUUGCUUCUCGAUAGAUGUGGUUCACUUUCACGACCCAGUCCCUGCUGAUCAGCUCACGAAUGGCAAGGAUAAGAGAAUGAUGCUCAUUAACAGGAGUGGUCGGAUUCUCCAAGAUUUGAGAUUUAUUAUACAUAUUUUAUCUUAUUAAAGUAAUUUUAAUAAUAAAUAGAAACAUAAUAUUACCAUAAAUAAAUUAAAGUUUAACUUAUUUUGAAUAUUAUAAAAAAUAAUUUUAAUAUUAUUAAUAGGAGGACAUUGUAUUAAUUUUAAAAUUUUUUAACCCAAAGGUUUAUUUAAAAUCUUUAUUAUAAAUACAAAUAUAAAAUUAAAUAUAAUAAUUUAAAAUUUUUAAUAUUAUUUUAAAUAUUAAAAAUAUUUUAAUGUUAUUAGUCUACUACAUAGAUCAUAUUACUUAUAUAAUAUUUGUAUUAUUAAAAAUUCUUAAAAUCAAAUUUUUAGUUAGUAUAUUUAUGAGGUAUUAUGGUUAAAAAAAAAACCUUAUUAUUACUUUUUAAAACAUUGAGGGCCUGCGUGAUAAUUUUUUCAAAAAGAAAAUGCUUGGUAUCUAGGAGGGUUAGAGAAACAGGACUACCAAAAUCUCUCACCCUUUUUUAAUUAAAAAAAAUUAAAAUAUCAAUAAAAAAAAUAAAGAAAAUAGAAUUUUAUCUGCUCCUUACUCCAUUUUUGUAACUCUCUCACCAUCUCUGUCGAGCAGCCCUCUCUUUCACUGUCUCUCACUAUUUCACAAUCUCUCUCUCACUCACACAGUCCUUUAGAAAAGCCCAAAAUAGGCCCAAUAAGCCCAUAAUUAAAAUAAUCGAAUCGAAUUAUUUCAAUUAAUCGAGUAUUUGAUUAUUUCGGUAAUUUGAUUAAUCGCGAUUAUGAUUUUAAAAUAAUCGUAAUCGAACGAUUAUGAAAAAUUUAGUAAAAAACCGAAUUGAACCGAACCGCACCCACCCCUACAUAAAAGAACAACAAUUACUUGUCAUUUUCAAUUUUUUCUAUAAGCUAUUUAUUUUGAGCAUUAGUGAUCUUGUCUGGACUACUCCAAUUAUUGACGUAACUCCAGUGGCUGCAUCCACUGGAAAAAGUGGAUGAGAACAUUUUUUUUUUUCAUAAAGGUAACUACUCCAAUUAUUGACAUAAUUGAUGGUGCUUAAAUCAAUUUUUUUUUUUAAUUUAAAGAAUUUUGCUUUAAAAAAUAAUUAAUAUCAAAAUGCCUUCAAUGUUGUUACCGCCACAAGCCCAGUUAGAGGACUCAUUAAAAAUUUUAGAAUUUUUAGGCCUGGAAAGCGUAGUAUUAAACAUCAGAAAGCAAAGGUUGUUAUGUCGAAGAAUUGAUGUCGACAAAAUUUUAUUUUAGUUUUCGGAAAAAAAAAAAAAUUUGUUGACAAGCAAGAAAAUAUUUUUUAUACUUUACAAUCUGCUAUACAUAUUUUAUCAUAUUAAAGUAAUUUUAAUAAUAUAUGGAAACAUAAUAUUAUAAUAAAUAAAUUAAAAUUACUUUGAAUUAUUGAAUAUUACAAAAAGAUAAUUUUAAUAUUAUUAAUAGGAAAACAUUUUUAAUUGUAAAAUCUUUUUAAUACAAAAAUUCAUUUAAAAUCUUUAUAAUAAAUACAAAUAUAAAAUUAAAAAAAUAUCAUAAUUUAAAUUUUUUAAAAUUAUUUAAAUAUUAAAAAUACUUUAAUAUUAUUAGUCUACUACAUAAAAUAUAUUAUUUAUAUUAUAUUCGUAUUGAUUAAAACGUUUUAAAGUCAAAUUUUUAAUUAGUGUAUUCAAAGAUACAAAAGAUUUUAGUAUUAUUUUUAAAAAAUUUCAGGAUAUGAAUGAUAAUUUUUUCAAAUUUUAAAGAUGUAAGAAUCUUUUUUUCUGAUAAUUUAUUUCACUUUUGAGAGAAUCCGAAAACGUUAAUUUAACAUUCUUUACCUUUGUGAAAAAAGUGAAAAUCAAGAACUAUUCAAUUUUGUUUUUAUUUGUAAUUCAAAAACUUUAUUCAUUUUCGAUGCUUUUCAAAAGAGACUCCUCUAAAUCCUUUUGGUGUCUGCAGCUCCUGCAAUUCUCAUAAAUCUCCAUCCCACAUCUACACUAUCAAACAAGUUGAUGGAAAUUCUUAUCAAAAAAAAAAAAAAAAACAAGUCGAUGGAAAUUGAUCAAUUACUUUUUGAAGUGGACCCAUUGAGUCAUGUUCAUUUCUGGUCAUUGUCUACUCUUUCCAUCAGCCAUUUAUUUUGACCAUUUGCGAUCUUAAAGGAUAUGAGAACGUAGCUGAAGUGCUGAAGGGGCUAUUAAAGAAGAGUGUCACUUGAUCACAAUCACAUUGAUGCACAACUCACUCGUGGCAAAUUUCGACUAUACGUUCUGCAAAUUCAGCCAAACCAUACAUGCAUGAACAAAACUAAAAUGUAGUUCUAAUCACAACUGCAGUUAUAAUGUUUACCCCUCUGAUUUUUCUCCAAAACAAAUUCAGUUCAAAACAAUAAUUAAAUAGCCACAUUUUGUUCGUCAAAAUAAAUGCCCAAAUUUUCAAUUAACAAAUCAUCUUCUCUAAACUAAAAAUCCCACAUCUCUAAAAUCAAUCUACAUAAUGUUGGAGAUGAGGGGUGAAUUGUUAACUCAGUAAAAAAAACUCAUGCAUAAUAUUACUAAUAAUAUAAAAUAUAUAUUAAUCAUUAUAAAGAAUCAUAAUUAGAAAAAUUAAUCAUUUUAUAAUUUAUUACACAAGUAAGAUAAAUCUCAUAAUAAGUUAUAACAUAAAAAAAACGUUAUCAAUAUAUAAUCAUUUAAGAAGUCAUUUAACAAUAAAAUCGUUCUUUAAUCAGUUGGUCAUGUCACAUAGUGUCAUCUAUAUUUACGGUGAUAAUAUUAUUACUCAGUAUUAUCAAAAAACAUGAUUUAACAUUUAGAGGAAAUUCUUGCCUUUUAAAAAAAACAUGUAUGCAACAACUACCCAUGCUUUAUCUUACCAUGACAAAUAUUUUCUCAAUGAAAGAAAAUUUUUUAAAAAUUGAUUUAAUGCACAAAUAUGAUGAUUUUUCCAAAAAUUAGUUUUGGAAAACAUAGUGAGAGAAAAUAGUGACGAUUAUUGUUUAGAUGUAUAAAUAGCCUAAACAUAAUCCUUAAUACCAAUAUCCUAAUGCAUCUUAUCAUCUUUCAUGAUAUUCUUUCAUUUAUGUCCAUUGGUUCAAGAUUUGAAUUUGAUCAUUAAAUCAUGUUCAAUAAUAUUAGAGAUUCUAACAAAUGAGUACCAACUUAAAUCCCAAUGUUAUGUGUCAUUGACCAAUUUUGUGUCAUUUUGUUAUUAACUAGGUGAUGAAUUUGUAGUUGAUAAAAUCACUUAAAAAUAUCUUAAAAAUCAAACAAUAGUUUGCUUAAUUUUUCCAAGUUAACUGCUCAAGAUGCUCUAUUAUAAAUAAUAACCUAAUUAUAUUCAUAAAAAAUGAUAUUUUUUUUGUGGUGUUGAUAAUGAGAUUAUCAUUCAACAUUUUAAAAUGUGAAAACAUAUGGAAGAUGGUUGUAAAUUGAUUGAAUGAAAACAUUUCAGUGAAGUCUCAAAAAUUUGGUACUUGUUGUCUUAUCGAAAGUUUUCUAAAUUAUAUUCGUGGCACAGCCACUAUCCAAACCAUACAAGUCCAAAGCUAUCCAAACCAUACCUGCAAGUCCGGGGCUUAAAUGGAGUACUUCUAAGCAAAAAAACAUUGACUAAAAUAGAAUAUAUACAUACAGACACACAUACAUACCAGCAUAUUCAAAAUAGCAAAAGGAGUGCAAAAGUUCAAGUUUGUAGACAACAUUGCAACCAUAGCAUGUUUAUAGCAAAUCCUCAAAAUCUGCUAAAUAAAACAAUGCCCUGUCUCAUGAAUCAAUGCUGAAUUAAAAUUGAAACUGAAAGUCUGGAUGGUUUUGUUUGUUGAGAAUGUCAAAUAAAACGGCAUUGAAGGAAGUUUUCAAAGGCAGAAUCCGCACUUGUCAAAGGGAUGAUCUGCACUUGUCAAAGACACUAUCCGCGCCGAACGGAUCGACACAUUUCCUUCCGUAUUCACAUAUGUAAUCUUUGAAAAAAUAUAGCUUCUGCAUCUAUAAAUAACGCUCAGUGUAUAAUGUUUUAUUCAAGAAAUAAAAACAAGUUUCUACAUGGUAUCAGAGCCAUGAAUGCGCUCAAGUUUCUUCAAGUUUCGCUGCUCUGUUUGUCACAAAAACAGAGGAAACCAAUUAAAUUCGUCCCACAACCAUUUUUUCCACCAUUUUCUUCCUUAAAAUCAUUCCUAACAUUACAGAAAUCCAUGCCGAUCAAAAAACAUGAAAGACAAAUUACACAUGUGCAGUAACCAAUGAUCAUAUUUCGUUACUGUCAAACACAAUGCAUCUGAGCAAAACAUUGGAAGCCAACACCAGAAUACAUAUGAAUAAACAAUUAAAGAUAGAGAAAAAAGGCUUAAACCUUGGGGGGAAAAAGUGAAAAAACAUGAAAGACAAAUUACACAUGUGCAGUAGCCAUCGAACUUAUCAGUGACAGCUGCAUCCAUUACAUUGCUCCAACAACACAAUGGCAAACCACCAGUUUCAAAUUGAGGAUAGCUAUCGAGAAUGAGAAAGUGUCCAAAACGUCAUAAAUAGACAUGUUCCGAUUGUGCAUAAUUUACAUUAUAGGCAAAUAUUCUUAUACCAUCAAAGGCAAAACAUGACACUAACAAUUGAUCACCCCCCCCCCCCCCCCCCCAACAACAAAAAAAAGGAAAAAAACAAUACAGAAAAGAUUGAAACAGAUAAGGCUACACUGAGCACAGGAUGCCAUGAAACAUAAUCCAGGAACCAAAUUAAUAAAAAAGGAAGCCAAACCAUUAUUUAACAAUCUGUUUUGUAUUUGGGAAAGUCUGAUAAAAUCUACUUGGGGAUAAUUAGAGAACCUCAACUAUUAAUCACACCUCAUAAAUGAACUAACAUUAAACAUCUACCAUCCCAACGUCACACAAACAUUCUCUACACUUCUGAACCUAAUACUUCCAUCUUCAAUUGGGGUUUUUUUUUCUUUUUCUUUGGGGGGGGGGGGGGGGGGGAUUGAAAUGCUGAUUUCGAAUCACUAACAGUAAAAUUGGAAGCUCAUGAAAAAAUAGUUUUAUCUCAAAAUUACAUCUCGAUAUAAAUUCUCUUUUCAUUUCCUUCAACUUUCUAAUUAAGCUUAAAAAAUGUACCUUCAACCACAAAGGGGUUUAAAAUUUAAAAUAUAAAAAAUAAAUUCAGAUAACAAUAAUUAAUUUAAUUAAAAAUAUAAAUAGAGUUACAGAGAAAGAGAAAAUAGAGAAAGACGUAAUGUUGAGUCCUUUGGCGCAAGUCUCUUCAUAGGUCCGAACCAUUUCUUCGGGCGUGGGUUUCGGGUCUUUAGGAUACUCCAUAGUGAUAAGCCAGUGAUUGUAAUCGCAACCCUCGAACAGAAUCGUGUCGGGUGUGAUCUCGUCGCCGUCCUUAUACAAGUGGUACGUCUUGUUAACCGACGGCGUAGACGAGAGGGAGAUCGUCGGGGACGAUCUGAACGGCCGAGAUUGGAUAAUGAUGGAGGAGGAGAAGAUUAGCGAUGACGACGCCGAUGAAAUGGAAGGGUUUACCAGAGGAGUGGAUGCGAAGAAUGCAGGGACGGCCGCAAAGAGAGAGCGGCGGAGAGCGGCGACGGACGGUAGUGACCAGCGGAGGCGGAAAAUGGCGGUAUGGGCCAUUGCUUGCGCGUCGGUGAGUGUCUCGAGUGAGAGAGUGAAGGGUUUUGGGAAAUGAAAAAUGCAAAUGUUUGAUUUUGUUGCUAGAAACUUCUUCUGCCGCUGCCUUUUAUUUUCGCUAUAAUAAUAAUAAUUUGUUAAUCAAAUAUUUUCUUAAAAAAGAUAAAUUUCUACAACAAAAUUUAUAUUAAAUCAAAUUGUAAAAAUGUCUAUUAGGGUUAAUUUCUCCUUAAUAUUAUUAUUAGUAGAUGUAGAUUUUCGAAUUAGUCUUGAUAUAUUUCAGAGUUGUAUUAUAAAUGUAUAUGUAUCUGGAUUGCAAUUAUAUUUUUAAAAAAUAUAAUUUUUUUAAUUAUUGCACAAUAAAUGUAAAUAGUAUCUAUAAAAUAAUAUUAUUAGGACUACGAAAAAAAUAUUAUUUUAGAGAAGUUAUUUAUUUAUUAUUGAAUGAAUAAAAAAAUUAGUUUGGCAUUUUUAUAACCUCCUUGAAGGUUUUACGAUAAACAUAAAUCUACUGAGAAAGUGGGAAAAAAAAAAGAAAAUGCAUAUAAAAGUAUGAGUUAUCAGAUAAGAUUAAAACUCACCCAAUUCAAUCCAUCAGAUUCCGUAAGGAUAUAACUGGAUGUCAUACCGCCACUCCAUAUCCUCGAAAGUCCGUAGUCCUUGUCUCAACUGUGUCUGAGGCCAGUGUAAGUCCAAUUUGCGCAAGCUCUUUAUGCACCACAGCUCUUCUGGAAGCUUUCUCAAGUAAGCACAUGGGUUGACAAUUAAGCUUUCAAGUUUCGGCAUUGCUCCAGCCCCCAUCGUCCACUCAUCUAGCCAAUACAUUGAUUUCAGGUGCAAAACCUUAAGUUCGGGAAAGCUACUCAAGCCAACACAAGCAAGCUUUCUUCCUAAAUACGAGUUCUGCUUCAGUUUCAGCACUCGAAGGCGUGGAAGAUUUUCCAGAAUUGGCAUGGGAUCCUCCAUUAGCUCAGUAUUUGAUAAGCUCAGUUGGAUCAGACUUGGGGGAAAUUGGUAUUCAGACAGGACCAUCCGUGAGGGCUUGCUCUCAUUCACCAGCUUCAAGCAUUCAAGUUUGUGGAGUUCGCAAAGGCUUUUGGAAACCCCAGAUUGAUAGUAACUCAAAUCUCCAGAUAUCCGAAGAGUCUGAACACUAGGUAGUCUGCCCAAUAUAUCAGGAGUACAACUGCUACGGUUUAAAGCUGAUAUGAAAAUGAGAUUUUUCAGAGAGCUAGAAUAAUUUUUUGGAGGUGCGGGCAGAGUGAUAGAACCAAAGUUUAGAUGCAUGAGUUUUUGCAUCAUCCAAAUAUCCUCUGGUGACUGAUCUAUGUAGCUAAAUGGCAUUUCUAGUGUUUCAAGGUUUAAAAGGGUGCAUAGCAGUGAAGGAAGACAUUUGAGCGAAGGGAUAUUCAAUUUCAAAUACUUCAAAAGAUAUAAAUUUUCUAAUCCGGGCGGAUAUUGGUCCAGGACUGCAGAACCCAUGUUCAAUACCCGAAGGUGUUUGAACUUUUUACAAAAAUUCUCGCAAUCUAUCAGAGCGAGACGAUCGCUUUCUGAACUGUGAUUCAGAAAAGAUUGGAGACGCAUGUCAGAAUAUUCUAAAGGAAAGAAGUCAAUCAGACGUUCCACAAUGAAGCACCGUUUAACAUUUGCCACUGAUUCCUCUUCCAUGUCAGGCGUCCAGACAAAUCCCGCCUUCUUUGCCAGAAAAUACAAUGAAGUGUAUACAAAACUUGGAACAUAACACGCUUUAAUUGUGCCGCCGGCGCUUCUCUUACUCACUUGAAUGAAGCCGCGAUGGAUUAGUUCUUUCAAGAAAUGGUCGGCAGUUUCUUCACCGUUGUAUGGUACGAAACCUUCAGCUACCCACAACUGAUGUAAUUGCCUCCUGGAUAUCUCAAUACUUGGAGGGAAGACACACAAAUAGAUGAAGCAGACUUUCAAAUGAAAAGGUAACUCCAUCACAGAAAAAAUUUGUCUCCAAACUGUCGGAAUCGCUUCGCCUUGAAGAUAAUUUUCUAAUGGCAUACUUCCAUAGUGUAGGAUGAAAAAUUGCCAGGCUUCAUGCUUUAAUCUGAUCAAUGGUCCUCCAAAGAGCACUGAAUCACGCCGAAUCUUCUCUCCGUUUUCCAUUUCCAACGACGCAAGGAGGUCUGGAUUAGUGACUGUUAUCAAUACUCUGCUUCCAUUCUGCUUAUCAGGAAGAACUUCUUCAAGAUCAUCCCAUAUGUCACUGUCAUUGAAGACAUCAUCAAGCACAAUAAAGUACUUCUUGUUUGUCAGGUAAUCUCGAAGAAUAGAUUUCUUCAAGCGAUAAUCUUCACUGAUAAUUACCCUAGCCCGAGAUGGAGGCAUCAAAGAAUUGAUUAUGUCAUCCAAUAUCUUGCCAAAAUCGUAGGCUAUAGAAACCCUGACCCAAGAAAGACAGUCAAAAUAGAACUUGACAUGGUUAUUAUUGUAAGUAUCUGCAGCAAAAGCAGUCUUAUCGAAGCCACUGCUGUCGAGAAUUGCAACCACUGAAAGCCCAGAUGGUCCCUCAAUCAAUAGAUCAAAAAACUUCUCUCUGCCCCUUUCAAAUUCACUGAUAUCGAGCCGAGGUUGUCCCUCAUUCAAUAGGCGAAUGAUUUCGUUACUUUUUUCACUGAUAUCAAAACCAUUGUCGCCGGGUGGAAGUUGUUGCAUCCGAUUUCUAAUAUCAAUGAUUUUAGUGUGGAGUCCAACAAGAAGAGCCAUAUCAGUACUGCUUUCACUUUCGUUUUCACUGUUUUGCUGCUGCAUUAUGUUGAUGAAGAAUCUGUCAAUGGCUUCCUCAGAUUCAUGGACAACGGGAUUGAUGUCCUCCAGAAUUUCCAAAAUAUCUGCUGUUUCAACGUCUUCUUUAUCGCUUUCUUCUAAGUCCAACAGUUGCAAAAAAGGCAAUGAUAUUUUGGAGUCAUCGAAUUCUUCUCUAAUGAGUUGAAACAAAUGCCGAGCCAUGUCAGCUUCAUAUUUUCCCAGCAGAGUAGUAGCAAUAAUUUCGGACUCCGUAAGAAGGUUUUGAAAAAGUGGAGUUAAAUUUGUUGAAUCAGGCAAAGUUAACGUGCCUUCUUCACCUGCUAACACCCUUUUCAACCUCACACAAAACAGUCGGAGGUGGAGUUCCAGCAUAUCUCCUUCUCUCCGCAGCACUCAGAGGUAUAGUUGAAAGAUUAAACACCAUGGAAGAAUUUGAAAGGAAUAUGCCAAGAAACUGUGUAAGUGGCUAAAUUCCACAAAUGCGGCAUUAUUGCUCAUUUUUAACUCAAAAAAUUGAUACGCGUUCAUUUAGAGAAAAGUCCAAGACGCGUGCCUUUUGAAAAGAACAGGUAUCCCAAUCGGUAUCCAACCUCUAUCUUAUUUAAUUACUAUCAUGACAUAAUUGAUGGUGCUUAAAUCAAUUGUUUCUUUUUUAAUUUAAAGAAUUUUUCAUUAAAAAAAUAUUUUAAUAUCAAAUUGCCUUCAGUGGCGUAACUGCCUCAAGCCCAGUAACAGGACUAAUUAAAGAUUUUACAAUUUUUGGGCAUGGAAAUAGUAGUAUUAAAUAUUAGAAAGGUGAGGUUGUUCUGUUAAAGAAUUGAUCUUGACAUAAUUUUAUUUUGGUUUUCGUGGAAAAAUAAAAUUUGUUGACAAGCAAGAAAAUAUUUUUAUAUUUUAAAAUUUAUUAUGCAUAUUUUAUCAUAUUAAAGUAGUUUUAAUAAUAAAUAGAAACAUAAUAUUACGAUAAAUAAAUUAAAAUUUAACUUAUUUUGAAUAUUAUAAAAAAAAUUUUAAUAUUAUUAAUAGGAAGACAUUGUAUUAAUUUUAAAAUUUUUUAACCCAAAGGUUUAUUUAAAAUCUUUAUUAUAAAUACAAAUAUAAAAUUAAAUAUCAUAAUUUAAAAAUUUUAAUAUUAUUUUAAGUAUUAAAAAUAUUUUAAUGUUAUUAGUCUACUACAUAGAUCAUAUUACUUAUAUAAUAUUUGUAUUAUUAAAAAUUCUUAAAAUCAAAUUUUUAGUUAGUAUAUUCAUGAGGUAUUAUGGUUAAAAAAAAAAAAGACCUUAUUAUUACUUUUUAAAAAAUUGAGGGUCUGCGUGAUAAUUUUUUCAAAAAGAAAAUGCUUGGUAUGUAGGAGGGGUAGAGAAACAGGACUCCCAAAAUCUCUCACCCUUCUUUAAUUAAAAAUAAAUAAAAUAUUAAUAAAAAAUAAUAAAGAAAAUAGAAUUUUAUCUGCUCCUUACUCCAUUUUUGUAACUCUCUCACCAUCUCUGUCGAGCAGCCCUCUCUUUCGUUGUCUCUCACUAUUUCACGAUCUCUCUCUCACUCACACAGUCCUUUAAAAAAGCCCAAAAUAGGCCCAAUAAGCCCAUAAUUAAAAUAAUCGAAUCGAAUUAUUUUAAUUAAUCGAGUAUUUGAUUAUUUCGGUAAUUUAAUUAAUCGCAAUUAUGAUUUUAAAAUAAUCGUAAUCGAACGAUUAUGAAAAAUUUAGUAAAAAAACCGAACUGAACCGAACCGCACCCACCCCUACAUAAAAGAACAUCAAUUACUUGUCAUUUUCAAUUUUUUCUAUAAGCUAUUUAUUUUGAGCAUUAGUGAUCUUGUCUGGACUACUCCAAUUAUUGACGUAACUCCAGUGGCUGCAUCCACUGGAAAAAGUGGAUGAUAACAUUUUUUUUUUUUUCAUAAAGGUAACUACUCCAAUUAUUGACAUAAUUGAUGGUGCUUAAAUCAAUUUUUUUUUUAAUUUAAAGAAUUUUGCUUUAAAAAAUAAUUAAUAUCAAAAUGCCUUCAAUGUUGUUACCGCCACAAGCCCAGUUAGAGGACUCAUUAAAACUUUUAGAAUUUUUAGGCCUGGAAAGCAUAGUAUUAAACAUCAGAAAGCAAAGGUUGUUAUGUCGAAGAAUUGAUGUCGACAAAAUUUUAUUUUAGUUUUCGGAAAAAAAAAAUUUGUUGACAAGCAAGAAAAUAUUUUUUAUACUUUACAAUCUGCUAUACAUAUUUUAUCAUAUUAAAGUAAUUUUAAUAAUAUAUGGAAACAUAAUAUUAUAAUAAAUAAAUUAAAAUUAAAAUUACUUUGAAUUAUUAAAUAUUACAAAAAGAUAAUUUUAAUAUUAUUAAUAGGAAAACAUUUUUAAUUGUAAAAUCUUUUUAAUACAAAAAUUCAUUUAAAAUCUUUAUAAUAAAUACAAAUAUAAAAUUAAAAAUAUCAUAAUUUAAAAUUUUUAAUAUUAUUUUAAUAUUAAAAAUACUUUAAUAUUAUUAGUCUACUACAUAAAAUAUAUUAUUUAUAUUAUAUUCGUAUUGAUUAAAACGUUUUAAAGUCAAAUUUUUAAUUAUUGUAUUCAAAGGUACAAAAGAUUUUAGUAUUAUUUUUUAAAAAUUUUAGGAUAUGAAUGAUAAUUUUUUCGAAUUUUAAAGAUGUAAGAAUCUUUUUUUCUAAUAAUUUAUUUCACUUUUGAGAGAAUCCGAAAACGUUAAUUUAACAUUCUUUACCUUUGUGAAAAAAGUGAAAAUCAAGAACUAUUCAAUUUUGUUUUUAUUUGUAAUUCAAAAACUUUAUUCAUUUUCGAUGCUUUUCGAAAGAGAUUCCGUUAAAUCCUUUUGGUGUCGGCAGCUCCUGCUAUUCUCAUAAAUCUCCAUUCCACAUCUACACUAUCAAACAAGUUGAUGGAAAUUCUUAUAAAAAAAAAACAAGUCGAUGGAAAUUGAUCAAUUACUUUUUGAAGUGGACCCAUUGAGUCAUGUUCAUUUCUGGUCAUUGUCUACUCUUUCCAUCAGCCAUUUAUUUUGACCAUUUGCGAUCUUAAAGGAUAUGAGAACGUAGCUGAAGUGCUGAAGGGGCUAUUAAAGAAGAGUGUCACUUGAUCACAAUCACAUUGAUGCACAACUCACUCGUGGCAAAUUUCGACUAUACGUUCUGCAAAUUCAGCCAAACCAUACGUGCAUGAACAAAACUAAAAUGUAGUUCUAAUCACAACUCCAGUUAUGAUGUUUACCCCUCUGAUUUUUCUCCAAAACAAAUUCAGUUCAAAACAAUAAUCAAAAUAGCCACAUUUUGUUCGUCAAAAUAAAUGCCCAAAUUUUCAAUUAACAAAUCAUCUUCUCUAAACUAAAAAUCCCACAUCUCUAAAAUCAAUCUACAUAAUGUUGGAGAUGAGGGGUGAAUUGUUAACUCAGUAAAAAAAACUCAUGCAUAAUAUUACUAAUAAUAUAAAAUAUAUAUUAAUCAUUAUAAAGAAUCAUAAUUAGAAAAAUUAAUCAUUUUAUAAUUUAUUACACAAGUAAGAUAAAUCUCAUAAUAAGUUAUAACAUAAAAAAAACGUUAUCAAUAUAUAAUCAUUUAAGAAGUCAUUUAACAAUAAAAUCGUUCUUUAAUCAGUUGGUCAUGUCACAUAGUGUCAUCUAUAUUUACGGUGAUAAUAUUAUUACUCAGUAUUAUCAAAAAACAUGAUUUAACAUUUAGAGGAAAUUCUUGCCUUUUAAAAAAAAACAUGUAUGCAACAGCUACCCAUGCUUUAUCUUACCAUGACAAAUAUUUUCUCAAUGAAAGAAAAUUUUUUAAAAAUUGAUUUAAUGCACAAAUAUGAUGAUUUUUCCAAAAAUUAGUUUUGGAAAACAUAGUGAGAGAAAAUAGUGACGAUUAUUGUUUAGAUGUAUAAAUAGCCUAAACAUAAUCCUUAAUACCAAUAUCCUAAUGCAUCUUAUCAUCUUUCAUGAUAUUCUUUCAUUUAUGUCCAUUGGUUCAAGAUUUGAAUUUGAUCAUUAAAUCAUGUUCAAUAAUAUUAGAGAUUCUAACAAAUGAGUACCAACUUAAAUCCCAAUGUUAUGUGUCAUUGACCAAUUUUGUGUCAUUUUGUUAUUAACUAGGUGAUGAAUUUGUAGUUGAUAAAAUCACUUAAAAAUAUCUUAAAAAUCAAACAAUAGUUUGCUUAAUUUUUCCAAGUUAACUGCUCAAGAUGCUCUAUUAUAAAUAAUAACCUAAUUAUAUUCAUAAAAAAUGAUAUUUUUUUUGUGGUGUUGAUAAUGAGAUUAUCAUUCAACAUUUUAAAAUGUGAAAACAUAUGGAAGAUGGUUGUAAAUUGAUUGAAUGAAAACAUUUCAGUGAAGUCUCAAAAAUUUGGUACUUGUUGUCUUAUCGAAAGUUUUCUAAAUUAUAUUCGUGGCACAGCCACUAUCCAAACCAUACAAGUCCAAAGCUAUCCAAACCAUACCUGCAAGUCCGGGGCUUAAAUGGAGUACUUCUAAGCAAAAAAACAUUGACUAAAAUAGAAUAUAUACAUACAGACACACAUACAUACCAGCAUAUUCAAAAUAGCAAAAGGAGUGCAAAAGUUCAAGUUUGUAGACAACAUUGCAACCAUAGCAUGUUUAUAGCAAAUCCUCAAAAUCUGCUAAAUAAAACAAUGCCCUGUCUCAUGAAUCAAUGCUGAAUUAAAAUUGAAACUGAAAGUCUGGAUGGUUUUGUUUGUUGAGAAUGUCAAAUAAAACGGCAUUGAAGGAAGUUUUCAAAGGCAGAAUCCGCACUUGUCAAAGGGAUGACCUGCACUUGUCAAAGACACGAUCCGCGCCGAACGGAUCGACACAUUUCCUUCCGUAUUCACAUAUGUAAACUUUGAAAAAAUAUAGCUUCUGCAUCUAUAAAUAACGCUCAGUGUAUAAUGUUUUAUUCAAGAAAUAAAAACAAGUUUCUACAUGGUAUCAGAGCCAUGAAUGCGCUCAAGUUUCUUCAAGUUUCGCUGCUCUGUUUGUCACAAAAACAGAGGAAACCAAUUAAAUUCGUCCCACAACCAUUUUUUCCACCAUUUUCUUCCUUAAAAUCAUUCCUAACAUUACAGAAAUCCAUGCCGAUCAAAAACAUGAAAGACAAAUUACACAUGUGCAGUAACCAAUGAUCAUAUUUUGUUACUGUCAAACACAAUGCAUCUGAGCAAAACAUUGGAAGCCAACACCAGAAUACAUAUGAAUAAACAAUUAAAGAUAGAGAAAAAAGGCUUAAACCUUGGGGGAAAAAGUGAAAAAACAUGAAAGACAAAUUACACAUGUGCAGUAACCAUCGAACUUAUCAGUGACAGCUGCAUCUAUUACAUUGCUCCAACAACACAAGGGCAAACCACCAGUUUCAAAUUGAGGAUAGCUAUCGAGAAUGAGAAAGUGUCCAAAACGUCAUAAAUAGACAUGUUCCUAUUGUGCAUAAUUUACAUUAUAGGCAAAUAUUUUUAUACCAUCAAAGGCAAAACAUGACACUAACAAUUGAUCACCCCCCCCCCCCCCCCCCCCAACAACAAAAAAAAGGAAAAAACAAUACAGAAAAGAUUGAAACAGAUAAGGCUACACUGAGCACAGGAUGCCAUGAAACAUAAUCCAGGAACCAAAUUAAUAAAAAAGGAAGCCAAACCAUUAUUUAACAAUCUGUUUUGUAUUUGGGAAAGUCUGAUAAAAUCUACUUGGGGAUAAUUAGAGAACCUCAACUAUUAAUCACACCUCAUAAAUGAACUAACAUUAAACAUCUACCAUCCCAACGUCACACAAACAUUCUCUACACUUCUGAACCUAAUACUUCCAUCUUCAAUUGGGGGUUUUUUUUUUCUUUUUCUUUGGGGGGGGGGGGGGAUUGAAAUGCUGAUUUCGAAUCACUAACAGUAAAAUUGGAAGCUCAUGAAAAAAUAGUUUUAUCUCAAAAUUACAUCUCGAUAUAAAUUCUCUUUUCAUUUCCUUCAACUUUCUAAUUAAGCUUAAAAAAUGUACCUUCAACCACAAAGGGGUUUAAAAUUUAAAAUAUAAAAAAUAAAUUCAGAUAACAAUAAUUAAUUUAAUUAAAAAUAUAAAUAGAGUUACAGAGAAAGAGAAAAUAGAGAAAGACGUAAUGUUGAGUCCUUUGGCGCAAGUCUCUUCAUAGGUCCGAACCAUUUCUUCGGGCGUGGGUUUCGGGUCUUUAGGAUACUCCAUAGUGAUAAGCCAGUGAUUGUAAUCGCAACCCUCGAACAGAAUCGUGUCGGGUGUGAUCUCGUCGCCGUCCUUAUACAAGUGGUACGUCUUGUUAACCGACGGCGUAGACGAGAGGGAGAUCGUCGGGGACGAUCUGAACGGCCGAGAUUGGAUAAUGAUGGAGGAGGAGAAGAUUAGCGAUGACGACGCCGAUGAAAUGGAAGGGUUUACCAGAGGAGUGGAUGCGAAGAAUGCAGGGACGGCCGCAAAGAGAGAGCGGCGGAGAGCGGCGACGGACGGUAGUGACCGGCGGAGAGCGGAAGAUGGCGGUAUGGGCCAUUGCUUGCGCGUCAGUGAGUGUCUCGAGUGAGGAGUGAAGGGUUUUGUACUUUUGUUUAGGGUUUUGGGAAAUGAAAAAUGCAAAUGUUUGAUUUUGUUGCUAGAAACUUCUUCUGCCGCCGCUUUUUAUUUUCGCUAAAUAAUAAUAAUAAUUUGUUAAUAAAAUACUUUCUUAGAAAAGAUAAAUUUAUAGAACAAAAUUUAUAUUAAAUCAAAUUGUAAAAAUGUGGAAUAGGGCUAAUUUCUCCUGAAUAUUAUUAUUAGUAGAAGUAGAUUUUCGAAAUAGUCUUGAUAUAUUUCAAAGUUGUAUUAUAGAUGUACAUGUAUCUGGAUUGUAAUUAUAUUUUAAAAAAUAUACAUUUUUUUUCAUUAUUGCACAAUAAAUGUAGAAAGUGUCUAUAAAAUAAUAUUAUUAGAACUAUGAAAAUAUAUUAUUUUAGAGUAGUUAUUUAUUUAUUUUUGAAUAAAUAAUUUAUUAAUUUAUUAAUUUAUUGAUAAAUUAAUAAAUAUUAAUUUAAAGAGAGAUUUUUUUUUUUGGGGGUUUUUAAGAAGAGUUUUGUUGGUAUAUGUACAAACUUAUAAAGAAAUACAAAAAAUGCUUCCUCAAGUCAAUAGUAUUUACUUUAAUUCAUAAUAGUAUAGUUUAAUCAAGAAACUUAUAAUUAUACUAUAUCUUUCUUUCUUUGUUCUAUUUGGUGGGACAUUGUGAUAAAUCAUUGGAUUAAAAUGCAUUUCUAAAUGAAAACUUGUUAAAACCUAAUUUAUUUGGGAACGACAUUUUAUUUGUCAGUCGUAUUUCUCAACUUCGUAAGUUAUUUCUAAUUUAUCGGUCUCUAUUGGUUCUCUUAAGUACCUAUUUGGCAUGACUUAUUUAAUAGUAAUAAGUGCUUAUUUAAUCUCAUAAGUUUUUUCCCUCUCUGACAAUUGAGUUAGGGGGUCAAACUUGAAAGUAUCUUAAAAUUAGACAACAAUUUAACUAUUUUUUUUUUUUUAGAUAACUGCUAAUAUGCUCUAUUAGACAAUGAUGAGUGAUAACCUAGGUGUUUGCAUUUAAAGGGAUACUUUUUGUGGUGUUGAUAAAGAGGUUAAGUAUGAUUCAACAAUUUAAAAUAUGAAAACAUAUGGAAGACGGCCGCAAUUAAAUUAAUUGUAUGAAAAUAUUUCAAUGAAAUUUUAAAAAUUUAGUAUUUGUUAUCUUAUCGAGAGUUUUUUAAAAUUAUAUUACUACUUGAACUUGACUGCUUUUGUAUUUAAUUCCUACCGUUGCCAUUGCUUCUACUCAAAAGCCAUUUAAGUUUGUGUAAGCUACGUAUAGUUUGAACAACAAUUUACUCAUGAAUUGUUGUUCAUAAUAGCAUCAGUGCAUGCAUCAUUUUAAUGAGAAAGAAUAUUCUAAGAACGAAAUUGAACGUGGGAGGUAUCGGGAAGGAAUUGGAAUGGAAUAAUAUCGAUUCAUAUAGAUACAGAAGAAAAAGUUCUCUAUUGAUUCAAAUGCUGUGCCUAUGGGAUAAGGAUAGAGAAAGAGGAAAAAACCGAAGCCAGAAAUGUACACGCAUGAGGAACUUUUCCUAGAAGAUUGAUAUUUCUUUGACUAGCAAACCAUACAAGUCCAAAGCUAGCCAAACCAUACCUGCAAGUCGGGGGUUUAAAUGGAAUACUUCUAAGCAUAAAACAUUGAUUAAAACAGAAUACACACAUACAUACCAGCAAAUUCAAAAUAGCAAAAGGAGUGCAAAAGUUCAAGUUUGUAGACAACAUUGCAACCAUGGCAUGUUUAUAGCAAAUCCUCGAAAUCUGCUAAAUAAAACAAUGCCCUGUCUCAUGAAUCAAUGCUGAAUUAAAAUUGAAACUGAAAGUCCGGCUGGCGUUGUUUCCCUCUCCAAUUUUGCCUACAUAAGUGAAAAUAAGAAUAAUAAAUGAAAAUCUGCUUUUACGGUUCUUAUUAGAUAGAUAAAAGGGGGAUCUUUCUUUGUUUCUCUGCUGCAAUGUGUGGCUAUCCCACUCUGUUUUGCCACCCAAGCUGAGUCUAUGCUGAGACAUAAUUUUGACAUCAGAAGCAAUCUCAAUUAGUUUGGCACUUUUAAGCAAUCUCAUAUUUUGCUCACUUGAAGGUUUUACGAUAAACAUAAAUCUACAGAGAAAGUGGGAAAAAAAAAAGAAAAUGCAUAUAAAUAUAUGAGUUAUCAGAUAAGAUUAAAACUCACCCAAUUCAAUCCAUCAGAUUCCGUAAGGAUAUAACUGGAUGUCAUACCGCCACUCCAUAUCCUUGAAAGUCCGUAGUGUUUGUCUCAACUCUGUCUGAGGCCAAUGUAAAUUCAAUUUGCGCAAGCUCUUUAUGCACCACAGCUCUUCUGGAAGCUUUCUCAAGUAAGCACAUGGGUUGACAAUUAAGCUUUCAAGUUUCGGCAUUGCUCCAGCCCCCAUCGUCCACUCAUCUAGCCAAUACAUUGAUUUCAGGUGCAAAACCUUAAGUUCCGGAAAGCUACUCAAGCCAACACAAGCAAGCUUUCUUCCUAAAUACGAGUUCUGCUUCAGUUUCAGCACUCGAAGGCGUGGAAGAUUUUCCAGAAUUGGCAUGGGAUCCUCCAUUAGCUCAGUAUUUGAUAAGCUCAGUUGGAUCAGACUUGGGGGAAAUUGGUAUUCAGACAGGACCAUCCGUGAGGGCUUGCUCUCAUUCACCAGCUUCAAGCAUUCAAGUUUGUGGAGUUCGCAAAGGCUUUUGGAAACCGCAGAUUGAUAGUAACUCAAAUCUCCAGAUAUCCGAAGAGUCUGAACACUAGGUAGUCUGCCCAAUAUAUCAGGAGUACAACUACUAGGGUUUAAAGCUGAUAUGAAAAUGAGAUUUUUCAGAGAGCUGGAAUAAUUUUUUGGAGGUGCGGGCAGAGUGAUAGAACCAAAGUUUAGAUGCAUGAGUUUUUGCAUCAUCCAAAUAUCCUCUGGUGACUGAUCUAUGUAGCUAGAUGGCAUUUCUAGUGUUUCAAGGUUUAAAAGGGUGCAUAGCAGCGAAGGAAGGCGUUUGAGCAAAGGGAUAUUCAAUUUCAAAUACUUCAAAAGGAAUAAAUUUUCUAAUCCGGGUGGAAAUUGGUCGAGAACUGCAGAACCGAAGUUCAGUACCCGAAGGUGUUUGAACUUUUUACAAAAAUUCUCGCAAUCUAUCACAGCGAGAUGAUCGCCUUCUAAACUUUGAUUGAUAAAAGAUUGGAGAUAGAUCUCACCAUGUUCUAAAGAAAUGAAGUCAGUCAGAUGUUCCAAAAUGAUGUAGCGUUUAACAUUUGCAAAUGGUUCCGCUUCCAUUCCAGGCAUCCAGAGAAAUUUCGUCUUGUCUGCCACCAAACCCAAUGAAGUAUAUACAAAACUUGGAACAUAGCAAGCUUUAAUUGUGCCGCCGGCUCUUCUCUUACUCACUUGAAUGAAGCCGCGAUGGAUUAGUUCUUUCAAGUAAUGUUCGGCAGUUUCUUCACCGUUGUAUGGUAUGAAACCUUCAGCUACCCACAACUGAUAUAAUUGCUCCGUAGAUAUCUCCAUACUUGGAGGGAAGACCAACAAAUAGAUGCAGCAGACCUUCAAGUGAAAAGGUAACUCCAUCACAGAAAAAAUUUGUCUCCAAACUGUCGGAAUCGCUUCGCCUUGAAGAUAAUUUUCUAAUGGCAUACUUCCAUAGUGUAGGAUGAAAAAUUGCCAGGCUUCAUGCUUUAAUCUUAUCAAUGGUCCUCCAAUGAGCACUGAAUCACGCCGAAUUUCCUCUCCAUUUUCCAUUUCCAACGACACAAGGAGGUCUGGUUCAGUGACUGUUAUCAAUACUCUGCUUCCAUUCUCAUCAUCAGGGAGAACUUCUUCCAGAUCAUCCCAUAUCUCACAGUCAUCGAAGACGUCAUCAAGCACAAUAAAAUACUUCUUGUUUGUUAGGUAAUCUCGAAGAAUAGAUUCCUUGAAUUGAUAAUCUUCACCGAUAAUUACACUAACCCGAGAUGGAGGCAUCACAGACUUGAUUAUGUCAUCCAAUAUCUUGCGAAAAUCGUAGAGUAGAGAAACCCUGACCCAAGCAAGACAGUCAAAAUAGAACUUGACAUAGUUAUUAUUGUAAGUAUCUGCAGCAAAAGCAGUCUUAUCGAAGCCACUGCUGUCGAGAAUUGCAACCACUGAAAGCCCAGAUGGUCCCUCAAUCAAUAGAUCAAACAACUCCUCUCUGCCCCUUUCAAAUUCACUGAUAUCAAGCCGAGGAUGUCCCUCAUUCAAUAGGCGAAUCAUUUCGUUACUUUUUUCACUGAUAUCAAAACCAUUGUCGCCGGGUGGAAGUUGUUGCAUCCGAUUUCUAAUAUCAAUGAUUUCACUGUGGAGUCCAUCAGGAAGAGCCAUAUUAGUGCUGCUUUCACUUUCGUUUUCACUGUUUUGCUGCUGCAUGAUGUUGAUGAAGAAUGUGUCAAUGACUUCCUCAGAGUCACGGACAAAGUUAUUGAUGUCCUUCAGAAUUUCAAAAAUAUCUGCUGUUUCAACGUCUUCUUCAUCGCUUUCUUCUAAGUCCAACAGUUGCAAAAAAGGCAAAGAUAUUUUGGAGUCAUCGAUAUCUUCUCUAAGGAGUUGAAUCAAAUGCCGAGCCAUGUCGGCUUCAUAGUUUCCCAGAAGAGUAGUAGCAAUAAUUUCGGACUCCGUAAGAAGGUUUUGAAAAAGUGGAGUUAAAUUUGUUGAAUCUGGCAGAGGCAACGUGCCUUCUUCACCUGCUAACACCCUUUUCAACCUCUCACAAAACAGUCGGAGGUGGACGUCCAGCAUAUCUCCUUCUCUCUGUAGCACCCAGAGGUAUUGUUUUUUGCUCCAAGAAAUAUUAAAAGGAUUGGUUCUAUCUAAAAGUGGUUACUGGUGUAAAAUUAAACGCCAUGGGAGAAUUUGAAAGGAAGAUGCCAAGGAACUGGCGAAGUGGCUAAAUUCCACAAAUACGGCAUUAUUGCUCAUUUUUAACUCAAAAAAUUGAUACGCCUUCAUUUAGCGAAAAGUCCAAGACGCUUGCCUUUUGAAAAGAAGAGGUAUCCAUAGAUAUCCAACAUUUAUCUUAUUUUAAUUACUACCACGACAUGAUUGAUGGUUGUUAAAUCAAUUGUUUCUUUUUUAAUUUAAAGAAAUUUUCAUUAAAAAAUAGUUUAAUAGACACAUAAUAUUACAAUAAAUAAAGUAAAGUUUAAAUUAUUUUGAAUAUUAUAAAAAAUAAUUUUAAUAUUAUUAAUAGGAAGACAUUUUGUUAAUUUUAAAAUCUUUUUAACCCAAAGGUUUAUUUAAAAUCUUUAUUAUAAAUACAAAUAUAAAAUUAAAUAUCAUAAUUUAAAAUUUUUAAUAUUAUUUUAAGUAUUAAAAAUAUUUUAAUGUUAUUAGUCUACUACAUAGAUUUUAUUAUUUAUAUUAUAUCUGUAUUGAUUAAAAUUUUUUAAAGUCAAUUUUUUAGUCAAUAUAUUCAAGAGGUAUUAUAGUUAAAGAAAAGAUUUUGGUGUUAUUUUUUGAAAAUUUUAAGGUUUAAAUGAUUUUUUUUUUAAUUUUAAGGAUGUGGGUAUUAUUUUUCCGACAAUUUAUUUUAUUUUUGGGGAAUCCGAUGAGAAAUAUCAUGAGAGAAGGUUAAUUUUACAUUCUUUACCUUUAUGAAAAAAGUGGAAACCAAGAACUAUUCAAUUUUGUAUUUUUUGUUUGUAAUUCAAAAAAUGCAUCCACCAAACAAGCUUAUCUUGAUUUUCCCACUUUAUUCAUUUUCGAUCCUUUAAUCCAUCUAGCAUCUGCAGCCCCCGCUAUUUUCACAAAGAGUAAUGAUACAGCCACAAAUUCUUGUACAAAUUUAUUUUGUAUAAACUGACGUGGCAUGAUAAGAUUGGUUGAAUUAAAUAUCACUUGGCCCACAUGAUUUGUUUUUAUUAUUUUAUAUUUUUAUUCAACCAAUGAAUUAAUGCCACGUCAGUUUGUACAAAAUAAAUUUGUACAAGAGUUUGUGGCUGUAUCAUUACUCUGUCAAGAAUCUCCAUCCCACAGCUACACUAUCAAACAAGUUGAUGGAAAUUGAACAAUUGCUUUUUGAAGUGGACCCAUUAGGUUAUGUUCAUUACUGGUCAUUGUCUAUUCUUUCUAAGAGCCACUUAUUUUGAGCAUUAGCGAUCCUAUCUGGACUACUCCAAUUAUUGAUGUAACUCCAAUGGUUGCAUCAACAGUUGAAUGUAAGAUAGUGUCAGUUCUUUUUUGAGAAUAUAGAGGGAUCUUUAUUUGUUUCUCCGUUGCAGCGUAUUAGUAUAAAUUUCUUGACCUUACAGUUCCUACAGUCUUCCUGUUAAUGAAUUCGCUGAGGCAUUAUUGAUCCAAUCUCAGUGAAGUAAUUGUGGGUGAAAAAAAAAUAAAGGAUAAGAGAACGUAGCUCAAGUGCUGAAUUGACUAUUAAAGAAGAGCGUCACCUGAUCACAAUCACAUUGAUGCACAACUCACUCGAGGCAAAUUUCAUCUAUAUAUACUGCAAAUUCAGCCAAGCCAUGCAUGCAUGAACAAAACUAAAAUGAAGUUCAUAAUCACAACUGUAAUUAGAGCUACAAAAGGUGGCAAACCAUACAUGCAUGAACAAAAUUAGACAUAAAUUGAAGCCACAACAUUAAUUGAAGCCACAAAAGCCAGCAAAUCCAAAUGAAAACUUAAAAGGAAGAUCUUAUCGAAGUUUGUCCCCAAAAGACAGCGGAAAUGAAAAAUAUUGACUAUCGAGUGGAUCAAUGCUGAAUUACAUUUGACCUGGAAAGCUUGGCUGCAGUUGCGAUGUUCCCCCUCUGAUUUUCCCUAAAACAAAUUCAGUUGUAAACAAUAACUGGAGUAGCAACAAUUUAUUCAUUAUAGAAAAUACCUAAAUUUUCAACUAUCAAAUCCUCUUGUCUAAACUAAAAAACUCAUAUCUCUAAAAUCUAUAUACAAAAUGUCAUAAAUGAGGGUGAUCUCUCAAUUCGGUAAACAAAUUCAUGCAUAAUAUUACCAAUAAUGAUAAAUUACAUAAUAAUUAUUAUAAAGAAUCAUAAAUUGGAAACAUUAAUCAUUUUAAAAUCUAUUACAUAAUAAAAAUAAAUCUUAUAAUAAGUUACGUUAGAACAUAACAAAUAUUUAAAAUGAUAUAUAUAAUUAUUUAAGAAGUCUUUUAACAAUAAUUUUUUUUUUCUUUUUCAGUUGAUCAUGUCAUAGCGUUAUCUAAAAUGCUAGCGAUAUCAUUAUUCCCCACUUUUCUCAAAAAAAAGAAAAAGAUAAAGAAAAAAGAAAUAUGAUUAACGUUUGGAGAAAAGUCAUGCCUUUUAAAAAGAAUAUGUAUACAAUACCAAUUCAUACUUUAUCUUACCAUAAAAAAAUUGUUUAAAAUAGAUUUAAUGCACAAAUAUGAUGACUUUUGGCAGAAAUGAGUUUCGGAAAUAUUGGGAUGAAAACCAUAUUGGUUCAGACUUAAAAUUACUUAAUAAAAUUACUUAACUACCAUUUAAUAAAUAAAAAUCAUAUUAGUUGAAAGUUAAAUUAAGAUUUAAAUGUUGAGAUAUCUAACGUUACUCAAUCAGAAUAAACAAUAAUCAAUUCAAAUUAUGACUAUCAUGUAGAAGCAAAUGUUUAUGCUUGGGUCUUUUACUUCUUGAAUUUGAUUGGAAAAAUUUCUGAGACAGGGAAGUGAGUGUUUUGGAUAAUAUUUUUCGGGAUUGAAACCACAAGUUGGUCGAGGAAAAUAAUUUUGGACAAAUUUUUAUUAUAUUGUAGAACCUUUUUGGUUCCUUUUGUGUCGGCAGCCCCUCACUAUUCUCUUAACCCUGAGUUUUGAGAUAGAAAUUUCCCGAACUCCAACCCCACAUCCACAGACAAGUUGAUUGAAACAAUUGCUCUUGUAAUUAAGAGGAUGAGUUAGGGUUCAGUUCUUAUCAUUGUCUGUUAUUUCUUUGAAUCAUUAUCUUAGUUAAUUACAUCAAUUGUUUCUUUUCUUAAUUUAAAGAAUUUUUCUUUUAAAAAAAUAUUUUAAUAUCAAAAUGCGUUAAAUGGUAUUACUGCCGCAAUCCCAGUAACAGGAUUAAUUAAAAAAAUAUUCUUAGGAAGAUAUUUUGUUUAUUGUAAAAUCUUUUUAACCCAAAGGUUUAUUUAAAAUCGUUAUAAUAAAUAAAAAUAUAAAAAAAAAUAAAUAUCAUAAUUUAAAAUUUUAAUAUUAUUUUAAAUAUUAAAAAUACUUUAAUGCUAUUAGUCUACUACACAGGUUAUAUUACUUAUAUUAUAUUUGUAUAAAUUAAAACUUUUAAAGUUAAAUUUUUAAUUACUAUAUUGAAAAGGUAUUAUGGUUAAAAAAAGUUUUGGCAUUUGUUUUUUGAAAAUUUGAGGGUCUGCAUGACAAUUUGUCCAAAUCCUAGAGGUAUAGGUGUCUUUUUUUUUCGAUAAUUCAUUUUACUUUUGAGGGAAUCCGAUGAGAAAUAAGAUAAGAGAAACGUCAAUUUAACGUUCUCUAGGGAAAACCAAGAACUAUUCAAUUUUGUAUUUUUUGUUUGUAAAACAAAAAACAGUUUGCCAAAAAAGGUACCAAACAUAUCCUUAAUGUCUCACAUGAUUUCUUAUUAAGUCCAUACUCGAUAUAUUUAUACAUUUUAGGUAUUUUAGUUAUAAAAGAAGUUGGUCCUCCCUCUGUUUAUAAAAGGUAACUUUAUUUCGAGAUUACCACUAAAGUCUUACAAAGAAUUAGUGUAAUGUUAAGAGAGACUAACACAGUUUUCCAUUACCAUUUUGAAAAUAGAAAGAUAUGGAUGUGUGCAUUUAAUGGUGCGUUUACUUGCCGGAUUGGGGAAUCAGAAUCUGGAAUCAGAAUGAUUGAUGGUGUUUACUUCACAAAUAUGGAGCAGGAAUCGGAAUUGGAAUGGUGGGGCCCACCACUAUUUGGGAAUGGGAGAUUGAUUCCCAUGGGGGAAGGUGGGAAUGAGUCUCUCAUUCCCUGGAUUGACCAUUUUGCCCUCCCUCAAAAUUAAAAAUGCCUACUUUGUCCUCUUUUAUAAUUAAUUAAUAUAAUAUUAUAAUUAAUUAAUUAAUAUAUAAAUAUUUUAUUAACUAUAAUUAUUAAAAAUUAUAGUUCUUGAAUAAAUAAUCACAAUAAUUAAUUUAUUAUUAUUAUUGUUAAUGAAUUAAUAUAAUUAUUACUAUUAAUUAAUAUAUUAAUAUAUUAUUAACAAUAAUAUAUUAAUAAUUAUUGUUCGUGAAUAAAUAAUCACAAUAAUUAAUAUAUUAUUAUUGAAAUUAAUUAAUUAAUAUACUAUUAUAAUAAUUAUUAUAAUUAAUUCAUAUAUUAUUAUUAAUUAAUUAAUAAAAUUAAAAUUAUUAAUUAAAUAAAUAAUAUAAUUAUUACUACUAAUUAAUAUAUUAAUAUAUUAUUAAAAAUAAUUAUUAAUAAUUAUAAUUUUUGAAUAAAUAAUCACAAUAAUUAAUAUAUUAUUUUAAUUAAGUAAUUAAUAUUAAUAUUAUUAGUUAAUAUAUUUUUAUAAUAAUUUUUGAUAUAGUUAUUAUAAUUAAUUAAAAUUUUUUACAAUUAAUUAAUAUAUUAGUUAAUAAUAAUUAUGACAAUAAUUCAUUAAGUACUUUUUAGUAAUUUGUUACAAUCUAAUUCAUUCCGAUUCCGAUUUCAAGACAAAGUAAACACAUUAAUGGCAAUCUAGCUCAUUCCGAUUUCGAUUCUUACAGUUCAAGUAAACAACUUAUUUUGAUUCCCAUUACCUAUUCCCAUUCCAGCCCAUUCUCAUUUCUGCCCAUUUCAAUUCCAGCUCAUUCCGAUUCCAGUUUAGUAAACGCAGCAUAAGAGUUAUCAUGAAAAUCAUACAAUUUAAUUUCCUGAAAUAUAUAUUUUAUUCACAUGUGCCAAAAGAAUAAAUAGAUAGAAAGUAAAUUUACAAUCCUCACUCCCUCAUAAUUGUUAAAGUGAAUAUGCAUUACAACUGUGAACUGUCACUACUUUAGCCCUUUAUUUGUUUUUUCAAUUAUAGUGUGAUGGAGACAGUGAACAUUAAGGAUAAAGUGCUCUGCUGAAAGCCAAACUUCCUUUGGCUAAUUAAUUUAGAAGUAAAGCAGAGAAUAAAGUCCUUGAUGCCUUCUGAAAUUAGAAAUACAUUUUAUAUGCUUUAAUUAUGAUUAUUUGGUAGACUAUUGACCAAAAGACAUGUUAAAGUAUAAAACAGAGCGAUUAAAGAAAAAAAAAAGGAGCGUUUGUGACGUAGAAUAACAAUUUGUAAGCAAAGUCCUAAUUUGAGUUGUCAAAAAGCAAACAUAACAGAGAAGGUAAGAGAGAUGCAAAAACAGAAAACUAUUAGCUUAUCUUGAUUUUCCCACUAUAUUCAUUUUCGAUGCUUUUCAAACGAGAUUCUUUUAAUCCUUCUGGCGUCUGCAGCCCCUGCUCUUCUUAUAAAUCUCCUUCCCACAUCUGCACUACGAACAAGUUGACUAAAAUUAAAUAAUGUUGGAGACGAGGGGUGAGCCGUCAACUUAUUAAAAAAAACUCAUGUAUAAUAUUAUCAAUAAUAUAAAAUAUAUAAUAAUUAUUAUAAAGAAUCAUAAAUUAGAAAAAUUAAUUAUUUUACAAUUUAUUUCUUAAGUAAGAUAAAUCUCGUAAUAAGUUAAGUUUAAUGUAAAAAAUAUUUUCAAUUUAUAAUCAUUUAAGAAGUCAUUUAACAAUAAAAUCUUUUUUUUGAUCAGGUGGCCAUGCCAUAGAGUAUCAUCUAUAUUCGUGGUGAUAUUAUUAUUACUCAAUAUCCUCAAAAGACACUAUUUAACAUUUAGAGAAAAUUUCUGCCUUUUAAAAAGAACAUGUAUGCAAUAGCUAGCCACACUUUAUUUUACCACGACAAAAUUGAUAGUGAUUAAAUCAAUUUUCUCAAUUAAAGAAAUUUUUUUUAAAUUGAUUUAAUGCACAAAUAUGAUGAGUUUUUGCAAAAAUUAGUUUUGGAAAAUAUAGUGAGAGAGAAUGGUGACGAUUAUUUUUCAGAUGUGCAAAUAGCCUAAACAUAAUCUCUAAUACCAAUAUCCUUGUGCAUCUUAACACCUUUCAUGAUAUUCUUUCAUUCAUAACCAUUUGUUCAAUAUUUGAAUUUGAUUAUUAAAUUAUGUUCAAUAAUGUUAGAGACCCCAACAAUUGGGUACCAACUUAAAUCCCAAUGCUAUGUGUCAAUGUAACAUAGCAAAAUCCCAUUAACAAAUGUUGUGUCAUUUAUCAUUAUUGAAUGAAUAAUUCGUUAAUUUAUUGAUAAAUGAAAAUUUAUUAAUUUAAAGAGAGAUUUUUUUUUUUGGUUUUAAGAAGAGUUUUGUUGGUACAUGUACAUACUUAUAAAGGAAAAACUUGUAAUUAUACUAUAUCUUUCUUUCUUUGUUCAGUUUGGUGGGAUAUUGUGAUAAAUCAUUGGAUUAAAAUGCAUUUCUAAAUUGAAACUUGUUAAAAUCUAAUUUAUUUGGGAAACGCAUAUUAUUUGUCAGUCGUACUUCUCAACUUAGCAAGUUAUUUCUAACUUGUCGGUCUCUAUUGGUUCUCUUAAAACUAAUAGUCUCGUAUCUCCCGCAUUUGAUAUCUUGCCAUUACUGUUGGCAUUAACAUGUUACCUGAGAUUGGGAUUCAUUAAAAUCCUCAAUGUAAUCGGUGGAACGAAUGGAUUUCUUCUGUUCACCAAUCCACCAAAAUUUCUGUAAUUAAAUUCAAAAGUCAAGAUCUAUGCUUAUAAUCUAUUCAACAGCUAAUAUUCUAUUUUAUAUUUACUUAAAUAUGAAGAGCUAUGCUUGUAGUUAACUUCAAAUGUGAUCGAAGCAGCCUUACAUCUAUAUAUUACUUAUGCCCAACCUUUUUUUUUGACUUCAUAUACAUUCUUUUCAUGUUAUUUACUCUUUUUUCCCCCUCUCUGACAAUUGAGGUAGGGGGUCAAACUUGAAAGUAUCUUAAAAUCAGACAAUAAUUUUUUUUUUUUAAAGAUAGCUACUAAUAUGCUCUAUUAGACAAUGAUAAGUAAUAACCUAGUUGUUUGCAUUAGAAAUGAUAUUUUUUGUGGUGCUGAUAAAGAGGUUGAUUAUGAUUCAACAAUUUAAAAUAUGAAAACAUGUGGAAGACGGCCGCAAUUAAAUUGAUUGUAUGAAAAUAUUUCAAUGAAAUUUUAAAAGUUUAGUACUUGUUAUCUUAUCGAGAGUUUUUUUAAAUUAUAUUACUACUUGAACUUGACUGCUUUUGUAUUGAAUUCCUACCGUUGCCAUUGCUUCUACUCAAAAGCCAUUUAAGUUUGUGUAAGCUACCUAUAGUUUGAACAACAAUUUACUCAUGAAUUGUUGUUCAUAUUAGCAAUUUGAUUGAAAGUGCGGCUGCACUAAUUUUCUAGAUGAAUUUUUUCCUACAUGCUUGUUCUCGUAUGACCCAAAAUCCUACUACAUCAGUUGUAUUAGAAAUUAAUCAACUGGGUUACAAUUAUGCAUCCCCACCAAUAUUUAAGCAAUUUAAUUACAGAAAUAUUUCUUGAGGAAAGAAACUCAUAUCGCCACUAGGCUUGUAAUGAGGCUCAUUUUUAUGAAUCUGGAUGGCAUUAGAUAUCUCUACGAAUAUUGGUGGGAGUAGAUCGCAGAUCUCUGGGCUAUACUACAAAGUUUAUGUACGUUGACUCUCAAUAAAUACAAACGAUUCUCUGAUAUGAUUCAAACAUCAGUGCAUGCAUCAUUUUAAUGAGAAAGAAUAUUCUAAGAACGAAAUUGAAGGUGCAAUCAGCAGCUAAAAUGAAGCCAGAAAUGUACAUGCAUGAGGAAUUUUUCCUAGAAGAUUGAUAUUUCUUUGACUAGCAAACCAUACAAGUCCAAAGCUAGCCAAACCAUACCUGCAAGGUGGGGGUUUAAAUGGAAUACUUCUAAGCAUAAAACAUUGAUUAAAACAGAAUACACACAUACAUACCAGCAAAUUCAAAAUAGCAAGAGGAGUGCAAAAGUUCAAGUUUGUAGACAACAUUGCAACCAUGGCAAGUUUAUAGCAAAUCCUCGAAAUCUGCUAAAUAAAACAAUGCCCUGUCUCAUGAAUCAAUGCUUAAUUAAAAUUGAAACUGAAAGUCUGGCUGACGUUGUUUCCCUCUCCAAUUUUGCCUACAUAAGUGAAAAUAAGAAUAAUAAAUGAAAAUCUGCUUUUACAGUUCUUAUUAGAUAGAUAUAAAUGGAUCUUUCUUUGUUUCUCUGCUGUAUUUUGUGGCUAUCCCACUCUGUUUUGCCAGUCAAGCUGAGUCUAUGUUGAGACAUAAUUUUGACAUCAGAAGCAAUCUCAAUUAGUUUGGCACUUUUAUGACCUCCUUAAAGGUUUUACAAUAAACAUAAAUCUACUGAGAAAGUGGGAAAAAAAAGAAAAUGCAUAUAAAAAUAUGAGUUAUCAGAUAAGAUUAAAACUCACCCAAUUCAAUCCAUCAGAUUCCGUAAGGAUAUAACUGGAUGUCAUACCGCCACUCCAUAUCCUUGAAAGUCCGUAGUGUUUGUCUCAACUCUGUCUGAGGCCAAUGUAAAUUCAAUUUGCGCAAGCUCUUUAUGCACCACAGCUCUUCUGGAAGCUUUCUCAAGUAAGCACAUGGGUUGACGAUUAAGCUUUCAAGUUUCGGCAUUGCUCCAGCCCCCAUCGUCCACUCAUCUAGCCAAUACAUUGAUUUCAGGUGCAAAACCUUAAGUUCGGGAAAGCUACUCAAGCCAACACAAGCAAGCUUUCUUCCUAAAUACGAGUUCUGCUUCAGUUUCAGCACUCGAAGGCGUGGAAGAUUUUCCAGAAUUGGCAUGGGAUCCUCCAUUAGCUCAGUAUUUGAUAAGCUCAGUUGGAUCAGACUUGGGGGAAAUUGGUAUUCAGACAGGACCAUCCGUGAGGGCUUGCUCUCAUUCACCAGCUUCAAGCAUUCAAGUUUGUGGACUUCGCAAAGGCUUUUGGAAACCCCAGAUUGAUAGUAACUCAAAUCUCCAGAUAUCCGAAGAGUCUGAACACUAGGUAGUCUGCCCAAUAUUUCAGGAGUACAACUACUAGGGUUUAAAGCUGAUAUAAAAAUGAGUUUUUUCAGAGAGCUAGAAUAAUUUUUUGGAGGUGCGGGUAGAGUGAUAGAACCAAAGUUUAGAUGUAUGAGUUUUUGCAUCAUCCAAAUAUCCUCUGGUGACUGAUCUAUGUAGCUAGAUGGCAUUUCUAGUGUUUCAAGGUUUAAAAGGGUGCAUAGCAGUGGAGGAAGGCAUUUGAGCGAAGGGAUAUUCAUUUUCAAAUACUUCAAAAGAUAUAAAUUUUCUAAUCCAGGUGGAAAUUGGUCGAGAACUGCAGAACCGAAGUUCAGUACCCGAAGGUGUUUGAACUUUUUACAAAAAUUCUCGCAAUCUAUCACAGCGAGAUGAUCGCCUUCUGAACUUUGAUUGAUAAAAGAUUGGAGAUAGAUCUCACCAUGUUCUAAAGAAAUGAACUCAGUCAGAUGCUCCAAAAUGAUGUACCGUUUAACAUUUGCAAAUGGUUCCGCUUCCCUGUCAGGCAUCCAGAGAAAUUUCGUCUUGUCUGCCAUCAAACCCAAUGAAGUAUAUACAAAACUUGGAACAUAGCAAGCUGUAAUUGUGCCGCCGGCUCUUCUCUUACUCACAUGAAUGAAGCCGCGAUGGAUUAGCUCUUUUAAGUAAUGUUCGGCAGUUUCCUCACCGUUGUAUGGAAUAAAGCCUUCAGCUAUCCACAACUGACAUAAUUGCCUGGUAGAUAUCUCAAUGCCUGGACGGAAGACACACAAAUAAAGGCAGCAGACUUUCAAGUGAAAAGGUAACUCCAACACAGAACAAAUUCGACUCAAGAGUGUCAAAACCACUUUUUCAUCCAUAUAAUUUACUAAUGGGGCACUUCCAUAGUGUAGGAUGAAAAAUUUCCAGGCUUCAUGCUUUAAUCUGAUCAAUGGUCCUCCAACAGGCACUGAAUAAAGCGGAAUGAUCCCUCCAUGCUCCAAUUCAAAAAAGGUAAGGAGGAAUGGAUCAGUGACCAAUAUCAAUACUCUGCUUCCAUUCUGCUUAUCAGGAAGAACUUCUUCAAGAUCAUCCCAUAUGUCACUGUCAUUGAAGACAUCAUCAAGCACAAUAAAGUACUUCUUGUUUGUCAGGUAAUCUCGAAGAAUAGAUUUCUUCAAGUGAUAAUCUUCACCGAUAAUUACCCUAGCCCGAGAUGGAGGCAUUAAAGAAUUGAUUAUGUCAUCCAAUAUCUUGCCAAAAUAGUAGCCUAUAGAAACCCUUACCCAAGCAAGACAGUCAAAAUAGAACUUGACAUGAUUAUUAUUGUAAAUAUCUGCAGCAAAAACAGUCUUAUGGAAGCCAUUGCUGUCGAGAAUUGCAAUCACUGAAAGCCCAGAUGGUCCCUCAAUCAAUAGAUCAAACAACUCCUCUCUGCCCCUUUCAAAUUCACUGACAUCAAGCCAGUGUUGUCCCUUACUCAAUAGGCGAAUGAUUUUGUUACUUUGUUCAGUGAUAUCAAAACCAUUGUCGCUGGGUGGAAGUUGUUGCAUUCGAUCUCUAAUAUCAAUGAUUUUACUGUGGAGUCCAACAAGAAGAGCCAUAUUAGUACUGCUUUCACUUUCGUUUUCACUGUUUUGCUGCUGCAUGAUGUUGAUGAAGAAUGUGUCAAUCGCUUCAUCAGAUUCAUGGACAAAGUGAUUGAUGUCGUCCAGAAUUUCCAAAAUGUCCCGUCUUUUUACGUCUUCAUCAGUGUCUUCUAAGUCUAACAGUUGCAGACAAAGCCAAGCCAUUUCAGCUCCAUUGAGUUGUUCUCUAAUGAUGCGUCGAAUCACACGACGAGUCAUGUCACCUUCAUAGUUCCCGAGCAGAGUAGUAAUAAUUUCAGUCUCCGUAAAAAGGUUUUGAAAAAGCGGGGCUAAGUUUGUUGAAUCAGGCAACGUUAACGUGCCUUCUUCACCUGCUACCACCCUUUUCAACCUCUCACAAAAUAGUCGGAGGUGGACGUCCAGCAUAUCUCCUUCUCUCUGUGGCACCCAGAGGUAUUGUUAUUUGCUCCAAGAAAUGUUAAAAGGAUUGGUCCUAUCUCAAAGAGGUUAGUGGUGUAAAGUUAAACACAAUGGAAGAAUUUGAAAGGAAUAUACCAAGAAACUGUGUAAGUGGCUAAAUUCCACAAAUAUGGCAUUGUUGCUCAUUUUUAACUCAAAAAAAUACACGUUAAUUUAGCGAAAAGUCCAAGACACGUGCUUUUUGAAAAGAACAGGUAUCCCAAUAGGUAUCCAACCUUUAUCUUAAUCAAUUACUACCAUGACAUACUUGAUGGUGCUUAAAUCAAUUUUUCUUUUCUUAAUGUAAAGAUUUUAUUUUUUUAAAACAGAUUUUAAUAUCAAGAAAAAAUAUCACUCGUAUAUCCUUAAAUGACACUUGUAUCAAACGUACUACAACACUUUUAACAUGUAUCACUUGUAUACCUUAAGUUGACAAAUUGUGUCUACCAUCCACCAAACCGUUAGUUGCCGUUUGCAAGCGCUGACAUCAUAAAGGUAAUCUAGUCUUUUCAAAUGGAAGAAACUUUGAUUAAAAAAACGACAUGUCAUCCCAUUUACCUCGUAAAAAAUGACAUAUCAUAUGAUAUAUAUUGACAAAAAAUGACAUGUCAUCCCAUUUAUCGGAAGAUGAUGUCAUCUAUGUGAAACAACGUUGUUUCAACGGGACUAAAAAAAAAAUGAUACUCCACAACCGAAUCGACUCCUCCAAACUUUAACUUGAAUAUUUGAAGAUCUACUCAUCCAAGCUCCAACUGGAAUUUUUUAUGGUAUAAUAUGUUGUUAAUAAUUUUUUAUGGUAUAAUAUGGAUUAUUUUUUAUGGAUAAUUGUUAAUAAUACGUACCAUUAAUAAUUCAUUUUUUAAUAAAAAAUGUAUUGUUAAUAAAAAAUAAAAAAUAUAUUGAAAAUUUACGUUAAUUUUUUGGGCAAAUAUGUAUUUUUACCUUAUUUUGAGUUUCAAGGGCGAAAUAGUCAAUUUGUCAUAAUUCUGUUAACUUUCUAAUGGUAGCUAACAGUUUGGUGGACAGCAGACACAUUUUGUCAACUUAGGGUGUACGAGUAAUACAUGUUAAAAGUGCUGCAAUACGUUUGAUACAAGUGUCAUUUAAAGGUAUAUGAGUGAUACAUGUUAAAAGAGUUGUAGUACAUUUGAUACAAGUGUCAUUUAAGGGGAUAUAAGUGAUAUUUUCCCUAAUAUCAAAUUGCCUUCGAUGUUUUUACAGCUACAAGCUCAGUAACAGGAUUAAUUAAAAAGUUUAGAAUUGUUGGGCGUGCAAAGAGUAGUUUUAAACACCAGAAAGCAAAGGUUGUUAUUGACAUAAUUUUAUUUUUGUUUUCGAGGGAAUUUGUUUUUUUUGUUGACAAGAAAAUAGUAUUAUAUUUUACAAUCUAUUAUACAUAUUUUAUCAUAUUAAAGUAAUUUUAAUAUUAAAUGGAAACAUUAAAUUUAAAUUAAUUAAUUAAAAAUUGAAUUAUUUUGAAUAUUAUGUAAAAAAUUAUUUUAAUAUCAUUAAUAAGGAGAUAUUUUGUUAAUUGUAAAAUAUUUUUAACCCAAAUAUAUAUUAAAUUUUUUAUAAUAAAUACAAAUACAAAUAUAAAAAUAAAAUAAAUAUCAUAGUUUAAAAUUUUAAUGUUAUUUUAAAUAUUAAAAAUAAUUUAAUGCUAUUAGUCUAUUACACAGGUUAUAUUAUAUUUGCAUUAAUUAAAAGUUUUAAAGUCAAUUUUCCAGUUUCUAUAUUCAAAGGUAUAAUGGUUAAAAGAAAGUUCUUGGUGUUUCUUUUUAAAAAUUUGAGGGUCUUAAUGAUAAUUUUUCUAAAUCGUAAGGGUAUAGGUGUCUUUUUUUCCGAUAAUUUAUUUCACGGGUAUCCAAUAAGAAACAUGGUAAGAGAACGUCAAUUACUUAUCAUUUUCUAUUUUUUCUAUGAGUCAUUUAUUUUGAGCAUUAGUGAUCUUAUCUGGACUACUCCAACUAUUGAUGCAACUCCAGUGGCUGCAUCCACAGUUAAAUAUAUGAUAGUGUUAGCUCUUAUUUGAGAAUUUAGAGGGAUCUUUCUUUGUUUCUCUGUUGCAAUGUGCUAGUAUAAAUUUCUUUACCUUAAAAUUUAUAUAGUCUUGCAGUUAAAGAAUUCACUGAGGCAUUGUUGAUUCAAUUUCAGUGAAGCAAUUGUGGGUGAAAGAUAAAUGAAGGAAAAGAGAACAGAGCUGAAGUGCUAAAUUGGCUAUUGAAGAAGGAUGUCACAUGAUCACAAUCACAUUGAUGCACAACUCUCUGGAGGCAAAGUUUGUCUAUAUGUACUCUGAAUUCAGCCAAGCCAUACAUGCAUGAACAAAAAUUAAACCGUAGUUCUAAUCACAACAGUAAUUGAAGCUACAAAAGCCAGCAAAUCUGAACGAAGACUUAAAAGAAAGAUCUUAUUCAAGUUUGUCCCCAAAAGACAGCUGAAAUGAAAAAUAUUGACUGUUGAAUGGGCCAAUGCUGAAUUACAUUUCAAAUGGAAAGCUUGGCAGCAGUUACAAUGUUUCCCCCUCUGAUUUUCCUCCAAAACAAAUUCAGUUGUAAACAAUAACCGAAGUAGUAAUAAUUUAUUCAUCAAAGAAAAUGCCCCCAAGUUUUCAAUUAAAAAAUCCUCUUGUCCAAACUAAAAGAACUCAUAUCUCUAAAAUUUAUUUGCAAAAUGUUGGAAAUGAGGAGUGAUCCGUUAACUCUGUAAAUAAACUCAUGCAUAAUGUUAACAAUAAUGAUAAAUUACAUAAUAAUUAUUAUAGAGAAUCAUAAAUUGGAAACGCUAAUCAUUCUACUAUUAUAUAAGUAAGAUAAAUAUCAUAAUAAGUUAAGUUAUAAUGUAAUAAAUAUUUGCAAUAUAUAAUUAUUUAAGAAGUCAUUUAACAAUAAAAUAUUUUUUUAUCCAGUUGAUCAUAUAGCGUUAUCUAAACUCUUGACAAUAUUAUUAUUACUCACUUUUCUCAAAAAAACAUGAUUAACUUUUAGAGAAAGUCAUGUCUUUGAGAAAGAAUAUGUAUACAAGCUAUCCAUACUUUAUCUUACUGUGACAAAAUUGAUGGUGAUUAAUUGUAUUUUUUAAAAUAGAUUUAACGCACAAAUAAGAUGACUUUUGGCAAAAAUUAUUUUCGGAAGAUAUAGUGAUAGAAAAUAGUGAUGAUAAUUAUUGUUUAAAUGUGUAAAUAGCCUAAGCAUAGCCCGUAAUACCAAUAUUCAUUUGCACCUUGAAAGAAACUUAGUUCUAUAUUGUUUGGCAAGCAAGAAAGUAAAGGAAAAUGAAAGAGAACUCUAAAGAACCUUUUUUAUUAUACUCAGAUAUCUCAACUUAAUGAAUACUGAUUGACAUUUAUACUAAGCUACAAUCUUCACUACACACACGAGUUUGUAACAUCACAUAACCAUUUGCUGCAUAACUAACUUUACACAUCAGCUCAACCAGCUAACUAACUUUGACAGGUCAGCUCAGUGAGUUGAUCUGCUACAACCAGCUACACAGCAACAGCAUGCUCUGCUCCAGCUAUACAGCAACAUCAUGCUCUGUUCCAGCUUUAUCCGCUCUGCUUUGCUCUGCUCCAGCUUUGACAGGUCAGCUCAGUGAGUUGAUCUGCUACAACCAGCUACACAGCAACAACAUGCUCUGCUCCAGCUAUACAGCAACAUCAUGCUCUGCUCCAGCUUUAUCCAAUUCACUAACAUCCCCCCUCAAGCUAAAAUGUUUAGGAUGAACAUUCAGCUUGCUUCUGAAGUAACUGAAUUGUUUGAAAGUAAGAGCCUUAGUUAACACAUCUGCUGUUUGAUCUGGACUAGGCACAUAGCAUACUGCAACCUCUUUAGCAGUGACCUUAUCUCGGAUAAAAUGUAUAUCCAAUUCAACAUGCUUAGUCUUAGCAUGAUAAACUGGAUUAUAAGCUAAAGCAAUUGCUCCUUGAUUAUCACACCACAUUAUAGGAGUGGAGCUUAAUGUGAUACUAAGUUCACCAAGUAAGGAUUUAAUCCAGGUAACCUCUGAAGCAGCAUGGGCAAGAGAUCUAUACUCAGCUUCUGUGCUGGAUCUGGAAACAACAACUUGUUUCUUUGACGACCAGGAAACAAGAUUAGGACCUAGAUAAACAGCAAAGCCAGCCACUGACUUCCUAUCAUCAUGAUCACAAGCCCAAUCAGAAUCUGAAAAACAAUGUAAUUGCAGAGCUCCUUGAUUGUAGAAAUGCAGCCCCAGAUGGAUAGUGCCUUUUAAGUACCUCAAUAACCUUUUACAUGCUUCCCAAUGUUGAGUUCUAGGACUGGAAAGGAACUGACUUAACUUGUUUACAGAGAAGGCAAUGUCAGGUCUGGUAAGAGUAACAUAUUGAAGAGCUCCUAUAACACUUCGAUAUUGAGAAACAUUUUCAAGUGGCUCUCCUGAGUCUUUGGUGAGAUAAAAGCCUGUAGACAUUGGAGUUGGCACAGGACUGCAGUCUGUCAUGCCAUGUUUAUCCAGAAUAUUAGCAAUGUACUUUGCUUGUGUCAAGGAAACCCCUUGUGAAGAUUUGCUGACUUCAAUCCCCAGAAAAUAGUGAAGUUCCCCCAGGUCUUUUAAAGCAAAAGCUUGAUGCAUAUGCUGGAUAACUUGUUGAAUUAUGGAUGGACUGGAACCAGUGAUGAUAAUAUCAUCAACAUAGACCAAAACAACAGUUAGAUGACCACUGUUCCAGGCAUAAAAGAGAGAGUUAUCAGACCUGGAAUGCUGAAAAUGCCACUUGGAGAUCAUUGCAUCCUUAAACCUAUCAAACCAGGCUCUAGGAGCUUGUUUUAAGCCAUACAAAGCCUUAUUUAGCUUGCAGAUAUGAUUAGGUUUAGUUGAAUCAACAAAACCUUGAGGUUGAGCCAUGUACACAUCUUCAAUUAAAAUGCCAUUUAGAAAGGCAUUGUUAACAUCCACCUGCCUUACAACCCAGUGACUCAAUACUGCUAAGCUAAGAAUAACUCUAACAGUGGAGGACUUAACCACUGGACUGAAGGUUUCUGUGUAGUCAAUCCCAUGUGUCUGAUGAAACCCUUUAGCCACAAGCCUGGCUUUAUACCUUGAAACUGAACCAUCUGAGUUAUACUUUACUCGAAAUACCCACUUGUUGCCAACUAUCUUCACUGGAGUAGCAGGUAAGACUAAAUCCCAGGUGUGAUUGGUUUUAAGAGCUAGAUACUCUUCUUGCAUAGCUUUAUACCACAUAGGAUCAGAAAGUGCUUUGGAAACAGAGGUUGGUUCUGACUUCUGAGCUAGUAAAGCUGACAAGUAGAUCUUGGGCUUGAAGAUACCUGCUUUUGACCUGGUUAUCAUUGGAUGACCAGAUGAUGCAGGUUGUGACAAGGUAUGUGGAGGUGAAUGAUGGGAUGGUGAAGAAGGAGAAGAAGAAGUGGAAUUGAAAUUAUCAGAAAAGUAAACUGGAGUAGAAUUUGGGAAGGAAAUAGAAGCAUGUGACUGAGAAUCAUUAAGAAGAUAUUCUGAUGAUGCUGCUAAAGGUGCUUGUAACUGAGUAACAAAAGGAGUAGAAGAAUUAAAAGAAGACUCAGAAUGAGUUGAUGACUGACAGUUUGAAGAAACUGAAGAAAAAUCUGUUCCUGACUCAUAAGGAAAAGAACGUUCAUAAAAGGUUACAUGAUUUGAAAUAUAGACCCUCCCAGAAGAGUGAAGACACUGAUAUCCCUUGUGUUGUGAACUGUAGCCAAUGAAUAUACAUCUAGCUGUUCUGAAAUCAAACUUAUGUCUAUUGUAUGGUCUGAGUGUUGGAUAACAAGCACAGCCGAAAAUUUUAAGUGUUGAAUAAUCUGGUUGGGAAUGAAACAACUUUUGAAAAGGAGAAAUGCUGUUUAGAACUGGAGUUGGAAGUCUGUUUAUCAAGUAGACAGCUGUAUGGAAUGCAUUCCACCAAAAUUUGAGUGGUAAAUGUGCUUGAGCUAAUAAAGUCAGUCCUACAUCAACUAUGUGUCUAUGUUUCCUCUCAAUUUUUCCAUUUUGAUGAUGAAUGUGGGGGCAAGGAUGUCGAAAAUGGAUGCCAGAAGUGGUGAGUAAUGAUGAAAAUGUUCUGAACUCCCCUCCCCAGUCAGUUUGGACAGUUUUGAUGGAAAGUUGAAGAUGCUUCUCAAUGAAUAUUUUGAAAUUGGUAAAAACUUCAAGAGCAUCAGAUUUUGCUGAUAAGGGAAAAAUCCAGGUAAACCUACUGUAAUCAUCUAGGAUUGACAAGUAGUAAUUAUAUCCUUGGGUAGAACAAACAUGAGAAGGGCCCCAAAGAUCUGCAUAUAUCAGUUGUAAAGGUGCUGAAGUUUUUGUUUCUACUGAAUCAAAAUGCAGCAUGUGAUUUUUACCAUAUUGGCAUGCUGAACAAAAUUUCAAACUGUCAACUUUAUUAAAAGCAGUAGAGUUGUUACAAGCUUUGAGAAUGGUUUUGAGAGUAUAAGAUGCUGGGUGUCAUAAUCUUCUAUGAAGAAGAUUUACAUCAAUAGAACCCUUUACAACAACUGACAGACAUGACUUUUUAUUCAACUCAUAAGAGCUAACAGUAGAGAGCUGAGCAGAAUUAAAAACAGGAGAACAAGCAAAAAGAGACUGAAUUUUGUUUUGACCAACUGAACUGAGAAAGACUGAAUGAACAGCAGCAUGAGAAGAGACUUUAUACAAGCUGUUGUGCAAAUUUUAAUGUACUCGCAAGCGCACGAAUCUAUUAUAGUAUAGAUCAAUGGUGACGAGUGUCGAUCCCACGAGGAGGUAGAUUUUAAUUGUGUAUAGAAUUAAUUUUGCAAAUGGUUGAUUGGAUUUGUAGUGGAAAUGAUUAGGAAUAUGCUAAAACUUAAAUUAAAAUGGCGAGAAUAAAUUCUAAAAUUGGAAUUGCAAUGGCGAGAAUAAAUUGAAGAGAAAUGUAUUGAAAUGACGUACUUGGGUAUCUGGAUCCGUAUCAACAUGCAUCAUGGGCUAAAUAAUCCGUAUUAAUGCCAAUUAAAUCAUGAGGGGGGAAUCCACACCUCAUGAACCACGCUCUAAUCAAUAUGGUGCUAAGGGCUUAUCGUGCCAAAUAAUAAUAACCUUAUACUAGAGAGCCGGUGUAACCAAGGCGGUAUCUAGACAAGAUCAGUAUUAUUUGUCGACGAUAAGUCAAAUCAUCCACAAAAACUAGAGGGGAAAAGAAAAUAAAUUUACCAAAUAAAGCCCAUGACACAUGUUGAGACUUCACCUUCAACCCAAGCUUGAAAGGAAAUUAGCUACUCAUAAUUGAACUAGGGGCAAAAUGGGAAUUUAUUAAAAUACAAAGAAAAUACAAGAUGGAGAGGGAAUUACAGAAAAUGGAUCCCAAAAAUGGAUUCAGAGAUAUCAAAUUAGGGGGGGAGGCCCAUUUUUUAUAGAUACAUGGAGUAAAUCAUGGCCAUCGGAUUAAAAACAGUUUGGACGCUCAGGAUUGCGCCACGUCAUCAGUCAACAGUCAACGGUUUGACCACGCGGAUGAACAGUAACAUGGUUUGGUUGAAAAUAAUCCUGUGUGAUGCAUACACCGUACGCGAGAUUUUUCGUCCACUGAUAUGCUGCCACGUCACCAUCAACAGUACAUAAGAAUUUUAGUCCAACAGGAUCGUGACACCUCAUCAGUCAAUGCCACAUCAUCGGUCAAUGCCACGUCAUCGAUCCGUCUAUGUGAACAGUGUCGUGAACAGUAACGUAGACAGUACCGUAUACGUGAAUAGUACCGUACAUGUGAAUAGUGCCAUUUUUCCUUUUAUGCUCCUCCUAAGGUUUUCGACCGUCCUGAGUUCAAAAGUGAUGUCCGUUUUGCCGUCUGAUCUCUCCUUUAUUGUGAAAUGACUAUAAUGCCCCUAAAAUACAUAAAAUACUUAAUUAAAAUAACACACACGUAAUUACAUCACAAGAGGGUUAAAUACAUAAAAGUAAGGGUUGUUAGUAAGACUUGAAACGUAAAAUGACGGUUUUCUCCUUUAUAAAUAUGCAUUUUCUAACACUCAACACAAGCCACCUUUAGCAACACCUUCAAGUAAAAUUUUCCCUGUGUUCCUGGCCUUUAUAAAACACAAAUUACCAAGAAAUUCAACAGUAACUGGAUUGUCAGCCAACAAUUUUGAGAUGCUAAGCAAAUUCUUAGUAAUAAAAGGGACAUGAAGAACAUGGUUAAGAAAUAAGGAUUGAGAAGCUGAAGUAUUUAGCACAACUGACCCUACAUGUGUAAUAGCUAAUGCAUUUCCAUCUCCAACAAAUAACCUUUCAGUACCAGUGUAAACUUUUGAAUCCAGAAGCUUACCUAGAUCAUUGGUAAUAUGAUUUGUUGCUCCACUAUCAAUAUACCAGGAAGGAUCUUCAAUGUGUUCAGGUGGGAGUGAAGAAGACAUAGCAGAGGAGGAGGAAGCACUUGACUGUUCCAGAUUAUUAUGUCCUAGACAGAAACAAAAUUAGAUGAUCCAGGGUUGAAUGAGAAAUAAGCAGAUGGGUUGCUUUCUGGAUAUACUAUAUUUCCUUGAUAGCCAAAACCCCUGGGGGCAUUACCAAAACCAACAUUUUGUCCAAAACCAGCAUUUGAACCAAAACCUCCAAAACCUCUUCCACUAUUACCAUUAAAGGCUCUUCCUCGACCAUAUUGCCCUUGAUUAAAACCUCUGCCACCAUUCAUAUUACCUCUACCAUGGUUCCUCUGUGGAACAAAAGAUGAGUUGUACCUAUUUCUGCAUUUAUAGGCUGCAUGACCAGGUAUGAAGCAAAUUUGGCAAACAACUUCAGAGAAAUUACUAUUAUUAUUAAACUGACCAUAUCCAUAUCCAGAAUUAUUACCACCUCCAGAGUUAUUUCCAUACUGUUUCUGAAAAUUUCCAUUAUUCUUUCCAGCAUAUGAGUUCUUCUGAACAAUAUUUGCUGUCAUGUUAUGCAUCACAUCACCAGCAAUUUUUCCUUUCUUUUGCUCAACUCUAUUUUCAUGAUUCAACAGCAAAGAAUAUAGUUCAUCUAAUGUUAUCUUUUCACCUCGAGCUAACACAGCAGUGACUAAAGAUUCAUAAUCUGAUGAAUCAAGACCAGUUAAUACAUGCAUCACAAGAUCAUUUAACUCAACAGGUUUUCCAGCUAGAGCUAAAGUAUCAGCUAUACGUUUUACUUUUACAAAGUAAUCAGACAUAUGCAUUGCACCUUUCUUAAUAGUUUGAAUCUGCAUUCUAAGUGUUUGAAUUCUAGCUUGUGAUUGAGAGAUAAACAUACUAGCAAGAGUCUCCCAAAGCUGUUUUGAGGUUGUUGAGUCAAUCACAGUAGCAAGCAGAUUUUGUUGUAUCAAUGACAUCAUCCAACUCAGCAGAAGUUGAUCAGCCUUCAUCCAAGCUACGAACUCUGGAUUAACAGAUCUGGAUCCAGAUUCAGUAACAGAUCUGGAUCCAGAUUCAAUUAAGAUUUCAGCUCCAUUGUUGUUGCCAGAAGAAAGAAACUGCUCAGGACAUUCUCGAUCACCAUUGAUAAAACCUUCCAAACCAUUUCCUUUGAUCGAAGCUAGAAUUUGUGUGCGCCACAAAAUAUAGUUGUUUUGAUCUAGCUUUACAGGCGUAACAAAACUAAAAGAGUUGUUGUUUUGAACUGUAUUUGCCAUUUAUGGCUCUGAUACCAUGAAAGAAACUUAGUUCUAUAUUGUUUGGCAAGCAAGAAAGUAAAGGAAAAUGAAAGAGAACUCUAAAGAACCUUUUUUAUUAUACUCAGAUAUCUCAACUUAAUGAAUAUUGAUUGACAUUUAUACUAAGCUACAAUCUUCACUACACACACGAGUUUGUUACAUCACAUAACCAUUUGCUGCAUAACUAACUUUACACAUCAGCUCAACCAGCUAACUAACUUUGAUAGGUCAGCUCAGUGAGUUGAUCUGCUACAACCAGCUACACAGCAACAGCAUGCUCUGCUCCAGCUAUACAGCAACAUCAUGCUCUGCUCCAGCUUUAUCCGCUCUGCUCUGCUCUGCUCCAGCUUUGACAGGUCAGCUCAGUGAGUUGAUCUGCUACAACCAGCUACACAGCAACAGCAUGCUCUGCUCCAGCUAUACAGCAACAUCAUGCUCUGCUCCGGCUUUAUCCAAUUCACUAACACACCUUCAUUUGUGUUAUCACAUUUCAUGAUAUUCUUUCAUUUAUGACCAUUGUUCAAGAUUUUAAUUUGAUUAUAAACUAAGUUGCAAGGGAGCUUACUUCAGUUUCUAAGCUUUUCAAUCGUGAUUCCUGCAUGCCAAACGUAACUGACCUUAUAAUUGGUCUGUAUAAGAAAUCAAGCCCUUUCAGGAUCGUUUUCUUUUUCUCCCUAUUGUAGUAGUCAACUAAAUAAAGAAUGAACAACUAAACUUGGUCUAUUUCGAGGAAGACUAAGGCUUCCAAUACUAGAUGAACUUUGAAGAAAAUUAAUCCGUUGUUUUUAUUCAUCUUUGGACUAUGAAUUUAUACAAAGACUUUAACAGAAAAUAACAAAGACACAGCUAAAUGAUAGCAAUAAGUGCUGACUUGGUGGACCACUUCUGCAAGUAAAUAAAAACUAAAUAUUUAUUUUGACUAUAACAACAACUACGCUGAUGAAUAGGAUUUCACAGCAGCCACGUGACAACUAAUUUCUCCUUAAUAUUAUUAUUAGUAGAAGUAGAUUUUAAAACUAGUCUUGAUAUAUUUCAAAGUUGUAUUAUCAAUGUAUAUGUGUCUAGAUUGUAACUAUAUUUUAAAAAAUAUAAAAUUUUUAAUUAUUGCACAGUAUAUGUAGCAAAAUAUCUAUAGAAUGAUAUUAUUAGGACUAAGAUUUUUUUUUAUUUUAGAUAAGUUAUUUAUUUAUUAUCGAAUGAAUAAUUUAUUAAUUUACUGAUAAAUGAAUAUUUAUUAAUUUAAAGAGAGAUUUUUUUGGUUUUAACAAGAGUUUGUUUGGUAAAUGUACACACUUAUAAAGAAACAUAAAAAGUGGUUCCUCAAGUCAAUAGUAUUUGCUUCAAUCGCAAUGGUUCAUAAUAAUAUAGCAUAGUUAGGAAAUUUGUAAUUAUAUUAUGGCUCUGUUUGGUAGUAAAACUCAUUUAAGUAGAGUUGUUGUUAAUAGAGCUUUUAUAAAUAAAGCUUUUACUAAAAAAAAUUUAGUUGUUUGCUUGUCAAUGUCCAAAUUGAUAAACUUUUGUUCUUUUGUUAAGAUAUGUUUGUUUUACUUAAUAAUAGCAUCGGCAAGAGUUUUCGAUUGUUGCAACUUGCAAUGCACGCGGUGAGAGAAAAUGAGAAUCUUGUUUAAUUGUCAAUAUAUAAUGACAAACCUAAUCCUUUCAUUAGGAGUAAUUUAAUAAUCGUUUGUUAUAACUGAAUAUGUAUAAAGAAAGGAAAAUUCUAUUCAUAAAUUUCGACUUAUUUUUUGUUUAAAGUAAUUAAUCAUUCAACCAUCUUCAUUUGCCUCUGGCCAAUGCCCUUGUAGAUUAGUUUACUUAAUUAUGAUUAUAUACAUUUUCAUAUAGCAAGUGGCAUUGUAGAUCUAAACUAAGUUGCUAUUUCAAUACCAGCAAAUUCAAAAUAGAAAAGGAGUGCAACUAUUCAACUUUGUAGACAAUAUUGCAACCAUGGCAUAUUUAUAGCAAAUCAUUGAAAUCUGCUAAAGAAAACAAUGCCCUGUCUCAUGAAUCGAUGCUCAAUUAAAAUUUAAAUUGAAAGUCCGGCUGGUGUUGUUUUCCUCUCCAGCGAAAUAAGAAUCAUAAGUGAAAAUAGGCUUUGACAGGUCUUAUUUCUUUGUUUCUCUGCUGCAAUGUGUGGUUAUCCCACUCUGUUUUGCCACUCAAGCUGAGUCUACGUUGAGACAUUAUUUCAGUAUUGAGGUAACAAUAAUUUCGGACUCCGUAAGAAGGUUUUGAAAAAGUGGAGUCACAUUUGUUGAAUCAGGCAACGUCAACGUGCCUUCUUCACCUGCUAACACCCUUUUCAACCUCUCACAAAAUAGUCGGAGGUGGACGUCCAGCAUAUCUCAUUCACAUUUGUUGAAUUUGCAUGGAAUUUGCAAGGAGUAUGCCAAAGAAUUUGCAAGGAAUAUGCCAAGAAUUUGCAAGGAAUAUGCCAAGAAACUGGCCAACCCGCUUAGCUUAAUUCCACAAAUAUGACGUUAUUGCUCAUUUUUCUCUCAAGCACAUAAUACACGUUCUUCGAGACGCGUGCCUUCUGAAAAGGACAGGUAUCCAACCUCAUCUUAAUUACUACCAUGACAUAAUUGAUGGUUGCUUAAAUCAAUUUUUUCUUCUUUUUUUUUUUUAAUUUAAAGAAUUUUCCCUUAAAAAAAAUUUAAUAUCAAAAUGCCUUCAAUGUUAUUACUGCCGAAAGCCAAACUUCCUUUGGGUAAUUAAUUUAGAAGUGAAGCAGAGAAUAAAGUCCUAGAUGCCUUUUGAAAUUAGAAAUACAUUUUAUAUGCUUUAAUUAAUCAAUUCACUGAGGCAUUAUUGAUCCAAUCCCAGUGAAGUAAUUGUGGGUGAAAAAAAAAUAAAGUGCUGAAUUGGCUACUAAGAAAGAGUGUCACUUGAUCACAAUCACAUUGAUCCACAACUCACUCGAGGCAAAUUUCAUCUAUGUGUACUGCAAAUUUAGCCAAACCAUACAUGCAUGAACAAAAUUAGGCCGUAGUCCUCAUCACAACAUUAAUUGAAGCCACAAAAGCCAGCAAAUCCAAACAAAAACUUAAAAGAAAAUGCUUGGUAUAGAGAAGCACGAGAGAAAGACGAGAAAAACAAUGAAGAAAGUGGUAGAGAGAGAGUGAGUGGGUAGAGAGAGAGCAAAAUUCUCUCGUCUUUCUCUCGUGCUUCUCUCUCUCUAUCACUACUCAAACUUAAAAGGAAGAUCUUAUUCAAGUUUGUCCCCAAAAGACAGCUGAAAUGAAAAAUAUUGACUAUUGAGUGGGUCGAUGCUGAAUUACAUUUGACAUGGAAAGCUUGGCUGCAGUUGCGAUGUUCCCCCUUCUGAUUUUCCUCCAAAACAAAUUCAUUUGUAAACAAUAACGGAAGUAGCAACAAUUUAUUCAUUAUAGAAAAUACCUAAAUUUUCAACUAUCAAAUCCUCUUGUCUAAACUAAAAAACUCAUAUCUCUAAAAUCUAUAUACAAAAUGUCAAAAACGGGUGAUCUCUCAAUUCGAUAAAUAAAUUCAUGCAUAAUGUUACUAGUAAUGAUAAAUUACAUAAUAAUUAUUAUAAAGAAUCAUAAAUUGGAAACAUUAAUCAUUUUACAAUAUAUUACAUAAUAAAGAUAAAUUUUAUAACAAGUUAAGUUAGAACAUAUCAAAUAUUUUCAAUAUAUAUAAUUAUUUAAGAAGUCUUUUAACAAUAAUUUUUUUCUUUUUCAGUUAAUCAUGUCAUAUACCGUUAUCUAAAAUGCUGGCGAUAUUAUUAUUCCUCACUUUUCUCAAACAAAAAAGAAAAGAAAAAAGAAACAUGAUUAACGUUUAGAGAAAAGUCACGCCUUUUAAAAACAAUAUGUAUACAAUAGCAAUCCAUACUUUAUAAAAUUGAUGGUGAUUACAAAGAAAAAUUGUUUAAAAUAGAUUUAAUGCACAAAUAUGAUGACUUUUGGCAAAAAUUAGUUUCGGAAAUGUUGGGAUGAAAACCAUAUUAAUUGAGAAUUAAAAUUACUUAAUAAAAUUACUUAACUACCAUCUAAUAGAUGAAAACCAUAUCAAUUGGGACUUAAAUUAAGAUUUAAAUGUUGAAAUAUCUAGCAUUACUCACAAUAACCAAUUCAAAUUAUGACUAUCAUGUAGAAGCAAAUGUUUAUGCUUGGGUUUUUUACUUCUUGAAUUUGAUUGGAAAAAUUUCUGAGAUAGAGAAGUGUUUUGGAUAAUUUUUUCGGGAUUGAAACCACAAAUUGGUAGAGGAAAUUAAUUUUGGACAAAUUUUUCUUAUAUUGUAGGACCUUCUAGUUGGAGUAGUGAUGGCUUUGUCUUCAUUUUUGGUUCCUUUUGUGUCAGCAACCCCUUACUAUUCUCUUGACCCUGAGUUUGAGAUAGAAAUUUAUCAACCUCCAACCCCACAUCCACAAACAAGUUGAUUGAAACAAUUACUCUUUUAAUUAAGAGGACCCAAAUGAUUUAGGUUUCAGUUCUUAUCAUUUGUCUAUUAUUUCUUUGAAACAUUUAUUUUGAGCGUUACUGAUCUUAAUUAUCUGUAUUUCUCCAAUUAUUGAAGAAUUUCAAGUGGCCACUUUUUCUCCUUUUUAUAUAUGUUUAUUUUUUGGAGUGAUCAAACGGGUGAAAAAUCAAGUAUUCGCUGGUCUGUAGUUUAGCCAACGAUGGCUGAUCCACACAGUUGAUUAUAUGAUACUAUUAGCUCUCAAAAUCUUUCUUAUUUGAGAACAUAAAUUGCCCAUUGAAGUUAAACUAUGUUACCCAGCUCCAUGCACAUACAUUAAAUGUUUAGGUAGUUUUACAAAAUGAUAACAGCAUGCCAAAACUUGAUGUUGUCAUAUUCGACAUUUCAAAUUGAAAAAUAUGCAAGCAAUCUUCAGUGACCAUUACGUUUUUAUUGAAUAAUUUAAAUGGCCAGUAAAUCAACAGUCCGUGAGUUUUAAAUCUGUUAUGACUUAAUGUAUCUUUCUGUAUUCGUACACAGGUUAUAUUAUCAUAGUUUAAAAUUUUAAUAUUAUUUUAAAUGUUAUAAAUACUUUAAUGCUAUUAGUCUACUACACAGGUUAUAUUAUUUAUAUUAUAUUUGUAUUAAUUAAAACUUUUAAUGUCAACUUUCUAAUUACUAUAUUGAAAAGGUAUUAUGGUUAAGAAAAAGUUUUGGCAUUUCUUCUAAAAAAUUUGAGGGUAUGCAUGACAACACUACAAGAAAAAUGACCUACCAUGACAGUCCUCUGUGUGACAGUUUUUGGUCUGCAGAGCUACUACGAUAGAUGGAUGAUAAAUUUUUUUUCUAUCAUUCAUUUAUGACAUACUUGUGAUAGAAAUUUCAUCUAUCAAGCACUUAUGAUAGACUGAUGAUAAAUUAUUUGGUUAUCAAGAAGUAAUGACAAGUUUGUGAUAUAAUUUAGAUCAUCAAGUAGCUUUUUUAUUUUGACUUUAUUUCACAAGGUUGACUGAAAAUUUUAAAAUGAAUGAAAAAAAUAAAUAAAGAAUAAACGGUACCGUUUGGAUUAAAAGUUUCUCUUUGGACAAGAAACGACACCGUUUAGAUUGAAGCUAAAUAAAAACAAAACCCUCUUCAGUUUUCACUAAUCGAAUUUUUUUUCCCUAAGUGUCGGCACUCUCACUCACUCUCGUCUCUCGCUCAGUCAUUCUCGUCAAUCUCACACUCACAAAGCCCUUUUCACCCGAAAUCCUUGCAUGGGCACUGAACCACUGCCGCCAUUCUCUUGUAUUUGACUAUCAAUUUUGGCUCUCACCGAGAACUAUAUGGAAUACCCACCAAACGCAUGUGCUUCUACUAUUGAAUUUCAAUACCCUAACUGAGAGCCCACGCUCACCCACUAUUGUAACCGUUCGAUCAAUACAGGUAAAUAAUAUUUCUAGUGUUGUGUUCCAUUUCAAUUUUAAUGUUCUUGUCAAACUCGAACCCUAUAUAUGUAAACUUAAAAACCCUAGAUGUGUUCUUGUCAAAUUCGAACCCUACACACCUAAAUCUUGUAAAACCUAGAUGUUUUCUUGUCAAAUUUGAACCCUGUACGUGUAAAACUUGAAAAUCCUAGGUGUGCUCUUGUUAAAUUUGGAUCUAUUUGAUUGGUCUUCUAUGUUUCUUUAUUUAUGGAAUUUUAAACAUUUAUUUGAUUUUUUUGGAAUUUAAUUAUUAUAGUUUUAUUGUUAAAUUAAUUUGAUUUAGGCUGUAAAGAUCCUUGCCAAUUUAAUCGUGAUGGGUGUUGGGAUAUUGUCUAGGCUGCUUUAUCUUUGGGGUUUUCUAAUAACUAAUUUUUUUUUUUCACUUUUUUGUGGAUGCAUGGAACUAUAUAUAUAGAUAAUUCUCAAAUUCGUUCACUGUGAUGCAAAGUCUUUUUUUUUUCAAUUUCAUUGGUUAAAUUCACUAAUUCGUUGAAAUUAGUGGUGAUUGUGGGCCGAGUCGCAUGUGCAGGAAGUGGUGUCAGGUCUGGGCGCACAUUGAGUCAUGCACUUGGUGGGCAAUUGGUAUUGUUUCUAUUGUGUGUGUUGGAAAUAAUGUCAAUAUCAUCCAACCAAUGUGUGUUUCUAGUGGCUGUUUUUGCACCGAGCAGAUAAUUUAUUAUUACAUCAGAGUUCCCCAUCCCUUGUUUCUCUUUUGGGUAAUGCAGGUAUUGACUAGUUCAUUUCCAUUUUCAUUUGUCUUGAGGGAAUGUUAUCAAUUUUUCGAUCUUACAAGAUAUUGAUUGAUACAUAUGUGUACAAUACAUUAAAAAUCAUUAAACAUUUUGCUCUUAGUUACAAUUUUGAAUGAAUGUCACAUGGAAAGAUCCUCUAAGAAUAUCAAUAGUAUUGUGGUUUCUACUCAAUUUCCACUCUCCGCACUCAUAUGAGCAUGGUUUGAAUCUCAAGCCUUUUGUACCAUUCAAAAAUUUAUACCAAUUAACAACAUAGCUUGCUAGCACCACAAAUUGUUUCAACUCCAAGGCAGAGAAUUCCUAGAAGAUAUAUACAUAUUGAUAUAUACUUGCAUGUAGCCGUAUGCUCACUACCUUCGAAUUGGGGAUAUAGUCACUAUUUUUGUAUUCCCUCCAAGUGUUUGAUAAAAAGCAUGAAUGAAUCUUGGCUCUUUAAUUGUUGCAGGCCAUUUCUACCUAUGAGGAGCAAAGGAAUAUGAAGCUUAUUAUAUUCAUUCACAAAGCAAAGCUGAUAUAAUUCAUGGCAAAGCUUGAUGAGGUGUUGUAUUUAAUCUUGCUCAUGAGAUCAAUUACCUAUCUUGUUGGACUUUAUUCUUGUAAUUAAGGUCCAUCCAAAGUUGAUGGCUUGUUUGUCAGAAAGAUAAUCUGAAGGCUAUGAUUGAUUACUUGCGGGCCGAUGGAAAUGUCUCCAUGAUUGGUUUAUGAGGUUGUUAAAUUACUAAAUAGGUAUAUUUACUUUUCAUGAGCUUUAUCUUCGUUUUUCCAUUAUGGAAAUGUCUCUAUGAUUGUAACUUUUAACACGUGGAACUCUUGAACCCUAUGUUUAGUUAUAUACUUAUAUUGGGACUUGUAUAAAUUAAUAUGAUGGUUUUAUUAUUAUUAUUAUUAGUAGUAGUAGUAGUAGUAGUAGCAGCUACAAAAGAUCAAAAGAACUUAAAGGUGUGGCUUGUGGCUUUCUUGCUGUUUGGGCUUUAACUGCUGCCUCACUUGUCAUUGUUGCUAAUCUGGUGUGCCACGUCCAUUUCAGUGUAAUUACAUAAGUUAGUUUGCUUGAUUAAUUAAUUAAUUAGUUAGCGGAUUGAAUAGCCAGAGUACUACAUUUUGCAUAGGUCUGAUGCUGGAUGAAUUUUCAUGUCUUGGCUUUGGGGCUGCUGGAUUUUGCUGCUGGAAGACUAGAUUUUGCAAUUUUGUUGCUGGAAGACUACAUUUUGUGUAGGUUUGUUGCUGGAUGUUGCUGAAUGCGGAGUACUUUGCUUGGUUUUGGAUUGGCCUUUGUUGUCUAUUGGCUCGACUUUGGAAUAUGGAUUAACUAAUGUAAUGUACUUUGGAUAUUUUUAUGGUUAAUAAAGUUCACUAAUUUAGUUCAUUAGUUUUGGAUUUAAUUGCAUUUAGUAAUUUAUUUUCUUUCAUAUAAUUUUAAUAAUUUUAAUAAUUUUAAUUUUUAAAUUUCAUAAUUUUUAUUUUAAAUUAAUAAAUAAAAUAAAUAAUCAAUUUUUUCAAAAAAAAUGUGAUAGAAAAUACUAGUCAUACACACAAUUGAUAUCCCAAAAAAAAAUACAAUCCAAAAAUUUCUAAAAAAAUGAAAAUAUAAAAUAAAAAAAUAAUUUCCCUCUUCUAAGUAGUAUGACAUAAUUAUGAUAGGUAAAAUCUAUCACAACUUGUGACGCGAUUUUAUCUGUCAUCUUUUCUUGACGCUGACUAUAAUGACAGUAAGGAUAACCGUCAUCUACCCCCUAAGAUGACAGUUUUUACCUAUCAUAAUAGGUCAUUUUUCUUGUAGUGCAAUUUUUCCAAUUCUAAGGGUAUAGGUUUGAAAAUUUAACGUUAUUUAACUUAAUGAAACAAAAGGGGAAACCAAGAACUAUUCAAUUUUGUAUUUUUUGUUUGUAAUUCAAAAAAUACAUCCACCAAACAAGUUUUACACAUUAAUGCUGUCAUAAAACGAAAAACAGUUUGCCAAAAAAUGGUACCGUCACAUGAUUUCUUAGUAAGUCCAUAUUAGAUAUAUUUAUACAUUUUAGGUAUUUUAGUUAUAAAAGAAGUUGGUCCUCCCCCUAUUUAUAAAAGAUAACUUUGUUUCGAUAUUACCACUAAACUCUUACAUAGAAUUAGUGUAAUGUUAAGAGAGAGUAAUGCGGUUUUCCAUUACCAUCUUUGAAAAUAGAAAGAUAUGGAUGCGUGCAUUUAAGAGUCAUCGUGAAAAUCAUACAAUUCAAUUUCCUGACAUAUAUAUUUAUGCACGUAUGCCAAAAGAAUAAAUAGACAGAAAGUAAAUUUAUAGUCCUCACUUCCUCACAAUUGUUAACGUGGAGAUGCAUUACAACUGUGAACUGUCACUACUUUAGCCUUUUUUUUUUUUAAUUAUAGUGUGAUGGAGACAUUAAGGAUGAGCAUAAUAGUUAAAGAUGACUCAUUUCUCAUUUUCUUUUUAAAGUGCUCUGCUGAAAGCCAAACUUCCUUUGGCUAAUUAAUUUAGAAGUAAAGCAGAGAAUAAAGUCCUAGAUGCCUUCUGAAAUUAGAAAUACAUUUUAUAUGCUUUAAUUAUGAUUAUUUGGUAGACUAAAGACCUAAAAGAUAUGUCAAAAGUAUAAAACAGAGCGAUUAAAGAAAAAAGAAAAAAAAAACAGAGUAUUUGUGACGUAGAAUAACAAUUGGUAAAUAAAUCCUAAAUAUUUGAGUUGUUAAAAGCAAAUAUAACAGAGACGGUAAGAGAGAUGCUGAAACAGAAAACUAUUAGCUUAUCUUGAUUUUCCCACUAUAUUCAUUUUCGAUGCUUUUCAAACGAGAUUCUUUUAAUUCUUCUGGUGUCUCUUAUAGAUCUCCAUCCCACAUCUGCACUACGAACAAGUUGAUUAAAAUUAAAUACUGUUGGAGAUGUGGGGUGAGCGGUCAACUUGGUAAAAAAACUAUGUAUAAUAUUGUUAAUAAUAUAAAAUAUAAAAUAAUAAUUACAAAGAAUCAUAAAUUAGAAAAAUUAUUUAUUUUACAAUCUAUUUCUUAAGUAAGAUAAAUCUCGUAAUAAGUUAAGUUAUAAUGUAAAAAAUAUUUUCAAUUUAUAAUCAUUUAAGGAGUCAUUUAACAAUAAAAUCUUUCUUUUUUUGAUCAAUUGGUCAUGCUACAGAGCAUCAUCUAUUCGUGGUGAUAUUAUUAUUACUCCGUAUUCUCAAAAAACACGAUUUAACAUUUAGAGAAAGUUCCUACCUUUUAAAAAGAACAUGUAUGCAACAACUACCCAUACUUUAUCUUACCACGACAAAACUAAUAGUGACUAAAUCAAUUUUCUCGAAUAAAGAAAAAUUUCUUAAAAUUAAUUUAAUAUACAAAUAUGAUGACUUUUUGCAAAAAUUAGUUUUGGAAAAUUAGUGACAGAAAAUAGUAACGAUUAUUGUUUAGAUGUGUAAAUAGCCUAAACAUGAUCCCUAAUACCAAUAUCCACGUGCAUCUUAACACCUUUCGUCAUAUUCUUUCAUUCAUGGUCACUGGUUCAAGAUUUGAAUUUGAUCAUUAAAUCAUGUUCAAUAAUAUUAGAGAUCCCAACAAUUGAGUACCAACUUAAAUCCCAAUGCUAUGUGUCAUUAACAAAUGUUGUGUCAUUUAUAAUUAUUGAAUGAAUAAUUCGUUAAUUUAUUGAUAAAUGAAAAUUUAUUAAUUUAAAGAGAGAUAUUUUUUUUUUGGGUUUUAAGAAGAGUUUUGUUGGUACAUGUACAUACUUAUAAAGAAAUAAACUUGUAAUUAUACUAUAUCUUUCUUUCUUUAUUCAGUUUGGUGGGAUAUUGUGAUAAAUCAUUGGAUUAAAAUGCAUUUCUAAAUUAAAACUUGUUAAAAUCUAAUUUAUUUGGGAAGCGCAUAUUAUUUGUCAGUCGUACUUCUCAAGUCUCAACUUAGCAAGUUAUUUCUAACUUGUCAGUCUCUAUUUGUUCUCUAAAAGCUAAUAGUCUCGAAUCUCCCGCAUUUGAUAUCUUGCCAUUAUUGUUGGCAUUAACAUGUUACCUGAGAUUGGGAUUCAUUAAAAUCCUCAAUGUAAUCGGUGGAACGAAUGGAUUUCUUCUGUUCACCAAUCCACCAAAAUUUCUGUAAUUAAAUUCAAGAGUCAAGAUCUAUGCUUAUAAUCUAUUCUAACAGCUAAUAUUCUAUUUUAUAUUUACUUAAAUAUGAAGAGCUAUGCUUGUCAUUAACUUCAAAUGUGAUCGAAGCAGCCAUACAUCUGUAUAUUACUUAUUCCCAACCUUUUUUUUUGACUUCAUAUACUUUCUUUUCAUGUUAUUUACUCUUUUUUUCCCCUCUCUGACAAUUGAGGUAGGGGGUCAAACUUGAAAGUAUCUUAAAAUCAGACAAUUUUUUUUUUUUUUAAGAUAGCUGCUAAUAUGCUCUAUUAGACAAUGAUAAGUAAUAACCUAGUUGUUUGCAUUAGAAAUGAUAUUUUUUGUGGUGCUGAUAAAGAGGUUGAUUAUGAUUCAACAAUUUAAAAUAUGAAAACAUGUGGAAGACGGCCGCAAUUAAAUUGAUUGUAUGAAAAUAUUUCAAUGAAAUUUUAAAAAUUUAGUACUUGUUAUCUUAUCGAGAGUUUUUUUAAAUUAUAUUACUACUUGAACUUGGGUACUUGUUAUCUUAUCGAGAGUUUUUUUAAAUUAUAUUACUACUUGAACUUGGCUGCUUUUGUAUUGAAUUCCUAGCGUUGCCAUUGCUUCUACUCAAAAGCCAUUUAAGUUUGUGUAAGCUACCUAUAGUUUGAACAACAAUUUACUCAUGAAUUGUUGUUCAUAAUAGCAAUUUGAUUGAAAGUGCGGCUGCACUAAUUUUCUAGAUGAAUUUUUUCCUACAUGCUUGUUCUCGUAUGACCCAAAAUCCUGCUACAUCAGUUGUAUUAGAAAUUAAUACUGGGUUACAAUUAUGCAUCCCCACCAAUAUUUAAGCAAUUUAAUUACAGGAACAUUUCUUGAGGAAAGAAACUCAUAUCGCCCCUAGGCUUUUAAUGAGGCUCAUUUUUAUGAAUCUGGAUGGCAUUAGAUAUCUCUCCGAAUAUUGGUGGGAGUAUAUCGCAGAUCUCUGGGCUAUACUACAAAGUGUAUGUACGUUGACUCUCAAUAAAUACAAACGAUUCUCUGAUAUGAUUCAAAACAUCAGUGCACGCAUCAUUUUAACGAGAGAGAAUAUUCUAAGAACGAAAUUGAAGGUGCAAUCAACAACUAAAAUGAAGCCAGAAAUGUACACGCAUGAGGAAGUUUUCCUAGAAGAUUGAUAUUUCUUUAACUAGCAAACAAUACAAGUCCAAAGCUAACCAAACCAUACCUGCAAGUCCGGGGCUUAAAUGGAGUACUUGUAAGCAUAAAACAUUAAUCAAAACACAGUAUAGACACACACACACACCCCUACAUACAUACCAGCAAAUUCGAAAUAGAAAAAGGAGUGCAACUAUUCAAGUUUGUUGACAAUAUUGCAACCAUGGCAUAUUAAAGCAAAUCCUUAAAAUCAGCUAAACGAAACAAUUCCCUGUCUCAUGAAUCGAUGCUCAAUUAAAAUUGAAAUUGAAAGUCCGGCUGGUGUUGUUUCCCUCUCCAGGUUUGCCUACAUAAGUAAAGGGAAAUGAGAAUCAUAAAUGAAAAUCUGCUUCGAUCACUGUUCACAAAUCACUGUUCACAAAUCCCUAAUUCAAAAAUUACUGUUGAUUAUCGUUUUACAGCAGCGCCUCAGCUCCAGCCUUCACCCCGCAACGCAAGCAGCAGCCAGCGCGAACCAGUCGCGCCCAACGCAAGCCCCAGCAACCCAGAUUGUUAGCUCCAGCCGCGCGCAACGUAGCUGAGCAGCAGCAGACCAGCAGCGCGAACCAGCUCUCGCGCGCAACACAACGCGAACGCAGCAGUGCGUAGAUGCAGCCCAGCAACGCAGCGCGAACCAGCAAUGCAGCCUCACCAGCGCGCAACGCAAGCCCCCGCACGCGCAGCACCAGCAUCCCGUUUCUCGCAGCGCAGCAGCGCGCAACGCAGCGCAGCACCCGCAAAGCAAGCCUCACCAGCGCGCAACGCAAGCCCGCAACGCAGCAACGAGCACGCCCUGCAACGCAACCAGCUUACGCCUUGUAUUCCAGCCGGGUAAAUCGAAAUCCGUGAGUACAAUUAUUGUAACAAUGCCGAAGAGGAAAGCAUCCACUUCCAAGUCAUCGAAAAAGACACCCAUCGCAAAGAAAUCUAAGAUUGCCGCUCCCACUACGGUUCCAUGGAACACAAUUUCAGAUUCACGCCAAGCCGUGAGACAAAGAUCGAAGCAUGGAAAAGGCAUGAGUAUUUUGCCACUUGCGGAAUCCAAUCUCGAAGGGUGCCUUGCAUUCGCGACUCAACAAGAGAAAGAGAGGUACAAAGAUAUUUCCACGGGCAAAAUACUUCCAGCUAAGAAUUUUUGGAUAUGUCUAUGUUUGAAAGAACAUGUGUGGUUGAAUUCAAGGAGGGGAGAUUUCAGUUUACUGAACCAGGACCCACUCAACUUCCGAAGAAGCUUUAUGCUAGGAGUGGUGCUACCUCUGAUGACGAGUUUGACGACGACACUGCUGCCCCGCCAACUAUUCCUUCUACAUCCGCACCACCUUUGAGCAUUCAAUUAGAGAAAAUGGAGCACAAGCUGAACAAGAUGGAGCAGAAUUUGGCCGCAUACUUCGAGAGUGUGGGAUUUACCCCACCAUUUCCGCCAAGCCCAUAGACGUUAUGUGGAUCAAAGCUCACAAUUCAGGGAAGUUUCUUUUUGCCCUUAAUCCUUUAUCCUUACGCUUUAAUUUUUAUGUGAGCUUUGAUUAUCUUACAUUGGGGACAAUGUAAGUUCUUGGUGUGGGGGAGGGAUUUUUGCAUUAUUGAUGUCUGGAAUUAUUGUUUUCACUCUACUUAUUUUUUUUUUUCACUCUACUCAUCCUUAAAUGAUUUUGGAGUUAGUAUGCUUUAUAUAUUAUUAUUUUUUCUUUUCUUUUAUUUCUCACAACUUUUUUUUUCCCAUCUAUCUCAAAUUAUUUACAUCUAUUUUUAUUCUAUCAUACUGUUUCAUCGCUCACAUUUUAUCUUUCACUUUUCAUCUUUCUCACUUCUUAUCAUUUUUACCUUUCCUUUUAUAUAUCACCCAUACCUUCUUCUCAUUCUACACCACUAUUGAUGGUUGAUUCAUUUGAAGAGUGUACAUGAUUUGAUGGCAAAUUUACCAACUUUGUGAGGAUUUGAGCCUAUGAGCAACCACUUUGCUCUAAUAUUUUUGUUAUGUGAAUAUCAAUCUUAGUUUGUUUAUUCUAGAACUUGCUUUGUUAUGCAUGUUGAAGCCGCAUUACGGGAUUUUAUGCACUAAAAUGAUAAGGGCAAACCCUUUUCCAUUUUUCUAUUCUCGCAUUUUUUUUCUCUACCCGAAGAUCUUUAUUUGCUAUCUUUGUUUGAGCCUUAACAAUUACCCAUCUAAUUCUCUCCGUCUACUUAACCAUUUUUCUUCUUUUUUUUGAGCCUCAAUUUAAGGAGAUUUUUGGACUCAUUGUGUGGAUAUAUUUUGUUGCUUUUUCUACCUUGUAAUAAAGUUUCUCAAUUAGAUCAACAAGCAUUAUGCUUGAAUUAAAUUGUGCAAGGUUCGUUUCUUUUGUUUGAUUCAAAAACAAAAACAAAAAAAAAAAAACAAAAAACAAAAAAAAAAAAGAAAAAAAAAGAAAAAAAAAAAGAAAAAGAAAAAUCACAAAAAAAAAACAAAAAAAAAUGUUUACAUUCUUGGUGACUUAAGUAGAAAUAAGCAUUUUGAUAUCAUAAGUUCAUUCAAUGAGUUCAUUUUUCUCGUUUUAAUCUCUUUUUCUUUCGUAAACCUUUCUUUUUCAUUUAACCCAUUUAACCCCAUUACAACCCUCUUAAGACCCUUAGAUUUUUGCAUUUUAUUCAUGUUUUGUGGAUUGAGAUGUGAUAUAUGAGCAAGCUUAUGGUAAUAGCAUUCUUUGAUUUGAUUUGAGUGGAUAAAUGACACCCUAAAAACUUUGAGUGCAUGGAGUGAAGUUAUUGAGAGGGCUAUUAAAUCUUGUUGCACUUGAAUUUUGAAUGGAUCUCCUUGGUGGUUGAAUGUUCUUAUUCUAUCUUAUGAAAUUCUAUGCUUUAAAAUCCUUGUCUCUCGAAUGUUAAUCGACUUAAUUUCUUGAGGUAUGCUUUCUUAAAAUUGUUUUUGGAUGAGUUGAGAUGAGAAUUGAGUGGAGAUUUGAGAUUAAUCUUGAGUUAUAUGCUUGAGGACAAGCAUCAUCUUGGUGUGGGGGAAUUUGUUAGAGUGCAAUUUAUGCACUAGUUUUGCAUUGUUUACUUCCCUUAAUAUCGAUGUUUUACACUUAAUAAUAAUGUUUUACUUGUGUUUUACUUUUGUAGGUGCAAUUCUAUUGAUUGGUGAUAAAAUUGAGCUAAAAGAUGAUGUUUAAGGAGGAUUGUUCUCUUGGAGAAAUUAUGAGCGUCGAAAGAACUUUGUUGAUAAGGCGUGGGCGCGUGCUGUCAACUGCGGACCUGCAGUUUUUAGUUUAACGUGUUUUGUAUUUUUGGUUAUUUUUGUAAUUACGAAUUUAAUAUUUCAGAUAUUAGUAUUUUAUUUUAAAUAGAAUUCUAAAAGAGAAGAGAGAGAGAGUAUUUAAGGGAGGAAUCUAUUGUGAAAAGGGGGAUUUGGAUUGGAGAAAAAGAAAGAAACCCUAGAUCUAAUUUUUCUCUUCUCUCUAUGAAGAACUAAACCUAUUUUUCUGGUUGAAGGAUAAUGACGCUUUGAUUCAUCACUACUGUGAGAUUUUUCUUAUGCUUUAAUUGUUUUAUUACUUUUUGGGUAUUUGUUUAUUCUCUGAAUUAGUUUCAUGAUUAUGUUUGUUAAUUAGGUAAUUGUCCACUAUUUAAUUAUCAACUUAAUCUAUUGUCAAUUAAAGGAUUCAUCGUAUGAAGAAUUUAAUGUUUGUGACAAAUAACAUAGCAGAGAGUUGUGUUGUGAGAAUAAACAAUCUAAUUUAAAUGAAUCAUCAUAUGUGUUGAUUAGGAUUUGGGUCUCUCUGGUUUUUCAGGCUGUCAAUUGAUUAAAUCCUAUGAUCGUAUCAAGGGUUGUCUAUUGAUUAGGGAAAUAUCCAACGGUCGUACCUUGGUUAUCGACUAGUUAAGGAGAGAUUGGCUAUUAGAGGGUCUCAAUAGCUAUAACCGGUCUAUUCAUAAGUAAUAAUAAUAUAUAUUUGAAUCAAUGAUCAGUAGUCGAAUCAAGCUGAGUUAAUUCCUUCAACCAGAGCUUUCUCCAAUUUGAAUUACAACUUUAAUUUGCAUUUUGUAUUUAAUUUGAUUUUUAUUAUUGUCUACAAUUCCCCCAUUUUAUGUUUUACGUUUCAAAAGGAUUUAAAUAAUUACCGAUCUCUGUGGACACGACCCUGCUCAAUCACUAUACACAAUUUAUUUAGAGUAGGAAUUUAUUUUUGUUGGCUUCGACACCCAUCAGUUGAUUUGUGUUGUUUAUUGCUAGAUUUCGCAUAAUUGUUUGCUGAUUACUAGAACUGGCUCUGUUUGGAUCUGAUACCAUGUUUAAAAACAUAAAAAAUCACUGAUCAGUUUGUUUGGUUGCUAAGAAAAUUUGCUCUGUUUGCUGAGAAAGUUUCAAAGAAGAUUCUCGAUUUUUUUUAUUUCAUCUUUCUUACUUCACGAAUGAUUACAAACACACCUUUUAUACACAACUCAACUAGCUAACAGAAAGAAAGCUACAAAACAGAAUCUCAGUAAGCUUAACUAAUUUUGCUGAGCUGGCAUUACACACUUAACUAACUUCGGCUAACUAAAUUCUCACAUGUGCUAAGCAUGAGCAGACUGUUUGUACACAUUAUGUGCUUCUUUAACACAAUGGAGUUUUAAAAAUUUGGUACUUGUUAUCUUAUCGAAAGUUUUCAAAAUUAUAUGAAUGUUCAAACUUAGCCCCUCCCGGCACUGCCACUGCUUCUACGUGAAAGUCAUUUAAGUUUGUGUUAGCUGCCUAUAGAUUGAAUAACAAUUUUACUCCGGAUUUUUUGUCCAUUAUGAAAAUUUGAUUGAAAGUGCGGCUGCACUAAUUUUCUAGAUGAACUUCCCUACAUGUUUUUUCUCAUAUGACCCAGAAUACUGCUAUAACAAUUGUAUUGGAAACUAUUCAACUGGGUUACUAUUCUACAUCCCCACCAAAAUUUAAACAGUCGACAUUGUGGAAAGAAACUCAUUUCGCCACUAGGCUUUUAGUGAGGCUAAUUUCUCUGAAUUUGGACAGAGUAGAUUUCUAAGCUAAUGCUUGGAAGAUCUCUGGCGAUAUUACAAAGUGCAUGUACAUUGAGUCUUAAUAAAUAUAAACGAUUCUCUAAUAUGAUUCAAAACAUCACUACAUGCAUAAGUUAAUAAGAGAAAAAAUUAUAAGAUUAUUUAUGCAUCACCAUUUAUAGUUGCACCCUCUCUAAUGAAAUUGAAGGUGCAGCCAGCAAUUAAAAUGAAGCAGAAAUGUACAUUGACCCUUAAUAAAUAGAAACUAAGGCGUUAUCGAUUCAACUUCAGUUGAUCAAUUGCGGGUGAAAGAUAAAUAAAGGAUAAGAGAAUAGAGCUGGAGUGCUAAAUUGGCUAUUGAAGAAGGGUGUCACAUGAUCACAAUCACAUUGACGCACAACUCUUUGGAGGCAAAUUUUGUCUAUGUGUACUCUAAAUUCAGCCAAACCAUACAUGUAUGAACAGAAUUUAAACCGUAGUUCUCAUCACAAUAGUAAUUGAAGCUACAAAAGCCAGAAAAUCUGAACAAAAACUUAAAAGGAAGAUUUUAUUCAAGUUUGCCCCCAAAAGACAGUUGAAAUGAAAAAUAUUGACUAUUGAAUGGGUCAAUGCUGAAUUACAUUUCAAAUGGAAAGCUUGGCAACAGUUACAAUGUUUCCCCUCUGAUUUUCCUCCAAAACAAAUUCAGUUAUAAACAAUAACUGAAGUAGGAAUAAUUUAUUCAUCAAAGAAAAUACCCUAGUUUUCAACUAACAAAUCCUGCUAUCCAAAUUAAAAAAACUCGCAUCUCUAAAAUUUAUUUGUAAACUGUUGGAAAUGAGGAGUGAUCUGUCAACUCCGUAAAUAAACUCAGGCAUAAUAUUAAUAAUAAUUAUAAAUUACAUAAUAAUUAUUAUAAAGAAUCAUAAAUUGGAAACGCUAAUCAUUCUACAAUCUAUUAUAUAAGUAAGAUAAGUCUCAUAAUAAGUUAAGUUAUAAUGUAAUAAAUACUUUCAAUAUAUAAUUAUUUAAGAAGGCAUUUAACAAUAAAAUAUUUUUUUUUCUAUUCGGUUGAUCAUAUAGUGUUAUCUAAACUCUUGACGAUAUUAUUAUUACUCACUUUUCUAAAAAAAAAACAUGAUUAACGUUUAGAGAAAAGUCAUGCCCCUUAAAAAUAAUAUGUAUACAAGCUAUCCAUACUUUAUCUUACCAUGACAAAAUUGAUGGUGAUUAAAUCUACUUUUAAAAUAGAUUUAAUGCACAGAUAUUAUGACUUCUGGCAAAAAUUAGUUUUGGAAGACAUAAUGGUAGAAAAUAGUGAUGAUCAUUAUUUAAAUGUGUAAAUAGCCUAGGCAUAGCCUGUAAUACCAAUAUCCAUUUGCCUUUAUUUGGAUUAUCACAUUUCAUGAUAUUCUUAUAUUUAUGACCAUUGUUCGAGAUUUGAACUUGAUCAUAAAUUAAGCUGCAAGAGAUUUUACUUCAGUUUCUAAGCUUUUCAAUCGUGAUUCAUCCAUGCCUUUCUUGGAUACCAUUAUGUUACGUGCCAAUGUAACUGACCUUGUAAUUGGUGUGUAUAAGGAAACAUGCCCUUUCAAGAUUGUUUUCUUUUGUUUCCUUAUUGUAGUAGUCAAAUAAAUAAAGAACGAACAAUUGAACUUGGUCUACUUCGAGGAAAACCAAGGCCUGCAAUAUUAGAUGAACUUUGAACAAAAUUAAUCUACUGCUUUUAUUCAUCUUUGGACUAUGAAUUUAUACAAAGACUUUAACAAAAAAUAACAAAGACACAACUGAAUGAUAGCAACAAGUGCUGACUUAGCGGACUACUGCAACAACUAAAUAAAAACUAAAUAUUUAUUUUGACUGUAACAACAAUUGCCCUGAUGAAUAGGACUCCACAGCAGCCACGUGACAACUAAUUUCUCCUUAAUAUUAUUAUUAGUAGAAGUAGAUUUUCAAACUAGUCUUGAUAUAUUUCGAAGUUGUAUUAUUAUCAAUGUAUAUGUAUCUAGAUUGUAACUAUAUUUUAAAAAAUAUAAUUUUUUUAAUUAUUGCACAGUAAAUGUAGAAAAAUAUCUAUAAAAUAAUAUUAUUAGGACUAAGAAAAAAAUAUUAUUUUAUAUAAGUUAUUUAUUUAUUAUUGAAUGAAUAAUUUAUUAAUUUAUUGAUAAACGAAUAUUUAUUAAUUUAAAGAGAGAUUAUUUUGGUUUUAAGAAGAGUUUGUUUGGUACAUGUACACACUUAUAAAGAAACACAAAAGGUGCUUCCUCAAGUUAAUAGUAUUUGCUUUAAUCGCUAUAGUUCACAAUAAUAUAGCAUAGUUUGGAAAAUUGUAAUUAUACUAUGUCUACGUUUGGUACAAUUUUUCAAGAAGAACUUAUUUAAAUAGAGUUUUUGUUAGUAGAACAUUUAUAAAUAAAAUUUUUACUGAAAAAAUUUAAGUUAUUUGGUUGUCAUUGUCAAAAUUGAUGAACUUUUGAUCUUUUGUUAACAUGUGUUUUUUUUACUAAAUAAUAAAUGUUAGGUUACAAUUAUUUUCAAUAGUUUUUGAAGGAAUCAAGUUAUGAAAUUUUUAUCAAUGAACUUUCAAUAUGUCAGCAUAUGGUCUGUAAAAUUUGAGAGUUUUCCAAUGAGGGAAUAAUUUAUUAAAAAUAAGAGAAUAUGGAUUGUUCUGUUUUAAGGGCCGAUUAUUGAGGACAUUUGAGGUUGAGCUUAGGAGAUGUUUAAAUUGAGAUAUUUGAGGACAUUAUGUUAGCCUAAAGGGCUACACAUAAUGUAAUUUUGAUGAUAACAAACAUGUGUCUUAAGUAAAAAUAAUAAAUAUUGUAUUUCACAUUUUCACUAGUUUUUGAAGGAUAAUAUUUAUGCAAGUGAAUCAAGUGAAAUCAAGAUUGAAGAUACUCAACGGACAACGGCGACAUCAAGAAUAUAGUUUAGAGCUCAAUGAACAAAUUAGUGCGAUAAAUUCUUGUAAAGCCGGUAUGAUUUAAUUGAUGCAUGAUUUAGCAUUUGAGAAGCUCAAGAGAUUAAUUUAAUUAAAUACUUUUCAUAAACUAAAAGGUUUUAUUUUUAUAAAGUAAAGUAUUUUGUGGAUUUGAGUAAUUUGGACUUAAAUGCUAAGAUUUGAAAUCUUUGAUUUUAAUAAGUAUUAAAUUUCGGAGUUGGACGUUUUGAUAAACAUUUGAAAUGUUUUGGGUCAUACUAUAAUUUAUAAAUAUUUUGGACUAAAGUGAAAGGUUUUGAGAACUUUGAAAAAUAUGGGUAUUAUGUUGAAAAGGACCUUUGUGCGAACUAAAAAUUUCUUUGGGGCCAUAUCAUAAUUUCAGAAAGUUUGGGAAGACAACUACUCUUAGGAAGUUCUGAAAUUGGACCUAUUUGCAAAGUUUUAUGACAUUUUGAGCCAUAGUAUAAUUAUAGAAAGUUUUGAGCCAAAGUAUAAUUUUAGUGAACAGUGUUACUAUAGCAAUUCAAAAAUAACGGUAAUAUCACUGUUCCUGAGCGGCUAGCCGGAUAAAUCAAGCGGCUAACUGCUUGGGCGAGGGAAUUUGCCUAUAACGGCUAGUUUUCAGGCUUUAACUAUAAAAACUCAGCUCAAACUUCAUUCUAAGUACUAAUGCAUGCAAAUAUAAGAUCAUACAACAUAUAUUGAGCUUCCAAAAUGCAAAUCAUCAUUGAUUGAAUCAUUGUUGAGCUAUUAGUUGCAUAUCCACUCUUAAAGAGAGUUUUUGUUGUAAUUUUCAUUUCUUAUCAAAUUGUGAGUGUGUGAGUGUGUAAGUGUGGGAAACACUUGGGGUGAAGAGAUUGGGGAGAUAAUCUCUUGGUUGUAAAGGUUCAUUGACACCUUGGAAGUCAAUUGUAAAAACUUGAACCCUUGAGAGGCUUGGAUAGUGAAAUCCUCGAGCAUGGUUGGCUUGGAGGCGUGGACGUAAGCAGGGAUUGCCGAACCACGUAAAAAUCCGCGUGUUUGUUUCUCUCUUCCCUUGCUCUUUUAUUUUUACGCUUGUUUGAAUUUAUUGUUCUCUAUUUCAUUAAGGCGUUAGAUUGAUUUAUUGUGCGAAUUGUAUUGCAUUAUUUUUAAAAACUCAAUUCACCCUCCCUCUUGGGUUGCAUUACUUGCAUUUACAUUAGAGUUUAUGAUUGAGACUCGAUUAUAUCUUAUGAGAAAUUUAUUGAUGAUUUUAGGUUGAUGAUAACAGUACGCAUUUGUUACAUGAGGAUGCCAAGAGGUAAGUAAACUAGACUUAAAAACGAAUCACAAUAAACAAUAUAUAUGUUUGACUUGUAUGAAAAGUCUAUUUUGAUAUGUACGAAUAUAGAUUUAUAUGUCUCUACUCAUGUGUUUAUGUGAUGUGUUGUUAUGUAUUGGGCGUGAUUAUGUACAUAGGCAUAUGUAUGUGUGAUGGUUCAUUGUCAUGAGCACGAAAAUGCAUUGAGUUUUCUAUGAAUGAAAAGUGGAUUUUAGCAAAUGAGAUUUCUCUUUUAUGAGAUUUUGCAUUGGGGGCCACCUCUUGAGGGCCAGAGUGCCGCAAAGUACCACGCACAACACAAAGUGCCACAUUGCAGGAUACGUAUUUUAUUGAAAGGAAAUAUGAAAGUUUGAAAGCGACAGAAAGAGAUUUUUAUGAAUUUGUUUUACAGUAUUUCCAAAAGAUCAUGGCAUAGCAUCCAUCUACAUUAUGUAUAAGUAUGCAUGUUUGCUUAUUGAGUUUUGUACUCAUUAUAGUUUAUUAUGAUUCAGUUUCCAGAAGUCAGGAUUGAUUCGUGAUGAGUGAGAAGAUGAAUUUAAAUUGAGGAUGGUAGAUGGUUUGGCUAAAUUUUUAAGUUAUUCCGCUGGCUUUUGUAUUCGAGGCUCGAAUUUUAUCGGUUGUAAAGAGUUAUUUAAAUUCAUAUGUGAGUUGUAGUCAGAUUUGCCCUCGGAGUUCGGGUUGGGGCGUUACAGAUGCAGAAACAGAAAACUAUUAGCUUAUCUUGAUUUUCCCACUAUAUUCAUUUUCGAUGCUUUUCAAACGAGAUUCUUUUAAUCCUUCUGGCGUAUGCAGCCCUUGCUCUUCUUAUAAAUCUCCAUCCGACAUCUGCACUAGGAACAAGUUGAUUGAAAUUAAAUAACAUUAGAGAUGACGGACGGUUGAGCCGUUAACUCGGUAAAAAAACUCAUAUAUAAUAUUACUAAUAAAAAAAAAUAUAAUAAUCAUUACUAAGAAUCAUAAAUUAGAAAAAUUAAUUAUUUUACAAUCUAUUUCGCAAGUAAGAUAAAUCUCAUAAUAAGUUAAGUUAUAACGUAAAAAACAUUUUCAAUUUAUAAUCGUUUAAGAAGUCAUUUAACAAUAAAAUCUUUCUUUUGGUCAGUUGGCCAUGCCACAGAGUAUCAUCUAUAUUCGUGGUGAUAUUAUUAUUACUCCGUAUUCUCAAAAAACUUGAUUUAACAUUUAGAGAAAAUUCCUACCAUUUAAAAAGAACAUGUAUGCAGCAGCUACCCAUACUUUAUCUUACCCCGACAAAAUUAAUGGUGACUAAAUCAAUUUUCUCGAUUAAAGCAAAAUUUUCUUAAAAACGAUUUAAUGCACAAAUAUGAUGACUUUUUGCAAAAAUUAGUUUUGGAAAAUAUAGUGAGAGAAAAUAGUGACGAUUAUUGUUUAGAUGUGUAAAUAGCCUAAACAUAAUUGCUAAUACCAACAUCCACGUGCAUCUUAACACCUUUCGUGAUAAUCUUUCAUUCAUGGUCACUGGUUCAAGAUUUGAAUUUGAUCAUUAAAUCAUGUUCAAGAAUAUUAGAGAUCCCAACAAUUGAGUUCCAACUUAAAUCCUAAUGCUAUGUGUCAUUGACCAAUAUUGUGUCAUUUUUUGUUAACUGGGUGAUGAAUUUCUAGUUGAUAAAAUUACUUAAAAAUAUCUUAAAAAUCAGAUAAUAGUUAGCUUAAUUUUUUGAAGCUAACUGCUCAAGAUGCUCUAUUAGAAAUGAUAACCUAAUUAUAUAAAAAAAAAAAUGAUGUAUUUUUUUCGGUGUUGAUAGUGAGAUUAUCAUUCAACAUGUUAAAAUAUGAAAACAUAUGGAAGAAGGUUGUAAAUUGAUUGAAUGAAAAUAUUUCAGUGAAGUCUAAAAAAUUUGGUACUUGUUAUCUUAUCGAAAGUUUUCUAAAUUACAUUCGUGGCACUGCCACUGCUUCCAUGUGAAGGUCAUUAAAAUUUGUGUUAGUUACCUAUAUGUUGAAUAAUAAUUUUAUUCAUGAAUUGUUGCUCAAUAUAGCAGUUUCUAGAUGAAUUUUCCUACAUGUUUGUCCUCAUAUGACCUAGAAUGCUGCCAUAUCAAUUGUAUUGGAAAUUAUUCAAGUGGGUUUGUGCUCUAUACCCCCACCAAAAUUUAAGCAAUCUACAGAACAUUCCUUGUGGAAAGAAACUUAUUUCGCUACUAGGUGGGAGUAGAUUUCUAAGCUAAUGCUCGGCAGAUCUCUAGGCUAUACUAAAAAGUGUAUGCACUUUGACUCUCAAUAUAUACGAGUGAUUCUAUGAUAUGACUGAAAACAUCAGUACAUGCAUGAUUUUAUAAGAAAGAAUAUUCUAAAAUUAUUUAUGUAUCACCAUUUGAAGUUGUACCCUCUCGAAUGAAGGUGCAAUCAGCAACUAAAAUGAAGCCCGAAAUGUACACGCGUGAAGCAGUUUUUCUAGAAGAUUGAUAUUUCUCAAACUAGCAAACCGUACAAGUCCAAAGCUAGAAAAAGGAGUGCUUCUAAGCAGAAAACAUUGAUUAAAACAGAAUGCACACAAACAUACCAGCAAAUUCAAAAUAGAAAAAGGAGUGCAACUGUUCAAGUUUGUGGACAAUAUUGCAACCGUGGCAUAUUUAUAGCAAAUCCUUGAAAUCUGCUAAAUAAACAAUGCCCUGUCUCAUGAAUCAAAGCCGAAUUAAAAUUGAAAUUGAAAGUCCGGCUGGUGUUGUUUCCCUCUCCAGUUUUGCCCACAUAAGUGAAGGGAAAUGAGAAUCAUAAACUAAAAUCUGCUUUUACAGUUCUUAUUAGAUAGAUAUAAAGGGAUCUUUCUUUGUUUCUCUGCUGCAAUUUGUGGCUAUCCCACUCUGUUUUGCCACUCAAGCUUAGUCUACGUUGAGACACAAUUUUGACAUCAGAAGCAACCUCAAUUAGUUUGGCAUUUUUAUGACCUCCUUGUACGUUUUACGAUAAACAUAAAUCUACUGAGAAAGUGGGAAAAAAAGAAAAUGCAUAUAAAAGUAUGAGUUAUCAGACAUGAUUAAAACUCACCCAAUUCAAUCCAUUAGAUUCCGUAAGGAUAUAACUGGAUGUCAUACCGCCAUUCCAUAUCCUCGAAAGUCCGUAGCCUCUGUCUCAACUCUGUCUGAGGCCAAUGUAAAUCCAAUAUGCGCAAGCUCUUUAUGCACCACAGCUCUUCUGGAAGCUUUCUCAAGUAAGCACAAGGGUUGACAAUUAAGCUUUCAAGUUUUGGCAUUGCUCCAGCCCCCAUCGUCCACUCAUCUAGCCAAAACAUUGAUUUCAGGUGCAAAACCUUACGUUCCGGAAAGCAACCAGGGCCAACGCAGGCCAGCUUUCUUCCUAAAUACGAGUUUUGCUUCAGUUUCAGCACUUGAAGGCGUGGAAGCUUUUCCAGCAUUGGCAUGGGAUCCUCCAUUAGCUCAGUAUUCGAUAAGCUCAGAUGGCUCAGACUUGGAGGAAAUUGGUAUUCAGACAGGAUAAUCCGUGAGGGCUUGCUCUCAUUCACCAGCUUCAAGCAUUCAAGUUUGUGCAGUUCGCAUAGGCUUUUGGAAACCCCGGAUUGAUAGUAACUCAAAUCUCCAGAUAUUCUUAGACUUUGGACAAGAUAUUCUUAGACUUUGGACAUUUGGUAGUCUGCCCAAUAUAGCUGGACUGCAACUACUAGGAUGUAAGGCUGAUAAGAAAAUGAGAUUUUUCAGAGAGCUUCAAUAAUUUUUUGGAGGUGCGGGCAGAGUGAUGCAACCGAAGUUUAGAUGCAUGAGUUUUUGCAUCAUCCAAAUAUCCUCUGGUGAAUGAUCUAUGUAGCUAGAUGGCAUUUCUAGCGUUUGAAGGUUUAAAAGGGAGCAUAGCAGUGAAGGAAUGCAUUUGAGCGAAGGGAUAUUCAAUUUCAAAUACUUCAAAAGGAAUAAAUUUUCUAAUCCGGCUGGAUAUUGGUCGAGAACUGCAGAACCCAAGUUCAAUACCCGAAGGUAUUUGAACUUGUCGCAAUCUAUCAGAGCGAGAUGAUCGCUUGCCGAACUGUUAUUCAGAAAAGAUUGGAGAUACAUGUCAGAAUGUCCUAAAGAUAAAAACCCAGUCAGAUCUUGGGCAAUGACGCACCGUUUAACAUUUGCCACUGGCUCCUCUUCCCUGUCACGCAUCCAUACAAAUUCCGUCUUCUCUGCCACCGAGCACAGUAAAGUAAAUUCAAAACCUGGAACAUAAAACGCUUUAAUUGUGCCGCCGGCUCCUCUUACUCACUUGAAUGAAGCCGCAAUGGAUUAGUUCUUUCAAGUAAUGUUCUGCCGUCUCCUCACUGUUGUAUGGUAUGAAACCUUCAGCUACCCACAACUGAUAUAAUUGUCUCGUAGAUAUCUCAAUGUCUGGACGGAAGACAAACAAAUAGGUGUAGCAGACUUUCAAGUGAAAAGGUAACUCCAUCACAGAAUAAAUUUGUCUCCAAAUUGUCCGAAUCGCUUAGGCUUGAAGAUAAUUUUCUAAUGGCAUACUUCCAUAGUGUAGGAUGAAAAAUUGCCAGGCCUCAUACUUUAAUCUGAUCAAUGGUCCUCCAACGAGCACAGAAUCAGGCCGAAUCUUCUCUCCAUUUUCCAUUUCCAACGACACAAGGAGUUCUGGAUCAGUGACUGUUAUCAAUACUCUGCUUCCAUUCUCAUUAUCAGGGAGACCUUCUUCGAGAUCAUCCCAUAUCUCACUGUUAUCGAAGACAUCAUCAAGCACAAUAAAGUACUUCUUGUUUGUUAGGUAAUCUCGAAGAAUAGAUUUCUUCAAUUGAUAAUUGAAAGAGUUUGUAUAUAGUGUUUGGUUUAAGAGAAACUAACAAGAAAAUAAAAGAAAAUCAUAAAGAACCAGAUCUGAAAAUGAUCAUAUUCUCAUUUUUUGACUAAUGAUUACAACUUGUUAUUUAUAGUAAAGAUCAGAGGCGUCACGUAGCUUGUCAGUUUGUUGGAUCUAAUAUGCAUGCAGUACAGUUCGUUAUCUUUGCUGCUGAGCUGGAUAACUAACUCAACACACGUAAGCAUCAGCAGCUCCAUUUAAUCAGAUGCUCUCAUCUAUACCAUAUUAUCAUACUCUAUAACAUCCUCCCUCAAGCUGAACUGACCUGGAUGGACAUUCAGCUUGCUUCUUAGAUAGUGAAACUGAUUGAAGGUUAGUGCCUUGGUAAGAACAUCGGCAUUUUGGUCUUCACUGGGAAUGAACUGAACUGUAAUUUGCUUAGCUGUUACUUUGUCUCUGAUGAAGUGAAUAUCAAGCUCAACAUGCUUAGUUUUAGCAUGAUAAACAGGAUUGUGAGCUAAAGCUAUGGCACUUUGAUUAUCACACCACAUUAUGGGGGCUGUGACAAGAUGAAUAUGUAGCUCUUUCAGUAAGGACUGAAUCCAAGUAACCUCAGCUGUAGCUUGAGCCAAAGCUCUGUAUUCAGCUUCAGUGCUUGAUCUGGAAACUACUGCCUGUUUCUUAGACGACCAAGAAACCAAAUUUGAACCAAGAUAAACAGCAUAACCAGCCACUGAUUUGCGAUCAUCCUUAUCACAUGCCCAAUCUGAGUCACUAAAACAAUUUAUCUGCAUAGUGCCGUAAUGAUAAAAAUGUAAUCCAAAAUGAAUUGUUCCUUUCAAAUAUCUAAGAAGCCUCUUACAAGCCUCCCAGUGCUCUGCUGUUGGUGAAGCUAAAAACUGACUAAGUUUGUUUACAGAGAAAGCUAUUUCUGGCCUAGUGAGAGUCACAUAUUGUAAAGCUCCAACUGCACUUCUAUAUUGAGAACUAUUUGAAAUAACACUUCCUGACCCCUUUGUAAGAUAAUGACCAGUGGCCAUGGGAGUAGGAACUGGACUGCAGUCAGCCAUAUUGUGUUUGGCUAGAAUAUCAGCUAUGUAUUUAGAUUGAGAGAGAUAAAUUCCAGAUGCUGUUUUGGUAACUUCUAUCCCAAGAAAAUAACUCAAUUUGCCCAGAUCCUUCAAAGCAAAAGCAUUUUGCAUAUUGGUAAUCACUUGCUGCACCAUUUGAUCACUUGAGCCUGUUAUGAUUAUAUCAUCCACAUAGACAAGAACAAAAAUUACUUGAUCACCUAUCCACUUGUAGAAAAGGGAGUUGUCUGACCUUGAAUUUUGGAAACCCCAUUUCACAACCAUAGCAUCUUUCAGUCUCUCAAACCAUGCCCUGGGGGCUUGUUUUAAACCGUAGAGAGCCUUUUUCAACUUACAGACAUGAAGAGGUCGAGAUGGAUCAAUGAAGCCCUCUGGCUGCCCCAUGUACACAUCUUCAACUAAUAUGCCAUUCAAAAAGGCAUUAUUCACAUCCACUUGUCUGAGCUCCCAUUUAUUCAUAACUGCCAAACUUAAAAUAACUCUGACUGUGGAUGCUUUAACAACUGGACUGAAUGUUUCUGUGUAAUCAACUCCUUGUGUCUGAUGAAACCCCUUAGCCACUAACCUGGCUUUGUAUCUAGAAAUGGUUCCAUCAGCAUGAUAUUUUAUCUUGAAUAUCCAUUUGUUACCAACUACCUUAACUGGUUCACUUGGCAAAACCAGAUCCCAUGUAUGAUUAUUCUGAAGUGCUUGAAAUUCUUCUUGCAUUGCCUUAAACCAUUUUGGAUUAGAUAAAGCAGCUGAAACAGAAGUAGGUUCUGAAGGUAUGGCUAGUAAAGCAGCUAAAUAAGAUUUAGGCUUAAAUAUACCAGCCUUGGAUCUGGUUAUCAUGGGAUGACCUAUAGGUGGUGCAGCAGGUAAUAUAUGAGGAGGAGAUUGUGUAUGAUGUAUAGGAUGUGUAUGUGAUGUCAAAGUAGAAGAUGAAGAGGAGGUUGAAGAAGGAGAGAAUACCUGUGGAGUGUCAGCAGGUAGGUAAUCACUUGCUAGAGAUUGUUGCAGGGGGGAUUGUACUUGUGGGAUUGGAACAAGAGUAACUUUGGACUCUGAAGAAAUAUCUGAGGGACUGCAAGACUGAGCAAUGGAAGAGAAGUCUAAUCCAGAUACAUAUGGAAAAGAUUGUUCAUCAAAGAUGACAUGAUUGGACACAUACACACGACCAGAUGAAUGAAGACACUGAUACCCUUUAUGAGAAGAGCUAUACCCAAUAAAAACACAUCUGUUUGAUCUAAAACUGAGCUUGUGUCUGUUAUAAGGUCUGAGAUAAGGAAAGCAAGCACAACCAAAGACCCUAAGAGAGACAUAAUCUGGUACUUGCUGAAAAAGUUUUUGGUAAGGUGAAAUGUAUUCAAAGUUGGUGUGGGUAGUCUGUUAAUAAGGAAUACAACAGUAUGAAAGGCAUUCCACCAGAACUUAAGUGGUAAAUUAGCUUGAGCUAACAGAGUGAGGCCAAUGUCCACUAUGUGUCUAUGUUUUCUCUCAAUUCUUCCAUUUUGAUGAUGGAUAUGUGGACAAGGAUGCCUGAACUGAAUUCCAAACUGAGUGAGAUAUGAUGCAAAGGUUCUAAACUCCCCUCCCCAAUCUGUUUGAACUGUUUUGAUGUGUUGUUGUAAGUGUUUUUCAAUAAAAGAUUUGAAUUCUGUGAAAACUUGGAGUGCAUCUGAUUUGGCAGUCAAAGGAAAAAUCCAUGUGAAUCUGCUAAAAUCAUCUAAAAUGGACAAAUAAUAUAUAUAGCCUUGAGUGGAUGCAACAUGUGAUGGUCCCCACAAAUCAGCAUAUAUAAGUUGUAAUGGUGCUGUUGUUUUUGUUGGAAUAGAUCCAAAAUGUAAAAGGUGACUUUUACCAUGUUGACAGGCAUUGCAAAAGUUUGGAGUUUUAUUGAGUACAUUGAAACUAUUACAAGCUUUCAAUACAGAUUUGAGUGUGUGUAAGGCAGGAUGUCCUAGCCUUUUAUGGAAAACAUUGACAUCGACUGAGCUAGUAUUGACAGCCAAGGCUGAUUUACACAGCAAAUGAUGAGACAAAGUACUCUUACUUAUUUCAGGAGAAAUAUCACUAGACAAAGGAGAAUGAAAAGCAAACAAAGACUGAGGUUUAUUGGAAGAAAGUUGACAAGACAAGGCUGAGCUAGUUUCAGAGACUUGAGCUGCAGAUUGGACUUGAUACAAUCCCCCUGUUGCAAUUCCUCUAAGCAAAGUGAUCCCUGAGUUCCUGGCCUUGACAACACAGACAUUUGCAAAAAACUCAAGUGUCACAUUAUUAUCUACUAAGAGCUUUGAAACACUGAGUAAAUUUUUCUUAAUAUUUGGAACAUGAAGAACAUGGUUUAAACACAAGGGUUUAUUUGCAGUAGUAGCUAGCAAUACUGAUCCAAUAUGCUGAAUAUGCAAUGCAGAACCAUUCCCAACAAGCAAUUUGUCAGUUCCAACAUAUGGCUUGAGAUCCAGUAAUUUACCUGGGUCAUUUGUGAUGUGGUUAGUAGCACCACUGUCAAUGUACCAAGCUGGAUCUUCAAUCAUCUCAGGUGCAUGAGCUGGAACAGGGACUGAAGGAGAUCCAGAGUAAUCUCCAGUAGGAGCAAAAGCAUGAGCAGGAGAGUAACCACCAUGAGAAUUAGAUGGUUGAUAAACAUUGAAAGCAGCUGGAUCUGAAUACAUCAAAUGGCCUUGAUAACCAGGUGCUCUUGGUAUGUUGAAAUUACCAAACUGAGAGUUACCAAUUCCAGCACCAUAUUGAGGAUUAAGAUUUCUACCAAAAUUACCAAAAUUUCCAUAAGCCAUAGAAGACCUAUUGCCAUUAGCAUAGCCAAAACCUCUACCAUACUGCCUCUGACCAGGCCUAAAAUUUCCAUUAAAACCACCUCUUCCUUGAUUUCUUGAAGGAACAAAAGCUGAGUUAAACCUAUUCCUGCAUUUAUUGGCACCAUGACCAGGAAUGAAAUAGAUCUGACAUACAAUUUGUGAGAAGUUACCAUCACUAGAUCCAGCUCCAGAAUUAUAACUUCCUCCAUACGAUCCAAUGUUAAACUUCUGAUUACCACUAGUGUUUUUACUAGGAUUGAACUGCUUUUGAGCAACAUUAGCUGACAAGUUAUGUGUAACAUCACUUGCAAUUUUUCCUCUCUUUUGUUCCACAUGAUUUUCAUGACUCAAUAACAAUGAAUAAAACUCAUCAAGACUGAUAUUAUCUCCUCUAGCUAACACAGUAGUAACUAGUGAUUCAUAAUCAGAGGAAUCCAAUCCAGUCAAAACAUGUUGAACGAAAUCAUUCACUUCAACAGGUUUUCCAGCUAAAGCCAAGCUAUCAGAUAUCCUUUUCAUUUUUGCAAAAUAAUCAGUUAUGGACAUCGAGCCUUUUUUAAGAGUUUGGAUUUGCAUUUUUAGAGGCAUUAUUCUAGCUUGUGACUGGGAAACAAACAUACUUGUAAGUGUAUCCAGCAGCUCCUUUGCAGUUGAGCAGUGGAUCACAGUUGUCAACAGAUUCGGCUGAAUAGAUGAGAGCAUCCAGCUCAGAAUCAAUUGAUCCGUCUUUAUCCACAUUGUGUAAGCUGGAUUGAUCUCUUGAUUCUCUGUUCCAGUUGAGAAACCAGCAGCAGAGCUUAUAGCAGAGAAAAAUUUUCCCGGACAGACUUGAUUUCCAUUGAUGAAAUCUUCUAAACCAUUUCCUUUAAUGGAUAUGAGAAUCUGAGUUCGCCAAACAAUGAAGUUAUUAUGAUCUAGUUUUAUCGGAGUAAUAAAACUAUAGGAUCCAGAAUUUUGAUUCGAAUUUGCCAUUUGUUAGCUCUGAUACCAUGAAAGAGUUUGUAUAUAGUGUUUGGUUUAAGAGAAACUAACAAGAAAAUAAAAGAAAAUCAUAAAGAACCAGAUCUGAAAAUGAUCAUAUUCUCAUUUUUUGACUAAUGAUUACAACUUGUUAUUUAUAGUAAAUAUCAGAGGCGUCACGUAGCUUGUCAGUUUGUUGGAUCUAAUAUGCAUGCAAUACAGUUCGUUAUCUUUGCUGCUGAGCUGGAUAACUAACUCAACACACGUAAGCAUCAGCAGCUCCAUUUAAUCAGAUGCUCUCAUCUGUACCAUAUUAUCAUACUCUAUAACAUCCUCCCUCAAGCUGAACUGACCUGGAUGGACAUUCAGCUUGCUUCUUAGAUAGUGAAACUGAUUGAAGGUUAGUGCCUUGGUAAGAACAUCGGCAUUUUGGUCUUCACUGGGAAUGAACUGAACUGUAAUUUGCUUAGCUGUUACUUUGUCUCUGAUGAAGUGAAUAUCAAGCUCAACAUGCUUAGUUUUAGCAUGAUAAACAGGAUUGUGAGCUAAAGCUAUGGCACUUUGAUUAUCACACCACAUUAUGGGGGCUGUGACAAGAUGAAUAUGUAGCUCUUUCAGUAAGGACUGAAUCCAAGUAACCUCAGCUGUAGCUUGAGCCAAAGCUCUGUAUUCAGCUUCAGUGCUUGAUCUGGAAACUACUGCCUGUUUCUUAGACGACCAAGAAACCAAAUUUGAACCAAGAUAAACAGCAUAACCAGCCACUGAUUUGCGAUCAUCCUUAUCACAUGCCCAAUCUGAGUCACUAAAACAAUUUAUCUGCAUAGUGCCGUAAUGAUAAAAAUGUAAUCCAAAAUGAAUUGUUCCUUUCAAAUAUCUAAGAAGCCUCUUACAAGCCUCCCAGUGCUCUGCUGUUGGUGAAGCUAAAAACUGACUAAGUUUGUUUACAGAGAAAGCUAUUUCUGGCCUAGUGAGAGUCACAUAUUGUAAAGCUCCAACUGCACUUCUAUAUUGAGAACUAUUUGAAAUAACACUUCCUGACCCCUUUGUAAGAUAAUGACCAGUGGCCAUGGGAGUAGGAACUGGACUGCAGUCAGCCAUAUUGUGUUUGGCUAGAAUAUCAGCUAUGUAUUUAGAUUGAGAGAGAUAAAUUCCAGAUGCUGUUUUGGUAACUUCUAUCCCAAGAAAAUAACUCAAUUUGCCCAGAUCCUUCAAAGCAAAAGCAUUUUGCAUAUUGGUAAUCACUUGCUGCACCAUUUGAUCACUUGAGCCUGUUAUGAUUAUAUCAUCCACAUAGACAAGAACAAAAAUUACUUGAUCACCUAUCCACUUGUAGAAAAGGGAGUUGUCUGACCUUGAAUUUUGGAAACCCCAUUUCACAACCAUAGCAUCUUUCAGUCUCUCAAACCAUGCCCUGGGGGCUUGUUUUAAACCGUAGAGAGCCUUUUUCAACUUACAGACAUGAAGAGGUCGAGAUGGAUCAAUGAAGCCCUCUGGCUGCCCCAUGUACACAUCUUCAACUAAUAUGCCAUUCAAAAAGGCAUUAUUCACAUCCACUUGUCUGAGCUCCCAUUUAUUCAUAACUGCCAAACUUAAAAUAACUCUGACUGUGGAUGCUUUAACAACUGGACUGAAUGUUUCUGUGUAAUCAACUCCUUGUGUCUGAUGAAACCCCUUAGCCACUAACCUGGCUUUGUAUCUAGAAAUGGUUCCAUCAGCAUGAUAUUUUAUCUUGAAUAUCCAUUUGUUACCAACUACCUUAACUGGUUCACUUGGCAAAACCAGAUCCCAUGUAUGAUUAUUCUGAAGUGCUUGAAAUUCUUCUUGCAUUGCCUUAAACCAUUUUGGAUCAGAUAAAGCAGUUGAAACAGAAGUAGGUUCUGAAGGUAUGGCUAGUAAAGCAGCUAAAUAAGAUUUAGGCUUAAAUAUACCAGUCUUGGAUCUGGUUAUCAUGGGAUGACCUAUAGGUGGUGCAGCAGGUAAUAUAUGAGGAGGAGAUUGUGUACACACUGAUCCAUGUACAACACAUCUCUUGAUUAUCUGUGUGUGUGCUGCUCAUCAAUGAUUAACAAGAUACAGUAGUUUUGUGAAGUCUCAUGUCUUGUGUUACAAAAUUUUGUGAUGGAAAGAAGGAAUAAUUCAACUAAAAAAAAAAAACACACGCGCGCAGCACACACACAGAGGGCCGCAACUAGCCCUUGAACCCCUAUUGAACUCGCACAAGAUACUAUUGAACUAAAUUCAAAAACAGCUGUUAAUAGCAUCUUAAAAUAUGGGUUCUAUCCAUACUCCCACCUGAAUCAUUUCUUGCGGCAUGACUCAAAAAUAACAAUAAGCCUGUCGCACCGAUAACUCAUUAGUGCAAUUUUUUUAACUCAAAAAAUUGAUACGCGUUCAUUUAGCGAAAAGUCCAAGACGCUUGCCUUUUGAAAAGAAGAGGUAUCCAAUAGAUAUCCAACCUUUAUCUUAUUUAAUUACUACCACGACAUGAUUGAUGGUGCUUAAAUCGAUUGUUUCUUUUUUAAUUUAAAGAAUUUUUCAUUAAAAAAUAUUUUAAUAUCAAAUUGCCUUCAAUAGCGUAACUGCCGCAGGCCCAGUAACAAGAUUAAUUAAAAUUUUUUGAAUUUUUGGGCAUGGAAAGAGUAGUAUUAGACUUCAGAAAGCUUAAGGUUGUUAUGUUAAAGAAUUGAUAUUGACAUAAUUUUAUUUUGGUUUUCGGGAAACAAAUUAUUUGUUGACAAGCAAGAAAAUAUUUUUGUAUUUUACAAUUUAUUAUACAUAUUUUAUCAUAUUAAAGUAAUUUUAAUAAUAAAUAGACACAUAAUAUUACAACAAAUAAAGUAAAGUUUAAAUUAUUUUGAAUAUUAUAAAAAUAAUUUUAAUAUUAUUAAUAGGAAGACAUUUUGUUAAUUUUAAAAUCUUUUUAACCUAAAGGUUUAUUUAAAAUCUUUAGAAAUCUCCAUCCCACAUCUACCCUAUUAAACAAGUUGAUGGAAAUUGAACAAUUGCUUUUUGAAGUGGACCCAUUGAGUUAUGUUCAUUACUGGUCAUUGUCUAUUCUUUCUAAGAGCCACUUGUUUUGAGCAUUAGCAAUCCUAUCUGGACUACUCCAAUUAUUGAUGUAACUCCAAUGGUUGCAUCAACAGUUGAAUGUAAGAUAGUGUUAGUUCUUUUUUGAGAAUAUAGAGGGAUCUUUAUUUGUUUCUCCGUUGUAGCGUAUUAGUAUAAAUUUCUUUACCUUACAGUUCCUACAGUCUUCCUGUUAAUGAAUUCGCUGAGGCAUUAUUGAUCCAAUCUCAGUGAAGUAAUUGUGGGUGAAAAAAAAAAAUAAAGGAUAAGAGAACGUAGCUGAAGUGCUGAAUUGACUAUUAAAGAAGAGCGUCACCUGAUCACAAUCACAUUGAUGCACAACUCACUCAGAUCAUUACAACGUCCUUUUCGCUAAUUAAUUAUGAUUAUAUACAUUUUCAUAUGGCAAGUGGCAUUGUAGAUCUAAACUACGUUGCUAUUUCAUUACGUUAAUUAAGUGAUUCUCCUCAUUGUCAUCAGCGCUUUUUGGGCAUGGAAAGAGUAGUAUUAAACAUUAGAAAGCAAAGGUUGUUCUGUCAAAGAAUUGAUAUUGGCAUAAUUUUAUUUUUGCUUUCGAGUAAAAAAAAAAAAAUUGUUGACAAGCAAGAUACUGUUUUUAUAUUUUACAGUCAGUUAUACAUAUUUUAUCAUAUUAAAGUAAUUUUAAUAAUAAAUGGAAACAUAACAUUACAAUAAAUCAAUUAAAGUUUAAAUUAUUUUGAAUAUUAUAAAAAAUAAUUUUAAUAUUAUUAAUAGGAAGAUAUUUUGUUUAUUGUAAAAUCUUUUUAACCCAAAGGUUUAUUUAAAAUCGUUAUAAUAAAUAAAAAUAUAAAAACAAAAUAAAUAUCAUAAUUUAAAAUUUUAAUAUUAUUUUAAAUAUUAAAAAUACUUUAAUGCUAUUAGUCUACUACCCAGGUUAUAUUACGUAUAUUAUAUUUGUAUAAAUUAAAACUUUUAAAGUUAAAUUUUUAAUUACUAUAUUGAAAAGUUAUUAUGGUUAAAAAAAGUUUUGGCAUUUCUUUUUGAAAAUUUGAGGGUCUGCAUGACAAUUUGUCCAAAUCCUAGAGGUAUAGGUGUCUUUUUUUUUUUUCGAUAAUCAUUUUACUUUUGAGGGAAUCCGAUGAGAAAUAAGAUAAGAGAAACGUCAAUUUAAGGUUCUCUAGGGAAAACCAAGAACUAUUCAAUUUUGUAUUUUUUGUUUGUAAAACGAAAAACAGUUUGCCAAAAAAGGUACCAAACAUAUCCUUAAUGUCUCACAUGAUUUCUUAUUAAGUCCAUACUCGAUAUAUUUAUACAUUUUAGGUAUUUUAGUUAUAAAAGAAGUUGGUCCUCCCUUUGUUUAUAAAAGGUAACUUUAUUUCGAGAUUACCACUAAAGUCUUGCAAAGAAUUAGUGUAAUGUUAAGAGAGAAUAACACAGUUUUCCAUUACCAUUUUGAAAAUAGAAAGAUGUGGAUGUGUGCAUUUAAUAUUGCGUUUACUUGCUGGAUUGAGGAAUCGGAAUCUAGAAUCGGAAUGAUUGAUGGUGUUUACUUUGCAAAUAUGGAGCAGGAAUCGGAAUUGGAAUGGUGGGGGCCACCACUAUUUGGGAAUGGGAGAUUGAUUCUCAUGGGGGAAGGUGGGAAUGAGUCUCCCAUUCCCUGGAUUGACCAUUUUGCCCUCCCUCAAAAUUAAAAAUGCCUACUUUGUCCUCUUUUAUAAUUAAUUAAUAUAAUAUUAUAAUUACUUAAUUAAUAUAUAAAUAUUUUAUUAACUAUAAUUAUUAAAAAUUAUAGUUCUUGAAUAAAUAAUCACAAUAAUUAAUUUAUUAUUAUUAUUGUUAUUUUAAUUAAUUAAUUAAUAUACUAUUAUAAUAAUUAUUAAUAUAAUUAAUUUAUAUAUUAUUAUUAUUAUUAAUGAAUUAAUAUAAUUAUUACUAUUAAUUAAUAUAUUAAUAUAUUAUUAACAAUAAUAUAUUAAUAAUUAUUGUUCGUGAAUAAAUAAUCACAAUAAUUAAUAUAUUAUUAUUGUAAUUAAUUAAUUAAUAUACUAUUAUAAUAAUUAUUAAUAUAAUUAUUAUAAUUAAUUCAUAUAUUAUUAUUAAUUAAAUUAAUAUUAUUAAAUAAAUAAAUAAUAUAAUUAUUACUACUAAUUAAUAUAUUAAUAUAUUAUUAAAAAAUAUUAAUAAUUAUAAUUUUUGAAUAAAUAAUCACAAUAAUUAAUAUAUUAUUUUAAUUAAGUAAUUAAUAUUAAUAUUAAUAUUAUUAGUUAAUAUAUUUUUAUAAUAAUUUUUAAUAUAGUUAUUAUAAUUAAUUAAUUUUUUUUACAAUUAAUUAAUAUAUUAGUUAAUAAUAAUUAUGACAAUAAUCCAUUAAGUACUUUUUAGUAAUUUGUUACAAUCUAAUUCAUUCCGAUUCCGAUUUCAAGACAAAGUAAACACAUUAAUGGCAAUUUAGCUCAUUCUGAUUUUGAUUCCUACAGUUCAAGUAAACAACUUAUUUUGAUUCCUAUUACAUAUUCCCAUUCCAACCCAUUCUCAUUUCUGUCCAUUCUCAUUUCUGCCCAUUCCGAUUUUAGCUCAUUCCGAUUUCAGUUUAGUAAACGCAGUAUAAGAGUUAUCAUGAAAAUCAUACAAUUCAAUUUCCUGAAAUAUAUAUUUUAUUCACAUGUGCCAAAAGAAUAAAUAGAUAGAAAGUAAAUUUACAAUCCUCACUCCCUCACAAUUGUUAAAGUGAAUAUGCAUUACAACUGUGAACUGUCACUACUUUAGCCCUUUUUUUUUUUUCAAUUAUAGUGUGAUGGAGACAGUGAACAUUAAGGAUAAAGUGCUCUGCUGAAAGCCAAACUUCCUUUGGCUAAUUAAUUUAGAAGUAAAGCAGAGAAUAAAGUCCUAGAUGCCUUCUGAAAUUAGAAAUACAUUUUAUAUGCUUUAAUUAUGAUUAUUUGGCAGACUAAAGACCUAAAAGAUAUGUCAAAAGUAUGAAACAGAGAGAUUAAAGAAAAAAGAAAAAAAAAAAAAAACAGAGUAUUUGUGACGUAGAAUAACAAUUGGUAAAUAAAUCCUAAAUAUUUGAGUUGUUAAAAGCAAAUAUAACAGAGACGGUAAGAGAGAUGCAGAAACAGAAAACUAUUAGCUUAUCUUGAUUUUCCCACUAUAUUCAUUUUCGAUGCUUUUCAAUCGAGAUUCUUUUAAUUCUUCUGGUGUCUGCAGCCCCGGCUCUUCUUAUAAAUCUCCAUCCCACAUCUGCACUACGAACAAGUUGACUGAAAUUAAAUAAUGUUGGAGAUGAGGGGUGAGCCGUCAACUUGUUAAAAAAAACUCAUGUAUAAUAUUAUCAAUAAUAUAAAAUAUAUAAUAAUUGUUACAAAGAAUCAUAAAUUAGAAAAAUUAAUUAUUUUACAAUCUAUUUCUUAAGUAAGAUAAAUCUUGUAAUAAGUUAAGUUAUAACGUAAAAAAUAUUUUCAAUUUAUAAUCAUUUAAGAAGUCAUUUAACAAUAAAAUCUUUCUUUUGAUCAUGUGGGCAUGCCAUAGAGUAUCAUCUAUAUUCGUGAUGAUAUUAUUAUUACUCAGUAUCCUAAAAAAAACACGAUUUAACAUUUAGAGAAAAUUCCUGCCUUUUAAAAAGAACAUGUAUGCAAUAGCUAGCCAUACUUUAUUUUACCACAACAAAAUUGAUGGUGAUUAAAUCAAUUUUCUCAAUUAAAGCAAAAUUUUAAAAAUUGAUUUAAUGCACAAAUAUGAUGAGUUUUUGUAAAAAUUAGUUUUGGAAAAUAUAGUGAGAGAAAAUGGUGACGAUUAUUUUCAGAUGUGCAAAUAGCCUAAACAUAAUCUCUAAUACCAAUAUCCAUGUGCAUCUUAAUACCUUUCAUGAUAUUCUUUCAUUCAUGGCCAUUUGUUCAAGAUUUGAAUUUGAUUAUUAAAUCAUGUUCAAUAAUGUUAGAGAUCCCAACAAUUGAAUACCAACUUAAAUCCCAAUGCUAUGUGUCAUUAACAAAUGUUGUGUCAUUUAUAAUUAUUGAAUGAAUAAUUCGUUAAUUUAUUGAUAAAUAAAAAUUUAUUAAUUUAAAGAGAGAUACUUCUUCUUUUUUUGUUUUAAGAAGAGUUUUGUUGGUACAUGUACAUACUUAUAAAGAAAUAAACUUGUAAUUAUACUAUAUCUUUCUUUCUUUGUUCAGUUUGGUGGGAUAUUGUGAUAAAUCAUUGGAUUAAAAUACAUUUCUAAAUUAAAACUUGUUAAAAUCUAAUUUAUUUGGGAAACGCAUAUUAUUUGUCAGUUGUACUUCUCAACUUAGCAAGUUAUUUCUAACUUGUCAGUCUCUAUUGGUUCUCUAAAAGCUAAUAGUCUCGAAUCUCCCGCAUUUGAUAUCUUGCCAUUACUGUUGGCAUUUGUUAAGUAUAGCUGAAGCUGGUGACGUGUAUAAGCUGCUGAUGAAGCUGCUGAGUUGGCUGGCUGGUGAUGUGUAUAAACUGAAGGUGCUGAGCUGGAUUGGGUUGUUGUUCACACCAACUAAAGAUGUAACAGAUUAUCCAGCUGGCUUGUUAUGAUUGGAAGUUAGAUUAGUUUGUUAAUACAGCAAACAAUGAGCUCUGUUUUGGUAGUUAGUUUUGAGUGUAACUAUAAAUACUGGCUAACAUGUUUUCAGUGUUAAGCUUGAGUUUUAAUCAAUAAAAAUCAAUUCAGUUAAAGUUUCUUUGUUAACUUUCUUUCACUUUCUCACUUGCCAAACAACCUAUUAAUUCUAAAAUGGUAUCAGAGCUUGCACCUAUGUCAGGAUCUAAUCAUAUAGCUUCCUCAUCACUUUCAUUCAAUUUUGUUCAACCUAUAAAACUCGAUAGAUCAAACUACUUGGUGUGGAAAGCUCAAGUUAGAACAUCGAUCAUUGCUAAUGGACUUGAGAGCUUCAUCAAUGGUGAGAGUGUAUGUCCAAAAUGUUAUCUCAUUGAUUCUAUUCAAGAACUUCAAAGAUCUGGAGCUGAAACAUCACAGAAGCAGGAAAAUCCAGAGUAUAUCUUAUGGAUGAAAACUGACAAACUUCUGCAGAGCUGGAUGCUUUCGUCAAUGGUGGACAAUGUAUUAAUCAUGGUGAUCAAUUGUGAAACAUCACUUGAACUUUCGGAGAUGCUUGCUAGAAUCUUCAUGUCACAAUCCAAAGCGAGAUAUCUGCCUUUGAAGAUGCAGAUUCAAUCAACAAAUAAAGGAUCUCUCUCCAUCAGUGAUUACUUCAAAAGGAUGAAGAAAAUUGCUGAUAGCUUGGCCAUUGGAGGUAAUCCAAUUACUUCGAAUGAACUGAUUAUUCACUUGCUUACUAGAUUGGAUGAAAACUAUGAAUCCAUAGUCACAAAUAUACUUACUAGACUGGAAAAAGAGAGACUUACUGCUGAAGAGGUGUACUCUAUGUUACUUAGUCAUGAAACUAGGUUGGAAAUGAGCAAAGGAAAAUCACAUAAUGAACCUCUGCAUGAUAUGACAUCAAAUUUUGCUCAGAAAGGCCAAGGUUAUAAUACUGGUCCUGGAAGAGAUGUUGUGUGUCAAAUCUGUUACAUUCCAGGCCAUGGAGCUUAUAAGUGUAAACAUAGAUUCAAUCAAGGGUUUAUUCCUAGAAACAAAGGCUUUGGUGGUUUCAGGCCAAGAGGUGGAGGUCAGAAUUAUAGAGGAUUCCCUAGAAAUAAUCAGAAUUAUUUUGGUAGAGGUUCUGGAUACAAUAGUUCUGCUUUUGGAUCUGGAUUCAGACCUAACUUUCCCAGGCAAGCCGGACCUACUGGACCUUUCUUUGGCUAUGUUGCCUAUCAGAAUCCAGGAUUCAUGAAUCCUCAAGGUGCCUUUGACUUUCCAAGUGCAAAUGGUGAUUAUACUGGUGUUCCAACAGCAAACAUGUAUGUUGGAAAUUAUGGCAUUCCUCAUAAUGUCUCUCCCUCUGCACAAUUGGCAAACUUCAGCAAUGUAGCUGAUUCAGCCUGGUACCUUGACUCUAGAGCAACAAAUCACAUUGCUCAAGAUGCAGGUAUACUUUCUAAGUGCUCAACUUACCAUGGCCUUGAAAAACUACAUGUAGGAAAUGGUAUGGGGCUGCCUGUUCAUAAUGUUGGUUUUGUUGCUGUUAAAACCUUGACUACAACACCUAUAUACCUAAAUCAUGUUCUGCAUGUCCCUAAAAUUACUAAAAACCUUAUCAGUGUUUCCAAAUUGCUUGCUGAUAACAAUGUUUUUAUUGAGUUUUACAACCAUGUUUGUUUUGUUAAGGACAAGAAUUCAAGAAUCACAUUGCUCAAGGGGAUUGUUAGAGGAGGUCUUUAUCAAGUUUCAAGCUUAAAUACAGUCUGUGAUAACUCCAGUUCAGUGUUCCCAGUGUCAACCACUUCUGAGUUUGUUUUUACUUCAAUAAGUACAUUCCCAGCAACUCCAGUGUCUAUGUUUACUCAACUAAGUUCAUUUGAUACUAAGUUUCACUCUUGUAUGCUUGUAAAUAAUUCUCAAAUCAAUAAGAAUGUCCCUGUGGCUCACUUUGCUUCAUAUAACAAGCCUAUUGAUUAUAGUUUACUGCACAAAAGAAUGGGUCAUCCAACUACUCAUGCUUUAAAACAGAUCAUGAAAUGCCUGAACUCAAAUUUUAUUCUUCCCAAAGAUUUCACAACACAGUUCUGUGAUGCCUGUCAACUAGGCAAGUGCCAUACGCAGCAUUUUCCCUCCAUAGAAACUUCAACCACUCAGCCCCUUGAAUUACUACAUGCUGACCUUUGGGGACCAGCUCCCAUUACCUCUUCACAAGGUUACACCUACUAUCUAUCUAUCUUAGAUGACUACACUCGAUACACUUGGAUUUUUCCUCUCAUUGCCAAAUCCAAAACCUUGUCAGCCUUUAUUGAAUUCAAAAACAUGAUUGAAAACUGCCUGAACUUGAAAAUUAAAUGUUUACAAACUGAUUGGGGUGGAGAAUUCAGGCCUUUUGUGUCAUAUCUUUCUAACCAGGGUAUACAAUUUUGACAUCCCUGCCCUUAUAUCCAUCAUCAACAUAUUACCUGAGAUUGGGAUUCAUUAAAAUCCUCAAUGUAAUCGGUGGAACGAAUGGAUUUCUUCUGUUCACCAAUCCACCAAAAUUUCUGUAAUUAAAUUCAAGAGUCAAGAUCUAUGCUUAUAAUCUAUUCAACAGCUAAUAUUCUAUUUUAUAUUUACUUAAAUAUGAAGAGCUAUGCUUGUCAUUAACUUCAAAUGUGAUCGAAGCAGCCUUACAUCUGUAUAUUACGUAUUCCCAACUUUUUUUUGACUUCAUUUACUUUCUUUUCAUGUUAUUUACUCUUUUUUCCCCCUCUCUGACAAUUGAGGUAGGGGGUCAAACUUGAAAGUAUCUUAAAAUCAAACAAUUUUUUUUUUAAGAUAGCUGCUAAUAUGCUCUAUUAGACAAUGAUAAGUAAUAACCUAGUUGUUUGCAUUAGAAAUGAUAUUUUUUGUGGUGCUGAUAAAGAGGUUGAUUAUGAUUCAACAAUUUAAAAUAUGAAAACAUGUGGAAGACGGCCGCAAUUAAAUUGAUUGUAUGAAAAUAUUUCAAUGAAAUUUUAAAAAUUUAGUACUUGUUAUCUUAUCGAGAGUUUUUUAAAUUUUUCUACUUGAACUUGACUGCUUUUGUAUUGAAUUCCUAGCGUUGCCAUUGCUUCUACUCAAAAGCCAUUUAGUUACUCAUGAAUUGUUGUUCAUAAUAGCAAUUUGAUUGAAAGUGCGGCUGCACUAAUUUUCUAGAUGAAUUUUUUCCUACAUGCUUGUUCUCGUAUGACCCAAAAUCCUGCUACAUCAGUUGUAUUAGAAAUUAAUCAACUGGGUUACAAUUAUGCAUCCCCACCAAUAUUUAAGCAAUUUAAUUACAGAAACAUUUCUUGAGGAAAGAAACUCAUAUCGCCACUAGGCUUUUAAUGAGGCUCAUUUUUAUGAAUCUGGAUGGCAUUAGAUAUCUCUCCGAAUAUUGGUGGGAGUAGAUAUGCUACAAAGUGUAUGUACGUUGACUCUCAAUAAAUACAAACGAUUCUCUGAUCUGAUUCAAAACAUCAGUACAUGCAUCAUUUUAAUGAGAAAGAAUAUUCUAAGAACGAAAUUGAAGGUGCAAUCAGCAGCUAAAAUGAAGCCAGAAAUGUACACGCAUGAGGAAGUUUUCCAAGAAGAUUGAUAUUUCUUUGACUAGCAAACCAUACAAGUCCAAAGCUAGCUAAACCAUACCUGCAAGUCGGGGGUUUAAAUGGAGUACUUCUAAGCAUAAAACAUUGAUUAAAACAGAAUACACACAUACAUACCAGCAAAUUCAAUAUAGCAAAAGGAGUGCAAAAGUUCAAGUUUGUAGACAACAUUGCAACCAUGGCAUGUUUAUAGCAAAUCCUCGAAAUCUGCUAAAUAAAACAAUGCCCUGUCUCAUGAAUCAAUGCUGAAUUAAAAUUGAAACUGAAAGUCUGGCUGGCGGUGUUUCCCUCUCCAAUUUUGCCUACAUAAGUGAAAAUAAGAAUAAUAAAUGGAAAUCUGCUUUUACAGUUCUUAUUAGAUAGAUAUAAAGGGAUCUUUCUUUGUUUCUCUGCUGUAAUUUGUGGCUAUGCCACUCUGUUUUUCCAGUCAAGCUGAGUCUACGUUGAGACAUAAUUUUGACAUCAGAAGCAACCUCAAUUAGUUUGGCAUUUUCAUGACCUCCUUGAAGGUUUUAUGAUAAACAUAAAUCCACUGAGAAAGUGGGAAAAAAAGAAAAUGCAUAUAAAAGUAUGAGUUAUCAGAUAAGAUUAAAACUCACCCAAUUCAAUCCAUCAGAUUCCGUAAGGAUAUAACUGGAUGUCAUACCGCCACUCCAUAUCCUCGAAAGUCCGUAGUCCUUGUCUCAACUGUGUCUGGGGCCAGUGUAAGUCCAAUUUGCGCAAGCUCUUUAUGCACCACAGCUCUUCUGGAAGCUUUCUCAAGUAAGCACAUGGGUUGACAAUUAAGCUUUCAAGUUUCGGCAUUGCUCCAGCCGCCAUCGUCCACUCAUCUAGCCAAUACAUUGAUUUCAGGUGCAAAACCUUAAGUUCGGGAAAGCUACUCAAGCCAACACAAGCAAGCUUUCUUCCUAAAUACGAGUUCUGCUUCAGUUUCAGCACUCGAAGGCGUGGAAGAUUUUCCAGAAUUGGCAUGGGAUCCUCCAUUAGCUCAGUAUUUGAUAAGCUCAGUUGGAUCAGACUUGGGGGAAAUUGGUAUUCAGACAGGACCAUCCGUGAGGGCUUGCUCUCAUUCACCAGCUUCAAGCAUUCAAGUUUGUGGAGUUCGCAAAGGCUUUUGGAAACCCCAGAUUGAUAGUAACUCAAAUCUCCAGAUAUCCGAAGAGUCCGAACACUAGGUAGUCUGCCCAAUAUAUCAGGAGUACAACUACUAGGGUUUAAAGCUGAUAUGAAAAUGAGAUUUUUCAGAGAGCUAGAAUAAUUUUUUGGAGGUGCGGGCAGAGUGAUGCAACCGAAGUUUAGAUGCAUGAGUUUUUGCAUCAUCCAAAUAUCCUCUGGUGACUGAUCUAUGUAGCUAGAUGGCAUUUCUAGUGUUUCAAGGUUUAAAAGGGUGCAUAGCAGUGAAGGAAGGCAUUUGAGCGAAGGGAUAUUCAAUUUCAAAUACUUCAAAAGAUAUAAAUUUUCUAAUCCGGGUGGAUAUUGGUCCAGGACUGCAGAACCCAUGUUCAAUACCCGAAGGUAUUUGAACCUUUUAAAAAAAUUCUCGCAAUCUUUCGGAUUAAGAUGAUUGCUUUUUGAACUGUGAUUCAGAAAAGAUUGGAGACACAUGUCAGAAUGUUCUAAAGAAAAGAACUCAAUCAGAUCAUCGUCAAUGACGCACCGUUUAACAUUUGCCACUGAUUCCUCUUCCACGUCAUGCAUCCAGACAAAUCCCGUCUUCAUUGCCACAAUAUACAAUGAAGUGUAUACAAAACUUGGAACAUAACACGCUUUAAUUGUGCCUCUGGCUCUUCUCUUACUCACUUGAAUGAAGCCGCGAUGGAUUAGUUCUUUCAAGUAAUGUUCGGCAGUUUCUUCACCGUUGUAUGGUAUGAAACCUUCAGCUACCCACAACUGAUAUAAUUGCUCCGUAGAUAUCUCAAUACUUGGAGGGAAGACAUACAAAUAGAUGCAGCAGACUUUCAAGUGAAAAGGCAACUCCAUCACAGAAAAAAUUUGUCUCCAAACUGUCAGAACCACUUCGCCUUGAAGAUAAUUUUCUAAUGGCAUACUUCCAUAGUGUAGGAUGAAAAAUUGCCAGGCCUCAUGCUUUAAUCUGAUCAAUGGUCCUCCAAAGAGCACUGAAUCACGCCGAAUCUUCUCUUCAUUUUCCAUUUCCAACGACGCAAUGAGGCCCGGAUCAGUGACUGUUAUCAAUACUCUGCUUCCAUUCUCAUCACCAGGAAGAAGUUCUUCGAGAUCACUCCAUAUCUCACUGUUAUCGAAGACAUCAUCAAGCAAAAUAAAGUACUUCUUGUUUGUUAGGUAAUCUCGAAGAAUAGAUUUCUUCAAUUGAUAAUCUUCACCGAUAAUUACACUAACCCGAGAUGGAGGCAUCACAGACUUGAUUAUGUCAUCCAACAUCUUGCCAAAAUCAUAGAAUAUAGAAACCCUGACCCAAGCAAGACAGUCAAAAUAGAACUUGACAUGGUUAUUAUUGUAAGUAUCUUCUGCAAAAGCAGUCUUAUCGAAGCCACUGCUGUCGAGAAUUGUAACCACUGCAAGCCGAGGGCGUCCUUCAAUCAAUAAAUCAAACAACUCCUCCCUGCCCCUUUCAAAUUCAUUGAUAUCAAGCCGAGGUUGUCCCUCACUCAAUAGGUGAAUGAUUUCGUUACUUUUUUUACUGAUAUCAAAACCAUUGUCGCCGGGUGGAAGUUGUUGCAUCCGAUUACUAAUAUCAAUGAUUUUACUGUGGAGACCAGCAAGAAGAGCCAUAUUAGUACUGCUUUCACUUUCGUUUUCACUGUUUUGCUGCUGCAUAAUGUUGAUGAAGAAUGUGUCAAUGGCUUCCUCAGAUUCAUGGACAAAGUCAUUGAUGUCCUUCACAAUGCCCAAAAGGUCCGCUCUUUCAACUUCUUCUUCAUCGCUUUCUUCUAAGUCCAACAGUUGCAAAAAAGGCAAAGAUAUUUUGGAGUCAUCGAAUUCUUCUCUAAUGAGUUGAAAGAAAUGCCGAGCCAUGUCAGCUUCAUAUUUUCCCAGCAGGGUAGUAGCAAUAAUUUCGGACUCCGUAAGAAGGUUUUGAAAAAGUGGGGUUAAAUUUGUUGAAUCAGGCAGCGUUAACGGGCCUUCUUCACCUGCUAACACCCUUUUCAACCUCUCACAAAACAGUCGGAGGUGGAAUUCCAGCAUAUCUCCUUCUCUCCGUAGCACUCAGAGGUAUAGCUGAAAGAUUAAACACCAUGGAAGAAUUUGAAAGGAAAAUGCCAAGACAUUAUUGCUCAUUUUUUAACUCAAAAGAUUGAUACGCGUUCAUUUAGAGAAAAGUCCAAGACGCGUGCCUUUUGAAAAGAACAGGUAUCCCAAUCGGUAUCCGACCGAUAUCUUAUUAAAUUACAACCAUGACAUAAUUGAUGGUGCUUAAAUCAAUUGUUUCUUUUUUAAUUUAAAGAAUUUUUCAUUAAAAAAAUAUUUUAAUAUCAAAUUGCUUUCAGUGGCGUAACUGCCUCAAGCCCAGUAACAGGACUAAUUAAAAAUUUUACAAUUUUUGGGCAUGGAAAUAGUAGUAUUAAACAUUAGAAAGGUAAGGUCGUUCUGUUAAAGAAUUGAUAUUGACAUAAUUUUUUUUGGUUUUCGGGGGAAAAAAAAUUGUUGACAAGCAAGAAAAUAUUUUUAUAUUUUAUAAUUUAUUAUACAUAUUUUAUCUUAUUAAAGUAAUUUUAAUAAUAAAUAGAAACAUAAUAUUACGAUAAAUAAAUUAAAGUUGAACUUAUUUUGAAUAUUAUAAAAAAUAAUUUUAAUAUUAUUAAUAGGAAGACAUUGUAUUAAUUUUAAACUUUUUUAACCCAAAGGUUUAUUUAAAAUCUUUAUUAGAAAUACAAAUAUAAAAUUAAAUAUCAUAAUUUAAAAUUUUUAAUAUUAUUUUAAGUAUUAAAAAUAUUUUAAUGUUAUUAGUCUACUACAUAGAUCAUAUUACUUAUAUAAUAUUUGUAUUAUUAAAAAUUGUUAAAAUCAAAUUUUUAGUUAGUAUAUUCAUGAGCUAUUAUGGUUAAAAAAAAAAAGACCUUAUUAUUACUUUUUUAAAAAUUGAGGGCCUGCGUGAUAAUUUUUUCAAAAAGAAAAUGCUUGGUAUGUAGGAGGGGUACAGAAACAGGACUCCCAAAAUCUCUCACCCUUUUUUAAUUAAAAAAAAAAAUUAAAAUAUCAAUAAAAAGUAAUAAAGAAAAUAGAAUUUUAUCUGCUCCUUACUCCAUUUUUGCAACUCUCUCACCAUCCCUAUCGAGCAGCCCUCUCUCUCACUGUCUCACUCACACAGUCCUUUUCACGAUUUGAAAUUCUUUGGCCCUCUGCAUUACAAGAAAUUAACGCUUUGGUUCUCCCAAGGGUAGAUUGGUUUUAUUGGGAAGCUAUUAAUUUUUUUUUUUUUUGAAUACUGAUUAAUCAUCAGAUUACUGCAUUACACAGAUAUUUACAACAACUGCUAUUGUAGCAGAGAUAUUAUACUGAUAUUUACAAUCAGAUAUACAUAAUUGGGACUUAUAUUAUGACAUUGAAUUCUAUGAAGUACAUGCCCAAACAAAUAACCCCUCACAGGAGAGGGAUGUCCAUACUCCACUCGCAUUUCGCAAGGGAGAAUGAUUUUUUGGAAGUAUAAAGAACAUUUAGCCCCCACAAUACUUUUGUGGGGGCUAGAACCGCUGCAGCAUUGUGAGGGCAGCAGCCCACCACUUCGGCCUUGGCCGAAGUGGCGGGAAGCUAUUAAUUAGAAGGAGGAAAAAGGACUAUAUUUAGAAUAUGAUUUGUUGGAGAAUCUCAGAGUUAGUCAAUUUUCAAGCCACACUUUCAAUAGCCAAUUGAUUUAGUAACCAUUAAUUACUUUAAUUUCCAUAAAUUGUAAUGACAGUGCAAAUGCAUCUGGUUGUGAUAGCUAAGGGUUAGCUUGAAGAAUUAAAUUUCAUAAGAUAUUACUGGAAAAUGCUUUGCAGAUAACGUGCUGCUUCCUUUGCUAGACUACAAUUUCAAAAAUCUCACGAGUUUUCCAUUGUUGUCACAAACCGAGAAAUUAUAAAAUACAUGGCCUGGUUCUUUGGCAAUGACCAUCUCAUCGUCGGCGGUCGUGUCGUCAUUGUCACUGUUCUUGCUCGACCGAGACAGUGAGAGAGAGGUUUGUUAGAUGGAGUUAGUGAGAGAGAGUUGUAAAGAUGGAAUGAUGAUAAAAGGAUUCUAUUUGUUUUUAUUGUUUUUUAUUAAUAUUUUAAUUUUUUAAAUUAAAAUGUGCUGCCGUUUCUCUAGCCUUUUUAGCUGCUUAACUUAACAGUAUUCUUUUCAAAAUUUAAGAAUGUAGUAGGUGUCCUUUUCUCUAAUAAUUUAUUUCAUUUUUAGGGAAUCCAAUGAGAAAUAUGAUAAAAGAACGUCAAUUACUUGUCGUUUUCAAUUUUUUCUAUAAGCUAUUUAUUUUGAGCAUUAGUGAUCUUGUCUGGACUACCCCAAUUAUUGACGUAACUCCAGUGGCUGCAUCCACUGGAAAAAGUGGAUGAGACCAUUUUUUUUUUCAUAAAGGUAACUACUCCAAUUAUUGACAUAAUUGAUGGUGCUUAAAUCAAUUUUUUCUUUCUUUUUUUUAAUUUAAAGAAUUUUGCUUUAAAAAAUAAUUAAUAUCAAAAUGCCUUCAAUGUUGUUACCGCCACAAGCCCAGUUAGAGGACUCAUUAAAAAUUUUAGAAUUUUUAGGCCUGGAAAGCAUAGUAUUAAACAUCAGAAAGCAAAGGUUGUUAUGUCGAAGAAUUGAUGUCGACAAAAUUUUAAUUUUGUUUUCGGAAAAAAAAAAAAAUUUUGUUGACAAGCAAGAAAAUAUUUUUUAUACUUUACAAUCUGCUAUACAUAUUUUAUCAUAUUAAAGUAAUUUUAAUAAUAUAUGGAAACAUAAUAUUAUAAUAAAUAAAUUAAAAUUACUUUGUAUUAUUGAAUAUUACAAAAAGAUAAUUUUAAUAUUAUUAAUAGGAAAACAUUUUUUAAUUGUAAAAUCUUUUUAAUACAAAAAUUCGUUUAAAAUCUUUAUAAUAAAUACAAAUAUAAAAUUAAAAAAUAUCAUAAUUUAAAAUUUUUAAUAUUAUUUAAAUAUUAAAAAUACUUUAAUGUUAUUAGUCUACUACAUAAAAUAUAUUAUUUAUAUUAUAUUCGUAUUGAUUAAAACGUUUUAAAGUCAAAUUUUUAAUUAGUGUAUUCAAAGGUACAAAAGAUUUAAGUAUUAUUUUUUAAAAAUUUCAAGAUACGAAUGAUAAUUUUUUCAAAUUUUAAAGAUGUAAAAAUCUUUUUUUCUGAUAAUUUAUUUCACUUUUGAGAGAAUCCGAAAACGUUAAUUUAACAUUCUUUACCUUUGUAAAAAAAGUGAAAAUCAAGAACUAUUCAAUUUUGUUUUUAUUUGUAAUUCAAAAACUUUAUUCAUUUUCGAUGCUUUUCAAAAGAGAUUCCUUUAAAUGUCUGCAGCUCCUGCUUUUCUCAUAAAUCUCCAUCCCACAUCUACACUAUCAAGUAUCAAACAAGUUGAUGGAAAUUCUUAUAAAAAAAAAAAAAAAAUUGAUGGAAAUUGAUCAAUUGCUUUUUGAAGUGGACCCAUUGAGUCAUGUUCAUUUCUGGUCAUUGUCUACUCUUUCUAUCAGCCAUUUAUUUUGACCAUUUGCGAUCUUAUCUGGACCUACUCCAAUUAUUGUUGUAACUCCGAUGGUUGUAUCUACAGUGGAAUGUAAGAUAGUGAAAGCUCUUUCUUUGAGAAAAUAGAGGGACCUUUCUCUGUUUCUCCGUUGCAACGUGCUCGUAUAAAUUUCUCUACCUUACAGUUUAUACGGUCUUGCUGUUAAUGAAUUCGCUGAGGCAUUAUUGAUCCAAUCUGAGUGAAGUAAUUGUGGGUGAAAAAUAAAUAAAGGAUAUGAGAACGUAGCUGAAGUGCUGAAGGGGCUAUUAAAGAAGAGUGUCACUUGAUCACAAUCACAUUGAUGCACAACUCACUCGUGGCAAAUUUCGACUAUACGUUCUGCAAAUUCAGCCAAACCAUACAUGCAUGAACAAAACUAAAAUGUAGUUCUAAUCACAACUGCAGUUAUGAUGUUUACCUCUCUGAUUUUUCUCCAAAACAAAUUCAGUUCAAAACAAUAAUCAAAAUAGCCACAUUUUGUUCGUCAAAAUAAAUGCCCAAAUUUUCAAUUAACAAAUCAUCUUCUCUAAACUAAAAAGCCCACAUCUCUAAAAUCAAUCUACAUAAUGUUGGAGAUGAGGGUUGAAUUGUUAACUCAGUAAAAAAAAAAAAACUCAUGCAUAAGAUUACUAAUAAUAUAAAUUAUAUAUUAAUCAUUAUAAAGAAUCAUAAAUUAGAAAAAUUAAUCAUUUUAUAAUUUAUUACACAAGUAAGAUAAAUCUCAUAAUAAGUUAUAACAUAAAAAACGUUAUCAAUAUAUAAUCAUUUAAGAAGUCAUUUAACAAUAAAAUCGUUCUUUGAUCAGUUGGCCAUGUCACAUAGUAUCAUCUAUAUUUAUGGUGAUACUAUUAUUACUCAGUAUUCUCAAAAAACAUGAUUUAACAUUUAGAGGAAAUUCUUGCCUUAAAAAAAAAACAUGUAUGCAACAGCUACCCAUGCUUUAUCUUACCAUGACAAAUAUUUUCUCAAUGAAAGAAAUUUUUUAAAAAAUUGAUUUAAUGCACAAAUAUGAUGAUUUUUGCAAAAAUUAGUUUUGGAAAACAUAGUGAGAGAAAAUAGUGACGAUUAUUGUUUAAAUGUAUAAAUAGCCUAAACAUAAUCCUUAAUACCAAUAUCCAUAUGCAUCUUAUCAUCUUUCAUGAUAUUCUUUCAUUUAUGUCCAUUGGUUCAAGAUUUGAAUUUGAUCAUUAAAUCAUGUUCAAUAAUAUUAGAGAUUCCAACAAUUGAGUACCAACUUAAAUCCCAAUGUUAUGUGUCAUUGACCAAUUUUGUGUCAUUGACCAAUUUUGUUAUUAACUAGGUGAUGAAUUUCUAGUUGAUAAAAUCACUUAAAAAUAUCUUAAAAAUUAGACAAUAGUUUGCUUAAUUUUUCCAAGUUAACUGCUCAAGAUGCUCUAUUAGAAAUGAUAACCUAAUUAUAUACAUAAAAAAUGAUGGAAAUUGAACAAUUGCUUUUUGAAGUGGACCCAUUGAGUUAUGUUCAUUACUGGUCAUUGUCUAUUCUUUCUAAGAGCCACUUGUUUUGAGCAUUAGCAAUCCUAUCUGGACUACUCCAAUUAGGAUAGUGUUAGUUCUUUUUUGAGAAUUUCUUUAUUUGUUUCUCCGUUGCAGCGUAUUAGUAUAAAUUUCUUUACCUUACAGUUCCUACAGUCUUCCUGUUAAUGAAUUCGCUGAGGCAUUAUUGAUCCAAUCUCGGUGAAGUAAUUGUGGGUGAAAAAAAAAAAAAAGGAUAAGAGAACGUAGCUCAAGUGCUGAAUUGACUAUUAAAGAAGAGCGUCACCUGAUCACAAUCACAUUGAUGCACAACUCACUCGAGGCAAAUUUCAUCUAUAAAUAAAAGAUCCCUUACUAUUCUCUUAACCCUGAGUUUUGAGAUAGAAAUUUCCCGAACUCCAACCCCACAUCCACAGACAAGUUGAUUGAAACAAUUGCUCUUGUAAUUAAGAGGAUGGGUUAGGGUUCAGUUCUUAUCAUUGUCUGUUAUUUCUUUGAAUCAUUAUCUUAAUUAAUUACAUCAAUUGUUUCUUUUUUUUAAUUUAAAGAAUUUUUCUUUAAAAAAAUAUAUUUUAAUAUCAAAAUGCCUUAAAUGGUAUUACUGCCGCAAUCCCAGUAACAGGAUUAAUUAAAAAUUUUAGAAUUUUUGGGCAUGGAAAGAGUAGUAUUAAAUAUCAGAAAGCUAAGGUUGUUCUGUCAAAGAAUUCAUAUUGGCAUAAUUUUAUUUUUGCUUUCGAGUAAAAAAAUAUAUAUAUAUAUAUUUGUUGACAAGCAAAAUACUGUUUUUAUAUUUUACAAUCAGUUAUACAUAUUUUAUCAUAUUAAAGUAAUUUUAAUAAUAAAUGGAAACAUAACAUUACAAUAAAUCAAUUAAAGUUUAAAUUAUUUGGAAAAUUAUAAAAAAUAAUUUUAAUAUUAUUUAUAGGAAGAUAUUUUGUUUAUUGUAAAAUCUUUUUAACCCAAAGGUUUAUUUAAAAUUGUUAUAAUAAAUAAAAUAUAAAAACAAAAUAAAUAUCAUAAUUUAAAAUUUUAAUAUUAUUUUAAAUAUUAAAAAUACUUUAAUGCUAUUAGUCUACUACAAAGGUUAUAUUACUUAUAUUAUAUUUGUAUAAAUUAAAACUUUUAAAGUUAAAUUUUUAAUUACUAUAUUGAAAAGGUAUUAUGGUUAAAAUAUGUUUUGGCAUUUCUUUUUAAAAAUUUGAGGGUCUGCAUGACAAUUUGUCCAAAUCCUAGAGGUAUAGGUGUCUUUUUUUUUCGAUAAUUCAUUUUACUUUUGAGGGAAUCCGAUGAGAAAUAAGAUAAGAGAAACGUCAAUUUAACGUUCUCUAUGGAAAACCAAGAACUAUUCAAUUUUGUAUUUUUUGUUUGUAAAACGAAAAACAGUUUGCCAAAAAAGGUACCAAACAUAUCCUUAAUGUCUCACAUGAUUUCUUAUUAAGUCCAUACUCGAUAUAUUUAUACAUUUUAGGUAUUUUAGUUAUAAAAGAAGUUGGUCCUCCCUCUAUUUAUAAAAGGUAACUUUAUUUCGAGAUUACCACUAAAGUCUUACAAAGAAUUAGUGUAAUGUUAACAGAGAGUAACAUAGUUUUCCAUUACCAUUUUGAAAAUAGAAAGAUAUGGAUGUGUGCAUUUAAUGGUGUGUUUACUUACCGGAUUGAGGAAUCAGAAUCUGGAAUUAGAAUGAUUGAUGGUGUUUACUUCGCAAAUAUGGAGCAGGAAUCGGAACUGGAAUGGUGGGGCCCACCACUAUUUGGGAAUGAGAGAUUGAUUCCCAUGGGGGAAGGUGGGAACGAGUCUCCCAUUCCCUGGACUGACCAUUUUGCCCUCCCUCAAAAUUAAAAAUGCCUACUUUGUCCUCUUUUAUAAUUAAUUAAUAUAUAAAUAUUUUAAUAACUAUAAUUAUUAAAAAUUAUAGUUCUUGAAUAAAUAAUCACAAUAAUUAAUUUAUUAUUUUUAUUUUUAUUUUAAUUAAUUAAUAUACUAUUAUAAUAAUUAUAAAUAUAAUUAAUUUAUAUAUUAUUAUUAUUAUUAAUGAAUUAAUAUAAUUAUUACUAUUAAUUAAUAUAUUAAUAUAUUAUUAAAAAUAAUAUAUUAAUAAUUAUUGUUCGUGAACAAAUAAUCACAAUAAUUAAUAUACUAUUAUUUUAAUUAAUUAAUAUAAUUAAUUUAUAUAUUAUUAUUAUUAUUAAUGAAUUAAUAUAAUUAUUACUAUUAAUUAAUAUAUUAAUAUAUUAUUAAAAAUAAUAUAUUAAUAAUUAUUGUUCGUGAACAAAUAAUCACAAUAAUUAAUAUACUAUUAUUUUAAUUAAUUAAUAUACUAUUAUAAUAAUUAUUAAUAUAAUUACUAUAAUUAAUUCAUAUAUUAUUAUAAUUAAUUAAUUAAAUUAAUAUUAUUAAAUAAAUAAAUAAUAUAAUUAUUACUACUAAUUAGUAUAUUAAUAUAUUAUUAAAAAUAAUUAUAAUUUUUGAAUAAAUAAUCACAAUAAUUAAUAUAUUAUUUUAAUUAAGUAAUUAAUAUUAAUAUUAUUAGUUAAUAUAUUUUUAUAAUAAUUUUUAAUAUAGUUAUUAUAAUUAAUUAAAUUUUGUUACAAUUAAUUAAUAUAUUAGUUAAUAAUAAUUAUGACAAUAAUCCACUAAGUAUUUUUGAGUAAUUUGUUACAAUCUAAUUCAUUUUGAUUCCGAUUUCAAGACAAAGUAAACACAUUAAUGACAAUCUAGCUCAUUCCGAUUUCGAUUCCUACAGUUCAAGUAAACAACUUAUUUUGAUUUUCAUUACCUAUUUACAUUCCAGCCCAUUCUCAUUUCUUCCCAUUCUCAUUUCUGCCAAUUCCAAUUCCAGCUCAUUCCGAUUCCAGUUUAGUAAACGCAGCAUAAGAGUUAUCAUGAAAAUCAUACAAUUCAAUUUCCUGAAAUAUAUAUUUUAUUCACAUGUGCCAAAAGAAUAAAUAGAUAGAAAGUAAAUUUACAAUCCUCACUCCCUCACAAUUGUUAAAGUGAAUAUGCAUUACAACUGUGAACUGUCACUACUUUAGCCCCUUUUUUUUUUUCAAUUAUAGUGUGAUGGAGACAGUGAACAUCAAGGAUAAAGUGCUCUGCUGAAAGCGGAACUUCCUCUGGCUAAUUAAUUUGGAAGUAAAACAGAGAAUAAAGUCCUACAUGCCUUCUGAAAUUAGAAAUACAUUUUAUAUGCUUUAAUUAUGAUUAUUUGGUAGACUAUUGACCAAAAGACAUGUUAAAGUAUAAAACAGAGCGAUUAAAGAAAAAAAAAGGAGUGUUUGUGACGUAGAAUAACAAUUUGUAAGUAAAGUCCUAAUUUGAGUUGUCAAAAAGCAAAUAUAACAGGGAAGGUAAGAGGGAUGCAGAAACAGAAAACUAUUAGCUUAUCUUGAUUUUCCCACUAUAUUCAUUUUCGAUGCUUUUCAAACGAGAUUCUUUUAAUCCUUCUGGCGUCUGCAGCCCCUGGUCUUCUUAUAAAUUUCCAUCCCACAUCUGCACUAGGAACAAGUUGAUUGAAAUUAAAUAACAUUGGAGAUGACGGACAGAUGAGCCGUCAACUUGGUAAAAAAACUAUGUUAAUAUUGUUAAUAAUAAAAAAAAAUAUAAUAAUCAUUACAAAGAAUCAUAAAUUAGAAAAAUUAAUUAUUUUACAAUCUAUUUCGUAAGUAAGAUAAAUCUUGUAAUAAGUUAAGUUAUAACGUAAAAAAUAUUUUCAAUUUAUAAUCAUUUAAGAACUCAUUUAACAAUAAAAUCUUUCUUUUGAUCAAUUGGUCAUGCCACAGAGUAUCAUCUAUAUUCGUGGUGAUAUUAUUAUUACUCCGUAUUCUCAAAAAACACGAUUUAACAUUUAGAGAAAAUUCCUACCUUUUAAAAAGAACAUGUAUGCAACAGCUACCCAUACUUUAUCUUACCACGACAAAACUAAUGGUGACUAAAUCAAUUUUCUCGAAUAAAGCAAAAUUUCUUAAAAUUAAUUUAAUAUACAAAUAUGAUGACAUUUUGCAAAAAUUAGUUUUGGAAAAUAUAGUGACAAAAAAUAGUAAUGAUUAUUGUUUAGAUGUGUAAAUAGCCUAAACAUGAUCCCUAAUACCAAUAUCCACGUACAUCUUAACACCUUUCGUGAUAUUCUUUCAUUCAUGGUCACUGGUUCAAGAUUUGAAUUUGAUCAUUAAAUCAUGUUCAAUAAUAUUAGAGAUCCCAACAAUUAAGUACCAACUUAAAUCCUAAUGCUAUGUGUCAUUGACAAAUGUUGUGUCAUUUUUUGUUAACUGAGUGAUGAAUUUCUAGUUGAUAAAAUUACUUAAAAAUAUCUUAAAAAUCAGACAAUAGUUUGCUUAAUUUUUUGAAGCUAACUGCUCAAGAUGCUCUAUUAGAAAUGAUAACCUAAUUAUAUACAUAAAAAAUGAUGUAUUUUUUGCGGUGUUGAUAGUGAGAUUAUCAUUCAACAUGUUAAAAUAUGAAAACAUAUGGAAGAAGGUUGUAAAUUGAUUGAAUGAAAAUAUUUCAGUGAAGUCUAAAAAAUUUGGUACUUGUUAUCUUAUCGAAAGUUUUCUAAAUUACAUUCGUGGCACUGCCACUGCUUCCAUGUGAAGGUCAUUAAAAUUUGUGUUAGUUACCUAUAUGUUGAAUAAUAAUUUUAUUCAUGAAUUGUUGCUCAAUAUAGCAGUUUCUAGAUGAAUUUUCCUACAUGUUUGUCCUCAUAUGACCUAGAAUGCUGCUAUAUCAAUUGUAUUGGAAAUUAUUCAAGUGGGUUUGUGCUCUAUACCCCCACCAAAAUUUAAGCAAUCUACAGAACAUUCCUUGUGGAAAGAAACUUAUUUCGCUACUAGGUGGGAGUAGAUUUCUAAGCUAAUGCUCGGCAGAUCUCUAGGCUAUACUAAAAAGUGUAUGCACUUUGACUCUCAAUAUAUACGAGUGAUUCUAUGAUGACUGAAAACAUCAGUACAUGCAUGAUUUUAUAAGAAAGAAUAUUCUAAAAUUAUUUAUGUAUCACCAUUUGUAGUUGUACCCUCUCGAAUGAAGGUGCAAUCAGCAACUAAAAUGAAGCCCGAAAUGUACACGCGUGAGGCAGUUUUUCUAGAAGAUUGAUACUUCUCAAACUAGCAAACCGUACAAGUCCAAAGCUAGAAAAGGAGUGCUUCUAAGCAGAAAACAUUGAUUAAAACAGAAUACACACACACAUACCAGUAAAUUCAAAAUAGAAAAAGGAGUUCAACUGUUCAAGUUUGUGGACAAUAUUGCAACCGUGGCAUAUUUAUAGCAAAUCCUUGAAAUCUGCUAAAUAAACAAUGCCCUGUCUCAUGAAUCAAAGCCGAAUUAAAAUUGAAAUUGAAAGUCCGGCUGGUGUUGUUUCCCUCUCCAGUUUUGCCCACAUAAGUGAAGGGAAAUGAGAAUCAUAAAUUAAAAUCUGCUUUUACAGUUUUUUAUUAGAUAGAUAUAAAGGGAUCUUUUUUGUUUCUCUGCUGCAAUUUGUGGCUAUCCCACUCUGUUUUGCCACUCAAGCUUAGUCUACGUUGAGACAUAAUUUUGACAUCAGAAGCAACCUCAAUUAGUUUGGCAUUUUUAUGACCUCCUUGUACGUUUUACGAUAAACAUAAAUCUACUGAGAAAGUGUGAAAAAAAGAAAAUGCAUAUAAAAGUAUGAGUUAUCAGACAUGAUUAAAACUCACCCAAUUCAAUCCAUUAGAUUCCGUAAGGAUAUAACUGGAUGUCAUACCGCCACUCCAUAUCCUCGAAAGUCCGUAGUCUUUGUCUCAACUCUGUCUGAGGCCAAUGUAAAUCCAAUUUGCGCAAGCUCUUUAUGCACCACAGCUCUUCUGGAAGCUUUCUCAAGUAAGCACAUGGGUUGACAAUUAAGCUUUCAAGUUUUGGCAUUGCUCCAGCCCCCAUCGUCCACUCAUCUAGCCAAUACAUUGAUUUCAGGUGCAAAACCCUAAGUUCCAGAAAGCAACCAGAGCCAACGCAGGCCAGCUUUCUUCCUAAAUACGAGUUCUGUUUCAGUUUCAGCACUUGAAGGCUUGGAAGCUUUUCCAGCAUUGGCAUGGGAUCCUCCAUUAGCUCAGUAUUCGAUAAGCUCAGAUGGCUCAGACUUGGAGGAAAUUGGUAUUCAGACAGGACAAUCCGUGAGCGCUUGCUCUCAUUCACCAGCUUCAAGCAUUCAAGUUUGUGGAGUUCGCAUAGGCUUUUGGAAACCCCAGAGUGAUAGCAACUCAAAUCUCCAGAUAUCCGAAGAGUUUGAACAUUAGGCAGUCUGCCCAAUAUAUCUGGAGUACAACUACUAGGGUGUAAGGCUGAUAUGAAAAUGAGAUUUUUCAGAGAGCUGCAAUAAUUUUUUGGAGGUGCAGGCAGAGUGAUGGAACCGAAGUUUAGAUGCAUGAGUUUUUGCAUCAUCCAAAUAUCCUCUGGUGAAUGAUCUAUGUAGCUUGAUGGCAUUUGUAGUGUUUGAAGGUUUAAAAGGGUGCAUAGCAUUGAAGGAAGGCAUUUGAGCGAAGGGAUAUUCAAUUUCAAAUACUUCAAAAGGAAUAAAUUUUCUAAUCCGGGUGGAAAUUGGUCGAGAACUGCAGAACCGAAGUUCAGUACCCGAAGGUGUUUGAACUUUUUACAAAAAUUCUCGCAAUCUAUAAGAGCGAGAUGAUCGCUUUCUGAACUGUGAUUCAGAAAAGAUUGGAGAUACAUGUCAGAAUAUUCUAAAGAAAGGAACUCAAUCAGAUCUUCCAAAAUGAAGCACCGUUUAACAUUUGCCAGUGAUUCCUCUUCCAUGUCAGGCGUCCAGACAAAUCUCGUCUUCUCUACUACCAAAGCCAAUAACGUAUAUACAAAACUUGGAACAUAACACGCUUUAAUUGUGCCGCCGGCGCUUCUCUUACUCACUUGAAUGAAGCCGCGAUGGAUUAGUUCUUUCAAGUAAUGUUCGGCAGUUUCUUCACCGUUGUAUGGUAUGAAACCUUCAGCUACCCACAACUGAUAUAAUUGCCUCGUUGAUAUCUCAUUGCAUGAAAGGAAGACACACAAAUAGAUGCAGCAGAUUUUCAAGUGAAAAGGUAACUCCAUCACAGAAAAAAGUUGUCUCCAAACUGUCGGAAUCGUUUCGCCUUGAAGAUAAUUUUCUAAGGGCAUACUUCCAUAGUGUAGGAUGAAAAAUUGCCAGGCCUCAUGCUUUAAUCUGAUCAAUGGUCCUCCUACGAUCACUGAAUCAAGCCGAAUCUUCUCUCCGUUUUCCAUUUCCAACAGCGUAAGGAGGUGUGGAUUAGUGACCAAUAUCAAUACUCUGCUUCCAUUCUGAUUAUCAGGAAGAACUUCUUCAAGAUCACUCCAUAUCUCACUGUCAUCGAAGACAUCAUCAAGCACAAUAAAGUACUUCCUGUUUGUUAGGUAAUCUCGAAGAAUAGAUUUCUUCAAUUGAUAAUCUUCCCCGAUAAUUACACUAACCCGAGAUGGAGGCAUCACAGACUUGAUUAUGUCAUCCAAUAUCUUGCGAAAAUCGUAGGCUACAGAAACCCUUACCCAAGCAUGACAGUCAAAAUAGAACUUGAUAUGGUUAUUAUUGUAAGUAUCUGCAGCAAAAGCAGUCUUAUCGAAGCCACUGCUGUCGAGAAUUGUAACCACUGCAAGCCGACGAUGUCCUAAAUCAAUAAAUCAAACAACUCCUCUCUGCCACUUUCAAAUUCAUUGAUAUCAAGCCGAGGUUGUCCCUCACUCAAUAGGCGAAUGAUUUUGUUUCUUUGUUCACUGACAUCAAAACCAUUGUCGCCGGGUGGAAGUUGUUGCAUCCGAUUACUAAUAUCAAUGAUUUUACUCUGGAGUCCAUCAAGAAGAGCCAUAUUAGUGCUGCUUUUACUUUCGUUUUCACUGUUUUGCUGCUGCAUGAUGUUGAUGAAGAAUCUGUCAAUGGCUUCCUCAGAUUCAUGGACAAAGCGAUUGAUGUCCUCCAGAAUUUCCAAAAUAUCUGGUCUUUUAACGUCUUCUUCAUCGCUUUCUUCUAAGUCCAACAGUUGCAAAAGAGGCAAAGAUAUUUUGGAGUCAUCGAAUUCUUCUCUAAUGAGUUGAAAGAAAUGCCGAGCCAUGUCAGAUUCAUAUUUUCCCAGCAGAGUAGUUGCAAUAAUUUCGGACUCCGUAAGAAGGUUUUGAAAAAGUGGGGUUAAAUUUGUUGAAUCAGGCAGUGUUAACGUGCCUUCUUCUCCUACUACCACCCUUUUCAACCUCUCACAAAAUAAUCGGAGGUGGGCGUCCAGCAUAUCUCCUCCUGUCUGUAGCAGCCAGAGGUAUUGUUAUUUGCUCCAAGAAAUGUUAAAAGGAUUGGUCCUACCUCAAAGUGGUUAGUGGUGUAAAAUUAAACACCAUGGGAGAAUUUGAAAGGAAGAUGCCAAGAAACUGGCAAAGUGGCUAAAUUCCACAAAUACGGCAUUAUUGCUCAUUUUUAACUCAACAAAUUGAUACGCGUUCAUUUAGAGAAAAGUCGAAGACGCGUGCCUUUUGAAAAGAACAAGUAUCCAAUAGGUAUCCAACCUUUAUCUUAUUUAAUUACUACCAUGACAUGAUUGAUGGUGCUUAAAUCAAUUGUUUCUUUUUUAAUUUAAAGAUUUUUUCAUUAAAAAAUAAUUUAAUAUCACAUUGCCUUCAAUGGCGUAACGGCCGCAAGCCCAGUAACUAGAUUAAUUAAAAUGAAAUUAUGAUUGCACUACUUUUUUAUUUAUUUAUUUAUCUAAUCACUAUAAAAUUUUAACAUAUUUUAUUUACUAUAUUUUUUUUAAAUUUGCAUCAAUUAGUCACUUUUACACUAAUACCGUUAAAUAAUUUAAACGGAAUGAUAAUUUUACCCCUAAAUAAAAUUAAAAGUUCAUUUUAUUUUAUAAAAACUUUGAAAAUAAAAAAUUAUAAUUAUAAAAUAUCCCUAAAUUUAAUAAAGAAAUAAAUCCCAAAAUUAGAAUGUUUAUUUUUAAUAAAAAUUAUUUUAAUAAAAAAUUAUAAUUAGAAAAAUAAUUACAAAAUUUUGGGAUUUAAUAAAAAUCCCCUAAAUGAUUAAAAUUUUAGGAUUUAUUUUUUAAUAAAUAAAUUCAGUUAUUUUAAUAAAAUUUUGCAAAAUUAUAAUUUUUAAUAAAUAAAUUCACUUAUUUUUAUUAUAAUUUUAAAAAAAUUUAAAUUUUUAAUAAAAAUAAUUAUUAAAAUUUUACAACAUCUAAAUUGAAUAAAAAUCAGCUGAGCACCUAUAUUUUGUAUUUAUUUUUAUUAAAUUUAGGGGUAUUUUUAUAAUUAUAAUUUUUUAUUUUUCAAAGCUUUAUAAGAUAAAAUGGUCUUUUAAUUUAUUUAGGGGUAAAAUUAUCAUUUCGUUUUAAUUAUUUAACGGUGUUAGUGCAAAAGUGGCUAAUUGAUACAAAUUUGAAAAGAAAUGUGGCGCAGAGAACAUAUUAAAAUUUUGUGGUGGUUGGAUGAACAUAAGGCAACAGAAAGGUGGUGCAAUAAUAAUUUCCCUAAUUAAAAUUUUAGAAUUUUUGGGCAUGGAUAGAGUAGUUUUAAUUAUGUUAAAGAAUUGAUAUUGACAUAAUUUUAUUUUGGUUUUCAACGAAAAAAAAUUUGUUGACAAGUAAGAAAAUAUUUUUUUUUUACUUUACAAUCGGUUAUACAUGUUUUAUCAUAUUAAAGUAAUUUUAAUAAUAAAUAGAAACAUAAUAUUACAAUAAAUAAAUUAAAGUUUAAGUUAUUUUGAAUAUUAAAAAAAUAAUUUUAAUAUUAUUAAUAGGGAGGCAUUUUGUUAAUUGUAAAAUCUUGUUAACCCAAAGGUUAUUUAAAAUCUUUCUAAUAAAUACAAAUAUAAAAUUAAAUAUCAUAAUUUAAAAUAUUUAAUACUAUAUUCAAUGUAAAAAUAUUUUAAUGUUGUUAAUAUACUACAUAGAUUAUAUUACUUAUAUUAUAUUUAUAUUGAUUAAAAAUUUUUAAAAUUAAUUUUCUAGUUACUAUAUUCAUAAGGUAUUCUGGUUAAAGAAAAUAUCUUGAUAUUACUUUUUGAAAAUUUGAGAGCCUGCAUGACAAUUUUUUCAAAUUUUAAGGAUGUAAUUAUCCUUUUUUCCAUAAUUUAUUUCAAUUUUGAGGGAAUCCAAUAAGAAAUAUGGCAGGAGAAUGUCAAUAGGCGAAUGAUUUUGUUACUUUGUUCACUGAUCUCAAAACCAUCGUCGCCGGGUGGAAGUUGUUGCAUCCGAUUACUAAUAUCAAUGAUUUUACUGUGGAGUCCAUCAAGAAGAGCCAUAUUAGUACUGCUUUCACUUUCGUUUUCACUGGUUUGCUGCUGCUUGUUGUUGAUGAAGAAUGUGUCAAUGGACAAAGUUAUUGAUGUCCUCCAGAAUUCCAAAAAUAUCUGCUGUUUCAACGUCUUCUUCAUCGCUUUCUUCUAAGUCCAACAGUUGCAAAAAAGGCAAAGAUAUUUUGGAGUCAUCGAAUUCUUCUCUAAUGAGUUGAAACAAAAGCCGAGCCAUGUCAGCUUCAUAGUUUCCCACCAGAGUAGUAGCAAUGAUUUCUGACUCCGUAAGAAGGUUUUGAAAAAGUGGUGUCAAAUUUGUUGAAUCUGGCAACGGCAACGCGCCUUCUUCACCUGCCAACACCCUUUUCAACCUCUCACAAAACAGUCGGAGGUGGAAUUCCAGCAUAUCUCCUUCUCUCCGUAGCACUCAGAGGUAUAGUUGAAAGAUUAAACACCAUGGAAGAAUUUGAAAGGAAUAUGCCAAGAAACUGUGUAAGUGGCUAAAUUCCACAAAUAUGACAUUAUUGCUCUUUUUUGAACUCAAAAAAAUGGUACGCGUUCAUUUAGAGAAAAGAACAGGUAUCCCAAUCGAUAUCCAACCUUUAUCUUAUUUAAUUACUACCAUGACAUGAUUGAUGAUGCUUAAAUCAAUUGUUUCUUUUUUAAUUUAAAGAAUUUUUCAUUAAAAAAAUAUUUUGAUAUCUAAUACCCUUCAAUGGCAUAUCUGCCGCAAGCCCAGAACAGGAUUAAUGAAUUUUUUUUUUAAUUUUUUGGGCAUGGAAAGAGCAGUAUUAAACAUCAGAAAGCUAAGGUUGUUCUGUUAAAAAAUUGAUAUUGACAUAAUUUUAUUUUGGUUUCGGGGAAAAAAAUAUUUUCUGAAAAGCAAGAAAAUAUUUUUAUAUUUUACAAUUUAUUAUACAUAUUUUAUCGUAUUAAAUUAAUUUUAAUAAUAAAUAGAAACAAAAUAUUACGAUAAAUAAAUUAAAGUUUAAAUUGUUUUGAAUAUUAUAAAAAAUAAUUAUAAUAUUAUUAAUAGGAAGACAUUUUGUUAAUUUUAAAUUUUUUUAACCCAAAGGUUUAUUUAAAAUCUUUAUUAUAAAUACAAAUAUAAAAUUAAAUAUCAUAAUUUAAAAAAUUUAAUAUUAUUUUAAGUAUUAAAAAUAAUUUAAUGUUAUUAGUCUACUAUAUAGAUCACAUUACUUAUAUUAUAUUUGUAAUGAUUAAAAAAUUUUUAAAUCAAUUUUCUAGUUAAUAUAUUCACGAGGUAUUAUGGUUAAAGAAAAGACCUUGGUGUUACUUUUUAAAAAUUUGAGCGCAUGCAUGAUAAUUUUUUCAAAAUUUAAGAAUGUAUGUGUCCUUUUCUCCAAUAAUUUAUUUCACUUUUGAGGGGAAUCCAAUGAGAAAUAUGAUAAGAGAAUGUCAAUUACUUGUCAUUUUCUAUUUUUUCUGUAAGGUAUUUAUUUUGAGCAUUGGUGAUCUUGUCUGGACUACUCCAAUUAUUGAUGGAACUCCAAUGGCUGCAUCCACAGUUGAAUAUAUGAUGGUGUUAGCUCUUACUUGAGAAUUCAGAGGGAUCUUUCUAUGUUUCUCAAUUGCAAUGUGCUAGUAUAAAUUUCUUUACCUUACAGUUUAUAUAGUCUUGCUGUUAAUGAACUCACUGAGGCAUUAUUGAUUCAAUUUCAGUGGAGCAAUCGCGGGUGAAGGAUAAAUAAAGGAUAACAGAACAGAGCUGAAGUGCUAAAUUGGCUAUUGAAGAAGGUUUUCACAUGAUCACAAUUAUGUAAAAUAAUCAUUUUUCUGAAAUUGUGUUUCCUAAAAUUAAUAAAUUUCCUUUUUUUUAAAAAAAAAAAAAAACUCUUCUACGACGUGGUUGCACAGCAAAUUAGAGAAUUAUAGGGUCUCUAAUCAAUACUCCAACCAAUAAUGAUAUGUGCACAAAAAAUAGUAUCAAUCACAACAAGAUUAAAAUUAAAAAAAGUAACUAUAAGAUGGAAAAAAAAAUUAUUACAAGAAAAUAAUUUUUUUGUCUUUUCUAUCUUUUAUACUAUUUUUGUUUAUAUGUACUCUAAAUUCAGCCAAACCAUACAUGCAUGAACAAAAAUUAAACCGUCGUUCUAAUCACAACAGUAAUUGAAGCUACAAAAGCCAGCAAAUCUGAACGAAGACUUAAAAGAAAGAUCUUAUUCAAGUUUGUCCCCAAAAGACAGCUGAAAUGAAAAAUAUUGACUAUUGAAUGGGUCAAUGCCGAAUUACAUUUCAAAUGGAAAGCUUGGCAGCAGUUACAAUGUUUCCCCCUCUGAUUUUCCUCCAAAACAAAUUCAGUUGUAAACAAUAACCGAAGUAGUAAUAAUUUAUUCAUCAAAGAAAAUACCCCCAAGUUUUCAACUAAAAAAUCCUCUUGUCCAAACUAAAAGAACUCAUAUCUCUAAAAUCUAUCUGCAAAAUGUUGGGAAUGAGGAGUGAUCUGUCAACUCCGUAAAUAAACUCAUGCAUAAUGUUAACAAUAAUGAUAAAUUACAUAAUAAUUAUUAUAAAGAAUCAUAAAUUGGAAACACUAAUCAUUCUACAAUCUAUUAUAUAAGCAAGAUAAAUCUCAUAAUAAGUUAAGUUAUAAUGUAAUAAAUAUUUUCAAUAUAUAAUUAUUUAAGAAGUCAUUUAACAAUAAAAUAAUUUUUUUAAAUCAGUUGAUCAUACAGCGUUAUCUAAACUCCUGACGAUAUUAUUAUUACUCACUUUUCUCAAAAAAAUAUGAUUAAUGUUUAGAGAAAAGUCAUGCAUUUUAGAAAAAAUAUGUAUACUAGCUAUCCGUACUUUAUCUUACCGUGACAAAAUUGAUGGUGAUUAAAUCUAUUUUUAAAAUAGAUUUAAUUCACAAAUAUGGUGACUUUUGGCAAAAAUUAUUUUCAGAAGAUAUAGUGGCAGAAAAUAGUGAUAAUUAUUGUUUAAAUGUGUAAAUAGCCUAAGUAUAGCCCAUAAUACCAAUAUCCAUUUGCACCUUCAUUUGGUUUAUCACAUUUCAUGAUAUUCUUUCAUUCAUGACCAUUGUUCAAGAUUUUAAUUUGAUUAUAAAUUAAGUUGCAAGGGAGCUUACUUCAGUCUCUAAGCUUUUCAAUCGUGAUUCCUGCAUGCCAACGUAACUGACCUUAUAAUUGGUCUGUAUAAGAAAUCAAGCCCUUUCAGGAUCGUUUUCUUUUUCUCCCUAUUGUAGUAGUCAACUAAAUAAAGAAUGAACAACUAAACUUGGUCUAUUUCGAGGAAGACUAAGGCUUCCAAUACUAGAUGAACUUUGAAGAAAAUUAAUCCGUUGUUUUUAUUCAUCUUUGGACUAUGAAUAUAUACAAAGACUUUAACAGAAAAUAACAAAGACACAGCUAAAUGCACUACUAAAAAAAUGAGUUUUACUGACACUAAUUUAGCGUCAGUAAUUACUUUUAUUGACACUUGUUAAUUGUGUCAGUGUUGCUCAAGCCAGAACACACUGACACUAAUUUUUGAUGUCAAUAAUUUUUGUGUCAGUAAUUUGUUUCACUAUAGUAUCACUAAAAUAAUGACACGAUGAUGUUGGUAUUUAAUAAUACUAUUUACACGUCAGUAAUUUAUGUGACUAUAGUAUCAAAAACUGACUCGAUAAUAUAAAAAAUUCUUAUUGUUAUUUUAAAUAUGUAGUGUCAGUAUUUAGUAAUGUUAUGCUGCUUUUGGUUAAUAGUAUAUUUUUUAUUUUAAUUAUAUUUUUCGUGUUUGUUGUACAACCAAAAGAAAACUCGAAAUAUAUUUAUUAUUAAAUAUCUUGCAACACAAUUCAUAUAAUAAACAUCUCAAAUACAUCACUUAAAUUCACACAAUUCAACUACAUCACUAUGUGUAAAAGACUUAACAUAAGUAUCAAAUUAAAUUUUCAACAAUCUCUAAACAACAAGUGCUAACUACUACUCAAUUAAGUUUCCAACCCAAAAGAAAAAAAAAAAAGCACAAGGUCACUCAAUAUCCAUCCACGGCUUCAUUUUGUUCCCACCUACAAAUGCAUAAAAUCAAUUAGUAUACUGUGAAAAAUAAAUCUUAGUUAUUUUGAAGCAAAAAUACUCAUAAAUUACUUCAACAUGGAAGAGUAGGAUUAAAAGAAGCAAGUUAAGGAAUCAGAAAAAGAAAUUGUAGAAUCUACACGUUCCCAAGUUAAUUACAGCCUGCAAUCAUGAUACCACAAAUUGCUUCACCAAAAGUAUUCUAUCAAGUAUUAAAGAGAACACUUAAUAAGUACAUCAAUAUUUAGUAAUGAUGACAUGAACAAUGGUGUCUACAACUUGACAAGCAUAAGUUAUUUUUUUUGUAAUCUAUUUCAUUGUCUAAAUUUAAAGUAAACAAUGCUAUAAUAUAUGAUCAAGUACAUUAAGUUAACAAGCACUAUAACAUUUAUUUAGCCCACAUUCAACGAUGAUCAGUUGGACCGAAAGCCAUAAAUUGAAAAACAAAAGAUAUUUAAUGAGCUUAAAGAGGAAAAAUAAAAGUUAACAAAAUUUAAACGACUAAUGAAGAAAUUAACCAAGCCGAGAUGAAAAACAGAAAUAGAAGGCCACUAUAAGCCAAACAUUACAAAUCAGGUUGCUUUUUAAGACACGAACCCAGUUUCCAAUUACAGUACUUUGCAAUUCUUUAAAAAAAAAAGGGUUUCCCAAUUACUAAAUCUUUUUAGGUUUGAAGUGGAUUGAUAAUUAAAUUGAUGAAAGAAAGGAAAGUGAAGCAAAAAUUAGAUUCAAGUAUGGGUCAAGUAAAAAAGUAAAAGAUAAAAAUCAGAUUCAGUGCAAACCUGGGUUUCAAAUGAUUAGCAAAGGAACAACUUCUUCUUUCUUCAAUCUAAUAUUCUUCUUCGAACAUGGAAUACUAACAAAAUACAAUUAGUAAUUCAUAAACAUAUAGUAAAAUGAGAUAGGUAUUUUUUGAGAGGAGAUUGAGAAAUACAUAUUUGAUUGAAGAAAGAAAACACAACAAAAAAAAAGGACCAGGUCUCCUCAAAGAAAAGCAAAAUGGGAAAAUAGGGGAAUAGUCUAUACAAAAGCCAACCCACCACCCUUGGAGGACCAUCCUUCUUCUGAGCAAAAAUCUAUACAAGAUUAGCCCAAACCUCCAAUAUAGUAAAAUGGGUUCGACAGACUAUUUCUAAUCUGUCAUUUGCAAAGUAAAGCUAAAAUUAGAAUUGUCUACUAACAACCUUCCUAUAGUUUGUCCACUAUAUUAUUACUAUAUUAUUAGAUGUAAAAUGCCCACUAUAAAAGGUAAUUAAUAGAGAAACUUCUCUGUAGUAUUUUCAUACCUGUGCCAAAACAGAGAAGAGAAAGAAAUGGUGUCUGACCUCGGUGGUAAAGGAACCGCUAUGGUAAAGGAUCGAACAUGGAUGAAAAAUAAACUUGUGCAAAUGGAGCCACCAGCAUUUUGCAAGAAUUAAAGAUUUUGGGUGAAAUCCUCUCUUAUAAACACUUAUUUGUAUUGGGAGCAUGCAUACUUCCGAGUAUGAUAUAAUUCUAUAAAAUUUAGACUCCUGAUAGAUAGAUAGAUAACACGUAUUAGCAUUAAUUAAAUGGAAGCAUCAACAAUAAUCAAUAAAUCAUUAUAGAAAAAAAAUUAAAAAUGAAAGGAGCUGAGGCACACCAUUGUGAUGCAAGAUUGACAAUCAAAAGAACCUUUCCUUUGUAGAUGCUAAGAUCAACAUCCUGUCCCUUCGCAUCCUGCAAAUAAGAUAAAUUUUUAUAAAAAUUAAAAAAUAUAUCUGUCAAAUCCCAAAUUGAAUUAAAAAUCAAAACAAGGGAAAGAAAAUGAAAGGAACAUGUCAUCAAAUUGUAGGUGGCUGGUGGUGCUUUUUAGUGAAGUGUUUGUAGAACUGUUAGAUGUAACCAUUCUUUACGCAUCAACUUCGCUAGUGAUUUGAUUUGAUGAAGAGGAUCUUUCCUUAUCUAGUUAUCUUCUUGUGUAGAUCCAUGUAGGAUUCCUUCACGAUUUCUUUUUUUUUUUUUUGGGGGGGGGGGGGGGGAGGUUUAAUUAACAAAACAAUAAGAGUAAAUGAGGAAUCAAUCCCUAAUUUAAGGCCUUCUAAGAUUGCUGAAGCUCUGCAUAAUCAAUGUCUCCAAGAAAAAGGUUUAUUUGCAGGCUGUAGCAGCAAUUUUCUUCCCCAUGAAAUCCAACUGAUCCAUUUGUAUUGAAUUUAAGCACACGCCUGAGGCUGGAAAAGACAAAGAAAUUAAUGAAAACAGGCUAUGUAUCUUUUUUACUUAUCAUUGCUCUAUGAAUUAAUUAUGCUACUAAUCACGACGCCGUUUAAAUCUUAGAACAAUAAUAAUCUUUUAGCAACAAAUAUGACGGUUCAAUAAUAUGUUCCGACUAGGGAUGUCAUAUUGUGAGGGCUGUUAAGUUUAAGAAACGAUCAAAUCUAAUUUUGUGUUCCAAAAACUCAUUGGCUUAACAGAUUAACUCCUCUGUAGUAUUUUCAUACCUGUGCCAAAAGAGAGAAGAGAAAGAAAUGGUUCUUGAUCUCGACGGUAAAGGAGCGGUGGCUGGCUGGGCUGAAGUUGAUGUGACGGCAUAAAAGCGGUAGCAGCGACAUACUGAAAGGUGGCUAGCUAGUCGUAGGUGGCUGAAGCUUGACAACAGUAGAGCAAAGGCGGCAGUGACGUCAAGGAACGGCGGCCGACAGCAGUGAAAGUCGAGGAGCAGCGGCCGGCAGCAGUGAAAGUCGAGGAGCAGCGGCCGGCAGCAGUGAAAGCCGAGGAGCAGCGGCCGGCAGUAGUGAAAGUCGAGGAGCAGGGGAGCGGUCGGCAGCAGUGAAAGUCGAGGAGCAGGGGAGCGGCGGCAGCAACUUAAGAAGUGGUGUGUUUGAUUCGGUUAGAUUUAGGGUUUCUUAUUUUCAUUUUAUACUUUGAAAAAUUAUACAGUGUAAUUGUUCGCAUUGUAAUUUAAUAAAACAACAAACUACAAGUCAACAUGUGGUCAAGUAAAAUUAUUAUUAUUAACAACGAAUUACAAGUUGACAUGUGGCAAAAUAAAAAAUAUUAUUCUCAAAACUAUUAUUAUUAUUAUUAUUAUUAUUAUUAUUAUUAUUAUUAUUAUUAUUAUUAUUAUUAUUAUUGUCCACAAAGUAAUUGUGUAAAAUUUAAUUAAAUAAAAAAAUUAAUCAAAUUGAAAAUUUAAAAACACAUGCAUCAAUGGUUUGCACUCUAAACUUACAAAUUUUAAGUUUAGAGAUCUUGAGUUCGAGUUCAAAUUAAAACAAAAUUAAUAUUAUUAUUUUUUUAUCACUGAUGCUUUAGUAUCAAUAAUCAUUGAAUUUUAAGCUACUGACACCUUAGUAUCAAUGAUUUAUGAUACAUACUUGUUAAAGGCGGAAAAUGGUCCAAACGUACACCAUUUCUGACACUUUUUACUAAGUGUCAGAAACAAAGUGUCAGUAAAUGUCAUUUUUGUAGUAGUGAUGAUAGCAAUAAGUGCUGACUUAGACACUUAGUGGACCGCUUCUACAAGUAAAUAAAAACUAAAUAUUUAUUUUGACUAUAACAACAACUACGCUGAUGAAUAGGAUUUCACAGCAGCCACGUGAGAACUAAUUUCUCCUUAAUAUUAUUAUUAGUAGAAGUAGAUUUUCAAACUAGUCUUGAUAUAUUUCAAAGUUGUAUUAUCAAUGUAUAUGUGUCUAGAUUGUAACUAUACUUUAAAAAAUAUAAAAUUUUUAAUUAUUGCACAAUAUAUGUAGAAAAAUAUCUAUAAAAUGAUAUUAUUAGGACUAAGAAUUUUUUAUUUUAUUUUAGAUAAGUUAUUUAUUUAUUAUCGAAUGAAUAAUUUAUUAAUUUAUUGAUAAAUGAAUAUUUAUUAAUUUAAAGAGAGAUUUUUUUGGUUUUAACAAGAGUUUGUUUGGUAAAUGUACACACUUAUAAAGAAACAUAAAAAGUGGUUCCUCAAGUCAAUAGUGUUUGCUUCAAUCGCAACGGUUCAUAAUAAUAUAGCUUAGUUAGGAAAUUUGUAAUUAUACUAUAACUUUGUUUGGUACAACUUUUCAAGUAAAACUUAUUUAAGUAGAGUUGUUAUUAGUAGAGCUUUUAUAAAUAAAGCUUUUACUAAAAAAAAUUUAAUUGUUUGGUUGUCAAUGUCCAAAUUGAUAAACUUUUGUUCUUUUGUUAAGAUAUGUUUGUUUUACUUAAUAAUAGCAUCGGCAAGAGUUUUCGAUUGUUGCAACUUGCAAUGCACGCGGUGAGAGAAAAUGAGAAUCUUGUUUAAUUGUCAAUAAUGACAAACCUAAUCCUUUCAUUAGGAGUAAUUUAAUAAUCGUUUGUUAUAACUGAAUAUGUAUAAAGAAAGGAAAAUUCUAUUCAUAGAUUUCGACUUAUUUUUUGUUUAAAGUAAUUAAUCAUUCAACCAUCUUCAUUUGCCUCUGGCCAAUGCCCUUGUAGAUUAGUUGAAGCGUUAAUUACUUAAUUAUGAUUAUAUACAUUUUCAUAUAGCAAGUGGCAUUGUAGAUCUAAACUAAGUUGCUAUUUCAAUACCAGCAAAUUCAAAAUAGAAAAGGAGUGCAACUAUUUAACUUUGUAGACAAUAUUGCAACCAUGGCAUAUUUAUAGCAAAUCCUUGAAAUCUGCUAAACAAAACAAUGCCCUGUCUCAUGAAUCGAUGCUCAAUUAAAAUUUAAAUUGAAAGUCCGGCUGGUGUUGUUUUCCUCUCCAGUUUUGCCUACAUAAGUAAAGGGAAAUAAGAAUCAUAAGUGAAAAUAUGCUUUGACAGGUCUUAUUUCUUUGUUUCUCUACUGCAGUUUUGCCUACUCAAGCUGAGUCUACGUUGAGACAUAAUUUCAGUAUUGAGGUAACAAUAAUUUCGGACUCCGUAAGAAGGUUUUGAAAAAGUGGAGUCACAUUUGUUGAAUCAGGCAACGUCAACGUGCCUUCUUCACCUGCUAACACCCUUUUCAACCUCUCACAAAAUAGUCGGAGGUGGACGUCCAGCAUAUCUCCUUCUCUCUGUAGCACCCAGAGGUAACAGGAUUAAUUAAAAAUUUUAGAAUUGUUGGGCGUGGAAAGAGUAGUAUUAAACAUCAGAAAGCAAGGUUGUUCUGCUAAAGAAUUGAUUUGUUGACAUAAUUUUUUUUUUUUUUUUUUGGUUUUCGAGGAAAAAGGCAUAUUUGUUGACAAGCAAGAAAAUGUUUUUGUAUUUUACAAUCUGUUAUACAUAUUUCAUCAUAUUAAAGUAAUUUUAAUAAUAAAUAGAAACAUAAUAUUAUGAUAAAUAAAUUAAAGUUUAAAUUAUUUUGAAUAUUAUAAAAAAAUAAUUCUAAUAUUGUUAAUAGGAACAUAUUUUGUUAAUUGUAAAAUCUUUUUAAUCCAAAGAUUUAUUUAAAAUCUUUAUAAUAAAUACAAAUAUAAAAUUAAAAUAAAUAUCAUAAUUUAAAAUUUUUAAUAUUAUUUUCAAUAUUAAAAUAUUUUAAUGUUAUUAGUCUACUAUGUAAGGUAUCAGAGCCAUACCCAUCCUUGAAUGGGUCAAUGCUGAAUUACACUUGAAAUGGAAAGCUUGCUGCAGUUACGAUAUUUCCCCCUCUGAUUUUUCUCCAAAACAAAUUCAGUUGUAAACAAUAACCGAAGUAGCAAUAAUUCAUUCAUCAAAGAAAAUACUCAAAUUUUCAACUAACAAAUCCUCUUAUCUAAACUAAUUAAAAAAAACUCAUAUCUCAAAAAUCUAUCUACAAAAUGUUGGAAAUAAAGGGUGAUCCGUCAACUCGAUAAAUAUACUCAUGCAUAAUGCUAACAAUAUGAUAAAUUACAUCAUAACUAUUAUAAAGAAUCAUAAAUUGGAAACACUAAUCAUUCUACAAUCUAUUAUAUAACUAAGAUAAAUCUUAUAAUAAGUUAAGUUAGAACAUAAUAAAUAUUUUCAAUAUAUAUAAUUAUUUAAGAAGUCUUUUAACAAUAAAUUUUUUUUCUUUUUCAGUUGAUCAUGUCAUAUAGCGUUAAUGGUGAUUAGUGACUGAUUACAAAGCAAAAUUGUUUAAAAUAGAUUUAAUGCACAAAUAUGAUGAAUUUUGGCAAAAAUUAGUUUCGGAAAUGUUGGGAUGAAAACCAUAUUAGUUGAGACUUAAAGUUACUUAAUAAAAUUAUAUCACUACCAUUCAAUGGAUGAAAACUAUUUUAGUUGAGACUUAAAUUUAGAUUUAAAUGUUGAGAUAUCUAGUAUUACUCAAUCAGAAUAAACAAGAACCAAUUCUGACUAUCAUGUAGAAGCAAAUAUUUAUGCUUGGAUUUUUUACUUCUUGAAUUUGAUUGGAAAAGUUUCUGAGACAGAGAAGUGUUUUGGAUAAUCUUUUUCGGGAUUGAAACCACAAAUUGGUCGAGGAAAUUAAUUUUGGACAAAUUUUUAUUGAGUUGUGCUAAACAUCAAGAAGGGCGAGAGAAUGCUGAGAGAAACGGCAGCUUUGUGCUGCUGUUUCGACUUCUCACUCUCUCGCCAUUCUAAUAAUUUUUUAUUAUUAAAAAUAAAAAAGCGGAGAAAAUGAUAGCAGACAACCCACAUCUACCAAAUCUCCAUCACUCCAUCACUCUCUUUCUCUCUCUCCCUCUCUUGAUUUUCAUCCUCUCUCUGGCUUCCUCACUCUCUACGGCUCCCCAUCAAGCUUCCUCAGUCUCUUCGGCCUCACUAUCUCUAGCCUCACUCUCUCCAGAUUCUUUCAUUUUCUCCUUUUUUUUAUAUUUUUAACAAUAAAAAAUUAGCAUUCUGCUGAGAAAGAGAGUGGUACACGACUCUUGAACAAUUUUUUUUCUGUCGUGAUCGUCUAUCAAACCACCUAAAAAUGAGCCAAGGGGGUUCUCAGCCCUAGCAGCUCACGUACUUUCAAGAUUUAGAGUAUGGUUCCAGUCCAAGCUAUUUAAUUAGUAUUGGGAUUCGAUUUAGUUGUUCUUCUAAUUUAAUAGGAUAAAGAAUUUAAUUGGAGAAAUGUCAUUAAUAUCAUAGGAGCAUAUAUAUUGUUUUGAUUUAAAUAUUGCUAUUUUUUUAUUGUUGAAAAAAAAAACACUAGAAAAUGGGAAGCCAAAAUCUUAGCCCUGUGUUUUUACUUUUACUUUUCUCUUAAACAUUUUAAAGAUGUAAAGGAAAAUGCUCAGAAUGGUGAGAGAGUGAUGGACGUGAUGGGCUAUCUUCUAUCCUUUUUUUAAUAAAUUUUUAAGAAUAAAAAAUUUAUUAAAACAGUAAGAGAGCGAAACCAAAACGGCAGCUUGUGCUGUCGUUUCUCUUAACAUUCUCUCGUCAUUCUUGAUGUUAAGCAUUUUCCAUUUUUAUUAUGUUGUAGCACCUUUUUGGUUCCUUUUGUGUCGGCAGCCCCUUACUAUUCUCUUAACCCUGAGUUUGAGAUAGAAAUUUCCCGAACUCCAACCCCACAUCCACAGACAAGUUGAUUCAAACAAUUGCUCUUUUAAUUAAGAGAAUGAGUUAGGUUUCAGUUCUUAUUGUUGUCUGUUAUUUCUCUGAAUCAUUAAUUUUGAGCAUUACUGAUCUUAGUUAUCUGUAUUUCUCCAAUUAUUGAAGAAUUUAUUAUUGAAUGAAUAAUUUAUUAAUUUAUUGAUAAAUGAAUAUUUAUUAAUUUAAAGAGAGAUUAUUUUGGUUUUAAGAAGAGUUUAUUUGGCACAUGUACACACUUAUAAAGAAACACAAAAAGUGCCUGCUCAAGUCAAUAGUUUUGGUACAUUUACACACUUAUAAAGAAACACAAAAAGUGCUUGCUCAAGUCAAUAGUAUUUGCUUUAAUCGCUAUAGUUCAUAAUAAUAUAGCUUAGUUAGGAAAUUUGUAAUUAUACUAUGGCUCCGAUUGGUACAACUUUUUAAGUAGAACUUAUUUAAUUAGAGUUUUUAUUAGUAGAGUUUUUAUAAAUAGAGAUUUUACUAAAAUAAAAUUUAGUUAUUUAGUUGUCAAUGUCCAAAUUGAUGAAAUAUUGUUCUUGUUAACAUAUGUUUGUUUUACUUAAAAAUAAAAGUUUAGUUUACAAUUACACCAGUAUAAAAUCAGCAGAGCAUUUUUGCUUAAAUAUUUAUUAAUUUAAAGAGAGCUUAUUUAAAUAGAGUUUUUGUUAGCAAAACUUUUAUAAAUAAAACUUUGCUUAAAAAAAUUUAAUUAUUUAAUUGUUAAUGUCCAAAUUGAUGAACUUUUGUUCUUUUGUUAACAUGUGUUUCUUUUACCUAAUAAUAAAAAUUAGUUUACAAUAACACUGGUGUCAAAUCAGCAGAGAUAUUUUCCAGCCAGUCACAUUAUACAUACGGGAGCCUCUAUGUUACAUUGAAUGUACCAUACACAACUAAUAAGAACCACAUAAAUUGUGGGACCCACAUAAUUGUGUGGUUCUUAUUGGUUGUGUAUGGUACAUUCAAUGUAACAUAGCAAAAUCCUAUACAUUAUACUAAUAGCAUCGGCAAGAGUUUUCGAUUGUUACAACUUGCAAUGCACGCGGUGAGAGAAAAUGAGAAUCUUGUUUAAUUGUCAAUAAUGACAAACCUAAUCCUUUCAUUAGUAGUAAUUUAAUAAUCGUUUAUUAUAAUUGAAUAUGUAUAAAGAAAGGAAAAUUCUAUUCAUAAAUUUCGACUUAUUUUUUGUUUAAAGUAAUUAAUCAUUCAACCAUCUUCAUUUGCCUCUGGCCAAUGCCCUUGUAGAUUAGUUGCAGCGUUAAUUACUUAAUUAUGAUUAUAUACAUUUUCAUAUAGCAAGUGGCAUUGUAGAUCUAAACUAAGUUGCUAUUUCAAUACCAGCAAAUUCAAAAUAGAAAAGGAGUGCAACUGUUCAACUUUGUAGACAAUAUUGCAAGUUGCAACCAUCCAAAGGUGAAGAUCUAUGCUUAUUAUCUAUUUAACAGCUAAUAUAUAUAUAUAUAUAUUUAUUUAAAUAUCAAGAGCUAUGCUUUUAAAUAAGUUCAAAUGGGAUGAGAACAGACUUAUAUUUAUUUAUUUAAAUAUGACCCAGGCUAAUUUCUCUGAAUUUGGACAGAGUAGAUUUCUAAGCUAAUGCUUGGCAUAUCUCUGGCGAUACUACAAAGUGCAUGUACAUUGACUCUUAAUAAAUAUAAACGAUUCUCUGAUAUGAUUCAAAACAUCACUACAUGCAUAAGUUAAUAAGAGACAAUAUUCUAAGAUUAUUUAUGCAUCACCAUUUAUAGUUGUACCCUCUCUAAUGAAAUUGAAGGUGCAGCCAGCAACUAAAAUGAAGCAGAAAUGUACACGCAUGAGGCAGUUUUUCUAGAAGAUUGAUAUUUCUUUAACUAGAAAACCAUACAAGUCCACAACUAGCCAAACUGUACCUGCAUGUGUCUAGGGCUUAAAUGGAGCACUUCUAAGCAUAAAACAGUAACUAAAACACAUACACAAACAUACAUACCAAAAAAUUCAGAAAAUAGAGAAAGGAAUACAACUAUUCUUGUUUGUAGACAAUAUUGCAACCAUGGCAUCAGUUAUAGCAAAUCCUUGAAAUCUACUAAACAAAAUAAUGUCCUGUCUCAUGAAUCAAUGUUGAAUUACAGCUGAAAUUGAAAGUCUGGCAUCAGUUAUAGGAAAUAUUGAAUUACAAUAUUUCCCUUGCCGAUUUUGUCUACACAAGUAAAAUGGAAAUAAGAAUCAUAGAUGAAAAUCAACUUUUACAGUUCUAAUUAUUAGAUAGAUACAGAAUGAUCUAUCUUUGUGAGUUUGUUUUUCUGCUGCAAUGUGCGAUCCCACUCUGUUUUGAUACUCAAAUUGAGUCUAUGUUGAGACAUAAUUUUGACAUUGCAAGCAAUCCCAAUUAGUUUGGCAUUUGUAUGACCCUUUGAAGGUUUUACAAUAGAUGCAAAUCUACUGAGAAAAUGGUAAAAAAGGUGCAUAUAAAAUGAGGCAAGUAACAGAAGUAUGAGUUAUCAGAUUAGAUUAAAAGUCACCCAAUUCAAUCUAUCAGAUUCCGUAAGGAUAUAACUGGAUGUCAUAUCGCCACUCCAUAUCCUCGAAAGUCCGUAGUCUUUGUCUCAACUCUGUCUGAGGCCAAUGUAAAUCCAAUUUGCACAAGCUCUUUAUGCACCAUAGCUCUUCUGGAAGCUUUCUCAAGUAAGCACAUGGGUUGACAAUUAAGCUUUCAAGUUUUGGCAUUGCUCUUGCCCCCAUCGUCCACUCGUCUAGCCAAUACAUCGACUUCAAGUGCAAAAUCUUAAGUUCCGGAAAGCCACCAGAGCCAACGCAGGCCAGCUUUCUUCCUAAAUAUGAGUUCUGCUUCAGUUUCAGCACUUGAAGGCGUGGAAGCUUUUCCAGCAUUGGCAUGGGAUCCUCCAUUAGCUCAGUAUUUGAUAAGCUCAGUUGGAUCAGGCUUGGAGGAAAUUGGUAUUCAGACAGGACCAUCCGUGAGAGCUUGCUCUCAUUCACCAACUUCAAGCAUUCAACUUUGUGGAGUUCGCAUACGCUUUUGGAAACCCCAGAGUGAUAGCAACUCAAAUCUCCAGACACUCUAAGAGUUUGAAGAUUAGGUAGUCUGCACAAUAUAUCUGGCGUGCAACUACUAGGGUGUAAGGCUGAUAUGAAAAUAAGAUUUUUCAGAGAGCUGGAAUAAUUUUUUGGAGGUGCAGGCAGAGUGAUGGAACCAAAGUUCAGAUGCAUGAGUUUUUGCAUCUUCCAAAUAUCCUCUGGUGUUUGAUCUACGUAGCUAGAUGGCAUGUCUAGUGUUUGAAGGUUUGAAAGGGUGCAUAGCAGUGAAGGAAGACAUUUGAGCGAAGGGAUAUUCAAUUUCAAAUACUUCAAAUGGAAUAAAUUUUCUAAUCCGGGUGGAUAUUGGUCCAGGACUGCAGAACCCAUGUUCAAUACCCGAAGGUGUUUGAACAUUUUACAAAAAUUCUCGCAAUCUAUCGGAUUAAGAUGAUCGCUUUCUGAACUGUGAUUCAGAAAAGAUUGGAGGUACAUGUCAGAAUGUUUCAAAGAAAAGAACUCAAUCAGAUCAUCGACAAUGAUGUACCGUUUGGCAUUUGCCAUUGAUUCCUCUUCCAAUCCAGGCGACCAAAAAAAUCCCGUCAAUGCUGCCGGCAAAAGUAACGCAACAUAUGCAAAAGUUGGAACAUAGCACGCCUUAAUUGUGCCUCCGGCUCUUCUCUUAUUCACUUGAAUGAAGCCACGAUCGAUUAGUUCAUUCAAGUAAUGCUCGGCAGUUUCCUCACUGUUGUGUGGUAUGAAACCUUCAGCUACCCACAACCAAUAUAAUUGCCUGGUAGAUAUCUCAAUGCCUGGAUGGAACAAACACAAAUAGAGGCAGCAGAUUUUCAAGUGAACAGGUAACUGCAACACAGAAUAAAUUGUACUCCAAGCUGUCAGAAACGCUUUUUCUCCCAUGUAAAUUCUUAAUGUCGUUUUUCCAUAGUGUAGGAUGAAAAAUUGCCAGGCUUCAUGCUUUAAUCUGAUCAAUGGUCCUCCAACGAGAACUGAAUCAGGAUGAAUCGUCUGUCCAUUUUCCAAUUCGAACGAGGAAAGGAAGUCUGGAUCAGUGACCGUCAUUAAUACUCUGCUUCCAUUCUGAUUCUCAGGAAGGACUUCUUCAAGAUCAUCCAAUACAUCGUCACUCUCUUCACAGUAAUCAUCAAGCACAAUAAAGUACUUCUUGUUUGUUAGGUAAUCUCGAAGAAUAGAUUUCUUCAAUUGAUAAUCUUCACCGAUAACUACACUAACCCGAGAUGGAGGCAUCACAGACUUGAUUAUGUCAUCCAAUAUCAUGCGAAAAUCGUAGGCUAUAGAAACCCUGACCCAAGCAUGACAGUCAAAAUAGAACUUGACAUGAUUAUUGUUGUAAGUAUCAGCAGCAAAAGCAGUCUUAUCAAAGCCACUGCUGUCGAGAAUUGCAACCACUGAAAGCUGAGGUUGUCCCUCGAUCAGUAAAUCAAACAACGCCUCUCUGCCGCUUUCAAAUUCACUCUUAUCAAGCUGAAAUUGUCCCUCAAUCAAUAAGUGAGUGAAUUCGUUCCUUCGCUCUUUGAAAUCAAAACCAUUGCCUCCAGGUGGAAGUUGUUGCAACCGAUUUCUAAUAUCAAUGAUUUUACUGUGGAUUCCGACAAGAAGAGCAAUGCAAGUAGUGCUCUCACUUUCACUGUUUUGCUGCUGCGUGAUGUUGAUGAAGAAUGUGUCAAUAGCUUUCUCAGAUUCACGGACAAAGUAAUUGAUGUCUUUCAGAAGUUCCCAAAUGUCUGUUCUUUUAACAUUUUCUAAGUGCAAGAGCUGCCGAUAACGCGAAGGCAUUUCGUCUUCAUCGAAUUGUUCUCUAAUGAGUUGAAUUAAAACUCGAGCCAUGUCAACUUCAUAUUUUCCCAGCAGAGUAGUAGCAAUAAUUUCGGACUCCGUAAGAAGGUUUUGAUAAAGUGGAGUUAAAUUUGUUGAAUCAGGCAACGUUAACGCGCCUUCUUCACCUGCUAACACCCUUUUCAACCUCUCACAAAAUAGUCGUAGGUGGACGUCCAGCAUAUCUCCUUCUGUCAGUAGCACCCAGAUGUAUUGUCAUUUGCUUCAAGAAAUGUUGAAAGGAUUGGUUCUAUCUCAAAGUGUUUAGUGGUGUAAAAUUAAUUAAUUAAACACCAUGGAAGAAUUUGCAAGGAAGAUGCCAAGAAACUGGCGAAGUGGCUAAAUUCCACAAUUAUGACAUUAUUGCUCAUUUUCAACUCAAAAAAAUGAUACGCGUUCAUUUAGAGAAAAGUCCAAGACGCGUUCCUUUCGGAAAGAACAAUUAUCCAAUAGAGAUCCAACCUUUAUCUUAUUCAAUUACUACCCUGACAUGAUUGAUGGUGCUUAAAUCAAUUGUUUCUUUUUUAAUUUAAAGAAUUUUUCAUUCAAAUUUUUUUUAAUAUUAAAUUGCCUUCAAUGGCAUUACUGCAGCAAGCCCAGUAACACGAUUAAUUAAAAAGUUUAGAAUUUUUGGGCCUGGAAAGAGUAGUAUUAAACAUCAGCAAGCUAAGGUUGAUAUGUUAAAGAGUUGAUAUUGACAUAAUUUUUAUUUUGGUUUUCGGGGAAAAAAAAUUGUUGACAAGCAAGAAAAUAUUUAUAUAUUUUACAAUUUAUUAUACAUAUUUUAUCAUAUUAAAAUAAUUUUAAUAAUUAAUGAAAAACAAAAUAUUGCAAUAAAUAAAUUAAUGUUUAAAUUAUUUUGAAUAUAAUAAAAAUAAUUUUAAUAUUAUUAAUAGGAAGACAUUUUGUUAAUUUUAAAAUCUUUUUAACCCAAAGGUUUAUUUAAAGUCUUUAUUAUAAAUUAAAUAUCAUAAUCUAAAAUUUUUAAUAUUAUUUUAAGUAUUAAAAAUAUUUUAAUGUUAUUAGUCUACUACAUAGAUCAUAUUACUUAUGUUAUAUUUGUAUUGAUUAAAAAUUUUUAAAAUCAAUUUUCUAGUUACUACAUUCACGAGGCAUUAUGGUUAAAGAAAAGAUCUUGAUGUUACUUUUAAAAAAUUUGAGGGCCUGCAUGAUAAUUUUUUCAAAAUUUAAGGAUGUAGGUGUCCUUCUCAAAUAAUUUAGGGUGAGGCUAUUUGAAUCCACCAAUCUACUCACUACACCCAUUUACUAAAUAAACCCGCACUUAAGUUUUGAAAUUUUAAAUUUUACUCAACAAACCGACCUAAAUGUCCAAUAUACCCUUAUUGAACCCAAUUAUUAUAAUAAUAUGUUUUUGCUAAUUAAACCCAUUUAAUUCAUUUAAAGUUAAUAAAUGAUUAUAUUUAUUAAAUUGAAAACUAAAAGAUUAUACAAAACAUAAACAAUACUCUCAAUUAUAUAUUUUGGAGCAAAAAUUCCAAAGUGUAGUAAGCAAAGCCAAUGCAAAAUGGCUGGAGCAGCUAAUAAUGGUAAAAGUCAGAGCCUAGUAAUGUGGUACCGCUACUUGACUUUGGGAAAGAAGUGAUAAUUAUAUCAAUUUCUUCAACUUGGAAGUUGGAAGUGCUGUUGAAAGCGGUUGAUGCCAGAAAAAUAAUUAGAUAUCUGUCAAAAAAAAACUUUGGUAUUUUUAGAAAUAAAAUCCUAUAUCCAGUAUUUCAAUAUGAAAAGUCUCUAGUAUUUCUUUCAAUUGAUUCUUCCUUUGUCUUCUUCGACUCCAUGAAGGUUUAAUUAUGAUGAGAAAGCCAAGGGGAAUCAAUAAAGAAUAUCAAUUUAGGGUUUAAGAAAAAUAUCAUAAAGUUGAAUGUAAAAUGGAUUCAAAGAGUAAAUUUUAUUUUUAAAACUAUAUUUUAAUGUCUAAAAUUGUAAUUUAAUUUAGGGAUAUUUUAAUAAUUACAAUUUAUUUUUAAAAGUGAGUUUAUUAAGUAGUUUGAUGGGUUCAAAUAGUCCCAUCCAAUAAUUUAUUUCACUGUUAAGGGAAUCCAAUGAGAAAAAUAAUAAGAUAUCGUCAAUGACUUGUCAUUUUCUAUUUUUUCUAUGAGCUAAUUAUUUUGAGCAUUAGUGAUCUUGUCAGGACUACUCCAAUUAUUGAUGCAACUCCAGCGGCUGCAUCCACAGUGGCUACUCCAAUUAUUCAUGCCUUUUAAAAAGAAUAUGUAUACAAUAGCAAUCCAUACUUUAUCUUACAUUGAUUUUUUUCAAUUAAUGGUGAUUGCAUUGAUUUUUUUCAAUUAAAGAAAAAUUGUUUAAAAUAGAUUUAAUGCACAAAUACGAUGACUUUUGGCAAAAAUUAGUUUCGGAAAUGUUGGGAUGAAAACCAUAUUAGUUGAGACUUAAAUUAAGAUUUAAAUGUUGAGAUAGUAUUGCUCAGUCAGAAUAAACAAUAACCAAUUCAAAUUAUGACUAUCACGUAAAAACAAAUGUUUAUGCUUGGGUUUUUUACUUCUUGAAUUUGAUUGGAAAAAUUUCUGAGACAGAGAAGUGUUUUGGAUAAUUGUUUUGGGGAUUGAAACCACAAAUUGGUCGAGGAAAUUAAUUUUGGACAAAUUUUUAUUAUAUUGUAGCACCUUUUUGGUUCCUUUUCGGCGGCCCCAUACUAUUCUCUUAACCCUGAGUUUUUUUUUUUUUUUUUUUUUGAAAAGUCUUAACCCUGAGUUUGAGAUAGAAAUUUCCCGAACUCCAACCUCACAUCCAGGGACAAGUUGAUUGAAACAAUUGCUCUUUCAAUUAAGAGGAUGAGUUAGGUUUCAGUUCUUAUCAUUGUCUGUUAUUUCUUUGAAUCAUUAAUUUUGAGCAUUACUGAUCUUAGUUAUCUGUAUUUCUCCAAUUAUUGAAGAAUUUCAUGUGGCCACUUUUUCUCCUUUUCAUAUAUGUUUCGUUUUUGGACUGAUCAAACGGUGCAAAACCAAGUAUUUGCUGGUCCUUAGUUUAGCCAAUGAUGGCUGAUCCACAGUUGAAUAUAUGAUACUAUUAGCUCUUAUUUGAGAAUGUAAAGGGAUCUUUCUUAUUUGAGAAUACAAGUUGCCCAAUAGAGUUGAACUAUGUUACCCAACUCCAUGCUCAUACAUUAAAUGUUUAGGUAGUUUUACAAAAUGAUAGCAGCAUGCCAAAACUUGUUGUUGUCAUUUUCGACAUUUCAAAUUGAAAAAUAUGCAAGCAAUCUUCAGUGAACAUUACGUUUUUAUUGAAUAAUUUAAAUGGCCAGCAAAUCAACAGUCCGUGAGUUUUAAAUCUAUUAUGACUUAAUGUAUCUUUCUGUAUUCGUACACAGGUUAUAUUAUCAUAGUUUAAAAUUUUAAUAUUAUUUUAAAUGUUAAAAAUACUUUAAUGCUAUUAGUCUACUACACAGGUUAUAUUAUUUAUAUUAUAUUUGUAUUAAUUAAAACUUUUAAUGUCAAUUUUCUAAUUACUAUAUUGAAAAGGUAUUAUGGUUAAGAAAAAGUUUUGGCAUUUCUUCUUGAAAAUUUGAGGGUCUGCAUGACAAUUUUUCCAAAUUCUAAGGGUAUAGGUUUGAAAAUUUAAUGUUCUUUAACUUAAUGAAACAAAAGGGGGAAACCAAGAACUAUUCAAUUUUGUAUUUUUUGUUUGUAAUUCAAAAAAUGCAUCCACCAAACAAGUUUUACGCAUUAAUGCUGUCAUAAAACAAAAAACAGUUUGCCAAAAAAUGGUACCAAACAUAUCCUUAAUGUCUCACAUGAUUUCUUAGUAAGCCCAUAUUAGAUAUAUUUAUACAUUUUAGGUAUUUUAAUUAUAAAAGAAGUUGGUCCUCCCUCUGUUUAUAAAAGAUAACGUUAUUUCGAGAUUACCACUAAACUCUUACAUAGAAUUAGUGUAAUGUUAAGAGAGAGUAACACAAUUUUCCGUUACCAUCUUUGAAAAUAGAAAGAUAUGGAUGCGUGCAUUUAAGGGUUAUCGUGAAAAUCAUACAAUUCAAUUUCCUGACAUAUAUAUUCGUGCACAUAUGCCAAAAGAAUAAAUAGACAGAAAGUAAAUUUACAGUCCUCACUUCCUCACAAUUGUUAACGUGGAGACAUUAAGGAUGAGCAUAAAAGUUAAAGAUGACUCAUUUCUCAUUUUCUUUUUAAAGUGCUCUGCUGAAAGCCAAACUUCCUUUGGCUAAUUAAUUUAGAAGUAAAGCAGAGAAUAAAGUCCUAGAUGCCUUCUGAAAUUAGAAAUACAUUUUAUAUGCUUUAAUUAUGAUUAUUUGGUAGACUAAAGACCUAAAAGAUAUGUCCAAAGUAUAAAACAGAACGAUUAAAGGAAAAAGAAAAAAAACAGAGUAUUUGUGACGUAGAAUAACAAUUGGUAACUAAAAUCCUAAAUAUUUGAGUUGUUAAAAGCAAAUAUAACAGAGAAGGUAAGAGAGAUGCAGAAACAGAAAACUAUUAGCUUAUCUUGAUUUCCCACUAUAUUCAUUUUCGAUGCUUUUCAAACGAGAUUCUUUUAAUCCUUCUGGCGUCCGCAGCCCUUGCUCUUCUUACAAAUCUCCAGUCCACAUCUGCACUACGAACAAGUUGAUUGAAAUUAAAUAAUGUUGGAGAUGAGGGGUGAGCCGUCAACUUGGUAAAAAAAUUCAUGUAUAAUAUUAUCAAUAAUAUAAAAUAUAUAAUAAUUAUUACAAAGAAUCAUAAAUUAAAAAAUUAAUUAUUUUACAAUCUAUUUCUUAAGUAAGAUAAAUCUCGUAAUAAGUUAAGUUAUAACGUAAAAAAUAUUUUCAAUUUAUAAUCAUUUAAGAAGUCAUUUAACAAUAUAUUUUUUUUAUCAGCAGGCCAUGCCACAAAGUAUCAUCUAUAUUCGUGGUGAUAUUAUUAUUACUCCGUAUUCUCAAAAAACAUGAUUUAACAUUUAGAGAAAAUUCCUGCCUUUUAAAAAGAACAUGUAUGCAACAACUACCAAUACUUUAUCUUACCACAACAAAACCAAUGGUGACUAAAUCAAUUUUCUUGAUUAAAGCUAAAUUUCUUAAAAUUGAUUUAAUGCACAAAUAUGAUGACUUUUUGCAAAAAUUAGUUUUGGAAAAUAUAGUGAGAGAAAAUAGUGACGAUUAUUGUUUAGAUGUGUAAAUAGUCUAAACAUAAUCGCUAAUACCAAUAUCCAAGUGCAUCUUAACACCUUUCGUGAUAUUCUUUCAUUCAUGGUCACUGGUUCAAUAUUUGAAUUUAAUCAGUAAAUCAUGUUCAAUAAUAUUAGAGAUCCCAACAAUUGAGUACCAAUUUAAAUCCUAAUGCUAUAUGUCAUUGACCAAUAUUGUGUCAUUUUUUGUUAACUGGGUGAUGAAUUUCUAGUUGAUAAAAUUACUUUAAAAUAUCUUAAAAAUUAGACAAUAGUUUGCUUAAUUUUUUUAAGCUAACCGCUCAAGAUGCUCUAUUAGAAAUGAUAACCUAAUUAUAUACAUAAAAAAUGAUGUAUUUUUUGCAAUGUUGAUAGUGAGAUUAUCAUUCAACAUGUUAAAAUAUGAAAACAUAUGGAAGAUGGUUGUAAAUUGAUUGAAUGAAAAUAUUUCAGUGAAGUCUCAAAAAUUUGGUACUUGUUAUCUUAUCGAAAGUUUUCUAAAUUAUAUUCGUGGCACUGCCACUGCUUCUAUGUGAAGGUCAUUAAAAUUUGUGUUAGUUACCUAUAGGUUGAAUAACAAUUUUAUUCAUCAAUUGUUGCUCAAUAUAGCAAUUUGAUUGAAAGUGCCGCUGCACUAAUUUUCUAGAUGAACUUUCCUAAAUGUUUGUCCUCAUAUGACCUAGAAUGCUGCGAUAUCAAUUGUAUUGGAAAUUAUUCAAGUGGGUUAGUGCUCUACAUCCCCACCAAAAUUUAAGCAAUCAACAAAACAUUCCUUGUGGAAAUAAACUUAUUUCGCUACUAGACUUCUAAUGAGGCCCAUUUUCCAGAAUCUGGAUACGAGUUAGAUGUCUCCCAAAAUAUUGGUGGGAGUAGACUAUACUAGCACUCGACAACAUACUAACGACGCUAUGGUCCACCAGAAAGACCGGUCUCCGGUCAGCCGAAAAAUCUCACGUUCAGUCUCUUCUCAAUCUCCCUUCUCCCAGCCAAGUCGAUCCCGUAACAUGAUACUAAUCCACAGUUGAAUACAUGAUACUAUUAGCUCUUAUUUGAGAAUAUAAAGGGAUCUUUCUUAUUUGAGAACAUAAAUUGCCCAAUAAAGUUGAACUACGUUACCCCGCUCCAUGCACAUACAUUAAAUGUUAACAGCAUGCCAAAACUUGAUGUUGUCAUAUUCGACAUUUCAAAUUAAUAUGCAAGCAAUCUUCGGUGAACAUUACGUUUUUAUUGAAUAAUUUAAAUGGCUAGUAAAUCUAGAGUUCUUGAGCUUUAAUCUAAAUCAAAUCUAUUAUGACUCAAUGUAUUUUUUUGUGUUCGUACCAGUAAUGCAGGGGAUUAUUUACGCAACUCUUAUUAUUGACUGAGAUGUUCACCUUCAUCCAAUUAGAGAAAGAGUGACUGUAGAGGUGGCAAAAAUACCCGCCCGGUCCGGACCCGGACCGUACCCAUUACCUGGUCCGGGUAUGAAGCCGGGUCGGUCUUGGGCAUCACUUGAUAAACCUGGAACCCGGAUUUUAUUAAAAAAAUUAUAAAAUAUAUAUUAUUUUAAAUAUUUUAUAUUUAUUUGACUCAUUUAUUAUACAUAUAUAAAGUUUUAAACACUUAAAGUUUAUAUUUUCAUGUCAAAUUUUAUUGAAAUAAAUUUAAAACUUAUAAAAUUACUAAAAAAUAAAAAAUAUAUACACAUAAAAUAUUAAAAAAUAUAAAAUUCGGAUACCCGGAUUAAAACCCGGCCCGAACCCGGACCCAGACCGGUUGCAUCCGGGUAGGGUCCAGUCAUGGCAAUACUCGGACCUGGUCCGGGGUUUUGCCAUCUCUAAGUGACUGGGUUCCUAUAAAGGGACUCUUAACCAUUACGAGAGUAUUCAGACUACAAAUCUUUGUAAUUAAAUUCAAAGGUGAAGAUCUAUGCCUAUUAUCUAUUUAACAACUAAUAUAUAGUUAUCUAUUCAUUUAAAUAUCAAGGGCUAUGCUAAUAAUUAAGUUGAAAUGUUGAUGAAAGUAGCCUUACAUCUGUGUAUUACUCAUCUACUCUAAUCUUUUUUUUUUUUAACUUAAUGUACUUUUUCUAAUGUUGUUUACUCUUCCCCCCCCCCCCCCCCCCCCCCCCCCCCCCCCCCCCCCCCCCCCCCCACCUCUCUGACAAAAUAAUAAGAGUUUAGACUUGAAAAUAUCUUAAAGAUCAAACAGUAAUUUACCUAAUUUUUUGAAGCUAACUGCCAAAGAUAUUCUAUUAGACAUUGAUAACGUAGUUAUAUACAUUUAAAAUGAUAUUUUUUUGUGGAAAGGGAUUAUCAUUCAACAUCUUAAAAUAUGAAAACAUAUGGAAGAUGAUUGUAAAUUGAUUGAAUGAAAAUAUUUCAAUGAAGAUGGUUGUAAAUUGUUAUCUUAUUGAAAGUUUUCUAAAUUUACUACUAUUUGAACUUAGCCCUCCUGGUACCGCCACCAUUUCUGCUUGAAAGUCAUUUAAGUUUGUGUUAGCUGCCUAAAGCUUUUUUUUUUUUUUUUUUCUUUUUCUUUUUGAAAAGAGCUGCCUAUAGCUUGAAUAACUAUUUUGCUCACGAAUUGUUGUCCAUUAUAGCAAUUUAUUUAAUUGAAAGUGCGGCUGCAAUAAUUUUCUUGAUGAACUAUUCCACAUGUUUGUUCUCAUGUGAGGCAGUUUUUCUAGAAGAUUGAUAUUUCUUUAAGUCUUUAACUAGCAAAGCAUACCAGUCCAAAGCUAGCCAAACCAUACCUGCUGGUCCAGGGCUUAAAUGGAGUACUUCUAAGCAUAAAACAGUAACAAAAACACAAUAUAUGCAUACAUACAUACACACAUACAUACAUACCAGCAAAUUCAAAAUAGAAAAAAGAGUGCAACUAUUCAAGAAAUUGGUUAUUGUAGACAAACACACAUACAAACACAUACCAGAAAAUUCAAAAAAUAGAGAAAGGAGGCCAACUAUUCAAGUUUGUAGACAAUAUUGCAAUCAUGGCAUUACUUAUAGCAAGUCCUUGAAAUCUACUAAACAAAACAAUGCUCUGUCUCAUGAAUCAAUGUUGAAUUACAGACGAAAAUGAAAGUCUAGCAGGUGUUGUUUCCCUCUUCGAUUUUGCCUACACAAGUAAAGGGAAAUAAGAAUCAUAAAUGAAAAUCAGCUUUUACAGUUGUAAUUAUUAGAUAGAUCUAGAACGAUCUUUCUUUGUUUCUCUGCUGCAAUGUGCUAUCCCACUCUGUUUUGCUACUAAAAUUGAGUCUAUGUUGAGACAUAAUUUCGACACUAGGAGCAACCGCAAUUAGUUUGGCAUUGCAUUACCCCUUGAAGGUUUUACAAUAGUUGUAAACUUACCGAGAAAGUGGAAAAAAAAGGGCAUAGGGAAUUAGGCAAGUAACUAAAGUAUGAGUCAUCAGAUAUGAUUAAAACUCACCCAAUUCAAUCCAUCAGAUUCCGUAAGGAUAUAACUGGAUGUCAUAACGCCACUCCAUAUCCUCGAAAGUCCGUAGCCUUUGCCUCAACUCUGUCUGGGGCCAGUGUAAGUCCAAUUUGCGCAAGCUCUUUAUGCACCAUAGCUCUUCUGGAAGCUUCCUCAAGUAAGCACAUGGGUUGACAAUUAAGCUUUCAAGUUUUGGCAUUGCUCCUGCCCCCAUCGUCCACUCAUCUAGCCAAUACAUUGACUUCAGGUGCAAAAUCUUAAGUUCCGGAAAGCCACCAGAGUCAUCACAGGCCAACUUUCUUCCUAAAUACGAGUUCUUCUUCAGUUUCAGCACUUGAAGGCGUGGAAGCUUUUCCAGCAUUGGCAUGGGAUCCUCCAUUAGCUCAGUAUUUGAUAAGCUCAGAUGGCUCAGACUUAAAGGAAAUUCGUAUUCAGACAGGGCAAUCCGUGAGAGCUUGCUCUCAUUCACUAGUUCCAAGCAUUCAAUUUUGUGGAGUUCGCAUACGCUUUUGGAAACCCCAGAGUGAUAGCAACUCAAAUCUCCAGAUAUCUGAAGAGUUUGAACAUUAGGUAGUCUGCACAAUAUAUCUGGCGUGCAACUACUAGGGUGUAAGGAUGAUAUGAAAAUAAGAUUUUUCAGAGAGCUGGAAUAAUUUUUUGGAGGUGCAGGCAGAGUGAUGGAACCAAAGUUCAGAUGCAUGAGUUUUUGCAUCUUCCAAAUAUCCUCUGGUGUUUGAUCUACGUAGCUAGAUGGCAUGUCUAGUGUUUGAAGGUUUGAAAGGGUGCAUAGCUGUGAAGGAAGACAUUUGAGCGAAGGGAUAUUCAAUUUCAAAUACUUCAAAUGGAAUAAAUUAUCUAAUCCGGGUGGAUAUUGGUCCAGGACUGCAGAACCCAUGUUCAAUACCCGAAGGUGUUUGAACAUUUUACAAAAAUUCUCGCAAUCUAUCGGAUUAAGAUGAUCGCUUUCUGAACUGUAAUUCAGAAAAGAUUGAUUAGUUCUUUCAAGUAAUGUUCGGCCGUCCCCUCACUGUUGUAUGGUAUGAAACCUUCAGCUACCCACAACUGAUAUAAUUGCCUCGUGGAUAUCUCAAUACUUGGAGGGAAGACAAACAAAUAGAUGCAGCAGACUUUCAAGUGAAAAGGUAACUCCAUCACAGAAUAAAUUUGUCUCCAAGCUGUCGGAAUCGCUUCGCCUUGAAAAUAAUUUUCUAAUGGCAUACGUCCGUAGUGUAGGACGAAAAAUUGCAAGCCUUCAUACUUUAUUCUAAUCAGUGGUCCUCCAACGAGCACUGAAUCAAGCCGAAUCUCCUCUGCGUUUUCCAUUUCCAACGAUGUAAGGAGUCUUGGAUCAGCGACCAAUAUCAAUACUCUGCUUCCAUUCUGAUUAUCAGGAAGAACUUCUUCAAGAUCAUCCCAUAUCUCACUCUCAUCGAAGAAGCACAAUAAAGUACUUAUUGUUUGUUAGGUAAUCUCGAAGACUAGAUUUCUUCAAUUGAUAACUUCACCGAGGCAUCACAGACUUGAUUAUGUCAUCCAAUAUCUUGCCAAAAUCGUAGGCUAUAGAAACCCUGACCCAAGCAAGACAGUCAAAAUAGAACUUGACAUGAUUAUUGUUAAAAGUAUCUGCAGCAAAAGCAGUCUUAUCGAAGCCACUGCUGUCGAAAAUUGCAACCACUGAUAUCGAUAGAUCAAACAACUUCUCUCUGCCCUUUUCAAAUUCACUGAUAUCGAGCCGAGGUUGUCCCUCAUUCAAUAGGCGAAUGAUUUUGUUACUUUGUUCACUGAUAUCAAAACCAUUGUCGCCGGGUGGAAGUUGUUGCAUCUGAUUUCUAAUAUCAAAGUGAAAAAUUGCUGCUUUCACUUUCGUUUUCACUGUUUUGCUGCUGCAUGAUGUUGAUAUUGACAUAAUUUUAUUUUAGUUUUUGGGGAUAAAAAUAUUUGUUGACAAAUAUUUUUAUAUUUUACAAUUUAUUAUACAUAUUUUAUCAUUUUAAAGUAAUUUUAAUAAUAAAUAGAAACAUAAUAUUACGAUAAAUAAAUUAAAGUUUAAAUUAUUUUAAAUAUUAUAAAAAUAAUUCUAAUAUUAUUAAUAGGAAGACAUUUUGUUAAUUUUAAAAUUUUUUAACCCAAAGGUUUAUUUAAAAUUUUUAUUAUAAAUAAAAAUAUAAAAUUAAAUAUCAUAAAGUGUAUGCACGUUGACUCUCAAUAUAUACAAACGACUCUCUGGUAUGAUUCAAAGCACCAGUAUAUGCAUCAUUUUAAUGAGAAAGGAUAUUCUAAGAUUAUUUAUGCAUCACCAUUUUUAGUUGUACCGGCUCUAAUGAAAUUGAAGGUGCAAUCAGCAGCUAAAAUGAAGCCAGAAAUUGAAGGUGCAUGAGGAAAUUUUCCUAGAAGAUUGAUAUUUCUUCGACUAGCAAACCAUACAAGUCAAAGCUAGCCAAACCAUAUCUGCAAGUCCGGGGCUUAAAUGGAGUACUUCUACGCAAAAAACAUUAAUCAAAACACAAUAUGAGCACACCCCCGUCAACCCACCCCCCCCCAACACACAUACCGGCAAAUUCAAAAUAGAAAAAGGAGUGCAACUAUUCAAGUUUGUAGACAAUAUUGCAACCAUGGGAUAUUAAAGAAUAUCUUUGAAAUCCGCUAAACAAAACAAUGCCCUGUCUCAUGAUUCGAUGCUCAAUUAGAAUUGAAAUUGAAAGUCCGGCUGUUGCUGUUUCUCUCUCCAGUUUUGCCUACAUAAGUAAAGGGAAAUAAGAAUCAUAAAUUAAAAUCUGCUUUUACAAUUCUUAUUAGAUAGAUAUAAAGGGAUCUUUCGUUGUUUCUCUGCUGCAAUGUGUUGCUAUCCCACUCUGAGAAAGAUCUUUCGUUGUUUCUCUAUGUUGAGACAUAAUUUUGACAUCAGAAGGUUUUAUGACCUCCUUGAAGGUUUUACGAUAAACAUAAAUCUACUGAGAAAGUGGGAAAAAACGAAAAUGCAUAUAAAAGUAUGAGUUAUCAGAUAUGAUUAAAACUCACCUAACAUCAGAUUCCAUAAGGAUAUAACUGGAUGUCAUACCGCCACUCCAUAUCCUUGAAAGUCCGUAGUCUUUGUCUCAACUCUGUCUGAGGCCAAUGUAAAUCUAAUUUGCGCAAGCUCUUUAUGCACCAUAGCUCUUCUGGAAGCUUUCUCAAGUAAGCACAUGGAUUGACAAUUAAGCUUUCAAGUUUGGGCAUUGCUCCAGCCCCCAUCGUCCACUCAUCUAGCCAAUACAUUGACUUCAGGUGCAAAACCUUAAGUUCCGGAAAGCCACCAGAGCCAACACAGGCCAUCUUUCUUCCUAAAUUCGAGUUCUGCUUCAGUUUCAGCACUUGAAGGUGUGGAAGCUUUUCCAGCGUUGGCAUGGGAUCCUCCAUUAGCUCAGUAUUCGAUAAGCUCAGAUGGGUCAGACUUGGGGGAAAUUGGUAUUCAGACAGGAACAUCCGUGAGCGCUUGCUUUCAUUCACCAGCUUCAAGCAUUCAAGUUUGUGCAGUUCGCAUAGGCUUUUGGAAAUCCCAGAUUGAUAAUAACUCAAAUCUCCGGAUAUUCUAAGAGUUUGAAUAUUUGGUAGUCUGCCCAAUAUAGCUGGAGUGCAACUACUAGGGUGUAAGGCUGAUAUGAAAAUGAGAUUCUUCAAAGAGCUGGAAUAAUUUUUUGGAGGUGCAGGGAGAGUGAUGCAACUGAAGUUUAGAUGCAUGAGUUUUUGCAUCAUCCAAAUAUUCUCUGGUGAAUGAUCUAUGUAGCUAGAUGGCAUUUCUAGUGUUUGAAGGUUUAAAAGGGUGUAUAGCAGCGAAGGAAGGCAUUUGAGCAAGGGGAUAUUCAAUUUCAAAUACUUCAAAAGGAAUAAAUUUUCUAAUCCGGGUGGAAAUUGGUCGAGAACUGCAGAACCCAAAUUCAAUACCCGAAGGUGUUUGAAAUUUUUACAAAAAUUCUCACAAUCUAUCAGAGCGAGACGAUCGCUUUCUGAACUGUGAUUCAGAAAAGAUUGGAGAUACAUGUCAGAAUAUUCUAAAGGAAAGAAGUGAAUCAGACCUUUCAAAAUGAAGCACCGUUUAACAUUUGCCAGUGAUUCCUCUUCCAUUUCAGGCAUCCAGACAAAUCCCGUCUUCUCUGCCACCAAACCCAAUGAAGUACAUACAAAACUUGGAACAUAACGCGCUUUAAUUGUGCCUCCGGCUCUUCUCUUACUCACUUGAAUGAAGCCGCGAUGGAUUAGUUCUUUCAAGUAGUGUUCGGCAGUUUCUUCACCGUUGUAUGGUAUGAAACCUUCAGCUACCCACAACUGAUAUAAUUGCAUCGUGGAUAUCUCAAUGCCUGGAGGGAAGACCAACAAAUAGAUGCAGCAGACUUUCAAGUGAAAAGGUAACUCCAUCACAGAAAAAAAUUGUCUCCAAACUGUCGGAAUCGCUUCGCCUUGAAGAUAAUUUUCUAAUGGCAUACUUCCGUAGUGUAGGAUGAAAAAUUGCCAGGCUUCAUGCUUUAAUCUGAUCAAUGGUCCUCCAAAGAGCACUGAAUCACGCCGAAUCUUCUCUCCAUUUUCCAUUUCCAACGACGCAAGGAGGUCUGGAUCAGUGACUGUUAUCAAUACUCUGCUUCCAUUCUCAUCAUCAGGAAGAAGUUCUUCGAGAUCACUCCAUAUCUCACUGUUAUCGAAGACAUCAUCAAGCACAAUAAAGUACUUCUUGUUUGUUAGGUAAUCUCGAAGAAUAGAUUUCUUCAAUUGAUAAUCUUCACCGAUAAUUACACUAACCCGAGAUUGAUGUCCUCCAGAAUUCCAAAAAUAUCUGCUGUUUCAACGUCUUCUUCAUCGCUUUCUUCUAAGUCCAACAGUUCCAAAAAAGGCAAAGAUAUUUUGGAGUCAUCGAAUUCUUCUCUAAUGAGUUGAAACAAAUGCCGAGCCAUGUCAGCUUCAUAGUUUCCCAGAAGAGUAGUAGCAAUAAUUUCGGACUCCGUAAGAAGGUUUUGAAAAAGUGGGGUUAAAUUUGUUGAAUCUGGCAGUGGCAACGUGCCUUCUACACCUGCUAACACCCUUUUCAACCUCUCACAAAACAGUCGGAGGUGGAAUUCCAGCAUAUCUCCUUCUCUCCGUAGCACUCAGAGGUAUAGUUGAAAGAUUAAACACCAUGGAAUAAUUUGAAAGGAAAAUGCCAAGAAACUGUGUAAGUGGCUAAAUUCCACAAAUAUUACAUUAUUGCUCAUUUUUUAACUCAAAAAAAUGGUACGCGUUCAUUUAGAGAAGAGUCCAAGCCCAGUAACAGGAAUAUUUUAUUUACUGGUGCUUAAAUCAAUUGUUUCUUUUUUAAUUUAAAGAUUUUUUCAUUAAAAAAUAUUUUAAUAUCAAAAUGCCUUCAAUGGCAUUACUGCCGCAAGCCCAGUAACAGGAUUAAUUAAAAAGUUCAGAAUUUUUGGGCAUGGAAACUGGAAAGAGUAUUAAACAUCAGAAAGCUAAGGUUUGUUCUGUUAAAGAAUUGAUAUUGACAUAAUAUUUUUUUUUUUGAGGAAAAAAAACAUAUUGGUUGACAAGCAAGGAAAUGUUUUUGUAUUUUACAAUCUGUUAUUAAAUAUUUUAUCAUAUUAAAGUAAUUUUAAUAACAAAUAGAAACAUAAUAUUACAAUAAAUAAAUUAAAGUUUAAAUUAUUUUGAAUAUUAUAAAAAAUAAUGUUAAUAUUAUUAAUAGGAAGACAUUUUGUUAAUUUUAAAAUCUUUUUAAUCCUAAGGUUUAUUUAAAAUCUCUAUAAUAAAUCCAAAUAUAAGAUUAAAAUAAAAAUCAUAAUUUGAAAAUUUUAAUAUUAUUUUAAAUGUUAAAUAUACUUUAAUGUUAUUAGCCUACUACGUAGAUUUUAUUAUUUAUAUUAUAUUCGUAUUGAUUAAAAUUUUUUAAAGUCAAUUUUUUAGUUAGUACAUUCAAGAGGUAUCAUAGUUAAAGAAAAGAUUUUGGUGCAACUGUUUUAAAAUUUCAGAGUGUAAAUGAUAAUUUUUUUUAAGUUUUAAGGAAGUAGGUAUUAUUUUUCCGACAAUUUAUUUUAUUUUGAGGGAAAUCCGAUGAGAAAUAUCAUCAGAGAACAUUAAUUUAACAUUCUUUAUCUUUGUGAAAAAAGUGGAAACCAAGAACUAUUCAAAAUUUUUUUUUUUUUGUAAUUCAAAAAAUGCAUUCACCAAACAAGCUUAUCUUAAUUUUCCCACUUUAUUCAUUUUCGAUGCUUUUCAAAAGAGGUUCCUUUAAUCCAUCUCCAUCCCACAUCUACACUAUCAAACAAGUUGAUGGAAAUUGGAACACAUUAAGUUAUGUUCAUUACUGGUCUUUGUCUUUCUAUGAGCCACUUAUUUUGAGCAUUAGCGAUCUUAUAAGGAAUCAUGCCUUUUCAGGAUCGUUUUCUUUCAUUUCCUUAUUGUAGUAGUUAAUUAAAUAAAGAACGAACAGCUGAACUUGGUCUUUUUGGAGGAAGAACAAGGUUUCCAAUACUAGAGGAACUUUGAAGAAAAUUAAUUGGAAGCCUUUAUUCAUCUUUGAAGAAAAUUACCACACUUUAAAUCCUGGAUAAAAAAAAUUUUAUUCAUCUUCGGACUAUGAAUUUAUAAAAUAAUAUUGUUAGGACUAAGAAAAAAUAUUAUUUUAGAUAAGUUAUUUAUUUAUUAUUGAAUGAAAAAUUUAUCAUGAUAAAUAAAUAUUUAUUAAUUUAAAGAGAGAUUUUUUUUUGGUUUUAAGAAGAGUUUUUUUGGUACAUGCACACAUUAAUAAAGAAACACAAAAAGUGCUUCCUCAAGUCAAUAGUAUUUGCUUUAAUCGCUAAGGUGCAUAAUAAUGUAGCUUAGUUAGGAAAUUUGUAAUUAUAUUAUGGCUCUAUUUGGUAUAACUUUUUAAUUAGAACUUAUUUAAGGAGAAUUUUUAUUAGUAGAGUUUUUAUAAAUAGAGAUUUUACUAAAAAAAAAUUAUAGUUAUUUAGUUGUCAAUGACCAAAUUGAUUAACUAUUGUUCUUUUUGUUAACAUGUGUUUGUUUUACUUAAUAAUAAAAGUUUAUUUUACAAUUACACCGGUGUCAAAUCAGCAGAGCACCGGCAAGAGUUUUCGAUUGUUGCAAUUUGCAAUGCACACGGUGAGGGAAAAUGAGAAUCUUGUUUAAUUGUGAAUAAUGACAAACCUAAUCCUUUCAUUAGGAGUAAAUUAAUAAUCGUUUGUUAUAAUUGAAUAUGUAUAAAGAAAGGAAAAUUAUAUUCAUAGAUUUGACUUAUUUUUUGUUUAACGUAACUAAUCAUUCAACCAUCUUCAUUUGCCUCUGGCCAAUGCCCUUGUAGAUUAGUUGAAGCGUUAAUUACAUAAUUCAGAUAAUUACAACGUCCUUUUCGCUAAUUAAUUAUGAUUAUGUACAUUUUCAUAUAGCAAGUGGCAUUGUAGAUCUAAACUACGUUGCUAUUUCAAUACGUUAAUUAAGUGAUUCUCCUCAUUGUCAUCAGCGUUAUAAACAGGAAUUGUGCAAACAGUACACAAUGCUGCGGCAAGGCGUGGGUGGCUAGAGUUUUGCAACCACCCUCGAGAUCCUGUGCUGCCAGUAGUAAAAGAAUUUUACACCAAUUUGGUAAGCCUUGGUCAGCACAACAUUUGGAUAAGAAACUCACUUGUUCCAUUAGACUCUCGAGUUAUAAAUUUUUUUUAUAAUUUACCUGCCGAAAUUAAUUGUGAGUAUGCCAAGUUGCUUGACAAAUUGACCUCGCAACAAUGGAACAUAAUUUUCACGACACUUACAGUAGAGGGUGCAUCGUGGGCUAAUGAGGAGGAGCGUGUAAUUAACAGGAUAGAUUUAAAACUCAUUGCUAAGGUGUGGGUGAAAUUUCUGAAAUCUAGGCUUAUGCCAACCACCCACACCACUACUGUUUCACAGGAAAGGUUGGUGUUGUUAUAUGCUAUUGUUAGAGGGCUUCCCAUAGAUGUGGGAAGUAUUAUCGAAAAAGAAAUUCGAGAUUGUGCCAUGAAAAACCACAAGGCUGCUGCCUUGUUAUUUCCUUCACUCAUAACCAGCAUAUGUGUAGUAUCAGGUGUUCAUCUUGAUGCAAAGGAUGAAAUUUGUAAUUAUAUUAUGGCUCCAUUUCGUAUAACUUUUUAAUUCGAACUUAUUUAAGGAGAAUUUUUAUUAGUAGAGUUUUUUAUAAAUAGAGAUUUUACUAAAAAAAAAUUAUAAUUAUUUAGUUGUCAAUGUCGAAAUUGAUGAACUAUUGUUCUUUUUGUUAACAUGUGUUUGUUUUACUUAAUAAUAAAAGUUAAGUUCACAAUUACACCGGUGUCAAAUCAGCAGAGCAUUUUUCCAGCCAGUCACAUUAUACAUUUUUGCAACUUGCAAUGCAAGCGAUGAGAGAAAAUGAGAAUCUUGUUUAAUUGUCAAUAAUGACAAACCUAAUCGUUUCAUUAGGUGUAAUUGCAUAAUCGUUUGUUAUAAUUGACUCUGUAUAAAGAAAGGAAAAUUAUAUUCGUAGAUUCGACUUUUUUUUUUUUAAGGUAAUUAAUCAUUCAACCAUCUUCAUUUGCCCCUGGCCACUGCCCUUGUAGAUUAGUUGAAGCGUUAAUUACUUAAUUCAGAUAAUUACAACGUCCUUUUCGCUAAUUAAUUAUGAUUAUAUACGUUUUCAUAUAGCAAGUGGCAUUGUAGAUCUAAAUUAUGUUGCUAUUUCAAUACGUUAAUUAAGUGAUUCUCCUCAUUGUCAUUAAGUGGAAAAUAGCUCAAUUGUUUCCCUGCAUCGAUUUUCAUUGGUAAGUGAUUUCUUAUGAUAUUCGUUUGAGCUUUCCUUAUUAAAAAAGCUUGAGCCUUGAUCACCUAAUACUGAUAUCAAUUUACUUGUGAACGAUUUUGUAAUGAAAUUAGGAGUUAAAUAUACAAGAUUUUUACCUGAUGAAUUUUGAUUUUUUUAAUUUUUUGAUGUAGUCAAUUUGCGAAUUUUAUAUAUUUCAUAUUCAACGGAAUUUGGGCACGGAAAGUUUGGAUUCUAAUAUUUAUAGAGUAAUGAUACAGCCACAAACUCUUGUACAAAAUUGAUGUGGCGUUAAUUCAUUAGUUGAAUUAAAUAUCUUUUUGCCCACAUGAUUUUUUUUUUUAUUUUUUUUUUUCAUUCAAUCAAUGAAUUAAUGCCACAUCAGUUUGUACAAAAUAAGUUUGUACAAGAGUUUGUGGUUAUAUCAUUAUAUUUAUAUAUUUAGCUUUAAUCAGUUUGACUUUAGCAAUCUUUUUCCCUCAUCAUUAAGGGAUUCAGAAUUAGAGAAACGCUAGGAAGAGGAAGAAAAUAACUUUGGAAAUAAGUAAGAGGGAAAAAAUUAUGAAAUUUUGAAUUAUUUUUUGUAAAGUAUGUUGCGUUUACUAAACUUGAAUUAGAAUGAGCUGAAAUCAGAAUGAAUAGGAAUGCGAAUGUGCUGAAAUCGGAAUAGGUAAUGAGAAUAAGAAUAAGUUGUUUACUUGAACUGUAAAAAUCAAAAUCGAAAUGAGCUGAAUUGCAAUUACUUUGUCUUGGAAGCGGAAUUAGAAUCGGAAUGAGUUAGAUUGUAACAAAUUACUAAAAAGUACUUAAUGAAUUAUUGUCAUAAUUAUUAUUUUAUAUUUUAAUUAUAGUGAUUAUUUAUUCAAAAAUUAUUAUUAUUAAUUAUUUUCAAUAAUAUAUUAAUAUGUUAAUUAAUUUUAAAAAUUAUUAAUUAAUUAAUUAUAAUAAUAUACUAAUUAAUUAUAAUAAUUAUAAAAAUAUAUUAAUAAUAAAAUUACUAAUUUAAUUAUAAUAAUAUAUGAAUUAAUUAUAAUAAUUAUAUUAGUAAUUAUUAUAAUAGUAUAUUAAUUAAUUAUAAUAAUAAAAAUAUAUUAAUUAUGUGAUUAUUUAUUCAAAAAUUAUAAUUAUUAAUAAUUAUUGUUAAUAAUGUAUCAAUAUAUUACUUAAUUAUAAUAAUAUAUUAAUUAAGUAUAAAUGAGGACAAAGGGGGUAUUUUUAAUUUCACGUAGGGGCAAAAUGGUCAAUUCUAGUAAUGGGAGACUCACUCCGACCCUCUCCCUUGGGAAUGAGUCUCCCAUUCCUCAUUCCCAAAUUGUGGUGGGCCCCAUAAUUUUGACUCUGAUUUUUGACUCAAUUUUGCGAAGUAAACGCUACCAAUGAUUCUGAUUUCGGAUUCUGAUUCACUUAUCCGAGAAGUAAAAGCAACAUAAAUGUGUAUGAAUAAUUGAUACCUAUGAAUAGUUUUGGGAGUUUUAGUUAGGAGUCGUUUAUUGAAGAUGUUUAGCAAUUAAAGAUCUCUGUCUCAGCAGUUUUCCCAAUCAAAAUCAAGAAGCAAAACAACUUGCCAUUUUUCUACUUGAUAAUUAAUUGAAAUUUAAGAAAAUACAAUGGCAUUUCAAUUAGAAAUGGUAAUUGUUUAUCUUUUUUCAUUGAUCAAAUUCUAAUCGUGAUCCAAUAGUUAUGGAUGAAGGAAAUAUUAUGAGAGGCGAUAGGCCAAGUGAAGACGUACCAGCAAAUUCAAAAUAGUCGGGAGGUGGACGUCCAGCAUAUCUCCUCUCUGUAGCACCCAGAUGUAUUGUUAUUUGCUCCAAGAAAUGUUAAAAGGAUUGGCCCUAUCUCAAUGUGGUUAGUGGUGAAAAAUUAAACACCAUGGAAGGAUUUGCAAGGAAUAUGCCAAGAAACUGGCUAAGUUCCACAAAUAUGGCAUUAUUGCUCUUUUUUUUUAAAGAAAAAUUAUACACGUUAAUUUAGCAAAAAGUCUAAGACACAUGCCUUUUGAAAAGAACAGCUAUUACCAUGACACAAUCGAUGCGGCUGAAACCAAAAUUUUCUUUUCUUAAUGUAAAGAUUUUUUUUAAAUAGAUUUUAAUAUCAAAAUGCCCUUCGAUGUUAUUACUGUCACAAGCCCUGUAACAGGAGUAAUAAAAAAUUUUAGAAUUUUUGGGCAUGAAAAAAGUAGUAUUAAGCAUCAGCAAGCAAAGGUUGUUCUGUUAAAGAAUUGAUAUUUUCGUGAUUUUAUUUUGGUUAUCGAGAAAAAAAAAUAUAUAUUUGUUGACAAGUAAGAAAAUAUUAUUAUAUUUUACAAUCUAUUAUACAUAUUUUAUUAUAUUAAAUAAUACUAAAUAGAAACAUAAAAUUAGAAUAAAAUAAAUUAAAAUUAAAAUUAUUUUGAAUAUUAUGUAAAAAAUAAUGUUAAUAUCAUUGUUACUUCUAAAAUAUAUUUAGCCCAAAGAUUUAUUUAAAAUUUUAUAAUAAAUAAAAAUAUAAAAAUAAAUUAAAUAUCAUAGUUUAAAAUCUUAAUAUUAUUUUAAAUAUUAAAAAUACUUUAAUGUUAUUAUUCUACUACACAUGUUAUAUUAUUUAUAUUAUAUUUGUAUUAAUUAAAAAUUUUAAAGUCAACUUUCUAGUAACUAUAUUCAAAGGUAUUAUGGUUAAAUAAAGGUCUUAGUGUUUCUUUUUCAAAAUUUGAGGGUCUACAUGAUAAUUUUUCCAAAUCCUAAGGUAUAGGUGUCCUUUUUGUCAAUAAUUUGAGAGAAUACGAUGAGAAAUAAGAUCAGAGAAAUGUCAAUUUAAUGUUCUCUAGCUUAAUGAAAAAAAAAAUGGAAACCAAGAACUAUUCAAUUUUGUAUUUUUUGUUUGUAAUUCAAAAAAUCCAUCCACCAAACAAGUUUCACGCAUUUAUGUUGUCAUAAAACAAAAAAACAGUUUGUGAAAAAAUGGCACCAAACAUACCCUUAAUGUCCCACAUGAUUUCUUAUGAAGCCCAUAUUAGAUAUAUUUAUACAUUUUACUGCAUUUAGGACAUAUUUGAUAGCCUGCAUUAUAUAGGAUAAAAACACAAUUUUGUAUUAAAUUAAUGCACACUCACGUUUGGCGCUAAAAGUAACUCCAGCCGCAUUGCAUUAAUGGGCUGCUAAUGCGGCAAUUGCCGCACUAGCUUGCCUCUUUUUCUUUUUAAUUUUAUUUAUAAUAAUAAUAAUAAUAAUAAUAAUAAUAAUAAUAAUAAUAAUAAUAACAUAAUAUAACUUUUUAUUUUAAUAUAAUAUUAUAUAAUAUUAAGUAUAAUUUUUAUUUUUACAUUAUAAUUAUUGAUAUAAAUUAAUAAAUGUAUUAUUUAUUAUUCAAUAAUAUUAUAUUAUAUAUUUUUAUUUUUACAUUAUAAUUUAUUAGUAAAUUUAUAAUUUAAUAUAAUUAAUAAUAAUAGAAAAUAUCAUUACAUGUACUACAAAACUCUUACUUUGAUUAUUUAACACAAUUUAUUUUAUUCGUGAAUAUGUUAUAACAAUUGUAUCACUUUAUUAUUUUGUUAUUAUUUUGUGGUAUGUAUAAAUUUUUAUUCUAUUAUCCUAGGAUGACUUUGAACUAAUGUUAUAGGUUUUAACUAUUUAUUUAUGUUGUUAUAUUAUUAGAGAUUAUUUGAUUAAAUUAUUUGCUUCGAUCUUUAUUUUGCAGGUCAUAUAUUUAGAAAUUGCUGAAAAAUAAAUGUUAUACUUCAAAAAAUUUAAGGCUAUAAGCUCGAUCUUUAUGAAGAAUUGUGAUAUUUUUUAACAUUUACACCAAAAAAAAUUGUUAAAUUUCUAAAAUUUAAGACUUCUAUAUUUAGUAUUUUUCUAAUUACUAAUAAGUAUUAUUUUCUAAAUAUAUAAUUUAAAUUAAUCACAAAAAAUUAAUACAGUACAGUGCAAUAUCAAAUAUAGUAUAAUAAAAAUUAUACAGUAUAAUGUAACACCAAAUAUUAUAUAAUAUUAUUAUAAUAUAGUACUAAUAUAAUAUAAUAUAAUACAAUAUAGUGUGCCAAACGCACCCUUAGAGUGUGUUUGGAACAUGGGAUUAUAGGGUAUUAAAACACUAUUCUUAUUAGCUUAAUACCAAUAUCAUGUUUGGAAAGAAAUUUUAAGGGAUUAAAGGGGGGUGAGCUAAUGCCAUAACUGCGGCAGUAGUGUCUUGGUUUUUUUUUUUAAAUAAUAAUAAAAAAUAUAAAUUUCUAAUUUUAUGUAAUAUUAUAUAAUAUUAAUUUUGAUUUUCUUUGAUCUUUACAUUAUAAUUAUUAAUAUAAGUUAAUACAUUUGUAAUUUAUUAUUCAUAUUUUAAUUUUUAUUAUAUUAAAAAUAUAACUAAAUAAUUUAAUUUUAAUUAUAUAAUAAUUAAUGUAUAAAAUUGAUUAAUAUUUAAUAAGUUAAUACAACUAGUAAUAAGUGCUUAAAUAAUACAUAAAAAUAAAAAUAUAACAUAAUAUUACAUUAUUUAAUUAUAUUACAAUAACUAAUAUAUAAAAAUUGAUUAUUAUUUAACAAUUUAAUAUAGCUAAUAAUAGAUACUUAAAUAAUAAUUUAAUAUAACUAAUAAUGAAUAUAUUUAAAUAAUAUUAAUUUAAAAUUAAUACCAAUAUAUAUAAUAAUAUAAAAUAUUAUUACAUGUACUGUAGUAUUCUUACUUGGAUUAUUUAGCGCAAUUUAUUUUAUUAGUGAAUAUGUUACAACUAUUGUAUCACUUUAUUAUUUAAAUUAAUCAAAAAAAUUAAUACAGUACAAGAUAAUACUAAAUAUUGUACAACAUUAUUAAAAUACAGUAUUAAUUCAAUACAAUAUAAGACAAUAUAUCUAUAUUAAAAUAAAAUAAUAUAAUUUAAUAUAAUACAAUAUGUCAAACGCACCCCGUGUAUUUUAAUUUCAAAAGAAGUUGGUCCUUCCUUUAUUUAUAAAAGAUAACUUUAUUUUCAGAUUACCACUAAACUCUGAAGUAGAAUUAGUGUAAUGUUAAGAGAGAGUGACACAGUUUUCCAUUACCAUCUAUGAAAAUAGAAAGAUAUGGAUCAGUGUAUUUAAGAGUUAUCGUGAAAAUCAUACAAUUCAAUUCCCUGACACAUAUAUUUAUGAGCAUAUGCCAAAAGAAUAAAUAGAUAGAAAGUAAAUUUACAAUCCUCACUUCCUCACAAUUGUUAAAAUGAAGACGCAUUACAACUGUGAACUGUCACUACUUUAUCCUUUUUUAUUUUUUAUUUUUUAUUUUUAGUUAUAGUGUGAUGGAGACAGUGAACAUCAAGGAUGAGAAUAAAAGUUAAAGAUGACCCACCCACUUUCUUUUUAAAGUGCUCUGCUGAAAGCCAAAGUUCCUCUGGCUAAUUAAUUUAGAUGUGAAGAGAGAAUAACGAUAUGUUAGAUUAUUUGGUAGACUAUAGACCUAAAAGUUCCUUCUGAAAUUAGAAAUACAUUUUAUAUGCUUUAAUUAUGAUUAUUUGGUAGACUAUAGACCUAAAAGACAUGUUAGAUUAUAAAAUAGUGCGAUUAAAAAAAAAAGAGUAUUUGUCACGUCAAAUAACAAUUGGUAACUAAAAUCCAAAAUAUUUCAGUUGUUAAAAUCAAAUAAAAAAAAAGAAGGUAAGAGUGAUGCAGAAACACAAUAUUAGCUUAUCUUGAUUUUCCCACUUUAUUCAUUCUCGAUGCUUUUCAAAAGAUAUUCUUCUACUCCUUCUGGUGUCUGCAGCCCCUUGUCACGGGAUGAGAGGUUUCGAGCCCGUGCGGCACUCUCACAUCCCAUACUACGAGAGUAAACCUAGUGGAAGUGGCACAAUAUCGACUAGUUUCGCCCUGCCUUGGGCUCAUCAGGAGAACGGCUCCAGUUCCCAACCAGUGUGUGUAGGGCUCUGAUACCAAAUUGAAGUUUAACCAAGCUAUUUAUGCUUGUUUGGUUGCAGAGAAAAUGAAGGAAAAUUCAAUGAGUAAUAAGAGAAACUAUAAGAGAAAUGGAUCGAAUCUUAUUCAAUGAAUUAUGAAUACAGAGGUUGACCUUAUAUACUAAGAUCCAGAACCUUCUGUAUUGCUCACACACGUGUUGAGAGUGAGCUGUGAUUAACAAACUUCUCAGCUCUAUAACAAACUUACAAACUAACAAUAACAGCCUUGCUUACUCAGCUACCACAUCAGCAGAAUCAUUACAAAAAUAUUCUUUAUAUUUAUAACUCUAACAUCCCCCCUCAAGCUUGCUGCGCAAAUAAGCAAACUGAUCAAAACAGAGGGGCUUAGUAAGAACAUCUGCUAAUUGAUCUGAACUGGGAACAUAAGUGACUGAAAGCUGCUGUUGAGCAAUAUGCUCUCUGAGAAAAUGAAGAUCAAGCUCAAUAUGUUUAGUACGAGCAUGAUAUUUAGGAUUACUGGCCAAAGCUUCAGCACUCUUGUUAUCACAAUGCAGAAGAGGAAUCUGAUCAAAAGAUAUGUUAAGCUCUUGAAAUAAGUAUGUAAUCCAGAGAACUUCAGAGGUAGCCAUAGCAAGAGCUCUAUACUCUGACUCAGCUGAUGAUCUGGACACAAUGGGCUGCUUCUUAGAGGACCAAGAGAUGAGAUUGGAACCUAAAAACACACAAUAACCUCCAACAGAUCUGCGAUCAUCAGGAUAUGCUCCCCAAUCAGCAUCAGAGUAGGCAGUUAACUUUAAAGAACCAGAACUGAAAAACUGAAGACCAUAAUCAGCUGUACUUUGAAGAUACCGUAACACCCUCUUGCAAGUUUGCCAAUGAAGAAUGGUGGGAGCUGAUAAAAACUGACUAAGCUUGUUGACUGUGAAAGCUAAGUCUGGUCGAGUUAACAGAACAUAUUGAAGAGAUCUCAUAAUGCUUCUGUAUAAGGAUGGAUUUUCAAAUGCAGCACCUGUAUCCUUGUGCAGCUUCUCAGAAGUACUCAUAGGUGUAACACAACCUUUACUGUCCAGCAUAUUUGCCCUUUUAAGAAUAUCACCAAUGUACUUAGUUUGAGAUAGAUGAAUACCUUGAACAGAUGGAGUAACUUCAAUACCAAGAAAGUAAUGAAAAUUCCCCAGCUCCUUCAAGGAAAACUCAGAAUGUAAUUGCUGAAUAACAUUUCCUAUGAGCUUUGAAUCUGAACCCGUGACUAAAAUAUCAUCCACAUAAAUGAGAAUGAGCAAGAUAUCUUUCCCUGCAUGCUUAAUGAACAGAGAAGUGUCAGAUUUGGAGACCUGAAAACCCCAUUAAAUUAAUGACUCCUUUAAUCAAUCAUACCAGGCUCUUGGAGCCUGUUUGAGACCAUAUAAGGCCUUGUUAAGCUUACAAACAUAAGAAGGGUAAGUGGAAUCAACAAACCCUUGUGGUUGAUGCAUGUACACAUCUUCAGUAAGAAUGCCAUUGAGGAAAGCAUUGUUUACAUCCAGCUGCUUAAUAGGCCAGUGAUGCAUGACUGCUAGGCUUAAAAUGAUUCUGACAGUACAAGGCUUGAUCACAGGGCUAAAUGUCUCAAAGAAAUCAACCCCAUAAGUUUGAUGAUAUCCCUUGGCAACCAACCGAGCUUUAUACCGAGAGAUACUGCCAUCAGCAUUAUACUUAACUCUGUAAACCCACUUGUUGCCAACAAUUUUCCCAGCUGAUUCAGGAGGCACUAAAGUCCAGGUUUGAUUUCUUUGGAGAGCUUCAAAUUCUUCAUUCAUAGCUGAGUACCACCUAGGAUCUGUCAAUGCUGCUUUGACAUUGGAUGGUUCAAGGUCUUGAGAAACAGCUAAGUAGGUUUUGGGUUUGUAGAUACCAGCUUUAGAUCUGGUAACCAUAGGAUGAGUAGAGAUUACUGGUGGAGAAGAAUUUGAAGAUCUUGAGGGUUGAUCUAGAGAUUGUGAAUGAACAGAAUGUGGCAAGGAAUGAGACUCUGAUGCAGGAGACAGAGCAGGACUAGAGACUGCAGCUGAUGGCUCUUCAUUGCUACUGUGACUAAGAACAGGUGUUUGAGGAAGAAAGAAAUGAACUGAAGAUGGAGUGGAGGUAGCAGAAUGAGAUAAGGUGUUGGACUUGUUUUUCAAAAACAGUUCAGAAUACAGAAAUUCCAGUUCAUUGAAAGUAACAUGUCUAGCAACAAAGACUUUCCCAGUUCGAUCAAGACACUUGUAGCCCUUAUAAAUGGGGCUAUAACCAAUGAAGACACACUUUUGAGUAUGAAAAUCUAGCUUGUGAUGAUGAUAAGGUUGAAGAAAAGGAAAACAAGAACAGCCAAACACUUUAGGAAACUUGUAAUCUGGAAGCUGAUUGUAUAGUUUUUGAAAAGGAGAUAAAUUAUUUAGAACAUGUGUUGGCAUUCUAUUCACUAAGUAAGUGGCUGUAUGAAAAGCUUCCCACCAAAAAGAGAGAGGUAAAUGAGCUUGAGCUAAGAGUGUGAGUCCAGUUUCAACAACAUGCCUAUGCUUCCUUUCCACCACACCAUUUUGAUGGUGAGUGUGGGGGCAACUAUAUCUAAAUUGAAUACCCUCUUGUUGGAGAAAUGAUCUGAAGGCUAUAAACUCACCCCCCAUAUCAGUUUGUAGUGUUUGGAUGGAUAAAGAAAACUAUUUUUCGACAAGAGACUUGAAAUAUUUGAAGGUGUCAAAUGCCUCAGAUUUGAGUGUGAGUGGAAAUACCCAACAAUAUCUUGUGAAAUCAUCAACAAAAGAAAUAUAGUACUUGUAUCCAUCCAUAGACAACACAGAAGCUGGACCCCAUAAGUCAGCAUAUAAGAGUUGGAGAGGAAAUUUUGAUUUUAUAUCAGUGACUGGAAAAUGGAAUUGAUGUAAUUUGCCAUAUUGACAAGCAUCACAAAAAUUAAGAGAUUGAGAAUAUGUUGAAUGCAUAGGAAGACUUUUCAUUAUUGUUUGCAAGACAUGUUUGGUUGGAUGACCAAACCUAUUGUGUAGCAACUGCAUAGACUCACUACUGGAAGCUAGAAAACUGACAGAAUUCUCAUUAUUGGAAUUGAUCAAAUUUGAACAGACAUUUGUUUGGUGAUUCAACUCUUUCAAAGAGUGUACAUUCUCUUUAUUUGAAAAAACAGACAACAUUGAACUAGGUUUGAGACCCAAGGCUUUAGAAUCAGAAAAAGGUGUAUCUUGAGUCAGUAGCUUAAAGAGACCAUCCUCAGCAAUCCCCUGUGCCAGCAAAGUUCCUUGCAUCUUGUCCUUAAUGAAACAAAGAUUAGAAACAAAUUUAAUGAUUAUAUGAUUGUCAGAGAGAAGUUUAGAUAAGCUAAUCAGAUUCUUGGUAAUUUUGGGAACACAUAGAACAUUGGAAAGGUUUAAUUGAUUACCAAAGGAUGUAAAGAGACAUAUAUUGCCUAUGGAAGUAAUUCUAAGACCUUGUCCAUUACCAACUAACAGCAACUGAGAUCCAAGAUAAGGUUUACCUUCAGCUAGGUUCUCCAUAUUGUUUGUGAGAUGAUGUGUUGCUCCACUAUCCAGAUACCAUCCUUGGUCAGCAACUCCUUCUGAUGUAGCCAUGAAGGCAGCUCUGGAAGUUUGAUUCUGAUCUGAAAAAUUUCCUUGCACAGAAAAAUUAGGAACAAAAUUUCUAUUAAAUAUGUCUUUGCAAUCAGCUGCAGUAUGAUUGUGCUUGAAACAAAUCUGACAAACAAUAUUUCCUCUGCCUCCUCCUCUUCCAAAUCCAUUAUAGCCACCAGGAAAUCUACCAGAAAAAUUUCCAGCAGCACCAGCAAAAUUGCCUCUACCCUGAUUUCCAUUCCAGUUAUUCCAAUUAUUAUUCCAUUGUCCUCUACCUGAAUUUUGUCCCCUUCCUGGAUUGAAACCUCCUCUAUUUGUAAAGUUUCCAUUCCAGUUAUGAAAUCCAGGUUUGUUUCCAGUGUUUCCAUUCCAGCCUCCUUGACUAUCAUUAUUCAAGCCUCCCUGAUUGUUAACUUUCUUUUGAUUAUUCCCAGCCUGAGCUAAGUUAGCAGCAUAGUUCUGUUUCACUUCCUUGAAAGAAUUAGAUUGAUUGCUUUCUAAACGUGCCUCAUGUGUCAACAACAUUGAAUAAGCCUCAUUAAUACUCAUUUUUAGAACAUUUGCUUCAAUAUACACAACUACUGGAUAAUAAGGCUGACCUAAUCCAGAGAUGAGAUGAGUUAUAAAAUCCAAAGAACUAACAGGACUUCCAGCAAUAGCAAGCUCAUCUAUAACUGACUUCAACUUACUAAAAUAUUCUGUCAUAGUCAUAGAUCAUUUCUUUAGAUUAUUCAACAUCAUUUUGAGAUGAACUUUCUUAGCAGCAGUUUCAGAUCCAAAUUGUUGCUCUAAACUAGACCACAGUUCAUAAGAGGUUUUAGAGUUUACCACAAGGCUGAGGAUUUCAAUGUUGAUAGAGGAUAGCAGCCAGCUCAGCAGCAUCUGAUCUUGCUUUCUCCACACAUGAAACUCAGGAUUCUCUUGUGAAGCAACAGUUGAACUUGCAGAAGUAUUGAACAUAGCAUCUGAAUUUCCUUGAGUGCUUGAGAGAAAUUGAUCUGGACAGAUUCUGGAUCCAUCAAGCAAACUCUCAAGCUCAUUUGCUCGAACUGAGGAUAGAAUUUGAGAUUUCCAGAUUAAGUAAUUUGAUCGAUCAAGUUUUAUUGGAGUUGUAAAAGUAAAGGUUGUUGCUGAAGAAGAGAUGUUUGUGGUCAAGCUUGAUAAUGCCAUGAGAUUAGACUAGACGUGGCUCUGAUACCAAAUUGAAGUUUAACCAAGCUAUUUAUGCUUGUUUGGUUGCAGAGAAAAUGAAGGAAAAUUCAAUGAGUAAUACGAGAAACUAUAAGAAAAAUAGAUCGAAUCUUAUUCAAUGAAUUAUGAAUACAGAGGUUGACCUUAUAUACUAAGAUCUAGAACCUUCUGUAUUGCUCACACACGUGUUGAGAGUGAGCUGUGAUUAACAAACUUCUCAGCUCUAUAACAAACUUACAAACUAACAAUAACAGCCUUGCUUACUCAGUUGCCACAUCAGCAGAAUCAUUACAAAAAUAUUCUUUAUAUUUAUAACUCUAACACGCUUAGUCUCCUCUUCAACGUUAAGUCCUCGACUAGCAACAAGCUCCCCAAACUCAACUGGGUUGGCCUGCCUGAACUCCAAGAAAUCUAGGAUCAUUGUAUUCCCCACACACACGCCCCUGAAGCACGUCUCCUACAAUUAGCACAACUAUUAUCGAUGCAAGUGUACAAGCACAUAUCUUCGGCAUCACAAUUGCAGUCCGUGACACCCUGCUCUUCUUAUAAAACUCCACCCCAAAUCUACACUACAAACAAGUUGAUUGAAAUUAAACAAUUGCUUUUUCAAGUGGACCCAUUGAGUCGUGGUCAUUACUCAUCAUUGUCUAUUUUUUCUAUGAGCCAUUUAUUUUGAGCAAUAGUGAGCUUCUCUGAACUACUCCAAUUAUUGAUGUAACUCCAGUGGCUGCAUCCAUAGUUGAAUAUAUGACAGUAUUAGCUCUUAUGUGAGAAUAUAGGGGGAUCUUUCUUUGUUUCUUUACGUAGCUAGAUGGCAUGUCCAGUGUUUGAAGGUUUGAAAGGGUGCAUAGCGGUGAAGGAAGACAUUUGAGCGAAGGGAUAUUCAAUUUCAAAUACUUCAAAUGGAAUAAAUUAUCUAAUCCGGGUGGAUAUUGGUCCAGGACUGCAGAAUCCAUGUUCAAUACCCGAAGGUGUUUGAACAUUUUACAAAAAUUCUCGCAAUCUAUCGGAUUAAGAUGAUCGCUUUCUGAACUGUGAUUCAGAAAAGAUUGGAGAUACAUGUCCGAAUGUUUCAAAGAAAAGAAUUCAAUCGGAUCAUCGAAAAUGAUGUACCGUUUGGUAUUUGCCAAUGAUUCCUCUUCGAAGUCAGGCGUCCGGACAAAUCCCAUCAUUGCUGCCGUCCCAACUAACGCAGCAUAUGCAAAAGUUGGAACAUAACACGCCUUAAUUGUGCCUCCGGCUCUUCUCUUAUUCACUUGAAUGAAGCCACGAUCGAUUAGUUCGUUCAAGUAAUGCUCGGCAGUUUCCUCACUGUUGUAUGGUAUGAAACCUUCAGCUACCCACAACUGAUAUAAUUGCCUGGUAGAUAUCUCAAUGCCUGGAUGGAACACACACAAAUAGAGGCAGCAGAUUUUCAGGUGAGCAGAUAACUCCAACACAGAAUACAUUCGACUCCAAGUUGUCAGAAACGCUUUUUCUCCCGUGUAAAUUCUUAAUGUCGUUUUUCCAUAGUAUAGGAUGAAAAAUUGCCAGGAUUCAUGCUUUAAUCUGAUCAAUGGUCCUCCAACGAGAACUGAAUCAGGACGAAUCGGCUCUCCAUUUUCUAAUUCGAACGAGCAAAGGAAGCCUGAAUCCGUGACCGUUAUCAAUACUCUGCUUCCAUUCUGAUUCUCAGGAAGUACUUCUUCAAGAUCAUCCAAUACAUCGUCACUCUCUUCACAGUAAUCAUCAAGCACAAUAAAGUACUUCUUGUUUGUUAGGUAAUCUCGAAGAAUAGAUUUCUUCAAUUGAUAAUCUUCACCGAUAACUACACUAACCCGAGAUGGAGGCAUCACAGACUUGAUUAUGUCAUCCAAUAUCAUGCGAAAAUCGUAGGCUAUAGAAACCCUGACCCAAGCAUGACAGUCAAAAUAGAACUUGACAUGAUUAUUGUUGUAAGUAUCAGCAGCAAAAGCAGUCUUAUCAAAGCCACUGCUGUCGAGAAUUGCAACCACUGAAAGCCGAGGUUGUCCCUCGAUCAGUAAAUCAAACAACUCCUCUCUGCCGCUUUCAAAUUCACUCUUAUCAAACUGAAAUUGUCCCUCAAUCAAUAAGUGAGUGAAUUCGUUCCUUCGCUCUUUGAAAUCAAAACCAUUUUCUCUAGGCGGAAUUUGUUGCAACCGAUUUCUAAUAUCAAUGAUUUUACUGUGGAUUCCGACAAGAAGAGCAAUGCAAGUAGUGCUUUCACUUUCACUGCAUUGCUGCUGCGUGAUGUUGAUGAAGAAUGUGUCAAUAGCUUUCUCUGAUUCAUCGACAAAGUAAUUGAUGUCUUUCAGAAGUUCCCAAAUGUCUGUUCUUUUAACAUUUUCUAAGUGCAAGAGUUGCCGAUAACGCGAAGGUAUUUCGUCUUCAUCGAAAUGUUCUCUAAUGAGUUGAAUCAAAACCCGAGCCAUGUCAGCUUCAUAGUUUACCUUCUUCACCUGCUAACACCCUUUUCAACCUCACACCAAAUAGUGUGAGGUUAAUUUCCAUAUCUUUCCCUCUGUCAGUAGUACUCAGAGGUACGUAUUGUUAUUUGUUAGUGUUGAUGACGAAAGCUGAAUAUCAAAGGAUAUAAAUCAAACAAAAGUUUUUGUAGAUUGAGAAUGGAUGGAUGCAAAGAAUGACUGAUGUUAAAUGAUUCUAUAAAUGAGAUAUGCAAAGAAUGAAUGAUAUUAAGUGAACAUCAAGGAUGGGAACAAAAUUUAAAGGUAAUUUUUUUUUUUAAGUACUCUGUUGAAAGCCAAAGUUCCUUUGGCCAGUUAAUUUAGAAGUGAAGGAAUGAAUAAAGUUAGUCCUCGACGUCUUUUGAAAUUAGAAAUACAUUUUGAAUGCUUUAAUAGAUGCAGAGCAAACUGGCUCGAUAUCUAACUAUUUUAAGAGCUAAAAUCAUUUAUUAGAAGUUGUAGCAUUAAAAAAAAGGGCUUGAUAUCCAAUUUUGUUAUUGAAUAUGUCUCACGUGAGAGUAUAUAACUGUUGUGUUACUGGCAGAUGGCUACGCUAGGUUUUAUUGCUCCCUGAAUUUGAUUGAAAAAUUAUUGAGACGGACAAGUUUGGACCGUCGUUCGAGACUGAAACUACAUAUCAGUCUUAGAAAAUUGUAAUUUUGUUGGCUUAUCAUGAUUUUCAUCGCCCCAUAUUGAUUUUCCUAUGAUGUCUCUGUAGAGUGGCUAUGCUUACAUUUUUAGGUAUUUACUUCUAAAGGUUAACUUAUUAGAUGGAGGGACCAAUUCUACCUAUAAAUCCAAGUGGCUUCCCUUUACUAACUCAUAUGAGACACAACAAUAAUUUUCUUUGGACAAAACCAUUGUUGGAAGGUUAUUUUCGUUCAACAUACAUGAGUUGUUCCACCGCUAUAUUUUGAGGGUUUGCUUUGGAUACGACUUGGGGGAGCUAAUGCUAAGAUUUCUAAGUAUCAACAUAAAAACCUUGCCUAUUAGGUGGAAGGACCAAUCCUACUUUAAAGUCUAAAUGACUAAUUCUUGAGGACACAACUCAACAGACCAAUAUAAAAUUUUGACGUCCCAUUUUAUUACUUUCCAGUGCUUUUACUUUUGCUGUCUAGAGCCCUACUAUUCUAUUAAGCAGAAAAUAUUUCAAGGCACUCUCGGUCUAGUAGAUAACUUUGGUAUUUAUUAUCUAUUGGGAAAAUGACACAGACACCCCCAACGUUUAGUAAAGGGACACAAAACUCCCUAAUGUUUGAAAAAAGACAUACAGACCCCCAUUUCAUGACGGAAACAGUUUCGUUAAAUCAGUCAAAGGUUAAUAUCGUAAUUGCACAUUAACAACAAAUGAAUUGACCAAAAACCCACACACGAACAAAACGCUUAACACACGCACUGACACUGCUCCUUCCAGAUCUUGACAAAAUCCUUAACGGACACACUCACACGGUUCGCCGGAAACUGCUGGAAUUGCUGGGGUUGCCGGAAGUCGCUGGAACUGCUGGGCCUGCCGGAAGUCGCUGGAACUGCUAGGGCUGCCGCAAGUCGCUGGAACUGCUAGGGCUGCCGCAAGUCGCUGGAUCUGCUCGCGCUGCCGCAAGCUGCUGGAUCUGCUCGCGCUGCCGCAAGCUGCUGGAUCUGCUCGCGCUGCCGCUGCGUUGAUCGAGACCGCAUCUGGCUGCUGCUCGUUCGUGUGGCUGCUGCUCGUGCGUGGUUGCUGCUCGUUCACGUGGUUGCUGCUCAUGCAUCUUCAAUCCACGGUUCACUUAUCUUAAACUAGCUUUUCCCUCUUUAAUUUUCUUUUUUUUUUACUAAAUUAACUUUAUUUCUUUUUAUUAUCAUUCAAAAUCCACCAGAAUUUUUGAGAAUUUUUGGACAAUUAAUUAAUUUUGGAGAAUUUUAGACAAUUAAUUUCACCGAAGAAGUGAGCUUACCAUGGGCAUAAUGCCAAAAAAGCUUGUACUGGUUUAUUGGAGAUUUAUUGUGCUUAAUUUAUCAAUGAAAAGCUUGUACUGGUUUGCAUAUGGUAACAAAUAAAAGCAGGCAAUACUACAACGACGUCCCAACAAGCUAUGAGAGGAAGUUCACAAGCUAGGAGCCAGAGUUGUCAUACAAAUUUGUGAAUAAAUAAUGUUUUUUUCUCAAAAAAAUAUUAUGGUUAUUGUUGUAAUGAUUACCAGUAUCAAUUUGAUACAAUAUUAUGAUAUAAGGAUUAUUUGUUAUGUUUAUUGGUGGUUUUUUAUGUCUAUUUGAUAUGUUAUUUAGUACAAUUAAGAUGUUGUUAACCAGUUUUUUUUUUAAAUUUUUUUUAUUAUACUGGUUUAAAUGAUUGACAUAUGAAGAAUUGUUAUUUUUAUAGUAUUAAUAAUUAAUUUUAUUUAUUUUUAUUCUUGAAUAAUGGAUUAAAAUUAUUUAGCUUGUAGAGAAUUUGAUAAAAAAUUAUUAAUGAUUUUAUUAUAAAAAAUUUAAUAGAGAAAUUGGAUAAUGAUGGUAUAUUCGUAAUUUUAUUAAUAAUAUAUGGGUAAAAUAGACAUUGAACAAUUUUUUUUUAAUGCUAAAAGGAUAUAACGGUAAUUACAUGUUAAAAUUAUAAUUUCCGUUACUAACGGUUUUCGUUAAGAAAUUGAGGUCUGUAUGUCUUUUUUCAAACAUUAGGGAGUUUUGUGUUCCUUUACUAAACGUUGGGGAUGUCUGUGUCCUUUUCCCUUAUCUAUUUUCGUUCCGUUUUAUGUAUACCCCGAUCUUUACCUCUGAUUGGUUGUAGAUUCUUUUGUUGCUUUGGGGUUAGGGGAUGGUUUUCAUAACUAUUAAGUUAAUCAAUGCAGAAAAUCUCCAUCAACAAAUGAUAAAGGAUUGUUAGUUCUGUCUGACAAACAACAUUAAUAUGAAGGAUGAUGAUUGUUCUGUUCAAGAGUUUAUAAUGACAUAAUUCUACUUUGGUCUUUUAAAAAAAGUAAGUUAGAAACGAGGAGUAUGUGAGUGAUGAUUUUUACAAAAUAAAUUGCAUGCAUGGUGAUGAUUUUGACACAUGAAAAUGAAAAAAGAAAUAUAAAUUGUGAAUAAUAAUUGAAGUACCUGCUAUUGUUAUAUUGAGUAAUCAAGGACUUCAAUAUUCGGACGAUAUAAGCAACACAAUCAAAUAUUAGUUGGAAGGCAUAGCAAAAUUAGAAUGUAGAACAAACUGGGUAUUGAUAAAUGGAUGGUUUUGGAAGAAUUGAAAAUGAUGGCAUAAGUAAACCAGAGUUAAAAGAAAAGAGAAAGAGCAUUUGAACUUUACUUGUAAGUAAAGGCAAAUUUCUUGGUUCAAGAAAAGAUAAGAGAUAUCAAACUAGCAAUAGGAAAAAGGAGGAAGGUUAAGACAGCAUCUCAACAAAAGCUAAAGAAAAGAAAAACUUAGUUCAAGCAAAGAACAAUGUGCUAAUGUCUGUGUAAUCUUGUUUAAUUUCUUUUUCUUCUCACAUUUUCCAGGGCUUAAAUAAUACAAUAUACAUUUUCAAGCAAAGAACAAUAUGCAAUUGCAGUACUUCUGAGCACACAACAACAAAUAAAUAAUACAAUAUACAUACCCACUAAAUUAAAAAAAAAUAUUAUUCAAGUUUGUGGACAAUACUGUAGCCAUGACGUCGUCGAAAUCUGCUGACAGCUGAAACAAAGAAAGAAUGGAUGAAUGCUGGAUCACAGUUGAAAUUGAAGGUCUGGUAGGUGAUGUUUCCCUCUCUGAUUUUACCUAAACAAAUACAAGAAAAUAAGAAUCACAAAUGAAAAUCUGCUAUUACACUGUUCUUACUUAUUAAAAUACAGAGGUUUCUUUGUUUCUCUGCAGCAAUGUCCAUGGCUAUUAGAAACAAGAACAAUUAGACCAGCAUUUGCAAGAGUCCUUUAAGGUAUUACUGCAGAUAUAAAUCAAGACUGAGGAAAUGGAAAAAUUGAAUACCAAAUUAGGCAAGUUAACUGAAGAUUGAGUUAUCAUAGAAGAAUAAAACUCAUCCAAUUCAAUCCAUCAAAUUCCAUAAGGAUACAACUGGAUGUCAUACUGCUGCUCCAUUUCCUCAAAAGCCCGUAGAUUUUGCCUCAACACUGGCUGAGGCCAAUGUAACUCCAAUUUGCAAAAGCUCUUUAUGCACCAUAGCUCUUCAGGAAGCUUUCUCAAGUAAGCACAAGGGUUGCCAAUUAAGCUUCCAAGUUUUGGCAUUGCUCCAGCCCCUAUCAUCCAAUCCUCUAGCCAAUACAUUGAUUUCAGGUGCAAUACCUUGAGCUCCGGGAAACCACAAGAGCAAACACAAGACAGUUUUCUUCCUGAAUAUGAGUUCUGCCUCAAUUUCAGCACUUGAAGGUGUGGAAGCUUGUCUAGUGUUAGCAUGGUAUCCUCCAAUAACUCAGUAUUUGAUAAGCUUAGAUGGAUCAGACUUGGAGAAGCUGGUAUUUAGACAGGGCCAUACGUGAGAACUACCACCUCUUGGUUUCGUUCACCAGCUUCAAGCAUUCAAGUUUGUGUAGUUCGCAUAGGCUUUUGGAAACCCCAGAACAAUCAUAAUUCAAAUCUCCAGAUACUACGAGUUUGAAGAUUAGGUAGUCUGCCUGUUAAAGUAGCUCACUAUGCCGAACAAAAGAAGGAGAAAGCUAAAGUGAAGAAAAUACAGAGCAAGAGUAUUAGCUGUGCCAGUUCAACUGAUAGCUCAGCAAAAUCAGUUAAAUUUUGUUACAAGCCCACUGUGCAUUGUGCUGAAGAUUAGUUAGUUUAAUAAUGAUUAGUUUUAGAUUAGUUAAAAUGUAAUCAUGAUUAAGAUAUAUAUAUAUAUAUAGCUGCUGUACUGAUAUCAUGGAUUAAGUUGUUGAGAAAUAAAAUUCAUUAAGCAUUUCCAGAACAGUUGAUUUUCUUUCUCAGUAGCCAAACAACUUCAAUCUCGUUUUUUUUCAACAAUGAGUUCUCAAACCACUCAAGUAUCAUUUUCAGAGAUUCUUGGCCUUAUACUCACCAUCAAAAUGGAUUGGUUGAGAGAAAACAUAGGCAUAUUGUUGAAUUAGGUUUGACUCUGUUGGCUCAAGCUCAACUUCCUUUUAAAUUCUGGUGGGAUGCAUUCCAUACUGCUCUAUAUCACAUCAAUAGAUUACCAUCUUCUGUUUUCAAACUUUUGACCCCAUAUGAGAAGAUAUUCAAGCACAAACCUGAUUAUGAUUUUCUCAAAUGUUUUGGUUGUAUUUGUUAUCCUUACUUGAGAGACUAUAACAAAAAUAAGUUUGCCUAUCAUUCCAGAACGUGUAUAUUCAUUGGUUAUAGUCCUUCACAAAAGGGUUAUAAAUGCUUACAUUCUUCAGGUCAAGUCUAUGUGGCAAGACAUGUUAUCUUUGAUGAGUCAACCUUUCCUUAUGCUACUGAAUCUGUUUUUCAUAGUCACACAAAUUCUGAUUCUCAUUCUUCAAAUUUAUUUCUCCACAGCAUGUCUAUUAUCUUUCUACUUUACCUGUCAUACCAGUAUUUCUAAAUAACAACACUGACAAUCUAAACUCUACAAAACUAAAAUGCCAGCUUUUUGGUGUUAGCGAUAAGAAACAACUUACCACAACCAUUAAUUAUCCAUAAUUUCAUUGUUUAUCCUCAGUUUUCUUCAUAAAUGUUACAGCGUUCUUCACAACAAAGUGCAAGGGCAUCUCAAAAGUUCUAAAAUAAUACCUCAAUUCUAUUGCAAAAAUAAAUAAUCUCAAACAAGAACCAAUAAUCAUAUGAAUAAACAAUUAAAGAUAGAGAAAAAAGGCUUAAACCUUGGGGAAAAAAAGUGAAAAAACAUGAAAGACAAAUUACACAUGUGCAGUAACCAUCGAACUUAUCAAUGACAGCUGCAUCCAUUACAUUGCUCCAACAACACAAUGGCAAACCACCAGUUUCAAAUUGAGGAUAGCUAUCGAGAAUGAGAAAGUGUCCAAAACGUCAUCAAUAGACAUGUUCCUAUUGUGCAUAAUUUACAUUAUAGGCAAAUAUUCUUAUACCAUCAAAGGCAAAACAUGACACUAACAAUUGAUCCCCCCCCCCCCCCCCCGUCCCCCCAACAACAAAAAAAAAAGGAAAAAACAACACAGAAAAGAUUGAAACAGAUAAGGCUACACUGAGCACAGGAUGCCAUGAAACAUAAUCCAGGAACCAAAUUAAUAAAAAAGGAAGCCAAACCAUUAUUUAACAAUCUGUUUUGUAUUUGGGAAAGUCUGAUAAAAUCUACUUAGGGAUAAUUAGAGAACCUCAACUAUUAAUCACACCUCAUAAAUGAACUAACAUUAACCAUCCCCACAUCACACAAACAUUCUAACCUAAUACUUCCAUCUUCAAUUGGGGGUUUUUUUUCUUUUUUUUUUGUUGGGGGGGGGAGCUUGCUUAGCUUCUGUGUGGGAUUGAAAUGCUGAUUUCGAAUCACUAACAGUAAAAUUGGAAUCUCAUGAAAAAACAGUUUUAUCUUAAAAUUACAUCUCGAUAUAAAUUCUCUUUUCAUUUCCUUCAACUUUCUAAUUAAGCUUAAAAAAUGUACCUUCAACCACAAAGGGGUUUAAAAUUUAAAAUAUAAAAAAUAAAUUCAGAUAACAAUAAUUAAUUUAAUUAAAAAUAUAAAUAGAGUUACAGAGAAAGAGAAAAUAGAGAAAGAC
rnacentral:lncRNA from 1 species